AUGGAUGUUGUAUUGCAGCAACACAACAUAGCGCAUGGAAGAUCACAAGUUUUGCAACAAAGUACUUACCAGCUGUUACAAGAAUUGUGUUGUCAGCACCUAUGGCAGAUCCCUGAGCAGUCGCAGUGCCAGGCCAUCCACAAUGUUGUUCAUGCUAUUAUUCUGCAUCAACAACAAAAACCACAACAACAACCAUCGAGCCAGGUCUCCUUCCAACAGCCUCUGCAACAAUAUCCAUUAGGCCAGGGCUCCUUCCGGCCAUCUCAGCAAAACCCACAGGCCCGGGGCUCUGUCCAGCCUCAACAACUGCCCCAGUUCGAGGAAAUAAGGAACCUAGCGCUACAGACGCUACCCGCAAUGUGCAAUGUCUACAUCCCUCCAUAUUGCACCAUCGCGCCAUUUGGCAUCUUCGGUACUAACUGAGAAGAAAAUAACUCUAGUACUAGAUAUAUGAAACACCGUUUUCUCAGUCCAUGGUUUGGUCGUUGUAGCGGUGAAAAAAUAAUGUGACAUGCACUAUCAGGUAAGAACCCGAACUAUACUAGUUCAAACUUGGGAAUAAAAGACAAACACAGGUCUUGUCUACAUAUUUAUGUUGCAUCUAUUUAUAUAUUAAAAGUAAUAUAAGGUGAACCAGGAGCAAGGUAAAUAUGCUAGAAAAUUGCACGUUAAUUAGAAAUUACUAGCCCUCGAUCUGAUAAAUCUUAACGAACAUAUAUAAUGCUCUGGGCCUCCAACGACUGUACGUGACACAUCUGAACGAACAUAUGUUAAAGAAAAUAUAUUUGGUAAAUGGUGGGCUUCUUUAAAAAGAGAACUCACGUACAUGCACCAACUAAGAAAAACACAUACAUGUAAACGGGAAAAGGAUGAGAUUUUCUCACGUACGUGCUCCCUGGCUCCACCCCGUUGAAAAAAUAUACAUCUGGAGGCCACUUUGUUUCCUCAUCAAAAAAACUUACGUUAAAAAGAUUGCAUGCAUCCCAGGGAAAAUAGUCAAGAAGAAGUCGGACUUUUCCUUACAAAAACAAGGAACGUGUUAAGUUGACUUCAAAGAAAAAAGGAACAUGUUAAGUUAAAAAAAAACAAGAAACCUGUUAAGUUAGAAAAAAAACAAGGAACGUGUUGUCCAAGGAAAGAGGAAGAAGAAAGUUGGUUUCAGUGAGUCAUGUGAAUUGUAGAAGAAAUAGGUAAACAAGGCUAGCUCCCCUGGGGGUUGUCAUAUUACAAUCAUUUGUAUUACUUUCCUACCAAUCCUGAACUAGCUAUGACCCUUAUAGCGAGCCUCACUUUACCGUUUCAGAUAGAAACAUAUGGCAGUACUGUACGUACUCGAGAGAAGUUGCUCCCUUCCAUGACAAGGACUAGUUAAGUUUCACUAUCUCCUUUCUCAACUCACUAUAUCCCAGCGGCGGAUUAAUAUAUAUACGUUGAAAAGCAAGGGGAUAAAUUGAACGAAAUGAAGAGCAAUCCAGAAUCCUAUUUUGUAUAUGUGUCAAAUCUUACAAAAAAAAAAGAAUACACACACGUACGUUCAUGCACUUGGAAAAUAGAAAAAAAAGGAACAUCACGUAUGUAUACACUUCGGAAACUCAUUACAUGACCAUGUCUGAUAUACUCCUCUAAUGCUUCAUAUUAGUGCCUAAUAAUUUAUAUUUAAAAUUCAAUUUACUGAUCAAAUAUCCCCACUGUUUAAAUUUUAAUUUGGCACAUUGUUUGGCUAUAGUAUGAACCUAAAUUUCCUCUUAUUAUUAUAUAUCAUGGUAAUAAUCCAAAGGCGACUAAUCUGCGCCGGCGCACCGGCGCAAUCAAUUCCGCUGGACACAGCGCGGCCGUUUGAUUAGAUUGCAUUUAACCGUCAGAUCUGGAAUCGUUUUCUUUCCAAUUAAACAGAUUCAACCAAACAGCAGAGGGGAAAACAAAGCAGCGCCGCCGCCAACACUAGCCAUGGACGACCGAUGUAGCAAAACCUUGAAGAACCGCCGCCGGUCGCCACCCUCGCUGCUGGUCGCCGCCCUCGCCGUCGGUCACCGCCGGUCGCCGCCCUCGCCGCACUCGUGGUUGCAGGCUUGCAUCUCCGCCUCCGGGGGACAUGGCCGCAUGUCCGGUAGCGCCGGCCGCCGGCCGGUGCACCUGUCGUUGUGGUCGCGCUGUACCUCGCCGUGUGCCCUCCCGUGGCUCUUGCUGGUUCCAACAAAAAACGAUACCGGUUGUAGCAAAAAAAUAUCGCUUCCAGCAAAAAAGCUUACCGCUACAGCCCGCCAUCGUCAUUGUAGCAAAAAUGUUAACCCGAUGUAGCUUCUGUGGUUGCCGACUGCAGCAAAAAAUGACAUGGUUGUAGCAAAACACAAAAGAAAAACGCCGGCCGGCCUCUGUGUAUGGUGGUAACAAACCCCAUAGCCGGUGGUAGCGAAAAACUUCAUAGUGCGCAGCAAAAAAAUGUUGUCACCCGUCGUCGAGGUUGCAUCAUCUUCAUGAAUUAUGUCGCAAAAAAACGUUGUCGCCGGUAGUAGCAAAUGAAGCCGCCGGUAGUAGCAAAACAAGACACUGGUUCCAGCCAAAAAAAAUCAGCGACAGAACCUUUGGUUGGUUCCAACAAAAAAACUUGUCGGUCGUAACAUCCCUCGCCGCCGGAUGUAGCAUCUCCCGGGGCUGGUUGCAACACUCCAUAAAAAAAAGUUGUCUAUGAGCGCAUCCAUGGUGACUGCUGCACCGUCAGCAACGAGGGGAAGAGGAGGCAAUGAAAAUCGUUCGAGUCAUAGCUCCACAGGACGCGGCUGCAGCAUGGGGAGUCCAAAAAUCUGUCACAAGCAACAUGCGCCUCGCCAUCCUCCUGCGCAGGAGAGAGAAGAAAAAGGAAUAAGAGGAAGAAGAAAGAAAACGGGAGAAAGAAAAAAGAAACGAUUGGUGGUUGGCUCAGGCAAUUAGUCAAGCGAGGGGCACGCGGGGCGCAGGAUACAGCGCAAUCGAACGAAGCGCGCGCGUCCGGCGAAGACUCGGCCGGACUGCCGGCUGGAAACGUUUCCCUAAUCCAAAGGCUUUAUCUGAAUGACAACUCGUCUGGGUUACCGGCUAACUAGAAAAAAGAUAAAUAUGCUAGAGAAUUUCAUAAUAAUUAGAAAUAUCUAGCCUUUAAUUAUGUAAAUCAGAAAAUCACAACCGUUGGAUUUACUUUAAAGGUAAAUUUCUCUAAAUUCCCACCAUUGCCAGUAUGUAGAAACAUGUGCUGCUUCAAUUCUCCCAUAAUCACCAAUCAAUCAACAACACAAAACAUACCUCAGUUAAAAAAACUGAACAAAAAAAAAGAAAAAAGAAGAAAGGACAAGAUACACGCAUGUACACGACAGCCUUGGCUUGAAACACAUCAGUAGAUCAAGUGUCCGCCUCCCUUACACAGAAUAAACUCAUAGGGAAGAAAAUAAUUGUGCAACCUAACCUUAUACGUACUAUUCUAUCCUCACGUCCCAUGAGGUUUACUAGCCUACCGCCGCCGCAUCAUGCCAUCCCCUCCUUUCAGCUCCCAUGCUUUCCAGCACCCUCAUUGCCGCGCCACUACUUGCCUAGGGAUAUUGCUGCUCAGACCGUGGAGCUUAACCUGCUUCUUCUUCAGCAAAUAUGGUACUGCUUUAGGAUCCUUCUCACAUCAGCACGUAUGGGCCUCAUUAUACUGCAGCUCCUGGACCUCCUACAAUUGGUUGGCUAUGGCCAGUUGAUCGAUGUGCCGAAGUCCAGGUCUGUUUGCUGGCACAUAUGCUUUGGAAAUAGGCCACUAUGUUUGUACUUCAAAAUUGUUUCUGUAUUCUUGAGUGGUACAUCCUUUUAAGCGCCAGUUUUUUAUGUCAAUUCAUGCUGACAACACUUAACCUAGCCUUUCAUCUUCACGUACUAAAUACAGGAGCAAGUAAAAACAACAGACCACCUAAUUGCUCUGCAUGUACUACAUAGGAAAAUUUGUCAUGUUCUACGAUCGCACCAUCCCACACUUCUCUCUUGGUAUGGGCGCCAAUUGAGGGAUUGAUAAAACUGAAACGAAGACGUCACGGGGCUGGAAGUACCGCUAGCCUGGUUUGCACUGCAACCUACUCAACGCCAUCAGAAACUAGCAACUGAGGCAGUUGUUGAUCGAUUCUCUCAAAUUGCUCUCAUGUAAGUACUACCCCUUGCAUGUGCGUACAUACCUUUGUUCCAUUCUCAAACAGAUAGAACAUUUAUGAUCGGUGCAUGGCUAUUUUUCAUCACAUGACAUCCAGAUAACAAGCAUGAAAGGACUACAUUGGAGAUCAAAAAAUAUUGGUUCCUGGCUAGAGGACCACUACCUAUGGACUUGUCUCCAUAGAAUUUGUUCCCAAGAUGUUAUUUUAAUUAACCUCUUUAGCUUUCUUCCAUUGCAAACGGUGAUGUGCAUCUUGGUAUAUACGUGACCAUCUUGCACAUGUAUACACAAGAGGCUCAGACGGAGGUGCUGGAUUCUGGACGAGGGAAUAUGAAGCAGCAGUGAGCGAAGAGUAAAUAAUGGUGGGAGUACCGAUUGGUGUUAUGAAGAAAAAUGCCAUCCAAAGAUUGAUUAGUGUCAUGGAAGAUUAAUUUCUGAAUGCGAAUAUAUAUGUUACAUUGGUUUGGAUCUUUUUGAGAUAAUUGCACAUAAAUUAGGUUCUUUCUUAUUUCAUAUGUAUACCUUAUUUCAGUAAAAGUUCACAACGAACUUAGUAGGACAAAUAUAAUUUUGUUUGUUCUUUCUGUUGUCCGCCACCAAAGCUCAAUUUGAACUCUCUAGAAAUGGACAAUGAUUUAUGCAUUCUAUAUCUUCUUGAUUCAUUAGCCAUGACAAGGAAAUAAAAGGAUUGACUGAUAUAGCAUAACUUUGGAACGAUCUGUUCGUAGAGGUUACUACAAAUUAGAGUAGUGUCUGCUGGAAUUUUGCCAGUAGGUCUUUGGCCCAAAGCCCAACUAAAAUUCUGAAAUUCUCUUGGCUCAUUUAUGCACACAUGUGAGUUGAGUGAGUGAGACUAAAGUUUAGUCCCACCCCGGAGUUGAGAGAGAGUUGCACCUCUUUAUAAGGUGAGCUCUUCUACCACUUGUAUGAGCAUGAGAAGAGGAGACCUACACGCGCGCUCCUCCUCCUCGCUCGCCACGCCUCGCCGCGCCGCGCCGCGGGUUGCGGGAUUGAGCCGAGCCGAGGACGUUGUCUAUAUUUUUGCUGCUCGGGAAAAAUUAAUGAGUCAUUAAUUAAUAAUUAAUGGACGCAUUAAUUACUGAACCGUUUCCGAUUUUUUUGGAUCGUGACGAAUCGGACGCGGGGUUUACUCCCAGGACCUACCCGGCCCGCACUAUAUAGUCAGGCAGACGUCUACCCUAGCCGCCGCCGCUUCAUAUGGUUUCUCACCAUCGUUACAGAUCAUUGCGCCACCAAGCAAGUUUUCUCCAUCCCUCCUUUCGGCGUGCACCGGGAGAAGGGAUAGCAGACCUCCGGAACCCCGCCUCUCGUGAUCCUGUACGGGAGAGGGGCGAUCAGGCUUUUGGGGAGCACACUCGCACUACUGUUGGCAGCGACGACUUCGCAAACGAGGACUUCUUCCCCGACCUCGGCAACCUCAUCCUCGACGACAUGGGCGACAACGUCAACGCCGGCGGUGCUACACCCACUGCACCGUAUGUUAUUCUCUCCUUCUUGUUCGAGGUCGUGGUAGAAUUCAAAGUAUAUGUGCCCUAGAUGUGAUCUGUUCAUCUACUAUGGUAGUUCGCAUGAUUAGUUUAAUCUCUGCUAUUGCUGUCAUGAUCUAUUUCCUAUUUAUUCGGAUUAAAUCUCGUAGUAAUUUGCUCAUUUUUCCAACAAUCCAAAAACCUGAUUAAUGGAAAUUUACUCCGAGUGGUUUUGCUGCGCAUCUGAAAGCCGCUUGCCUUUAAGGGGGCGCAAUAUAAGAGGUGGCUCACAAGAGUAGUCUACUGGUUUCAGAUCAUGGGCUGCUAUGACGCCACCAAGGGCAAGCCUGAGGGCGAUCUUAAUCCAGCACAGCUGGAUGCUAUGACAACGGCAAGAACACGUGGGCUACGCUCGAGGCCAAGUUUGGUGCCUCGGACGCCGGCAGCGAGUUGUACGUCAUGGAGCAAUUCUAUGACUCCAAGAUGACUGAUGAGCGCCCUGUUGUACAGCAGGCUCAUGAGAUACAGUUGCUCGCAAAAGAACUUGAGUACUUCAUGUUGGGGAACGUAGUAAUUUCAAAAAAAUUCCUACGCACACGCAAGAUCAUGGUGAUGCAUAGCAACGAGGGGGAGAGUCUGAUCUACGUACCCUUGUAGAUCGCAACGGAAGUGUUGACACAGCGUAGAGGAAGUAGUCGUACGUCUUCUUCCCGAUCCGACCGAUCCAAGCACCGUUACUCCGGCACCUCCGAGUUCUUAGCACACGUUCAGCUCGAUGACGAUCCCCGGGCUCCGAUCCAGCAAAGCUUCGGGGAGGAGUUCCGUCAGCACGACGGCGUGGUGACGAUCUUGAUGUUCUACCGACGCAGGGCUUCACCUAAGCACUACAACGGUAUGAUCGAGGUGGAAUAUGGUGGCAGGGGGCACCGCACACGGCUAAGGAACGAUCUCAAUGAUCAACUUGUGUGUCUAGAGGUGCCCCCUGCCCCCGUAUAUAAAGGUUGCCAGGGGGAGGGCUGGCCGGCCAAGCUAUGGAGGCGCAGGAGGAGUCCUACUCCUACCGGGAGUAGGACUCCCCCCAAUCCUAUUCCUAAUAGGACUCCCAAGUGGAAAGAGAGGGAGAGAGGUGGCCGGCCACCUCUCCUAGUCCUAAUAGGACUAGGGGAGGGGGGAGGCGUGCAGCCCACCUUGGGCUGCCCCUUUCACCUUGCCACUAAGGCCCAAUAAGGCCCAUUUGGUUCCCGGGGGGUUCCGGUAACCUCCCGGUACUCCGGUAAAAUCCCGAUUUCUCCCGAAACACUUCCGAUGUCCAAACAUAGGCUUCCAAUAUAUCAAUCUUGAUGUCUCGACCAUUUCGAGACUCCUCAUGAUGUCCGCGAUCACAUCCGGGACUCCGAACAACCUUCGGUACAUCAAAAUGCAUAAACUCAUAAUAACUGUCAUCGUAACGUUAAGCGUGCGGACCCUACGGUUCGAGAACAAUGUAGACAUGACCGAGACACGUCUCCGGUCAAUAACCAAUAGCGGGACCUGGAUGCCCAUAUUGGCUCCUACAUAUUCUACGAAGAUCUUUAUCGGUCAGACCGCAUAACAACAUACGUUGUUCCCUUUGUCAUCGGUAUGUUACUUGCCCGAGAUUCGAUCAUCGGUAUCCAAUACCUAGUUCAAUCUCGUUACCGGCAAGUCUCUUUACUCGUUCUGUAAUACAUCAUCCCGCAACUAACUCAUUAGUUGCAAUGCUUGCAAGGGUUGUAUAAUGUGCAUUACCGAGAGGGCCCAGAGGUACCUCUCCGACAAUCGGAGUGACAAAUCCUAUUCUCGAAAUACGCCAACCCAACAUCUACCAUUGGAAACACCUGUAGUACUCCUUUAUAAUCACCCAGUUACGUUGUGACGUUUGGUAGCACCCAAAGUGUUCCUCCGGCAAACGGGAGUUGCAUAAUCUCAUAGUCAUAGGAACAUGUAUAAGUCAUGAAGAAAGCAAUAGCAACAUACUAAACGAUCGGGUGCUAAGCUAAAGGAAUGGGUCAUGUCAAUCAGAUCAUUCAUCUAAUGAUGUGAUCCCAUUAAUCAAAUAACAACUCUUUGUCCAUGGUUCGGAAACAUAACCAUCUUUGAUUAACGAGCUAGUCAAGUAGAGGCAUACUAGUGACACUCUGUUUGUCUAUGUAUUCACACAUGUAUUAUGUUUCCGGUUAAUACAAUUCUAGCAUGAAUAAUAAAUAUUUAUCAUGAUAUAAGGAAAUAAAUAAUAACUUUAUUAUUGCCUCUAGGGCAUAUUUCCUUCAGUCUCCCACUUGCACUAGAGUCAAUAAUCUAGAUCACAUCACCAUGUGAUUAACAUCGAUAGUUCACAUCAUCAUGUGAUUAACACCCAUAGUUCACAUCGCCAUGUGACCAACACCCAAAGGGUUUACUAGAUUCAGUAAUCUAGUUCACAUUGCUAUGUGAUUAACACCCAAAGAGUACUAAGGUGUGAUCAUGUUUUGCUUGUGAGAGAAUCUUAGUCAACGGGUCUGCCACAUUCAGAUCCACAUGUAUUUUGCAAAUUUCUAUGUCAACAAUGCUCUGCAUGGAGCUACUUUAGCUAAUUGCUCCCACUUUCAAUAUGUAUCUAGACCGAGACUUAGAGUCAUCUAGAUUAGUGUCAAAACUUGCAUCGGCGUAACCCUUUACGACGAAUCUUUUUAUCACGUCCAUAAUCGAGAAACAUAUCCUUAUUUCACUAAGGAUAAUUCUGACCGAUGUCCAGUGAUCUACUCCUAGAUCACUAUUGUACUCCCUUGCCAAAUCAGUGCCGGGUAUACAAUAGAUUUGGUAUACAGCAUGUCAUACUUUAUAGAACCUAUGGCCAAGGCAUAGGGAAUGACUUUCAUUCUCUUUCUAUCUUCUGCCGUGGUUGGGCUUUGAGUCUUACUCAACUUCACACCUUAUAAUACAGGCAAGAACUCUUUCUUUGACUGCUCCAUUUUGAACUACUUCAAAAUCUUGUCAAGGUAUGUACUCAUUGAAAAAACUUAUCAAGCGUCUUGAUCUAUCUCUAUAGAUCUUGAAGCUCAAUAUGUAAGCAGCUUCACCGAAGUCUUUCUUUGAAAAACUCCUUUCAAACACUCCUUUAUGCUUUAUAGAAUAAUUCUACAUUAUUUCCGAUUAACAAUAUGUCAUUCACAUAUACUUAUCAGAAAUGUUGUAGUGCUACCACUCACUUUCUUGUAAAUACAGGCUUCACCGCAAGUCUGUAUAAAACUAUAUGCUUUGAUCAACUCAUCAAAGCAUAUAUUCCAACUCCGAGAUGCUUGCACCAGUCCACAGAUGGAUCGCUGGAGCUUGCACAUUUUGUUAGCACCUUUCGGAUUGACAAAACCUUCUGUUGCAUCAUGUACAACUCUUCUUUAAUAAAUCCAUUAAGGAAUGCAGUUUUGUUUAUCCCUUUGCCAGAUUUCAUAAAAUGCGGCAAUUACUAACAUGAUUCGGACAGACUCAAGCAUAGAUACGAGUGAGAAGCUCUCAUCGUAGUCAUCACCUUGAACUUGUCGAAAAACUUUUGCGACAAUUCUAGCUUUGUAGAUAGUAACACUACUAUCAGCGUCCGUCUUCCUCUUGAAGAUCCAUUUAUUCUCAAUUGCUUGCCGAUCAUCGGGCAAGUCAACCAAAGUCCAAACUUUGUUCUCAUACAUGGAUCAUAUCUCAGAUUUCAUGGCCUCAAACCAUUUCGCGGAAUCUGGGCUCAUCAUCGCUUCCUCAUAGUUCGUAGGUUCGUCAUGGUCAAGUAACAUGACCUCCAGAACAGAAUUACCGUACCACUCUGGUGCGGAUCUCACUCUAGUUUACCUACGAGAUUCCGUAGUAACUUGAUCUGAAGUUACAUGAUCAUCAUCAUUAGCUUCCUCACUAAUUUGUGUAGUAGUCACAAGAACAGAUUUUUGUGAUGAACUACUUUCCAAUAAGGUAGAAGGUACAAUUACCUUAUCAAGUUUUCUACUUUCCUCCCACUUACUUCUUUCAAGAGAAACUCCUUCUCUAGAAAGGAUCCAUUAUAAGCAACGAAUGUCUUGCCUUAGGAUCUGUGAUAGAAGGUGUACCCAACAGUCUCCUUUGGGUAUCCUAUGAAGACAUAUUUCUCCGAUUUGGGUUUGAGCUUAUCAGGAUGAAACUUUUUCUCAUAAGCAUCGCAACCCCAAACUUCAAGAAACGACAACUUUGGUUUCGUGCCAAACCAUAGUUCAUAAGGCGUCGUCUCGACGGAUAUAGAUGGUGCCCCUUUUUUUAACGUGAAUGCAGCUGUCUCUAAUGCAUGACCCCAAAAACGAUAGUGGUAAAUCGGUAAGAAACAUCAUAGAUUGCACUAUAUCCAAUAAAGUACGGUUAUGGCGUUCGGACACACCAUUAUGCUGUGGUGUUCCAGGUGGCGUGAGUAGUGAAACUAUUUCACAUUGUUUUAACUGAAGACCAAACUUGUAACUGAAAUACUCUUUUCCACGAUCAGAUCGUAGAAACUUUAUUUUCUUGUUACGAUGAUUUUCCACUUCACUCUGAAAUUCUUUGAACUUUUCAAAUGUUUCCGACUUAUGUUUUAUCAAAUAGAUAUACUCAUAUCUGCUCAAAUCAUCUGUGAAGAUCAGAAAAUAAUGAUACCUAUCGCGAGCCUCAAUAUUCAUCGGACCACAUACAUCAGUAUGUAUGAUUUCCAACAAAUCUGUUGCUCGCUCCAUUGUUCAGAAGAACAAAGUCUUAGUCAUCUUGCCCAAAAGGCAUGGUUCGCAAGCAUCAAGUGAUUCCGAAAGCCCAUCAGCAUGGAGCGCUUUAUACCAAUAUGACCUAAACGGCAGUGCCACAAAUAAGUUGCACUAUCAUUAUUAACUCUGCAUCCUUUGGUUUCAAUAUUAUGAAUAUGUGUAUCACUACGAUCGAGAUCCAACGAACUUGUUUCAUUGGGUGUAUGACCAUCGAAGGUUUUAUUCAUGUAAACAGAACAACAAUUAUUCUCUGACUUUAAUGAAUAACCGUAUUGCAAUAAAUAUGAUCAAAUCAUAUUCAUGCUCAACGCAAAAACCAAAUAACACUUAUUUAAGUUCAACACUAAUCCCGAAAGUAUAGGGGAGUGUGCGAUGAUGAUCAUAUCAAUCUUGGAACUACUUCCAACACACAUCGUCACUUCACCCUUAACUAGUCUCUAUUUAUUCUGCAACUCCUGUUUUGAGUUACUACUCUUAGCAACUGAACCAAUAUCAAAUACUAAGGGGUUGCUAUAAACACUAGUAAAGCACACAUCAAUAACAUGUAUAUCAAAUAUACUUUUGUUCACUUUGCCAUCCUUCUUAUCCGCCAAUCACUUGGGGUAGUUCCGCUUCUAGUGACCAGUCCCUUUGCAGUAGAAGCACUUAGUCUCAGGCUUAGGAUCAGACUUGGGCCUCUUCACUUGAGCAGCAACUUGCUUGCCGUUCUUCUUGAAGUUCCCCUUCUUCCCUUUGCCCUUUUCUUGAAACUAGUGGUCUUGUCAACCAUCAACACUUGAUGUUUUUCUUGAUUUCUACCUUCGUUUAUUUCAGCAUCACGAAGAGCUUGGGAGUUGUUUCUGUUAUCCCUUGCAUAUUAUAGUUCAUCACGAAGUUCUACUAACUUGGUGAUGGUGACUAGAGAAUUCUGUCAAUCACUAUCUUAUCUGGAAGAUUAACUCCCACUUGAUUCAAGCGAUUUUAGUACCCAGACAAUCUGAGCACAUGCUCACUAGUUGAGCGAUUCUCCUCCAUCUUUUAGCCAUAGAACUUGCUGGAAACUUCAUAUCUCUCAACUCGGGUAUUUGCUUGAAAUAUUAACUUCAACUCUUGGAACAUCUCAUAUGGUCUAUGACGUUCAAAACGUCUUUGAAGUCCCGAUUCUAAGCCAUUAAGCAUGGUGCACUAAACUAUCAAGUAGUCAUCAUAUUGAGCUAGCCAAACGUUCAUAACGUCUGCAUCUGCUCCUGCAAUAGGUUUGUCACCUAGCGGUGCAUCAAGGACAUAAUUCUUCUGUGCAGCAAUGAGGAUAAAACUCAGAUCACGGAUCCAAUCCGCAUCAUUGCUACUAACAUCUUUCAACACAAUUUUCUCUAGGAACAUAUCAAAAUAAACACAGGGAAGCAACAACGCGAGCUAUUGAUCUAUAACAUGAUUUACAAAAUACUACCAGGACUAAGUUCAUGAUAAAUUUAAGCUCAAUUAAUCAUGUUACUUAAGAACUCCCACUUAGAUAGACAUCCCUCUAAUCCUCUAAGUGAUCACGUGAUCCAAAUCAACUAAACCAUAACCGAUCAUCACGUGAAAUGGAUUAGUUUUCAAUGGUGAACAUCAUUAUGUUGAUGAUAUCUACUAUAUGAUUCACGCUCGACCUUUCGGUCUCCGUGUUCCGAGGCCAUAUCUUUAUAUGCUAGGCUCGUCAAGUUUAACCUGAGUAUUCUGCGUGUGCAAAACUGGCUUGCACCAGUUGUAGAUGGACGUAGAGCUUAUCACACCCGAUCAUCACGUGGUGUCUGGGCACGACGAACUUUGGCAACGGUGCAUACUCAGGGAGAACACUUCUUGAUAAUUUAGUGAGAGAUCAUCUUAUAAUGCUACCGUCAAUCAAAGCAAGAUAAGAUGCAUAAAAAGAUAAACAUCACAUGCAAUCAAUAUAAGUGAUAUGAUAUGGCCAUCAUCAUCUUGUGCUUGUGAUCUCCAUCUCCGAAGCACCGUCAUGAUCACCAUCGUCACCGGCGCGACACCUUGAUCUCCAUCGUAGCAUCGUUGUCGUCUCGCCAAUCUUAUGCUUCCACGACUAUCGCUACCGCUUAGUGAUAAAGUAAAGCAUUACAUCGCGAUUGCAUUGCAUACAAUAAAGCGACAACCAUAUGGCUCCUGCCAGUUGCCGAUAACUCGGUUACAAAACAUGAUCAUCUCAUACAAUAAAAUUUAGCAUCAUGCCUUGACCAUAUCACAUCACAACAUGCCCUGCAAAAACAAGUUAGACGUCCUCUACUUUGUUGUUGCAAGUUUUACGUGGCUGCUACGGGCUUAAGCAAGAACUCAUCUCACCUACGCAUCAAAACCACAACGAUAGUUUGUCAAAUAGAUUCCGUUUUAACCUUCUCAAGGACCGGGCGUAGCCACACUUGGUUCAACUAAAGUUGGAGAGACAGUCGCCCGCAAGCCAUCUAUGUGCAAAGCACGUCGAGGGAACCGGUCUCGCGUAAGCGUACGCGUAAGGUUGGUCCGGGUCGUCUCGUCCAACAAUACCGCCGAACCAAAGUAUGACAUGCUGGUAGGCAGUAUGACUUGUAUCGCCCACAACUCACUUGUGUUCUACUCGUGCAAAUAAUAUCAAACCAUAAAACCUAGGCUCGGAUGCCACUGUUGGGGAACGUAGUAAUUUCAAAAAAUUUCCUACGCACACGCAAGAUCAUGGUGAUGCAUAGCAACGAGGGGGAGAGUCUGAUCUACGUACCCUUGUAGAUCGCAACGGAAGCGUUGACACAACGUAGAGGAAGUAGUCGUACGUCUUCUUCCCGAUCCGACCGAUCCAUGCACCGUUACUCCGGCACCUCUGAGUUCUUAGCACACGUUCAGCUCGAUGACGAUCCCCGGGCUCCGAUCCAGCAAAGCUUCGGGGAGGAGUUCCGUCAGCAUGACAGCGUGGUGACGAUCUUGAUGUUCUACCGACGCAGGGCUUCGGCUAAGCACUACAACGGUAUGGUCGAGGUGGAAUAUGGUGGCAGGGGGCACUGGACACGGCUAAGGAACGAUCUCAAUGAUCAACUUGUGUGUCUAGAGGUGCCCCUACCCUCGUAUAUAAAGGUUGCCAGGGGAGGGCUGGCCGGCCAAGCUAUGGAGGCGCAGGAGGAGUCAAACUCCUACCGGGAGUAGGACUCCCCCCCCCCAAUCUUAUUCCUAAUAGGACUCCCAAGGGGAAAGAGAGGGAGAGAGGUGGCCGGCCACCUCUCCUAGUCCUAAUAGGACUAGGGGAGGGGGGAGGCGCGCAGGCCACCUUGGGCUGCCCCUUUCACCUUUCCACUAAGGCCCAAUAAGGCCCAUUUGGUUCCCGGGGGUUCCGGUAACCUCCCGGUACUCCGGUAAAAUCCCGAUUUCUCCCGGAACACUUCCGAUGUCCAAACAUAGGCUUCCAAUAUAUCAAUCUUUAUGUAUCGACCAUUUCGAGACUCCCCGUCAUGUCCAGGAUCACAUCCGGGACUCCGAACAACCUUCGGUACAUCAAAAUGCAUAAACUCAUAAUAACUGUCAUCGUAACGUUAAGCGUGCGGACCCUACGGUUCGAGAACAAUGUAGACAUGACCGAGACACGUCUCCGGUCAAUAACCAAUAGCGGGACCUAGAUGCCCAUAUUGGCUCCUACAUAUUCUACGAAGAUCUUUAUCGGUCAGACCGCAUAACAACAUACGUUGUUCCCUUUGUCAUCGGUAUGUUACUUGCCUGAGAUUCGAUCGUCGGUAUCCAAUACCUAGUUCAAUCUCGUUACCGGCAAGUCUCUUUACUCAUUCUGUAAUACAUCAUCUCGCAACUAACUCAUUAGUUGCAAUGCUUGCAAGGCUUGUAUAAUGUGCAUUACCGAGAGGGCCCAGAGGUACCUCUCCGACAAUCGGAGUGACAAAUCCUAUUCUCGAAAUACGCCAACCCAACAUCUACCAUUGGAAACACCUGUAGUACUCCUUUAUAAUCACCCAGUUACAUUGUGAUGUUUGGUAGCACCCAAAGUGUUCCUCCGGCAAACGGGAGUUGCAUAAUCUCAUAGUCAUAGGAACAUGUAUAAGUCAUGAAGAAAGCAAUAGCAACAUACUAAACGAUCGGGUGCUAAGCUAAUGGAAUGGGUCAUGUCAAUCAGAUCAUUCAUCUAAUGAUGUGAUCCCAUUAAUCAAAUAACAACACUUUGUCCAUGGUUAGGAAACAUAACCAUCUUUGAUUAACGAGCUAGUCAAGUAGAGGCAUACUAGUGACACUCUGUUUGUCUAUGUAUUCACACAUGUAUUAUGUUUCUGGUUAAUACAAUUCUAGCAUGAAUAAUAAAUAUUUAUCAUGAUAUAAGGAAAUAAAUAAUAACUUUAUUAUUGCCUGUAGGGCAUAUUUCCUUCACUUCAAGUGUGUGUUGCCGAACAAAUUUGUUGCCGGAGGCAUCAUUGCCAAGCUUCCACCUUCGUGGAACAAUUUUGCUACUUCCCUGAAACACAAGAGACAGGAGUUUUUCGUUGCGGAUCUCAUUGGUACUCUUGAUGUUGAAGAGAAGGCGAGAGCAAAGGAUACACGUGCUCGAGUUGCUGAGGGAGGUUCUAGUGCCCACAUGGUACAGAAGAAGAUCUUCCAGCCCAACAAGUUCAAAAACAACAAGAACAAAACUUAGGGCAAAGGCAAGUUUGAUACAAAGAACAAGCCAUCACAUUCUACCAACUUCAAGAAGAACUCUCAUAAGAAGGGGAAGGGACUUUGCCAUGUCUGCGGUGAUCCUAAUCACUGGGCUCCGAAGUGUCCUAACCGCUUUGAGGAGCGCGAACAUGAGAAGAGCGGCAAGUCUGCUAAUGUUGUCAUCGGUGAUACUGAUAUGAAGGAAUCAGGGUACGGUAUUUUUCCUACCAUCCUUUCAGUAUUCCAAAUCCCUGAUUGGUUAAUUGACAUCGGUGCCAAUGUACAUGUUUGUGCUGAUGCCUCCAUGUUUUCUUCUUACCAGGCCACUUGGACUUCUCCUGUGCUGAUGGGGAACGGGUCACAUGCCAUCGUUCGAGGUGUUGGUGCGGUCAAUCUGAAGUUUACUUCGGGGAAGACCGUGCGUCUGAAGAACGUUCAUCAUGAGCCGUCCAUCAAUAAAAAUCUCGUUAGCGGUUCCCGUUUAUGUCGAGAUGGUUUUAAGUUGGUUUUCGAAUCCAAUAAAGUUAUAAUUUCUAAGUAUGGACAAUUUGUUGGAAAAGGCUAUGAGAGCGGAGGCUUGUUUCGCCUGUCUUUGUCAGAUAUUUGCACUAAAGUUAUUAAUAAUGUUUGCCACAACAAUGAGUCUGAUAUUUGGCAUUCACGACUUUGUCACAUUAACUUUGGUUGCAUGACCCGGCUAGCCAAUAUGAAUUUAAUUCCGAAAUCUCUACUGUCAAAGGCUCUAAGUGCCAAGUAUGUGUGAAAGCUAAGCAACCUCGCAAAUCCCAUAAGACUGCAGAGGCGACAGACUUGGCGCCACUAGAGCUUAUACAUUCUGAUAUUUGUGAGAUGAAUGGCGUGUGGACAAAAGGUGGAAAGAGAUACUUCAUGACGUUGAUUGAUGACUCCACUAGAUAUUGUUAUGUGUAUCUUAUGAAAUCAAAAGAUGAGGCUUUGGCUUUCUUCAAAAACUAUAAAGCUGAGGCAGAGAACCAACUUGAUCGAAAAAUUAAACGGCUUAGGUCCGAUCAUGGUGGAGAGUAUUUUUCCAAUGAAUUUGAUCUAUUUUGUGCGGAACAUGGUAUAAUCCAUGAGAGGAUGCCUCCCUACUCACCCCAGUCAGAUGCGGUAGCCGAAAGAAAGAACCAAACUCUAACUGAUAUGGUUAACACCAUGUUAGACACUUCGGGUCUAUCCAAGGAAUGGUGGGGGGAGGCGCUAAUGACUGCGUGUCAUGUCCUAAACCGAGUUCCCACAAAGCAUAAGACCAUGACUCCAUUUGAGGAAUGUUAAAGGAAAAGGUUGAAACUCUCUUACCUACGUACUUGGGGUUGUUUGGCGAAAGUCAAUAUACCAAUUCCCAAGAAGCGCAAGCUUGGACCAAAAACCGUGGGUUGUGUUCUUCUUGGGUAUGCUUUUCAUAGCAUCGGCUAUAGAUUUUUGAUAAUAAAAUCUGAGGUAUCCGACAUGCAUGUUGGUACGAUUAUGGAGUCGAAUGAUGCAACUUUCUUUGAGGACAUAUUUCCUAUGAAGGAUAUGUUGAGUUCAUCAAAUCAGGAGACACCUACUCCACCUAGUGAGGAAUUCACUGUAAUUCCUGAACCCACCAUUGCGAUGGAACACAUAGAGAAUCCUGUUGAGGGUGACAAUGGAACUCCUGUGAGGAGUAAGAGACAUAGGACUACAAAGUCCUUUGGUGAUGAUUUCAUUGUGUACCUCGUGGAUGACACACCCAGGACUAUUUCAGAAGCCUGUGCAUCUCUUGAUGCUGACUACUGGAAGGAAGCUGUACAUAGCGAGAUGGAUUCCAUCUUAGGUAACAGAACCUGGGAGAUCACUGACCGUCCUUAUGGGUGAAAACCUGUAGGAUGUAAGUGGGUGUUCAAGAAGAAGCUUAGACCUGAUGGUACGAUUGAAAAGUACAAGGCACGGCUUGUGGCCAAGGGUUAUACCCAGAAAGAAGGUGAAGACUUCUUUGAUACUUACUCACCCGUGGCUAGAAUGACCACAAUUUGGGUGCUACUAUCACUUGUUGCCUCACAUGGUCUUCUCGUUCAUCAAAUGGACGUUAAGACAGCUUUCCUCAAUGGAGAGUUGAAGGAGGAAAUUUACAUGGAUCAGCCAGAUGGUUUUGUAGUACCUGGUUAGUAAGGAAAGUUGUGCAAGUUAUUAAAGUCUUUAUAUGGCCUUAAACAAGCUCCUAAAGAGUGGCAUGAGUAGUUUGAAAGAACAUUAACUGCUGCCGGCUUUGUAGUAAACGAUGGUGACAAGUGCGUGUACUAUCGCUAUGGUGGUGGCGAAGGAGUUAUUCUUUGUCUGUAUGUCGACGACAUAUUGAUCUUUGGAACGAAACUUGAUUUAAUCAAGGAGGUUAAGGAUUUCUUAUCUCGCUAUUUUGAGAUGAAGGAUCUAGGAGUAGUUGAUGUUAUCUUAAACAUCAAGCUGUUGAGAGAUGAGAAUGAUGGGAUCACACUGCUUCAGUCUCACUAUGUGGAAAAGGUCUUGAGUCGUUUUGGGUAUAGCGACUGCACACCUUCUCCAACUACAUAUGAUGCUAGCAUGUUGCAUCGAAAGAAUCGACGGAUUGCUAGAGAUCAACUGAGGUAUUCUCAUAUUAUUGGCUCGCUUAUGAUUUGGCGAGUGCCACGAGGCCAAACAUCUCGUUUGCUGUUAGCAAGCUGAGUCGAUUUGUGUCAAAACUAGGAGAUGAUUAUUGGCAUGCGCUUGAGAGAGUUAUGCGCUAUUUGAAAGGCACCGCGAGCUAUGGGAUUCACUACACCGGGUAUCCAAGGGUACUGGAGGGUUAUAGUGACUCAAACUGGAUAUCUGAUGCUAAUGAGAUUAAGGCCACAAGUGGUUAUGUUUUUACACUUGGUGGUGGCGCUGUUUCUUGGAAGUCCUGCAAGCAGACCAUCUUAAUGAGGUCAACUAUGGAAGCAGAACUCACAACAUUAGAAACUGCUACUGUUGAAGCAGUGUGGCUUCGUGAGCUCUUGAUGGACUUUCCUAUGGUUGAAAAACCAAUACCCCCUAUCCCAAUGAACUGUGAUAAUCAAACUGUGAUCGUCAAGAUAAACAGUUCUAAGGACAAUAUGAAGUCCUCAAGGCAUGUGAAGAGGAGACUGAAAUCUGUUAGAAAAUUGAGGAACUCCGGAGUUAUUACGUUGGAUUAUAUCCAAACGUCAAAAAAAUUGGCAGAUCCCUUCACAAAGGGUCUAUCACGUAAUGUGAUAGAUAAUGCAUCGAUGGAGAUGGGUUUGAGACCCACCGCAUGAGUUGUCCAUAGUGGUAACCCACUCUUUGUGAUCGGAGAUCCCGUGAAGUAGAAGUGGGAGACAAGCUGUUGGUCAGCUGGGAGGAGAGUAUCCCUAUAUUACCUGUCCCACUCCAUGAAGAUGCAACACUCUCCUAAUCUGCAUGGCAGGUUGAUACUUAUCUUAAUGUGUUCCAAGUGGCUUAUUCGGGUAAGCAGAGAUGUUGUCCUGCGGAACAUCUUCUGAGGAACACACCUAUAUGAAUUUGAUUGUUAACGUCGCAGUCUGUGAGAAUUGGGUGUUCUCUAAUAAAUUCAUGAAAAGGCCCUGGAGUAUGACGUAUAAGCUCCACCCGCAGGGAAGCCUUGCGGCAGCCCAGUAUCGGUCAAGAAUUUGUGUGAAACUAGUCUCGCAGAAAAUUUGUAGUUCAAGGCAUAGUCCACUAUUCAAGUUGUGAUCUAGUGUAGCAUAAAUCUCUAAGUGGAAGUUCAACUUCAAAGUCUCCACUAAGCCCCGGUAUAUAAACAAUGUUUUGGAACUAAAUGAUGAGAUGUGCCAAUGAGACUUUGUGGGGGAUUGUUGGAAUUUUGCUAGUAUGCCUUUGGCCCAAAGCCCAACUAAAAUUCUGAAAUUCUCUUCGCCCAUUCAUGCACACAUGUGAGUGGAGUGAGUGAGACUAAAGUUUAGUCCCACCCCGGAAGUUGAGAGAGAGCACCUCUUUAUAAGGUGAGCUCUUCUACCACUUGUAUGAGCAUGAGAGUAGGAGACCUACACACGCGCUGCUCCUCCUCGCUCACCACGCCACGCCUGGUCACGACGCGCCGCGGGUUGCGGGAUUGAGCCGAGCCGAGGUCAGAGCUAUGCACGUUGUCUAUUUUUUGCUACCCCGGAAAAUUAAUGAGUCAUUAAUUAAUAAUUAAUGGACGUGUUAAUUACUAAACCGUUUCCGAUUCUUUUGGAUCAUGACGACUCGGACGUGGGGUUUACUCCCACGACCUACCAGGCCCGCACUAUAUAGUCCGGCAGACGUGUACCCUAGCUGUCGCCGCUUCGUAUGGUUUCUCACCACCGUUCCAGAUCAUUGCGUCGCCAAGCAAGUCUUCUCCAUCCCUCCUUUCGGCGUGCACCGGGAGAAGGGACAGCAGGCCUCCGGAACCCCGCCUCUCGUGAUCCUGUAUGGGAGAGGGGCGAUCAGGUUUUUGGGGAGCGCACUCGCGCGACUUCUGGCAGCGACGACUUCGCGAAUGACGACUUCUUCCCUGACCUCGGCAACCUCAUCCUCGACGACAUGGGCGACAACGUCAACGCCGGCGGUCCUGCACCCGCUGCACCGUAUGUUAUUCUAUCCUUCUUGUUCGAGAUCGUGGUAGAAUUCAGGUUUCUAGUAUAUGCCCUAGAUGUGAUCUGUUCAUCUACUAUGCUAGUUCGCAUGAUUAGUUUAAUCUCUGCUAUUGCUGUCAUGAUCUAUUUCCUAUUUAUUCGGAUUAAAUCUCGUAGUAAUUUGCUCAUUUUUCCAAUAGUACCAUCUAAUAGAUGAUGUAAAUCUCCUCUAGUUUGACGUUGUUGAGCUAAUUUACAAAAAAAAAACCUCAUCAUUAUUGGACGUCCUUAACAGCUCAAGAACAAGUUGGGGUCGAACUAAUGGAUUUUACACUUUUACAUUAAAGGUUUAGCUAAAGCUAGCAGGUGUUUUUAAACCUGAAUUUUUUUUUCCUCCUGAAUUUCUUUGUAUUUUCUUAUUGACACUAUUUAUACAAUCAUCUGACAAAGAUUAGCUAAAGAUGUUUGUAGAUACGUUGAAACCUGAAAAGCUUCUUUGGUUAUCCUUUUAAUAGUUCUACGUUUAAUUUCUCAUAGGUCAUAAUUCUUAUGUAAUACCAAGAUGCAUUGUGGUAGUGUACAUGUGUUCAAUUCAGGUUGUUAUUCACAAUUUGCGACAAAAUUUAGCUCACGCUACAUUUAAAUAUGUUGAAAUGUGAAUGCUCUUUUUCUUCUCCUUUCUACACCUUGCAUCGGAUUGCAUCCCUUUAGUUAUCCAACAUUUUGUACAACAUGUAGAGAUUAGGAAGUUCAUCAUAGUUUGUCUAUUUCCGUGCUAAUAAAUGUAUGAAAUCUGCAUUUCCAAGCUACUAGGACAAGUAAAAAAUAAUAAUUUUACUAUAGGAUUCAAAAACAGCAGUUCUGAAGUGCACUUUAUUUAUUUUUGAAAGUGAUCACAUUUUGUUUCAUUUUUCUAUAGACAAAUCUACUAAUACAUACUCACGAUAAAACUAUAAAAAUUCUAGUCCGCACAUUGGGCGGGCCACCCGGCUAGUUAGUCUAAAGAUAACAAAAUGAGUCUGGAAUUUGAAUUAAAUUGAAGUAUUUUCUUGGACUUUCAAAUUAAGUUUUAUUAAAGUAGUAAGGACUAUCCACAUCCUUGGCUUGCCCCUGAUCAAUUAUUUCCAGAGAAGCAUUCGAUUCAUCAAUCAAUUACAUUGAUUUUAGUGGCUGGUACUUCUCCUCAACAUCAGUAUAUUCACCGUGGCCACUCCAAAUCGGCAAGAAUGAGGUACCAGUGCUCUGCAGCAGUGCAAGCUAAUUGCUUCUCAUGUGAAGGGGUGCGGGCGCAGGAGAGGUAUUUCUGGUGGGCCAAGGGACUAAGAAGCGACUGUGGCAGCGGUAUAGAUGCCCGCAAAGCCCCAUAGUUUGUUUUUCGUUUACAGGAAAAAUGCACAUCCAUACCAACCUUGGGAAUAUAGGACCGUAUUGGAUGGAAAACCAUGUCCGGAUGGUUGCGAGCGGUUUGAGGGUUAGCUUUUGUAACGCCCGGUUAGUUAUGCUAUAGCAAUUCCCUGCUAAUGAUGUCACGUCACCACGAUUACUAUUGUUAACCUCACAAUGAUUCAAUCCCCUUCAAAUUCAAAUUUAAAAUAAAGGUAAACAUCAAAAGUUUUCAAACAUUAAAACUAAAAUCUUUGAGAGGUGACAAAUAAUGCAUAAGUAAUUAUGGUGGAGAAACCACACUUUAAUCAAAUGUUUAAAUACUCUAAAAUGAAAAAAACAGUUGCUUAAACUAUUAUUUAAAUGCUUUUAAAAUAGUAAAAAUCUUCUAACUAAAUUAUUUGGGUACCAAACUUUUGGUGGCAGUGGUAUAUUUAGUAGAAUUAAUUUAGAUGCUAAUUAUAUAAUUUACAAAAUUAGAGUAAAUUGAAAAAUAGGAUAAAACGGAAAAGGAAAGACAAAACAAAUAAAAGCAAAAGGGGCCAACCCCUCGCUGGGCCUCGACCUAGCUGCCACUAGGCUAGCUAGGCUGGCCCCGGCGCCUCCCUUAACCCCCCCCCCCACUCCCCAUCGAACCCAAGCCCGAUCGCCCCACUUCCCCCACACCCCCUCGCCAGCCUCCCCACCUCUUGAUCCCAUCUGGAUCGGGGAGGGUAUUGCCCCCAUCGACCCCGUUGCCGUCGCCGGAUUGCCCGCCGAUGUCGCCAGGCCUCCUCCCCGCCGCCCGUCUCCGGCUCGCCUCCCCUCUCGCUCCUCUUCCCCGACCCGAUCUAGAUCGUGAACGAGCAAUGAGCUCGAAGCCCCCUUCACCGGCGCCAUCACCGUGCGCCACCACCACCGCCUGAGGACCUCACCGUCGCCGAAUCUAGCGUCGCCUCCUCGUAUCCCUCCCCUACUCGCGUCCUCAAGCCAGGACGAGCCCCUUCUCGGCAACGCUGUGAGACGCCCCCGUUUCCCUCCUCUUUCCACCGCGUUCAUCGCGCCGCCCGCCGUGCCCCUCGCCGUGCGCACGCCCACCACCGCACCAGCCCCCGCUCCGCGCACGACCCUACCCGCGCCCGCGCCAUGAUCCCCUUUUCCGCCCUACCUUCCUGCGCUCGCCGCGGUCCCGAUGCUCCCCCGCGCCCUCUUUCGGGGGCGCCGACCUCCCCUGUCCCGCUGCUCGGCGCCGUGCCUCGCAAUCGCUCUACUGCUAAGUUACUACUGCGCUGCGGCCGUCGCCUCUUCCUUCUGCUCCGCUAGCGCCGAAGCUCCCGAUUGGCUCCACCACUUCUCACGUUAAACCGCCGGCCUAAAUGGCCUAACCCCGGGCUAAUGAACCCCCACUAACCCACUGACACCGGGACCCACAUUCCCUAAUUAACCAUUUAAUAAAUUAAAACUCUUAAAUUAACAUUAGUGUAUGACAUGUGCGUCCCCUAUUAAUUAAUAAUUUUACUGCUAGUUUUCUUAGUUUCUGUUUUUCUGCAUAUUUCUUUUGUAUUUGAACAGGCUUUAUACAAUAAUAUUUAGCGUCUCAUACACAUACAAAUGUAAUUAUAGCAUAUACAUACAAAUAGUCUCAUCAAAUCAUGUGAUCAUCAUAAUCAUCAUCCAUCACAAAGUGAUCUCUCGUCAUCAUCUCGAAAAUAGCGAUACUAGUCUCGAUUACUUGCAACUACAUCGUCAUCCAUCUAAACAAUGAUAUACGCGAGAAGAGCUAUCACUAUGAGUGAGAGCGGAACUAUGCAGUACAUGAGUUUGUAUCCCUCUCUCACAUUAGCGUGAACCUAAACUAACUACUGGCUGUUGCUCGGAAACCGGAAAACGGUACACCUGGGCCUGACACUCCGGCCACUCGUCGUAUACUCCUGGCGUAGCACUUCUUCGCCAUCGAUGAUCUAUGCACCUGCAUCGUCACAUGAGUCGAUGAUAUGCAACAUAUAUAGUUGAGCAACAGAAAGAGACAGACGUGGCAAAAGUAGAAGCAACAUAUCAUAAGCAUAAAUAACAAAGCUCAUCGUACGCAAAAUGCCCUAACUAGAGUGAUCUGCGCUAGUCAAGGAGGACGGUUUAAUUACAUCACAAAUAAUGUUUCGUCGUGCAUUACUCAAAGUUCCGUCAUACAGAAAGUAUGAACUAAAUGGACACAUUGUCAUAUUUCGAAAAUCACUCCCACAUGUCGUGCCAUCCAUCCAAGUCAAGGAGAUAGUGCCCGAGCUUAGUGAAAGGCUUUAGGUCAAGAUGCUGAGUGGCUACGCGUGUUCGGACGUCUUCCCACGACAUUUGUCCUUCUUCAUAGAACAUCCCUGUUUUUUCGACGACCUCCUUCAUCACUAGAAGAAAAAGGGCCUGUUGUCCCGGUUCUGGAACCGGGACUAAAGGGUCGGUACUAAUGCCCUGUCCCUUUAGUCCCGGUUCAAUCCAGAACCGGGACAGAUGGGCCUCCACGUGGCCUGUGCGCGGAGCCCAGGCAGGAGACCCUUUGGUCCCGGUUGGUGGCACCAACCGGGAACAAUAGGCAUCCACGCGUCAGCAUUUCUGUGGUUGGGGUUUUUGUUNNNNNNNNNNNNNNNNNNNNNNNNNNNNNNNNNNNNNNNNNNNNNNNNNNNNNNNNNNNNNNNNNNNNNNNNNNNNNNNNNNNNNNNNNNNNNNNNNNNNNNNNNNNNNNNNNNNNNNNNNNNNNNNNNNNNNNNNNNNNNNNNNNNNNNNNNNNNNNNNNNNNNNNNNNNNNNNNNNNNNNNNNNNNNNNNNNNNNUGGUGUUUCAUAUAUUGUGUUAGCUAGCUAUAAUUAAUAGAGAAAAGUGUCCUCUCUUAUGUCCGUGCUUGGUCGACGCUACGUACUAUACAUACGUAUAGAGAGGACUAGACACGCUAGCUAGCUAGUAAGCAAACGAAGGAAACAGAAGAUCGUCAUGAACAUAUAUGCAUACAGGACUAGACACGCUAGCUAGCUAGUAACCAAACGAAGUUCAACUAGUAAUGGCGCACCACUCCCACGGUGCGCCAUUAGUAGUUUUGAAAAAAAUUAAUUUUUUUUUUUACUAAUGGCGCACUGUGGAUGUGGUGCGCCAUUAGUAUUUGGACACUAAUGGCGUACCAACACAUGGUGCGCCAUUAGUAUAUAGUAAUGGCGCACCACAGGUCUGGUGCGCCAUUAGUGUCAAUUCCAUCUAUAGCCCUUUUCCUAGUAGUGUUAGGGACGGUCUCAAUGAAACAACCCACCAUGUACUCCUGCAUGGCCUCUCAUCGAUACCUUUACCGAAACAUGUGCAACACAUUCCUCAUAUUACCGACAUAAUCAUAUCACCCUAGCCCAUCACCCAGAUGAACCAGACCUGACACAACUAUAAGCAUAGCAGGCAUAGCAAGGUAGGAAUCACAUACAUGGCUCAAUCAACUCCUACACAUGCUAGUGGGUUUCAUCUAGUUACUGUGGCAAUGACAGGUCAUGGAGAGGAUAAGGGUUCAACUACCGUAGCACACAGCAGUUUGAAUGGCGUUGUCUUAAUGCAGUAAACAAGAGCAGAGGCGAGAACAUGGGUUGUAUCGGAAUGAUCAAUGGGUUGCUUGACUGAUGGAGUGGUAGUGGGAUACUACCCUUCAGUUGGAUACUCGUGAAUAUCCUCGGAGGCAGAACCUACCACGAAGAACACAUCGGAACACAAUCAACACAUGACGAUAUGCAACACUAUGAUGCAUGCUAUGACAUGGCAUUAUGAAUGUGUCUUGGCCUAAUGCAAGCUAAAAUAGAAAGGGAUGAACUCAUUUGAAUCAAAGAUUCAAAUAUUAGCUCAUUAAACAUGGCCUUAGUAGUGCAUUUCCUUAUUCUGCUUAAACAGCAAGGUAAACUUGUUUUGUCAUACAUGAAACCAUUACAGAUGGAUGUAUUGAAUUUUUCUGAUAAUUUUUCAUAUAUAAAUUAUUUCAUUUGGAGUUACGGUUGAAUUUCUAUGAUUUUUAGAAGUUUUAAACAUUUUCUGGAAUUUCCUGAAUAAAAAUAAAUCCAGAAAAUGCAUUACUGCGUCAGUAUUGCAUCAUGCUGACCUCAGCAGGUCAAAGGCGCCAGCCCAGGUCAAAACUGACUGGUGGGCCCCUUCUGUCAGUCUCUCAGUUAAAUAAUAGGAUUAGAUUAACACUAAUUAGCUGUCAGUGGGGCCUGGGCCCACAUGUCACUGACUGAUUAAAAUAAAAUUAGUUAAAACUAAUCCUUGAUUAGUUAGCAGACCGGCCCCUCCUGUCAUAGACUCAGGGGGGUCUACCUGGGCCCACCCAGGGUCAAACUGGGUCAAACUCGCCGGCGUUGAGCCGCCGGCGAGACCCGAGACGGUGGCGCAGCUCGGAAAACGCCUACAGGGCACGAGCGAGGCCGUUCUUGGGCUCGUUGGAGAGCUCUUGCAGCCGCGCAUCUAGUGGUGGUGGGGGCCGGAGACGACGACGGCGAGCUCCAAGGCGGCGGCUGGAGUUCGGCCAUGUGCGGGGUGUGGGCUGUGGCGUGCAAACGUGGAAACUGAAGCGCUAGCGAGGCACUACGCGAUGCGGCAAGCACGUUGCAUAGCACGGGAUGAUCCAAUGGUCGCCGGAGCGGCGCCGGCGACAAGCUCGAGCCGAGACGAGCUUCGGCCAUGGUGGAACUAUGGCCUAGAGGGUGCAAACGCGUGGAAAAGAAGAGGGGAAAGGUGGCGGAGCUCACAGGGAGGUCGAUGAGCAGCUCAAUGGGCUCGGGGGUCACCGGAGUGAGGCGAAUCGAUGAGCGGCGUCCGGCGGGUACCGAGGUUGAAGACGAUCCGAUGGCGGCGAUGCAGGGACUCCGGCGAUGCGUGGCUCAGUGGGGAGGGCGAGGGCGUCACAGCGGAGCUUCUGGACAGGUCAGAGAGGCGAGGGGGUGACGGAGGGCGCGACUACGGCGGUGAGACGGCGACGGGUGCGUCGGCCAUUGCGGGAGAGGGAGAGGGAGACAAGUGGGAGAGUGAGAGAGGAUGAGAGGGGGACGUGGGGGUCGCGUGGCAUUCCCUGGACGUCUCCCAGCAUCGGCGGAAGCAGGAGGUGGCCGGCGUGUGGCCGCGGGCGCCGGCCACGCGCUCCACGUCCUUCUGGCGUGAGGAGGACGACGACUGGCAGCGCCAGUAGGCUGGGCCGAGCCAGGGGGCUGGCCAGCACAGGUAAGGCCCAGGUGGGCAUCUCCCUCUUUUUUUUAAUUUGUUUCUGUUUUCUAUUUAACUGUAACUGUUGGGCUUUAUUUAAAAUACUAAAACAUUUCCAAAAAUCCUGAAAAUAAUUGUGGGCUCUGUUUGGAUUAUUUCCAACAGCAGACAUUUAUUUCCAGAAUUAUUUGAGCAUUUAAAUGCCCAAAUUCAAAUACUUAUGAUUUAAAUCAAUGACCUUCUAUUGACCUCGAAAAGUUGUGCACCAAUUUUGCCAGAGGUUCUAACCCAAGACAAAGAGGGUGAACUUUUUAGAAGGGCAUUUCAGGUUCAUUGAAAAUAAUUUUAGUAAUCCCUAGUUGUUUCCAGGGGGGUGUUGGGGGUUUCUGCCUUCCCCAAUUCAAAUUUAAGAGGAAUUUAAACAUGAUGCACAUUCUAAUGCUUGAUCUAGCUAGGGUGUGACAACUCACCCCCACUCAAAAGAAUCUCAUCCCGAGAUUUAGGAUCCUCUGGAAAGAAGGUGGGGUACUCGAGUCGAAGACGAUCCUCCCUUUCCCAAGUGGCUUCUUUCUCGGAAUGGUGUGACCAUUGAACCAUGAGAAACUUGAUAUUAUGACGUCGAGUAGUAUGCUCGGCUUGAUCAAGGAUACGAACGGGAUAUUCCUGAUAAGAGAGGUUAUCUUGUAGAUCAAGCGUUUCGUGGUCCACUCCACGGAUAGGAUCCGCGAAGCAACGCCUGAGUUGUGAAACGUGGAAGACAUCAGGAACUCUGGAAAGAUGCGGAGGUAGUUCCAAUUGGUAGGCAACUUCUCCUUGUUUGGCAAGAAUGCGAACGGGUCCAAUGUAACGAGGAGCCAAUUUGCCUUUGAUACCGAAACGAUGGGUUCCUUUUAACGGGGUAACCCGAAGGUAAGCCUUCUCAUCGACUUCAUAAGUCAUAGAGUUAUGUUUAUGAUCAUAUUGACUCUUUUCACGAGAUUGGGCUGUUUUCAAUUUCUCACGAAUAACGCGAACCUGCUCUUCCGCUUCCUGAAUCAUAUCCGGGCCAAAGAGUUGUCUUUCCCUGGUUUCUGACCAGUUAAGGGGUGUUCGAUAUUUUCGUCCAUAGAGAACUUUGAAAGGAGCUUUGCCCAAGCUAGCUUGAUAACUAUUGUUAUAAGCAAACUCUGCGAAUGGGAGGCAUUUCUCCCAACUCAUUCUGAAUGAGAUAACAGAAGCUCAGAGCAUAUGUUCCAGAAUUUGAUUGACUCGCUCUACUUGACCACUUGACUGAGGAUGGAAGGCGGUACUAAAAGAGAGACGAGUUCCCAUAGCAUUUUGGAAACUUUCCCAAAAUCGAGAGGUGAAGAGACUCCCACGCUCUGAGUUAUUUUCCAAUGGGACACCAUGGAGAGACACUAUUCGGGAGAUGUAUAAAUCGGCUAGCUGGCUAGCAGUGAUACUCUCACGAACAGGUAGGAAAUGGGCUACUUUGGAAAGACGGUCGAUGAUGACGAAGAUGGCAUUAUUCCCUCUCUUGGUCCUGGGAAACCCAGUAAUGAAAUCCAUACUGAUUUUAUCCCAUUUCCAUUCAGGAAUAGCCAAAGGUUGAAGGGUGCCAGUAGGCCGUUGAUGCUCUGCUUUAACACGAAUACAGACGUCACAGCUAGCAAUGUAUCGAGCAAUUUCUCUCUUCAUCCUAGUACACCAAAACCUCUCGCGUAGGUCUUGAUACAUUUUUGUGCUACCGGGAUGAAUGGUGAGAGGGGAUUCAUGAGCUUCCUUAAGGAUCAAUUGGCGUAGAUGUUGUUUCUUGGGAACCACCAAACGGUUCUCAAAGAAGACAGCACCCCGCUUAUCCAUGGAAAAACAUUUAGCAACUCCGCUAGCAAUGUUUUCCUUAAUCCGGGAUAUGCCCUUAUCAUACCGCUGGGCAGUUAUGAUCUGAUCCAUAAGGUUAGGUUUCGCCACCAGGGUGGAUAGGAAUCCUCGAGGAACAAUGUGAAGAUUAAGCUUACGGAAUUCCUCAUGGAGAAGUGGUUGACUUUGUUGUAACAUCAGGUUGUUACAACAGGAUUUACGGCUUAGCGCAGCAGCCAUGACAUUGGCUUUGCCCGGUGUGUAGGUUAUUCCUAAGUCGUAAUCCGAGAUCAACUCAACCCAACGUCUUUGCCUGAGAUUCAAAUCUGGUUGGGUGAAGAUAUAUUUCAAGCUUUGGUGAUCGGUGAAGAUCUCGCAACGAUUACCGAGGAGGUAAUGUCGCGAAGUUUUAAGUGCAUGGACUACAGCUACCAGCUCUAGAUCAUAUGUGGGAUAAUUUUCCUCAUGUGGGUGUAAUUGCCAUGAAGCGUAGGCAAUUACCUGAGGAUCUUGCAUGAGUAUGCAACCUAGUCCUUGUCGCAGAUGUCAGGCGUCUUUUCAGUUCCUGAAAGCUGAACUCGCACUGUGGAGUCCACUCGAACUUUUUAUCUUUCUUGAGGAGUUCAAUUAGAGGUUUAGCAACCUUGGAGAAACUCUCGCCGAAGCGGCGGCAAUAGCUCGCUAAGCCAAGGAAGCUCCAAACUUGCUUGACCGUCUCAGGUGGAGUCCAAUCAAGGACCGCUUGAACUCGCUCGGGAUUGACGGCAAUACCCUUACCAGAGAUUACAUGGCCUAGAUAGGUUACUUCUGGCAACCAAAAUUCACACUUGGAGAACUUGGCAUAAAGGCGAUGCUCUCGAAGUUUCAUCAAUACCAGCCUUAGAUGUUCGGCAUGUUCCUCUUCAUUCUUGGAGUAGAUGAGUAUGUCAUCGAGGUAUACUACGACGAAUUUAUCCAAGUACUCCAUGAAAACCGAGUUCAUUAACCGGGAGAAGGUAGCCGGGGCAUUGGUUAAACCGAAGGACAUAACGGUGUACUCGUAUUGGCCAUAACGAGUAACAAAGGCCGUUUUGGGAAUGUCCCCGUUUCUGAUUUAGAUUUGAUGGUAGCCCAACCUCAAAUCCAUCUUGGAAAAGACUGAGGAUCCAGCGAGCUGAUCAUACAGAUCGUUGAUCCUGGGAAGUGGGUAUUUGUUCUUGAUGGUGACAAAGUUGACAGGUCGGUAAUCCACAACCAUUCGAUCUGUUCCAUCCUUCUUCUUGACGAAGAGGAUGGGGCAAGCCCAAGGAGAGGAACUAGGACGGAUGAAACCCUUUUUCAAGGACUCAUCGAGUUGGUUCUUAAGCUCGGCUAGUUCUAAGGGUGCCAUCUUGUAGGGUCUUCUAGAAAUUGGAACGGUUCCUGGAACAAGGUCUAUCACAAACUCGACAUCCCUGUCAGGUGGAACACCUGGCAGUUCUUCUGGAAAGACAUCCGGAAAGUCUCGGACUACCGGAACAUCCUCAAGGUCUGGAAGGGGGUUGGCAUUUAGGGAGUAAAGUUGGCGCUUGGCCACUCGAGUUAAGACAUUAACUGUCUUGCCCAAUGGGUGAGUAAGUUGAACGGUUCUAGUGGCACAGUCAAGCUUAGCAUAAUGAGCUGACAUCCACUCCAUACCUAAGAUGAUGUUUAUGUCCGAGGACUUGAGAGCUAUUAAGGAUACAAGGAAGACAAGUCUAUCGACAAGAAUUUCGUUCCCAUGGCUUACUCUAGAAGUUUGCCAUCUAGAGCUAGGGGUUUGAAUUUCCAUGGUAGAGGGCAUGUCACAGAAUGUCGUGUUGUGCAAUCGAGCAUAGUUCUCGGAUAUGAAUGGAUGAGAUGCUCUAGUAUCGAAAAGAACAGAUGUCGGAUGGCAGUUAACAAGGAGCGUACCAAGGACGAGGUUGGGAUCCUCAUGAGCCUCCUCGGCUGAAACAUAGUUGACAUGGCCACGUGCAGUGGUGGCUGGCUUGGCGUAGAAUGUUUUCCCCGCGGGCUUACCACGGCCAACGGACUUUCCAGUUUGAUUGGGGUUGUUGUUCUGGGGACACUCUCGGCUAUAGUGACCCGGCUCUCCACACUUAAAGCAUGUCACCACAUUGGGGCGUGGAGCAGCAUUAGCAGUAGGGCCACCAUAGGGCUUGGGCGGUGCAAAUUGCUGGUUGGGACGUGGUGCCUCAAAGGAUGGCCUCGGGAUGAACCUGGGUGGCAGUGCCGUGCUUGGAAUCCACACCCGGCGCUUCUGAGCUCUAGAGCCGGAUGAAGAGCCAAAAUCACGGGAGUGCUUGCAUGAAGCGUCAUAAUCAGUCUGGCCUUUCUCAGCACUGAUGGCUUUAUUGACCAACUUCUGAAAGGAGGUGCACUCGGGCAGACGAAGAUCGCGGUGAAGCUCAGGGCUAAGUCCCUUGCGGAACCUUGCCUGCUUCUUAGCAUCAAUAGAUACCUCUUUAGGGGCAUAACGUGCCAGAUUCCGAAAUUCACGACCGUAAGCAUCCACAGUCAGUCUUCCUUGGGUGAAGUUGCAGAACUCCUCCCUCUUGCGAUCCAUGAGACCUUCCAGAAUGUGAUGCUCACCGAAAGCCUCACAGAAUUCAGCCCAAGUAGUGAUUUGGCCGACCGGGCGCAUAGCUUCGAAGUUUUCCCACCAAAGGCUAGCAGGGCCUUCGAGGUGAUAGGCAGCAUAAGUAACCUUGUCGGCUGCGGCUGCGUUGGCAGAACGUAGCUUGUGGGUGAUGCUGUGAAGCCAGUCAUCCACAUCGAGGUACUCGACGGAAUGGUUAAACUUUGGUGGGUAUAGCUUGAUAAAGUCAUUGAUUGACACCAAUCAUUUCGUGGGUGGCGUGCAGUGUUCUGCUCAAUCCGCUCCAACAGGCGGUUGGUCUGACGCUUCUUUAUUUCCGCCUCCAGCAUUACUUCGGCCAGAGAAGGCGGGUGAGGCAGAUUUUCACCUCUAGCAGCACUGGCUUCCCCCUGCUCCAGGGCAGCAGGGUUGCUGCGGGUGUUGACCAUCCUAGGAGAAAACAAGACAACGGUUUAGACAAGGAUGUCUCAAAUUAGCAAGGAUGUGCAGAAUGUAAUGGAUAACACGGAAUGCAGAGAUGUUCAUCCGUAUGUCAUGGUAAUAUAAAACUGCCAUAUAUAUACCAACGGUCAUACACAUCAUACAUAGUUUAGUACAAGCCCAGGCUACAAUACAACUAUGAUGAAAGACGUUACAUCUCAUCGGAGGCAUUCCAAGCUCCUAUACAUUAUUGUCUACACCUCCAAAAUUGAUUACACGCAAAGUCAUAUUCCAAAAGUCACGCAGGACAGUGGAGAUACAGCUACUACAAUACUAGUGGUACUACUACUAACUCAGACAGCUCCGUAGUAGUCCUCAUAGAAGUCACCUCCAUAGCCUGGAAGUUCAACGGGACCAUCCGGGAACAGACGGUCCUGAGGAGCCUGUGGACCAUAGGGGCUAGGAUGGUGUCUUGGACCAACAAACGGUGGCCUGCGGGAACCACGGGGUGGGGUGAUGCCUCCCACAUCACGCCAAUCCACCACGUCUGGCAAAGCAGACCUCACAGGAUACAGAUCCCUUGUAUCCAUACAUCUAGCUUGCACCGCAGGUGCAAACCGAGCCAAUGUGGCCCAAUGAUCAGCACGGGUAUUAAAAAGCUCCAGCCUCAAGGCCCGAUUCUCUCGGUCCUUAUCUUCGAGCAUCUCAGCAGUGGUACGAGUUAAUGAAUCCUCCUGAGUGGAGACAGCAUAGAUAGCCUGAAGAUACCCUUGCGCUCCCGGAAGUGAAGCUGGCAUGUAUCGGAAGUCGGUGUUCCGAAGCAGGCCAGUCCGGACUCGCAUGAUGGUCAUCAUGUAAUAGGCAGCAUCCUGCACAGCAAUCUCAACAGUAACCCCGAGUCCAUAGGAAUAGUGAAGGGGCUCGGUAGAUCCAGGAUAAGAAGGAAAUAUCCUGACAGUGCAGAAAUACUGGCUUUGAUUAAAGUCUCGGAAUUGCUCUUCGACGGUGUAUUCGAGAUACCAACGGUAACCCGUCUCGAUCAUGACCCGGACUAACAUAGCAGUAUGACCGGGCACGUCGAGCCACCGGGUUAGGCGAACCACUUGGUUUUGAGCACGGUUGGCCAUCUGAAAGCACAACCACAAUGCAAAGACAUCAGAAUUUCUAGGGAAAAUUGGACAGCAUAACAGCUGUAAAUGCUCAGAAAAAGAUUUGAGACAUCCACAACAGUUCGCAAUACCACUCAAUAACAUCAUAUCAAGGUUCUGAUCCAAAUAGCAACAUACUAAAAAUAGUAGAAACUGAACUGGGGCUUGUAACAACAAUCCUAUAAGCUACUACGGAUUAGUAACACGUGAACCUGAUAGAAGAAGAGAGCCUAGUCCUUAACCCACGUUGAAUGAGAAGGGAAUGACUCAGAUAAGAGGCAUAGGGUAAAGGAGUAAAAGAGACUUACGUUCCCUCCCACAAUCAAUUCCCCUACAUAUAACUAAAGCAUUUCCAGACUCGACAUCGACCAGUUUGGCUCAACGAACCUACAAGCAGUCUGGCUCUGAUGCCAACGCUGUCAGGACCCCGAUUCCAAGCCACAUCGAUCUAGCCGGUAACACCUCAUAUCACUUUGCGGCCUCACGCACGAUAUUCCACGGGUGUCGCCUUACCAUGGCCCGGGACCGUUUGCGCCUUUUGGCUCACGUAUAUGAUAGUGUUGUUAGCAUCCAUAUGACAGAGAACCUGGGCCGACAUGGCUAGUCGUGAACCCAAAGCGGCACAGACCUAUGGAGACAGGCAUACAUGAAUCACAUCGAGCAUGUCGGUCAUCAGCGAGUGAUUCCGGGCUGUAGCACUGGGCUAACAGGACUCCGGGGAACCCGGGCUGUAGCAGGCUAGGCAGGACUCCGGAAGUCACCGCGUGACAUUUCCCCGAAGGGACAGACAUAGGAACGAAGUGAAUCACAUGCCGGCCAUUCAAGUGUCCUAAGUAGUAGUGCUGGGCUAGCAGGACUCCGGUGAACCAGGCUGUAGCGGACUACUAUGGCUCGAGGAACACUAGACUACAUUUCCCCAUAAGGAAGGCUGCCAAGGAUAAACAACUAGAUUGUUGGAUCCCACUCAUACCAAGCAUUUCAAUCAUACACACAAUAUGCCCGAUAUGAGUACAUACAACAUGGCAUCACAACAAAACUCUACAACUCAAGUACUUUAUUUAAAUGCUCCAGAGAGCCAUACAUAACAUGUUCAUACAGAUAGGGGUCACAUGACCCGACACUCAAGUCAUACAAUCAUACAAGCACAUGCGGAAGCAACCGGUCUGAGUACAGACACUAGAAAGAAAGAAGGCUCCUCGAGGCCUGUCUAUCUACAUAGGGCCCUCCAUGGCCAGGAUCACCACCUGGGUGGCUAGUCACUCGUCGAUGUCAAGGUCUACAUAGAACCCAUAGGAGGGGGCGGUGUUGUCGUCUGAAAACGGUAAUUAAGCAAACAUGAGUACAAAGGUACUCAGCAAGUCUUACAACAGAACCUACUAUACAUGCUUAUUCUCAAGAAGGUGGUGGGGAUAUUGCAGCAAGCCAGCUUUGACUCUUGGCUAAACUAUCCUACGGAACAUCUCUAGUAAAAUAGUUUUCGCACACGAGUCCACUACUCACCAACACAAUACUCCACCGGGGAUCCUCCCUCGUCAUCCUAUGAGAGGGUGUCGGGGGUGUCUGAUCCCUCGCACACCUAUGGGGAUCAGCGGACCGAGCCCCUUUUGGUUCGGUAGGGGGCGGUGGAUGCACAAAGAGUAGAUCGAGGCGAAACACAUGAGCGAGACAAUCGAUUUACCCAGGUUCGGGCCACACGGAUGCGUAAAACCCUACUCCUGCUUUGGUGGUUGUAUUGAGUUUUUUCUCGGGAGCAGCUGGCGAGACCGAGCGUGAGAAUGGCUGUCCCCCCCCUGUUGCGCAUGGGCCUCCUUUUAUAUGUCUAAGGGGUCACCGACACGUGGCAACAGAGGUAAGGGUAAAAAUGUAAAAGGGGUGGUAGUUGGCUCCACCGCCUACAUGUCGCAUCCUACCUAACUCUGACGGCAGGGGACAAGGGCAUUAAAUGCCCGUCUGUGUCACCUUGACGGCCCAGAGAGGGACCACUAGGAACGCCACCGUUUGCCACGACGGUUCCUUGUCAGCGUCUGCUUGCCAUUGCAUGCCCCCGGCUGCACAGCCUCCCGCCACGUACGCCAGGAAUGGCCCCAGGGCGACACGUUGGUGGGUGAGCUGGAGCGCGGGCUGCGGGGUAGUGGCUUGCCGCGGCAAGUGCCUUGCCGCGGGUGUUGUCUUGUCACGUCCGGGAGCUUGCCGCUCACCGGGUCUUGUCGGGGCACGCGGUGCGCCGCAGCGAGUCUCUUGAGAUGCUUUGGUUGUCUUCCCGGCAAGCUCCUCUUGCCGGGGUCUCGUCUCCUUCCCGGCAAGCUCCUCUUGCCGGGGCCUUGUUCCCUUCCCGGCAAGCUCCUCUUGCCGGGGCCUUGUUUGGAUCUUGGAUACUUUGUUCUUGAAUGGCUCCAGAGGAACCAUGGAGGGUCUUGGCGGUCGCCCGGCAAGCCUUGCCGCGGGUCGCUGCGACUACCCAUGCACAAGUUCGGGGUACUAAGGUACCCGUACUUUAGCACACCGACAGGAGCCCCCAGGCCUGGGCCAUACACGGUGCCGAGCGCUGUUGGGCCAGGCCCAAAACAGUGCAAGGGCACGCGCGGCCUGGGUCACGCCAUAACUGAUUCCGUAUCCACCGCGCUCUCCCCAAACGGCACGCGUCAAACGCGGCAUCGUGGGAGAGAUCGUGGGCGGUUUUCGAGGUGCCCACUCCCCACGAUCACGGGGUGGGGAGAGACCGCCCCAUCCGUCGCCUCGGUUCUGCACGCCUGCCACGCGGUUCCCGUGCACUUGGGGUCGCGGGCGGCGGAAGCGGGAAACGGGGCCGUCGUGGGUCGAGGGAGUGGGUCGGCCCCGGCUCCCCGCGUCUUGAUUCGCUGAGCGGGGCGGCCGAGCCCCCACCUUGCUCCUUUAUAAAGAGCGGGAGGGGAGGACGGGAGCCUGCAUCCUCCCAUCUUCUCCUUCCUUCAGCUCCUGCUCCCCUCCCCCCAUUCGCCAUGGAGAGAGGGAACCCUGGUCCUUCGUCAGUGGCGGCAAGGGUUGCCGCCAGGCAGCGCAUCCCUCCCUCUCCCGCACCCGUGGCGGCGGAGCCAGCCAUAAGGGGAAGAGGGAGGGGGCGAAGUCGUGGACGAGGCCGUGGCGCUCGGGGAAGAGGUGGGCGAGGCGGCGCGUCGGCUUCGCCUCCGCCGGCGGCUCUUCUUCCCGCGGUGGCCCAUGCCGGGGACGACCCUUGCGAGUUAUUCGUCAGGCUGCGCCGGGCGCCCCGCCGUCGCCUCUGACUCCCGGAUCCGUUUGCGGAAGUGGUGGAGUUGGACCCGCCCGAGACGCUGAGGCUGCAGAUGAGGGCUGUGGGAUCAGCGGCACGCGGGUCCGCGCCGAAUUCCCAGCCCCCGGCGUGAUUUAUCUUGGCCGAGGGUGGAAGACGUUCGCCCGCAUCCACAGCUUGACACCGGGGCUGACCCUCCACUUCAAGUUGGUGGAGGGUGAUCUCCUCUCCGUCAAGGUCUUCGGGUGCUUCAGCGUCCGGGCCCGGUGCUGCGUGGAAAGCUCCUCCGAUAGCGAAGGCUCCUCCUCGAGCAAGAGUGACGAGGAGGGAACGACAGCGGCGACGAGGGGAGCGGGCGGCAGGAUGGCGGGUCCGACUAGGUGUCGGGCGCCGCUCCGCGCGGCACCAGCAACCCCAUCAUCCGGGUCGCCGGCUCCUUGAACUCCCCGGGGGCGUCUCCUUGGGCGGCUGGCGUAGGGAGGCUGCGAAAGAGGAAGAGGGCAGGCGGCAAGGCCGUCAGGUCGGAGUACGAUGGCGUGGUGCCCUCGACAGCGUGCUGACGUCCUGCCGCCUCGUCUUCGAGCCCCCCUUCCGGCGCUGCCAUCACCAUCCAGCCUUGAAGGCCCCCGGGAUGUUCUCUUGGUGUCUUCUGGCACCCGUAGUUCCCCUAGGCACUCCUUUUGCCCUUCUCGCCUCCUUGACCUACCUCCUGAAAAGAGGGGCAGGAAAGAGAUUACGGGCAUCUUAUCUUUUUGAUUUGUAAGCCCUCGGGCCUUAGUUGCAUCUAAAACUUGUAAUCCUCUCUUUCAUGUUUUCCAUUCUCCAUGUACUGUACCUGCGUGGAAUGUUUUAAUGAAAAGGGGAUGCUUGCCAGGUUACUCGUCUCGCGGGUAGAACCCAUGCCAAGGAGCAAAUCCUUGGUAUCUCACAGAUAGACACUCCCUCCCCAGCAACAGGCCCUGCCACAUACCCACGUCGCUCGACCUUUCUCACGCUCUUGACGGAGGCAGAGACGAGGCGGGUGCGGCCCCUCGUUUCAUCCCUUUCCCGCCGCGACUGCGACCAAAGCUUGGCCCUGGGGCCCCAGGGACCAAAGCUAAGGGAGCACGGUGGCUUUCGGGAAGAAGCGAGGUUUUGUAUUCCCAGUCCAAAAGAGAAUGCACGAAGAGGGAUGAAAGACUUAUCUGAGACUGCAGCCCCCGGCAACUCUGGCUUGCCGUGGGGUGAACCUUGGUACUUGCAGCCUCCAGCAACUCUGGCUUGCCGGGGUUCGGAUGCCGGCACGUCCUUCUUCUCCCUUUCGUCCUCACGCGGUCCGACAAGGAUAUGCAAGCCCUGCGAACCAAAGGAAACAAAGGAAGGACAAAGGGACGCACACUAGACCUCUAAGUUAGGGGUUAGCUGCUGUUAGGCACUAUCAACCCUAACCGAGGACUCGACUCGACCUAGCAUGCAUGCUGUAACUCUGGGCGCCAGCGCUUCAUUAUCUUGUGCUCAAGGUCUGUGCCUGGCUUUGUACAAAGGAUUACAUGCAACAGCGUCAAGACUUGUACAAAAGGGUGGUUGCCGGACAGGGUCCGACAACCGCGCCUUACGGGUAAAACUUACAAAGAAGCUUGAUAUUCCAGGAGUUGCUCACUAGUACGCCAUCUUCGGUCUCCAGGCGGACAGUGCCAGGCCUGGUGACUCGUUUCACCCGGUAAGGGCCUUCCCACUUCGGCGUCAACUUGUUGGAAUUCUUGGCGGACUGAACGCGCCGAAGAACAAGGUCGCCUUCCUCGAGGCUCCUAGCAUUAACUUUGCGGCUAUGAUAGCGGCGCAAAGCUUGCUGGUAGCGAGCGGCUCGCACAGCAGCCUGGAGACGAUCUUCCUCAAGGAGCAGCGCGUCAUCUUGCCGCAGCUGCUCUUGCUCAAGCUCAUCAUAGCACUCGAGGUGACCCGUAUACGAGUUCCAUGGGGAUAACUGCCUCCGCUCCAUAGACUAGAGCGAAGGGUGUCUGCCCGGUGGCUCGAUUUGGCGUCGUCCUGAUCGACCAAAGAACCACCGGCAGCUCCUUGAUCCAGUUGCGUCCGCGCUUGUGCAGCCUGUCAAAUGUUCUGGUCUUGAGCCCGUGCAGCACUUCAGCAUUCGCCCUCUUAGCUUGGCCGUUGCUUCUCGGGUGAGCGACAGAAGCAAAGCAGAACUUGGCGCCAAGAUCUUGGACGUACUGCAUGAAGGCGCGGCUUGUAAAUUGUGUACCGUUGUCGGUGAUUAUCCUGUUAGGGAUUCCGAAACGGCAAACAAUCGACCUGAAGAAUUUGAUCGCGGACUGCGCCGUCACCUUCCUCACUGGUUCCACUUCCGGCCACUUUGUGAACUUGUCGAUUGCAACGUACAAGUACUCAAAGCCCCCGACGGAUCGGGGGAAGGGGCCGAGGAUAUCGAGCCCCCAGACCGAAAAUGGCCAGGAUAAAGGGAUCGUCUGGAGAGCUUGAGCUGGCUGGUGUAUCUGCUUGGAAUGGAACUGGCACGCUUCACACUUGGUUACUUGUGCAGUUGCAUCCUGGAGGGCUGUCGGCUAGAAGAAGCCUUGUCGGAAUGCUUUUCCGACAAGAGCUCUUGCGCCAAUGUGGUGACCACAUAUGCCUCCAUGUAUCUCUGCCAACAGCUUCUGUCCAUCUUCCCGAGGAAUACACUUCAAUUUCACACCGUUGAGUCUUCUUCUGCACAGUGUGUUGUCAACAAACUGGUACAUACUGGACUGCCGGGCUACUCUUUCUGCUUCUUCUGGUUCCUCGGGAAGCUCUCCUGUCUGAAGGAAACGGACGGUCUGCUACGCCCAUGUUGGAGCCUGUGGCUCGACAACAAGGACUAAAGGCACAUCUGCUGCUGUGGGAACGCCUACUUCUACGGCAGGAGCCUGCGACUCUGCCGGAGCUUGACAUUCCCCGACAAGCUUGCCGGAGCAGAGCUUGCCGGGAGUGUCUGCUGCAAUGGAACAAACCCUGGGGCUUGCCGGAGUAGACUGCUCCUCAGCACUCUUGGCGUCGAUCUUGGGGACCUUCUUGGCGGCGUCUUCGGGGAGCUUUGCCGGGAGAUAGUCACCAGAGAUCAACUUCCUCUUCUUGCUCUGUCCACUUGAUGGUGCCACGGAUGGCUGAGUUAGCUUGAGCACAAAGGUCCCUGGUUCCACAGGUAACUUAAGUGCUGCGCACUUUGACAGGCGAUCGGCAAUGUCAUUCUCAGCUCUUGGAACAUGUUCCAUUUGCAGGCUGUCAAAGCGCUCUUCCAGCUUCCUCACUUCAUCAACGUAAGCUUCUAUCAAUGGACUUUGGUAAUCUUUGUUCACUUGGCGGACGACAAGCUGCGAGUCACCCCUAACAAUGAGCUUCUUAAUCCCAAGUUCUGCCGCGAUCCUGAGACCGGCAAGCAAGCCUUCUUACUCUGCAGUAUUGUUUGUCGCUUGCUCCUUGGGAAAGUGCAUCUGGACUAUGUACUUGAGGUGCUCCCUGGUGGGUGCGACAAGCAGUACACCAGCACCGGCGCCUUGCAGCGAGAAAGCACCGUGAAAGUACAUGAGCCACUCUUUGCUUGCUUCCUUGGCGGGGAUGCUCGUCUCCGGAAUUUCUUCGUCUGGAGUUGGCGUCCACUCUGCUAUUAACUCUGCCAAUGCUCCGCUCUGGAUUGUUGAUGUACUCUCAAACUUGAGGCCAAAGCUUGACAGUUCCAGUGCCCACUCGACAAUCCUGAAUGUUGCUUCUGGAUUUUGCAAUAUCCUUUUCAGCGGAAAGCGAGUGACAACUGUGAUCUCGUGUGCUUGGAAGUAAUGACGUAGCUUUCUCGAGGCCAUGAGGAGGCCGAAAAGCAGCUUCUGCACACUAGAGUACCUUGACCUAGCCCCCUGUAAAAGGGAGCUGACAAAGUAAACUGGGUGCUGCACCAUUUUCUUCUGUAUCUCCUCUUGUAUCUGCGCAGAUCCUUGGUUGUCGGGACCAGAGCUUGUCGGGGAAGCCCCCUGCUUGUCGCUGGAUGUGCUUGCCGCGGCCGCUGGCUCGUCGUCGGCCUCCCUUUCCGCUACUAACGCAGCACUAACCACUUGAUUGGUUGCCGCUAUGUACAGGAGCAACUUCUCUUGUGGUUUAGGCGCGACAAGUGUUCGGGUGGACGACAGGUAUCUCUUCAAGUCUUGCAGCGCAGCCUCCGCUUCCGGAGUCCAUCUCAUUGGACCUGCCUUUUUCAAAAUUUGAAAAAGGGCAGGGCGCGCUCAGCAGACCAAGGGAUAAACCUGCUAAGAGCAGCUACGCAGCCGGCAAGCUUCCGUACAUCCGUGACGCGCUUUGGUGCUUCGAUCUGCUCAAUGGCCCUGAUCUUGUCGGGGUUGGCUUCGAUUCCCCGCUGAGACACGAAGAACCCGAGAAGCUUGCCGAAAGGGACUCCAAACACACACUUCUCGGGGUUGAGCUUGAGGUUGAUCUUGCGCAGAUAUGCAAAAGUCUCUUCUAAGCCUUGGAUCAGAGUUGCCCUGUCUUUGCUUUUGACCACUAUAUCAUCCAUGUAAGCUUCUACAUUUCUGUGUAUCUAUGGCUUCAAAGCAAUAUGGACUACUCUGGCAAAUGUUGAACCAGCAUUCUUUAAUCCGAAAGGCAUCCGUACGAAACAGUACGUGCCACAUCGAGUAAUGAAUGCGGUUUUCUCCUCAUCCUCUUCCGCCAUGAAGAUCUAAUGGUAUCCUGAGUAUGCAUCAAGAAAUGAAAGCAACUCACAUCCGGCCGUGGAGUCAACAAUCUGGUCAAUGCGCGGCAAGGGAAAUGGAUCUUUUGGACAAGCUUUAUUAACAUCAGUAAAGUCAAUACAAAGCCUCCAUUUCCCAUUCGCCUUGCGCACUACAACCGGAUUGGCCAACCACAUGGGAUGGAGCACCCCUCUAACGAGGCCUGCUGCUUCCAAUUUCUUGAUUUCUUCGGCUAUGAAUUCUUGGCGCUCCACCGCCUGUUUCCUGACCUUCUGCUUGACGGGCCGCGCAUGAGGACAAACUGCAAGGUGGUGCUCAAUUACCUCCCUGGGAACACCGGGGAUGUCAGACGGUUGCCAUGCAAACACGUCGACAUUCGCCCGCGGGAAAGUAACGAGUGCGCUUUCCUAUUUAGGGUCAAGCGUGGCACUGAUGGUGAAGGUACCACCAGUGCCGUCCUCCUUGGCGGGCACCUUCUUGGUAAGUGGUGGAGCGGCCAUCGUCUUCUUACUCUUGCAGCCGGAGCUCGAUGGUGCGUCCUCGACGGCAGCGCAGCACUCCGAAGAGGUGCGCCUGCCGGAGUAGGCAUCAGAGCACUCGCCGGGCUUGGUCUUCUUCUUGCCGGUGGAGCUCGAUGGUGCGUCCUCGACGGUAGCGCAGCACUCCGAAGAGGCGCGCUUGCUGGAGUGGGUACUAGAGCUCUUGCCGGACUUGGUCUUCUUCCCCCUGGGAGCUUCAGCGGCAAGUGUCUCGCGGUCUGUCGCGGCGGCAGCUUCCCGGUAGAUCUUGUCGGCGCAGAUAAGGGCGUCCUUCUUGUCGCCAGGGACAGAGAUGACGCUUAUCGGGCCCGGCAUCUUGAGCAUGUUGUAGGCAUAGUGAUAGGCUGCCAUUAACUUGGCGAGCGCGGGACGGCCAAGUAUCCCAUUGUAGGGCAAUGGGAAAUCGGCAACGUCGAAGGUGACCCUCUCAGUCCUGAAGUUCAUCUCACUGCCGAAUGUCACCGGCAGCGCGACUUUUCCCUUCGGCUUGCUCCUUCCCGGGUUAAUUCCUUGGAAUGUACCGGUUUCUUCGAGCUCACUGUCUGGGAUCUGGAGUUUCUGGAGCACAGCGGAGGAGAUCAGAUUCAGGCCGGCCCCGCCGUCAACUAGCAUCUUGGUGACCUUGAGGUUGCGGAUUGUUGGGGAAACCAACAACGGCAAGCACCCGACCGCAGUCGUGCGAUCAGGGUGGUCCUCAAUGUCAAAGAUGAUCGGCGUGCUGGACCACUUCAGAAGCUUGCGUGAUUCGACAGGUGGCUCUGCCGCAUUAACUUCCCGGAGCCACUGUUUGAGUUGGCGGUGGGAAGUGUGCAGAGAAGCGCCACCGUCAACACACAAGACUUCUGUAGCCUUCUGAAACUCCUGCUCGCUGUUCUCAACAUCAUCCAUGUCUUCGUCGUCGUCUUCGUCUUCGUCCUUAUCGCGGCCGCGAGGAGGUCUGUCUCCUUGCCGCUGCUUGGCCUUGCCACGGCUCCCUCCCGGGCCAGCGCGGUUCUUGCCGGCUUCUCCAUCGCCUCCUUGGGCUCUCUCCUUGUCGCGCCGCUCGUACUCACCUCUUUGUUGCUGGACAAGCUGCUCGACCCUCUUGCAGUUCUGGAGAUCAUGGCCCUUGGUGCGGUGGAUCUUGCAGUACUGCUUGUCGGAGCUGCCCUGCUUGUCGGCGGCCGCCACAGCCUGGCAGUUGGUACACGCGGCAACCUCUUUGCCGGAGCUGACAACUUUGGCUUGCUUGGCGGGGCCGUCAUCGCUGGACUGCUCAACGACCAGUACCUCUUUGCCGCUCUUCUUCUUGUUGGGCCUCCGGUUUUUGCUUGCCGGGGCGGCAUCCUCACUGUCAGAUAUCCCUGCUCUAGCAUCCUCUCCGGGGAGUUUCCUCCCUUCUUCAGCGCGUGCGCACUUGUCGGCCAGGGCGUACAGCUCGCUGACGUCCUUGAUCCUGCUCAUCGCCAUCUCCUCCCGCAUCCUGCAAUUACGCAUGUUCUGAUGGAACGCGCUGAUAACCGCGGUAGGGUGGAUGUCUGGGAUGUUGCGCUGCACGCGGCUGAAUCUCUGGAUAUACUUGCGCAAAGGUUCUCCUUCCUUCUGGGCAAGCAGGUGGAGGUCACUCUCUUGGCCGUGUGGUUUGUGGCCGCCUGUAAAGGCGCCGACAAACUGGUGGCACAAAUCCGCCCAAGAGGAUAUGGAGUUGUCCGGCAAGUGCAUGAGCUAGGAUCUGACUUCGGGCUUGAGCACGAGCGGGAAGUAGUUGGCAAGGACCUUGUCGUCUCGUCCCCGGCAGCUUGCACCGCAAUGGUGUAGAUGCUGAGGAACUCCGACGGGUGUGACUUGCCGUCGUACUUCUCCGGCACGUCUGGCUUGAAAUGCUUCUGGUUGGGCCACUGGACUUGCCGCAGCUCAUGGGUGAACGCGGGACAACCCGCCGCGUACGGCAAGUUACCUGGCUCUCCGGGUGCAUGCAUGUCAACAGAGGGCCCAGCGCACAGGUCAGAUUGACGCCGCGCUUCCCUUCGGCGCUCGAUGCAUGUUCAAGUGUCUUCUUGCUGUCUCUGAUGAAGAACUUGGCGUUGAUCGCGGUGAGCUCGCGGAUCUGACGACGCGGUGGAGUAGCCGUCGAGGUGGAUCCGGUGAGUCGGCGAUCUCGGCCUUCGGGGCGGAGAGUGCACAGUGGUUGCACCCUCACCGGUCUUGUCGCCACCGGCUCGCGCCUGGCUGACUUGCCGCGGCAGCGAUGCGCUCUGCUGCCGUGGGUUGUCACCAUUGGCGCAGCCGAUGAUGCUCUGAAUAGUGGCCCUCCAGUCAUCGAUCUUCUCUAGUGCUGGAGGGUAGUCUAGGAGCAGCUGGGCACGCGCCAACGGUUCCGUCGGAGUGGUGGGCGGCGGCAGCGAACGGUGCGAGGAGCGAGAUAUGCUCGGACUCCUAACCACGUUAGAAGGAGCAACAUCCCGUCCAAGCGACCGCGCCGCGCUCGCGCCAGCACGUUGGCGUGCCUGCUGAUCCUGAGCACUUCGGGAUCCGCCAGCUUGAUCUUGGCCCAGCAGGCGUAUGGUACAGUGGGUACCAUGACGCUACUGGUCCCGCGCCUCCUGGGAUGGGCGCGGUGCGUGUACGGACACCGAGGUCUCGGAGUGCGCGCGGUCGUCGUGGGAGGCGACCGCGCUACCGACGUGCGCCGCAGCCAGGCACUUGGACCUGGCAGUGCCAUGAGUCUCCCCGUCGGCGCCCGCCCUUCCGCCGGCGCCUACUUCACCCGCCGUUCGCUCCGGCGAUGGCGGGCUCGACGCGGACGGAGCGGCUACCUCCGAAGCCUUCUUCUUCGGCGGCAUGUUGAUGAAGACGAUGAAGAUUCGGCUCGCGCGAACGCCGGAUCAGGUUCGCACUACCUCGACGCACCCCCUACCUGGCGCGCCAAAGAUGUCGGGGGUGUCUGAUCCCUCGCACACCUAUGGGGAUCGGCGGACCAAGCCCAUUUUGGUUCGAUAGGGGGCGGUGGAUGCACAAAGAGCAGAUCAAGGCGAAACACACGAGCAAGACGAUUGAUUUACCCAGGUUCGGGCCGCACGGAUGCGUAAAACCCUACUCCUGCUUUGGUGGUUGUAUUGAGUUUUUGCUCGGGAGCGGCGAGUGCUACAGUACACUCAAGCAGCUGGCGAGACCGAGCGUGAGAAUGGCUGUCCCCCUCCCCCUGUUGCGCAUGGGCCUCCUUUUAUAUGUCUAAGGGGUCACCGAUACGUAGCAACAGAGGUAAGGGUAAAAAUGUAAAAGGGGUGGUAGUUGGCUCCACCGCCUACAUGUCGCAUCCUACCUAACUCUGAUGGCAGGGGACAAGGGCAUUAAAUGCCCGUCUGUGUCACCUUGACGGCCCAGAGAGGGACCGCUAGGAACGCCACUGUUUGCCACAACGGUUCCUUGUCAGCGUCUGCUUGCCACCGCAUGCCCCCGGCUGCACAGCCUCCCGCCACGUACGCCAGGAAUGGCCCCAGGGUGACACGUUGGUGCGUGAGCUGGAGCGCGGGCUGCGGGGUAGUGGCUUGCCGCGGUAAGUGCCUUGCCGCGGGUGUUGUCUUGUCGCGUUCGGGAGCUUGCCGCUCACUGGGUCUUGUCGGGGCGUGCGGUGCGCCGCAGCGAGUCUCUUGAGAUGCUUUGGUUGUCUUCCCGGCAAGCUCCUCUUGCCGGGGUCUCGUCUCCUUCCCGACAAGCUCCUCUUACCGGGGCCUUGUUCCCUUCCCGGCAAGCUCCUCUUGCAGGGGCCUUGUUUUUCUCUUGGAUACUUUGUACUUGAAUGGCUCCAGAGGAACCAUGGAGGGUCUUGGCGGUCGCCCGGCAAGCCUUGCCGCGGGUCGCUGCGACUGCCCGUGCACAAGUUCGGGGUACUAAGGUACCCCUACUUUAGUACACCAACAGAGGGCCAUCCUCGGUACUCACACUUAUCUUGAGUAUUUAGUAGUAUCCAUUUACUUGUCUAUGAACUGUAUAGGCAACCAAGUAGUCCUUUACCGCGGACGUGGCUAUUCGAAUAGUUUUAUACCCUGCAGGGGUGUACUUCGUCAUACACGCUUUCACCACUUAUCGCCGUUUACACGACAUGUACUCGGCAACCUUCAAGCGGAAGCCCAGCGAGGGUGUCGGCCACGGCCUACCUAAACACUUAAGUCUCUAGUCCAGGUUUAUCGCCUAUCCAGGUUCCAUCGGCAGGGAGUGCGGCCGAGGUUUCCACAUACGGCCCCGAACGAUGUGAACAGGGUUCCGAGAUGCCAAACGGGCGCCCGGCAUACCCGGCCAGGUGUAUCUACCGCAACAUAGCCCACCCCUAGGGUCAGCGCUACGCACGGCCGCCAACACAUAACCUACAAACCCAGAAACUAUAUGCAACUCCUGGACAGAGUACAAGGGUGAUUAAGAAGCCGAGAGGGUCAAUUAAGGAUCCCAAUGCGUGGUAGUAGCUGAAUCUUAAAUCAACAUACAGAUCUCAGUUCUUAGGGACGGUCUCAAUGAAACAACCCACCAUGUACUCCUACAUGGCCUCUCAUCGAUACCUUUACCAAAACAUGUUCAACACAUUCCUCAUAUUACCGACAUAAUCAUAUCACCCUAGCCCAUCACCCAGAUGAACCAGACCUGACACAACUCUAAGCAUAGCAGGCAUAGCAAGGUAGGAAUCACAUACAUGGCUCAAUCAAAUCAUACACAUGCUAGUGGGUUUCAUCUAGUUAUUGUGGCAAUGACAGGCCAUGUAGAGGAUAAGGGUUCAACUACCGUAGCACACAACAGUUUGAAUCGCGUUGUCUUAAUGAAGUAAACAAGAGCAGAGGCGAGAACAUGGGUUGUAUCGGAAUGAUCAAUGGGUUGCUUGCUUGAUGGAGUGGUAGUGGGAUACUGCCCUUCAGUUGGAUACUCGUGAAUAUCCUCGGAGGUAGAACCUACCACGAAGAACACAUCGGAACACAAUCAACACAUGACGAUAUGCAACAAUAUGAUGCAUGCUAUGACGUGUCUUGGCCUAAUGCAAGCUAAAAUAGAAAGGGAUGAACUCAUUUGAAUCAAAGAUUCAAAUAUUAGCUCACUAAACAUGGCCUUAGUAGUGCAUUUCCUUAUUCUGCUUAAACAGCAAGGUAAACUUGUUUUGUCAUGCAUGAAACCAUUACAGAUGGAUAGAUUGAAUUUUUCUGAUAAUUUUUCAUAUAUAAAUUAUUUCAUUUGGAGUUACGGUUGAAUUUCUAUGAUUUCUAGAAGUUUUAAACAUUUUCUGGAAAUUCCUGAAUAAAAAUAAAUCCAGAAAAUGCAUUACUACGUCAGCAUUGCGUCAUGCUGGCCUCGGCAGGUCAAAGGCGCCAGCCCAGGUCAAACCUGACUGGUGGGCCCCUUCUGUCAGUCUCUCAGUUAAAUAACAGGAUUAGAUUAACACUAAUUAGCUGUCAGUGGGGCCUGGGCCCACAUGUCAGUGACUAAUUAAAAUCAAAUUAGUUAAAACUAAACCUAGAUUAGUUAGCAGACUGGCCCCACCUGUCAUAGACUCAGGGGGGGUCUACCUGGGCCCACCCAGGGUCAAACUCGCCGGCGUUGAGCCGCCGGCGAGACCCGAGACGGUGGCGCAGCUCGAAAAACGCCUACAGGGCACGAGCGAGGCCGUUCAUGGGCUCGUUGGAGAGCUCUUGCAGUCGCGCAUCUAGUGGUGGUGGUGGCCGGGCCUACGGUGGCCGGAGACGACGACGGCGAGCUCCAAGGCGGCGGCCGGAGUUCGGCCAUGUGCGGGGUGUGGGCUGUGGCGUGCAAACGUGGAAACUGAGGCACUAGCGAGGCACUACGCGAUGCGGCAAGCACGUUGCGUAGCACGGGAUGACCAAAUGGUCGCCGGAGCGGCGCCGGCGACAAGCUCGAGCGGAGACGAGCUUCGGCCAUGGUGGCACUAUGGCCUAGAGGGUGCAAACGCGUGGAAAAGAAGAGGGGAAAGGUGGCGGAGCUCACAGGCAGGUCGAUGAGCAGCUCAGUGGGCUCGGGGGCGACCGGAGUGAGGCGAAUCGAUGAGCGGCGUCCGGCGGGUACCGAGGUUGAAGACAAUCCGAUGGCGGCGAUGCAGGGCCUCCGGCGAUGCGUGGCUCGGUGGGGAGGGCGGGGGCGUCACGGCGCAGCUUCUGGACAGGUCAGAGAGGCGAGGGGGUGACGGAGGGCGCGACUACGGCGGUGAGACGGCGAUUAGAAAGAAAGAUUUGGUUCACUCGUACGUGAAAAAAGGAACAAGCGCUUGAUGCCUUCCUUUGCAUCGAUGCCAGACGCGGUGCUGGGAAUCGACAAGAUAACCGCCAAUCUACCAGGAUUAAAUUCCUAGCGCCUCCUUCUAGCGCCUCCCACUGAAAAUGCCCUAACGAUUUUUGAGGGAUUUUUUUACUGUGUCCUACUUCACGAAUCACGAGGCAAAUCAAGUAGGCGGCAUGGCCUGGCCGGUGAGUGCCAUUGCACUUACUUGCCCCAGCAAUUUUCCGCGUGCAUUGUAGAAUUCUUUCUCCGAGUCCUGUGAAUUAAAGAUGGUGCAGACAAAAGUAUAUCCUGUAUGCGUACAUGUGCAUGAUCAGAACAUGUUUUUACGUGCGUCUACUAUAAAUCAUGACCAUUUUUAACACAAAUCAUGACCAUUCAUGAUUAGUGAAUCAUACUGUCUUAACUUAUGUGAAAUCAUGUGGAGUAAUAUAAUAUAAUAUAAUAGAUAGAUAGAUCCAUGUUGUAUUAUUUUUUGUUUACAAAAAAUAUCUGUCAUUACACAUUUUGAUUUAUGCAUUUGUUUACAAAAAAAACAGUAACAUUUCAUGGUGGAAAGUUUGUAUUGUUUCAUACUGAACACCAAUGUUUUCCUGUAAAAGAAAAUAAUGCCUACGCAUAUGCUUUUAUAUUAUUAUUAUUCUUUCAAACUUAUUCAUACAGUAUUUUUGAUUGUGCAACCAUAAUUUUUAUUGUCUCUCUCGUUCCACUACAUGCUCUUACUCAAUGAUUUUUUUUAUAACGGGUGUUUUUAUUAACUCAAAAUAUAGUAUCAAGCGGAUACAAAACAUAAUGAGCCACACCUGGUCUCUGCAUAACUAAGAUGCAUACAGCUAAAAGCAGAUGUCUGACAAAAAUAAGAUAAGAAAAUCGACAUAUCGACAACAGUGAGUCAUAUAGUUCCGACACUAUGCCUCUGUUGAAGGACGGGGUGGAGCGAUCUGAAGAUUAUGCUGCCCUCCAUGUUGAGUAAAUACCUCCCUGGCCACUUGUUCCAACCGCAUAGACGCCGCCACGAAUAAUGGUCGGUACUCUGUUCGGUGUAGCAUACACCAUGUAGGAAGUGAGUGCUCACUUCUAGUUACUAAAUUAUGUACACACUAAUAGAAAAAGGGCCAUUUGUCCCGGUUCGUAAGGCCCAUUUGUCCCAGUUGGGGAACCGGGACUAAAGGGUCGGUACUAAAGCCCUACACAUUUAGUCCCGGUUCUUACACCAUCCGAGACAGAUGGGGCUCCACGUGGCCGCUACAGCUUGCCGUGGCAGGGGGGCCUUUUGUCCCGGUUGGUAGCACCAACCGGGACCAAUAAGCUACCACGCGUCAGCAUUUGAGGGCUAGGUUUUUUGUUUUUUUUCNNNNNNNNNNNNNNNNNNNNNNNNNNNNNNNNNNNNNNNNNNNNNNNNNNNNNNNNNNNNNNNNNNNNNNNNNNNNNNNNNNNNNNNNNNNNNNNNNNNNNNNNNNNNNNNNNNNNNNNNNNNNNNNNNNNNNNNNNNNNNNNNNNNNNNNNNNNNNNNNNNNNNNNNNNNNNNNNNNNNNNNNNNNNNNNNNNNNNNNNNNNNNNNNNNNNNNNNNNNNNNNNNNNNNNNNNNNNNNNNNNNNNNNNNNNNNNNNNNNNNNNNNNNNNNNNNNNNNNNNNNNNNNNNNNNNNNNNNNNNNNNNNNNNNCAAAUGAAGUAAACCAUUAAGUACAGAAGUUCGUCAUGAACAUAUGCAUACAAACAUAAGUGAUAUCGACCUCUCCUUCUCCGACAGAUAGGUCGAACAACAAGUUUCCGUAUAUCUAUCCGGCGCUACUAGCUACAUAUAUACAAUAUUAAGAUCUCUUACAAUAUAAUCCCCUAAUUAUAAAUGAACUCAGCUUCGAGAUGGUAUUCUCCGGCUUUAUUGAUGACGUGGUCAAGAAAGAAUCCCUCCAAUUCCUCUUGAAUUGCUUUGAUGCGAUCUUGUGGUAGGAGUUCAUCCCGCAUCUGCCACAUCUAAUUUGAAGAAGGGGGUCAAUCACCAGUAGAAUAACAGCCAUUUGUCCUGGUUCAUAAGGUUAAUUUGUCCCGGUUGGGGAACCGAGACUAAAGGGUCGUUACUAAAGCCCUACACCUUUAGUCCUGGUUCUUACACCAACUGGGACAGAUGGGCCUCCAUGUGGCUGCUGCGGCGAGCCCAGGCCGGAGGUCCUUUGGUCCCGGUUAGUGGCACUGAUACGUCUCCAACGUAUCUAUAAUUUUUGAUUGCUCCAUGCUAUUAUGUUAUCUAUUUUGGAUGUUAAUGGGCUUUAUUUUACACCUUUAUAUCAUUUUUGGGACUAACCUACUAAUCGGAGGCCCAACCCAAAUUGCUGUUUUCUGCCUAUUUUAGGUUUUCGAAGAAAAGGAAUAUCAAACGGAGUCCAAACGGAAUGAAACCUUCGAGAACGUGAUUUUCUCAACGAACAUGAUUCAGGAGACUUGGAGUGUGCGCCAAGAAACAAGGGAGGAAGGCACGAGGCAGGGGGGGCGCGGCUACCCUCUUGGGCACGCCCUCCACCCUCGUGGGCCCUCCGCUGCUCCACCGACGUACUUCUUCCUCCUAUAUAUAUCCACGUACCCCCAAACAUCCAGGAGCACCACGAAAACCUAAUUCCACCGCUGCAACCUUCUGUACCCAAGAGAACCCAUCUUGGGGCCUUUUCUGGAGGUCCACCGGAGGGGGCAUCGAUCAGGGAGGGCCUCUACAUCAACUCCAUGGCCUCUCCGGUAAUGUGUGAGUAGUUUACUUCAGACCUACGGGUCUAUAGUUAUUAGCUAGAUGGCUUCUUCUUCUCUCUUUGGAUCUCAAUAAAAAGUUCUCCUCGAUUUUCUUGGAGAUCUAUUCGAUGUAACCUUCUUUUGCAGUGUGUUUGUCGAGAUCCGAUGAAUUGUGGGUUUAUGAUCCAGAUUAUCUAUGAACAAUAUUUGAUUCUCCUAUGAAUUCUAUUAUGUAUGACUGGUUUAUCUUUGCAAGUCUCUUCGAAUUAUCAGUUCGGUUUGGCCUACUAGAUUGAUUUCUUGCAAUGGGAGAAGUGCUUAGCUUUGGGUUCAAUCUUGUGGUGUUUGAUCCCAGUGACAGAAAGGGAACCAAUACGUAUUGUAUUGUUGCCAUCGAGGAUAAAAAGAUGGGGUUUAUAUCAUAUCGCAUGAGUUUAUCCCUCUACAUCAUGUCAUCUUCCUUAAAGCAUUACUAUGUUCUCUUGAACUUAAUACUCUAGAUGCAUGCUAGAUAGCGGUCCAUGUGUCGAGUAAUAGUAGUAGAUGCAGAAUCGUUUCGGUCUACUUGUCUAGGACGUGAUGCCUAUAUACAUGAUCAUACCUAGAUAUUCUCAUAACUAUGCUCAAUUCUGUACAAUAUGGUGCACGGGGUUACAUCGGCCUGUAAAGACAUUUAUGCGAUGUGAGACAUCCGAAAAGCAACGAAAACGGGAGAUUAUACAUUUAUUGAAGAGGGCCGGUGUGACAGAUACCGUGAGGGCGUCGAGCUCAGCCAAAGACGACGGACAGCUGAGCACGGCCUGUGUCAGAGCCGGUGCGGGAGCAAGUGCAGGUGCAGGUGCUGGUGCAACGCUAGUCGAGCUGCUCCUGAAGAAGUCAACAAUGGGAAAGUCCGCUGCAUUUUUUCUGCAUUUUGCGUGCUCCAAUUGAAAAUGGCUGGAACCAAGACAGUAGACAUAUCUGCAACCACCUGUUUUCCAGCAGCUACCGCUGUCGCGACUGUCUCAGAUGAUUUCUUCUCAACCGCAAUCUCAACCUUCUUGUCGAUGUUUUAUUCGGUUAACCUCCAUCUUUCCUUUCUCUCCUCUGUGGUCUCACGGUAGUACUUCUUCCACGUGGCCCCGUCUCCGACACCGUGAACGCGUCCAUACGACGACCGAGUCUCCACCGGGAGUCCUUUCAAUAUGUUCAAUGCCCGGUUGAAUGGAGUGUCCCACUUGGGCCUUGCCAAUGCCUCAGACGGCGAGUCGCUUUCGGCCGCAAUCUUGUGCUGCUCUCUUUACAAAAGGAACACGGAUCAUUUACAAAUAUGACUAAACGUGCAGUCAAAUUGAUCAGAAACUAAAAUUACCGGCAGUCUCAUGAACUCCGUCGUGAUCGGGUCCGUCUUGAAAACCUUCUUGACUUAGUCCCAAUGGUGCCGUGCCUUGAGGACGUCAUCCUCCUACGGGAUGGUGAAGUCCGCCAAGGGGUCUGGGAUGCCAGAUUUUCGCAUUCCGUGUCCUCCUUGGCCCAUAUGGACCUCUUCCUGCCGUAACCACUGCUUCCGAGGUGGUGGCGCCCCAUGUUCCUUUGUGGAAGCCCCUUCAUGUACUUCGACUUUGUUUUGGCAGCUUCGGCCUCGCAAGCCGCCUUGAAUAUUUCAAAGUGCUCUCCCAUGAUUGUCAGAUUAUCCUUUACAAUCUCGGAGUAGGGUUGAUACGUCUCCAACGUAUCUAUUAUUUUUGAUUGCUCCAUGCUAUAUUAUCUCCUAUUUUGGACAAUAUUGGGCUUUAUAAUCGACUUUUAUAUUAUUUUUGGGACUAACCUAUUAACCGGAGGCCCAGCCUAGAAUUGUUGUCUUUUGCCUGUUUUAGGGUUUCGAAGAAAAGGAAUAUCAAACGGAGUCCAAACGGAAUGAAACCUUCGGGAACGUGAUUUUCUGAACGAACAAGACCCAGGAGACUUGGACCCUAUGUCAAGACACAAAAGAGGAGGACACGAGGUAGGGGGCGCACCUACCCCCCCCCCCCCCUCGAGGCACGCCCUCCACCCUCGUGGGGCCCCUGUUGCUCCACCGAUGUACUCCUUCCUCCUAUAUAUACCUACGUACCCCCAAACGAUCAGAUACAGAGCCAAAACCCUAAUUCCACUACCGCAACUUUCUGUAUCCACGUGAUCCCAUCUUGGGGCCUGUUCCGGAGCUCCGCCAGAGGGGGCAUCGAUCACGGUGGGCUUCUACAUCAACACCAUAGCCUCUCCGAUGAAGUGUGAGUAGUUCACCUCAGACGUACGGGUCCAUAGUUAUUACCUAGAUGGCUUCUUCUCUCUUUUUGGAUCUCAAUACAAUGUUCUCCCCCUCUCUUGUGGAGAACUAUUCGAUGUAAUCUUCUUUUUGCGGUGUGUUUAUUGAGACCGAUGAAUUGUGGGUUUAUGAUGAAGUCUAUCUAUGAAUAAUAUUUGAAUCUUCUCUGAAUUCUUUUAUGUAUGAUUGUUUAUCUUUGCAAGUCUCUUUGAAUUAUCAGUUUGGUUUGGCCUACUAGAUUGAUCUUUCUUACAAUGGGAGAAGUACUUAGCUUCGGGUUCAAUCUUGCGGUGUCCUUUCCCAAUGACAGUAGGGGCAGCAAGGCAUGUAUUGUAUUGUUGCCAUCGAGGACAACAAGAUGGGGUUUUCAUCAUAUUGCAUGAGUCUAUCCCUCUACAUCAUGUCAUCUUGCUUAAGGCGUUACUCUGUUUUUAACUUAAUACUCUAGAUGCAUGCUGGAUAGCGGUCGAUGAGUGGAGUAAUAGUAGUAGAUGCAGGGAGGAGUCGGUCUACUUGUCUCAAACGUGAUGCCUAUAUACAUGAUCAUACCUAGAUAUUCUCAUAACUAUGCUCAAUUCUGUCAAUUGCUCAACAGUAAUUUGUUCACCCACCAUAGAAUAAUUAUGCUCUUGAGAGAAGCCACUAGUGAAACCUAUGGCCCCUGGGUCUAUCUUUAUCAUAUUAAUCUCCUAUUACUUAGUUAUUUCCUUUGCUUUUUCCUUUGCCUUUAUUUUACUUUUCAUCUUUAUCACAAAAAUACCAAACAUAUUAUCUUUAUCAUACCUAUCAGAUCUCACUCUCGUAAGUGGCUGUGUAGGGAUUGACAACCCCUAUUCGCGUUGGUUGCGAGGAUUUAUUUCUUUUGUGCAAGUACGAGGGACUCGCGCGUAGCCUCCUACUGGAUUGAUACCUUGGUUCUCAAAAACUGAGGGAAAUACUUACGCUACUUUGCUGCAUCAUCCCUUCCUCUUCGGGGAAAACCAACGUAGUUCUCAAGAGCUGGCAAGAUGGAUUUCUGGCGCCGUUGCCGCGGAGGUCUACGCAAAAGUCAACAUACCAAGUACCCAUCACAUACCCUUAUCUCCCUCAUUACAUUAUUUGCCAUUUGCUUCUCGUUUUCCUCUUCCCCACUUCACCCUUGCCUUUUUAUUCGCCCUCUCUCUCUAUCCUCCCUCUCUUUCUCUAUUUGCCUCUUUUUCCCUACUUGCUUUCUGUUUGCUUGUGUGUUAGUUGCUUGCUUGUCACGAUGGCUCAAGAUAAUACUAAAUUACGUGACUUCACCAAUACCAACAACAAUGAUUUUAUUAGCACUCCGAUUUCUCCUCUUACCGAUGCUGAAUCUUGAGAAAUUAAUACUGCUUUGCUGAAUCUUGUCAUGAAAGAUCUGUUUUCCUGCCUUCCUAGUGAAGAUGCCGCUACCCACAUAAAUAGAUUCGUUGAUUUGUGUGACAUGCAAAAGAAGAAAGGUGUGGAUAAUGAUAUUGUUAAAUUGAAGCUAUUUCCUUUUUCGCUUAGAGAUCGUGCUAAAGCUUGGUUUUCGUCUUUGCCUAAAAAUAGUAUUGAUUCAUGGAAUAAGUGCAAAGAUGCUUUUAUCUCUAAGUAUUUUCCUCCUGCUAAGAUCAUCUCUCUUAGAAAUGAUAUUAUGAAUUUUAAGCAACUUGAUCAUGAACAUGUUGCACAAGCUUGGGAGAGAAUGAAACUAAUGAUACGUAAUUGACCUGCCCAUGGUUUAAAUUUGUGGAUGAUUAUACCAAAUUUUUAUGCCGGAUUGAACUUUGCUUCUAGAAAUCUUUUAGAUUAGGCCGCAGGAGGCACUAUUAUGGAAAUCACUUUAGGAGAAGCUACUAAACUCCUAGAUAAUAUUAUGGUUAAUUAUUCUCAACGGCAUACCGAAAGUUCUACUAAUAAAAAGGUGCAUGCGAUAGAAGAAAUUAAUGUUUUGAGUGGAAAGAUGGAUGAACUUCUGAAAUUAUUUGCUAAUAAGAGUAUUUCUUCUGAUCCUAAUGAUAUGCCCUUGUCUACUUUGAUUGAGAAUAAUAAUGAAUCUAUGGAUGUGGAUUUUGUUGGUAGGAACAAUUUUGGUAACAACGCGUAUAGAGGAAAUUUCAACCCUAGGCCUUAUCCUAGUAAUCUCUCUAAUAAUUAUGGUAAUUCCUACAGCAAUUCUUAUGGAAAUUAUAAUAAGAUGCAUACUGAUUUUGAAUCUAAUAUUAGAGAAUUUAUUACUUUGCAAAAGAAUUUCAAUGCUUUGAUUGAAGAAAAAUUGCUUAAGAUUGAUGAUUUGGCUAGGAACAUUGAUAGAAUUACUCUUGAUGUUGAUUCUUUGAAACUUAGAUCUAUUCCACCUAAGCAUGAUGUCAAUGAGUCUCUCAAAGCCAUGAGAAUUUCCAUUGAUGAGUGCAAAGAAAGAACCACUAGGAUGCGUGCUAAGAAAGAUGCCUUUAUAAGAGCGUGUUCUUCUAGUUCCUAUGAAAAUAAUGAUGAAGAUCAAAAAGUUAUUGAUGUGCUCCCUAUUAAAUCUUUGUUUUGCAAUACGAAUCUUGAUAAUCAUGGGACUGAAUAUGAUCCACCUUUACCUAGAAGGCGUUCCAAGAAUUCAGAAUUUGUUGAUCUUGAUGGUAAAACUGAUAAAGGUGGGAUUGAAGAAAUUAAAACCCUAGAUGUUGCUAAACCCACUAUUAUGGAUUUCAAGGAACUUAACUAUCAAAACUGCCCUUUGAUUGAUUGUAUAUCCUUGUUACAAUCCGUGCUAAAUUCUCCUCAUGCUUAUAGUCAAAAUAAAGCAUUUACUAAACAUAUCGUUGAUGCCUUGAUGCAAUCUUAUGAAGAAAAACUUGAAUUGGAAGUUUCUAUCCCUAUAAAGCUUUAUGAUGAGUGGGAACCAACUAUUAAAAUUAAAAUUAAAUAUCAUGAAUGCUAUGCUUUAUGUGAUUUUGUGUGCUAGUGUUUCCACGAUUCCAAAGACUUUGUGUGAUUUGUUAGGUUUCCAUGAUUUUGAUGAUUGCUCUUUAAACUUGCACCUUGCGGAUUCCACUAUUAAGAAACCUAUGGGAAGAAUUAAUGAUGUUCUUAUUGUUGCAAAUAGCAAUUAUGUUCCCGUAGAUUUUAUUGUUCUUGACAUAGAUUGCAAUCUUUCAUGUCCUAUUAUUCUUGGUAGACCUUUCCUUAGAACGACUGGUGCAAUUAUUGAUAUGAAGGAAGGAAAUAUUAGAUUCCAAUUUCCAUUAAGGAAAGGCAUGGAACACUUUCCUAGAAAGUAAAUUAAAUUACCUUAUGAAUCUAUUAUGAUAGCCACUUAUGGAUUGCCUACCAAAGAUGGCAAUACCUAGAUCUAUCCUUGCUUGUUAUGCCUAGCUAGGGGCGUUAAACGAUAGCGCUUGUAGGGAGGCAACCCAAUUUUAUUUUUACUCCUUGAUUUUUGCUCCUGUUUAGUAAUAAAUAAUUUAUAUAGCCUCUGUUUUGCUUGUGUUCUUUGUGUUUAAUUAGUGUUUGUGCCAAGUAGAACCGUUAGGAAGACUUGGGGAAAGUCAUGUUACACUUGCUGUAAAAAACUGAAACUUCAGCGCUCACGAGAACUGCUGCCGUUUUUAUUUGGAAAGUGCUAUUUAGUUAAUUAUUUUUUCAGAUAAAUUCCUCACAUCCAGAAAUUUAUUUUAGAAUUUUUGGGGUUCCAGCUCUUGAGCUAGCUACAGAGUACUACCGACUGUUCUGUUUUUGAAAGAUUCUGUUUUUCGUGUGUUGUUUGCUUAUUUUGAUGAAGCUAUGGCUAGUAAAAUAUUUUAUAAACCAUAGAGAAGUUGGAAUACAGUAGGUAUAACACCAAUAUAAAUAAAUAAUGAGUUCAUUACAGUACCUUGAAGUGGUCUUUUAUUUUCUUUCGCUAACGGAGCUCAUGAGAUAUUCUACUUUAAGUUUUGUGUUGUGAAGUUUUCAAGUUUUGGGUAAAGAUUUGAUGCAUUAUGGAACAAGGAGUGACAAGAGCCUAAGCUUGGGGAUGCCCAUGGCACCCCCAAGAUAAUCUAAGUACACCUAAAAGCCAAAGCUUGGGGAUGCGCCGGAAGUCAUCCCCUCUUUCAUCUACUUCUAUCGGUAACUUUACUUGGAGCUAUAUUUUUAUUCGCCACAUGAUAUGUGUUUUGCUUGGAGCGUCUUGUAUUAUUUGAGUCUUUAUUUGUUAGUUUACCACAAUCAUCCUUGCUGUACACACCUUUUGAGAGAGUCAUACAUGACUUGGAAUUUGUUAGAAUACACUAUGUGUUUCGCUUAUAUCUUUUGAGUUAUAUAGUUUUGCUCUAGUACUUCACUUCUAUCGUUUAGAGCACGGUGGUGGAUUUGUUUUAUAGAAACUAUUGAUCUCUCAUGCUUCACUUAGAUUAUUUUGAGAUUCUUAAUAGCAUGUUAAUUUGCUUAAAAUCCUAAUAUGCUAGGUAUUCAAAGUUAGUAAAAUUUUCUUAAGAGUGUUUUGAAUACUAAGAGAAGUUUGAUGCUUGAUGAUUGUUUUGAGAUAUGGAGGUAAUAAUAUCAAAGUCAUUCUACUUGAGUAGUUGUGAAAUUGAGAAAUACUAGUGUUGAAGUUUGCAUGUCCCGUAGCACGCACGUAUGGUAAACGUUGUGUAACAAAUUUGAAACAUGAGGUGUUAUUUGAUUGUCUUCCUUGUGAGUGGCGGUCGGGGACAAGCUAUGGUCUUUUCCUACCAAUCUAUCCCCCUAGGAGCAUGCGCGUAGUACCAAGGUUUUUGAUGACUUGUAGAUUUUUGCAGUAAGUAUGUGAGUUCUUUAUGACCAAUGUUGAGUCCUUGAAUUAUACGCACUCUCACCCUUCCAUCCUUGCUAGCCUCUUCGGUACCGUGCAUUGCCCUUUCCCACAUUGAGAGUUGGAGCAAACUUCGCCAGUGCAUCCAAACCCCGUGAUAUGAUACGCUCUUUAACACAUAAACCUCCUUAUAUCUUCCUCAAAAUAGCCACCAUACCUACCUAGUAUGGCAUUUCCAUAGCCAUUCCGACAUAUAUUGCCAUGCAACUUUCCACCAUUCCGUUCAUCAUGACACAUUCAUCAUUGUCAUAUUGCUUAGCAUAAUCAUGUUGUUGACAUAGUAUUUGUGGCAAGGCCACCGUUCAUAAUUCUUUCAUACAUGUCACUCUUGGUCCAUUGCAUGUCCCGGUACACCGCCGGAGGCAUUCAUAUAGAGUCCUACUUUGUUCUAGUAUCGAGUAGUAAUUAUUGAUUCGUAAAUAAAUAGAAGUGUGAUGAUCAUCAUUAAUAGAGCAUGGUCCCAAAAAGAAAAAAAGGAAGUGCCAAAAAAGGCCAAAUAAAAAAAUAUAAAAAAGGGGGGCAAUGCUACUAUCCUUUUUUUCCACACUUGUGCUUCAAAGUAGCACCGUAAUCUUCAAGAUAGAGAGUCUCUUGAUUUGUCACUUUCAUAUACUAGUGGGAAUUUUUCAUUAUAGAACUUGGCUUGUAUAUUCCAAUAAUGGGCCUCCUCAAGUGCCCUAGGUCUUCGUGAGCAAGCAAGUUGGAUGCACACCCACUUAGUUUCUUUUGUUGAGCUCUCAUACAUUUAUAGCUCUAGUGCAUCCGUUGCAUGGCAAUCCCUACUCAUUGCAUUAACAUCAAUUAAUGGGCAUCUCCAUAGCCCAUUGAUUAGCCUCGUUGAUGUGAGACUUUCUCCUUUUUGUCUUCUCCACAUAACCCCACUCAUUAUAUUCUAUUCCACCCAUAGUGUUAUGUCCAUGGCUUGCAAUCAUAUAUUGCAUGAAAGUUUAUAGGUUUGAGAUCACUAAAGUAUGAAACAAUUGCUUGGCUUGUCAUCGGGGUUGUGCAUGAUGAGAGCAUUCUUGUGUGACGAAAAUGAAGCAUGACUAAACUAUAUGAUUUUGUAGGGCUGAACUUUCUUUGGCCGUGUUAUUUUGAGAAGACAUAAUUGCUCAGUUAGUAUGCUUGAAGUAUUAUAAUUUUAUGUCAAUAUGAACUUUUGUCUUGAAUGUUUCAGAUCUGAAUAUUCAUACCACAAUUAAAAAGAAUUACAUUAAAAUCAUGCCAUGUAGCACUCCGCAUCAAAAAUUCUGUUUUUAUCAUUUACCUACUCGAGGACGAGCAGGAAUUAAGCUUGGUGAUGCUUGAUACGUCUCCAACGUAUCUAUAAUUUUUGAUUGCUCCAUGUAUAUUAUCUAUUGUUUUGGACAAUAUUGGGCUUUAUUAUCCACUUUUAUAUUAUUUUUGGGACUAACCUAUUAACCGGAGGCCCAGCCCAGAAUUGUUGUUUUUUGCCUGUUUUAGGGUUUCGAAGAAAAGGAAUAUCAAACGGAGUCCAAACGGAAUGAAACCUUCGGGAACGUGAUUUUCUCAACGAACAAGACCUAGGAGACUUGGACCCUCCAUCAAGACAUAAAAGAGGAGGCCACGAGGUAGGGGGCGUGCCUACCCCCCCCCCCCCCGGCGCGCCCUCCACCCUCGUGGGCCCCCCUGUUGCUCCACCGACGUACUCCUUCCUCCUAUAUAUACCUACUAUUGGGGAACGUAGCAGAAUUUUAAAAUUUUCUAUGCAAGAUCAAUCUAUGGAGUCAUCUAGCAACGAGGGAGAGAGGAGUGCAUCUACAUACCCUUGUAGAUCGCGCGCGGAAGCGUUCAAGAGAACGGGGUUGAUGGAGUCGUACUCGUCGUGAUCCAAAUCACCGAUGACCAAGUGCCGAACGGAUAGCACCUCCGCGUUCAACACACGUACGGUUGGGAAGACGUCUCCUCCUUCUUGAUCCAGCAAGGGGGAAGGAGAGGUUGAUGAAGAUCCAGCAGCACGAUGGCAUGGUGGUGGAUGCAGCAGGAUCCCGGCAGGGCUUCGCCAAGUGCAAGCGGGGAGGAGAGGUGUUACGGAAGGAGAGGGAGGCGCCAAGAGAAAGGGUGCGGCUACCCUCCCUCCCCCCCUCUUUAUAUAGGGGCCUUGGGGGGCGCCGGCCCUAGGAGAUGGAUCUCCAAGGGGGGCGAAGGCCAAGGGGUGGCUUCCCCCCCAAGCCAAGUGGGGGGCGCCCCCACCCCUAGGGUUUCCCAACCCUAGGUGCAGGGGAGGCCCAAGGGGGGCGCACCAGCCCACUAGGGGCUGGUUCUGCUCCCAAUUCAGCCCAUGGGGCCCUCCGGGAUGGGUGGCCCCACCCGGUGGACCCCCGGGACCCUUCCGGUGGUCCUGGUACUAUACCGGUGACCCCCGAAACCUUUCCGAUGGCCGAAACUGUACUUCCUAUAUAUAAAUCUUUACCUCCGGACCAUUCCGGAACUCCUCGUGAUGUCCGGGAUCUCCUCCGGGACUCCGAACAUAUCCUGGGUUACUACAUACUAAUAUCUCUACAACCCUAGCGUCACCGAACCUUAAGUGUGUAGACCCUACGGGUUCGGGAGACAUGCAGACAUGACCGAGACGCCUCUCCGGUCAAUAACCAACAGCGGGAUCUGGAUACCCAUGUUGGCUUCCACAUGCUCCAUGAUGAUCUCAUCGGAUGAACCACGAUGUCGAGGAUUCAAUCAAUCUGUAUACAAUUCCCUCUGUCAAUCGGUAGGUUACUUGCCCGAGACUCGAUCGUCGGUAUCCCAAUACCUCGUUCAAUCUCGUUACCAGCAAGUCACUUUACUCGUGCCGUAAUGCAUGAUCCCAUGAUCAACCACUUGGUCACAAUGAGCUCAUUAUGAUGAUGCAUUACCGAGUGGGCCCAGAGAUACCUCUCCGUCAUACGGAGUGACAAAUCCCAGUCUCGAUUCGUGCCAACCCAACAGACACUUUCAGAGAUACCUGUAAUGUUCCUUUAUAGUCACCCAGUUACGUUGUGACAUUUGGCACACCCAAGGCACUCCUACGGUAUCCGGGAGUUGCCCAAUCUCAUGGUCUAAGGAAAUGAUACUUGACAUUCGGAAAAGCUACAGCAAACGAACUACACGAUCUUUGAGCUAUGCUUAGGAUUGGGUCUUGUCCAUCACAUCAUUCUCCUAAUGAUGUGAACCCGUUAUCAAUAACAUCCAAUGUCCAUAGUCAGGAAACCAUGACUAUCUUUUGAUCAACGAGCUAGUCAACUAGAGGCUCACUAGGGACGUGUUGUCUUCUAUGUAUUCACACAUGUAUUACGAUUUCCGGAUAACACAAUUAUAGCAUGAACAAUAGACAAUUAUCAUGAACAAAGAAAUAUAAUAAUAACCAUUUUAUUAUUGCCUCUAGGGCAUAUUUCCAACAGUCUCCCACUUGCACUAGAGUCAAUGUCUAGUUACAUUGUGAUGAAUCGAACACCCUUGAAGUUCUGGAGUUGAUCAUAUUUUUCUCUAGGGAGAGGUUUAGUCAAUGGAUCUGCCACAUUCAGGUCCGUAUGUACUUUACAAAUCUCUAUGUCUCCAUUUUGAACAACUUCACGAAUGGAGUUGAAGUGACGCUUGAUAUGCCUGGUCUUCCUGUGAAACCUGGGCUCCUUGGCAAGUGCAAUAGCUCCAGUGUUGUCACAGAAUAGAGUCAUCGGGCACGGUGCAUUGGGUAUGACUCCUAGGUCGGUAAUGAACUCCUUCACCCAGACUGCUUCUUGUCCUGCCUCCGAGGCUACCAUGUACUCCGCUUCACAUGUAGAUCCCGCCACAACGCUUUGCUUGCAACUCCACCAGCUUAUUGCCCCACCAUUCAAAAUAUACACGUAUCCGGUUUCCGACUUAGAGUCAUCCAGAUCUGUGUCGAAGCUAGCAUCGACGUAACCCUUUACGACGAGCUCUUCGUCACCUACAUAAACGAGAAACAUAUCCUUACUCCUUUUUAGGUACUUGAGGAUAUUCUUGACCGCUGUCCAUGUUAGGGAACGUUGUAAUUUCAAAAAAAUUCCUACGCACACGCAAGAUCAUGGUGAUGCAUAGCAACGAGGGGAGAGUCUGAUCUACGUACCCUUGUAGAUCGCAACGGAAGCGUUGACACAACGUAGGGGAAGUAGUCGUACGUCUUCUUCCCGAUCCGACCGAUCCAAGCACCAUUACUCCGGCACCUCCGAGUUCUUAGCACACGUUCAGCUCGAUGACGAUCCUCGGGCUCCGAUCCAGCAAAGUGUCGAGGAAGAGUUCCGUCAGCACGACGGCGUGGCGACAAUCUUAAUGUACUACCGACGCAGGGCUUCGCCUAAGCACUACAACAGUAUGAUCGAGGUGGAAUUUGGUGGCAGGGGGCACCGAACACGGCUAAGGAACGAUCUCAAUGAUCAACUUGUGUGUCUAGAGGUGCCCCCUGCCCCCGUAUAUAAAGGUUGCCAGGGGGUGGGCUGGCCGGCCAAAGGAGGAGGGCGCAGGAGGAGUCCUACUCCUACCGGGAGUAGGACUCCCCCCCCCAAUCCUAUUCCUAAUAGGACUCCUCGAGAGAGAGAGAGGGAGAAGGGGGCCGGCCACCUCUCCUAGUCCUAAUAGGACUAGGGGAGGGGGGAGGCGCGCAGCCCACCUUGGGCUGCCCCUUUCGCCUUUCCACUAAGGCCCAAUAAGGCCCAUUUGGUUCCCGGGGGGUUCCGGUAACCUCCCUAUACUCCGGUAAAAUUCCCGAUUUCACCCGGAACACUUCCGAUGUCCAAACAUAGGCUUCCAAUAUAUCAAUCUUUAUGUCUCGACCAUUUCGAGACUCCUCGUCAUGUCCGUGAUCACAUCCGGGACUCCGAACAACCUUCGGUACAUCAAAAUGCAUAAACUCAUAAUAACUGUCAUCGUAACGUUAAGCGUGCGGACCCUACGGUUCGAGAACAAUGUAGACAUGACCGAGACACGUCUCCGGUCAAUAACCAAUAGCGGGACCUGGAUGCCCAUAUUUGCUCCUACAUAUUCUACAAAGAUCUUUAUCGGUCAGACCGCAUAACAACAUACGUUGUUCCCUUUGUCAUCGGUAUGUUACUUGCCCGAGAUUCGAUCGUCGGUAUCCAAUACCUAGUUCAAUCUCGUUACUGGCAAGUCUAUUUACUCGUUCCGUAAUACAUCAUCUCACAACUAACAUCUUAGUUAUAAUGCUUGCAAGGCUUCUGUGAUGUGUCUUACCGAGAGGGCCCAGAGAUACCUCUCCGACAAUCGGAGUGACAAACCCUAAUCUCGAAAUACGCCAACCCAACAUCUACCAUUGGAGACACCUGUAGUACUCCUCUAUAAUCACCCAGUUAUGUUGUGACGUUUGGUAGUACCCUAAGUGUUCCUCCGGCAAACGGGAGUUGCAUAAUCUCAUAGUCAUAGGAACAUGUAUAAGUCAUGAAGAAAGCAAUAGCAACAUACUAAACGAUUGGGUGCUAAGCUAAUGAAAUGGGUCAUGUCAAUCAGAUCAUUCAACUAAUGAUGUGACCUCGUUAAUCAAAUAACAACUCUUUGUUCAUGGUUAGGAAACGUAACCAUCUUUGAUUAACGAGCUAGUCAAGUAAAGGCAUACUAGUGACACUCUGUUUGUCUAUGUAUUCACACAUGUAUUAUGUUUCCGGUUAAUACAAUUCUAGCAUGAAUAAUAAACAUUUAUCAUGAUAUAAGGAAAUAAAUAAUAACUUUAUUAUUGCCUCUAGGGCAUAUUUCCUUCAGUCUCCCACUUGCACUAGAGUCAAUUAUCUAGAUUACACAGUAAUGAUUCUAACACCCAUGGAGCCUUGGUGCUGAUCAUGUUUUGCUCAUGGAAGAUGCUUAGUCAACGGGUCUGCAACAUACAGAUCCGUAUGUAUCUUGCAAAUCUCUAUGUCUCCCACCUGGACUAGAUCCCGGAUGGAGUUGAAGCGUCUCUUGAUGUGUUUGGUCCUUUUGUGUAAUCUGGAUUCCUUUGCUAAAGCAAUUGCACCAGUAUUGUCACAAAAGAUUUUCAUUGGACCCGAUGCACUAGGUAUGACACCUAGAUCGGAUAUGAACUCCUUCAUCCAGACUCCUUCGUUCGCUGCUUCCGAAGCAGCUAUGUACUCCGCUUCACAUGUAGAUCCCGCUACGACGCUUGUUUAGAACUGCACCAAUUGACAGCUCCACCGUUUAAAGUAAACACCUAUCCGAUUUGCAAUUUAGAAUCGUCCGGAUCAGUGUCAAAGCUUGCAUCAACGUAACCUCUUACGGUGAGCUCUUUGUCACCUCCAUAUACGAGAAACAUAUCCUUAGUCCUUUUCAGGUACUUCAGGAUGUUCUUGACCGUUGUCCAGUGAUCCACUCCUGGAUUACUUUGGUACCUCCCUGCUAAACUUAUAGCAAGGCACACAUCAGGUCUGGUACACAGCAUUGCAUACAUGAUAGAGCCUAUGGCUGAAGCAUAGGGAACAUCUUUCAUUUUCUCUCUAUCUUCUGCAGUGGUCGGGCAUUGAGUCUGACUCAACUUCACACCUUGUAACACAGGCAAGAACCCUUUCUUUGCUUGAUCCAUUUUGAACUAAUUCAAAAUCUUGUCAAGGUAUGUGCUUUGUGAAAGUCCAAUUAAGCGUCUUGAUCUAUCUCUAUAGAUCUUUAUGCCUAAUAUGUAAGCGGCUUCCCCGAGGUCUUUCAUCGAAAAACUUUUAUUCAAGUAUCCCUUUAUGCUAUCCAGAAAUUCUAUAUCAUUUCCAAUCAGCAAUAUGUCAUCCACAUAUAAUAUCAGAAAUGCUACAGAGCUCCCACUCACUUUCUUGUAAAUACAGGCUUCUCCAAAAGUCUGUAUAAAGCCAAAUGCUUUGAUCACACUAUCAAAGCGUUUAUUCAAACUCCGAGAGGCUUGCACCAGUCCAUAAAUGGAUCGCUGGAGCUUGCACACUUUGUUAGCUCCCUUUGGAUCGAUAAAACCUUCUGGUUGCAUCAUAUACAACUCUUCUUCCAGAAAUCCAUUCAGGAAUGCAGUUUUGACAUCCAUCUGCCAAAUUUCAUAAUCAUAAAAUGCGGCAAUUGCUAACAUGAUUCUGACAGACUUAAGCAUCGCUACGGGUGAGAAGGUCUCAUCGUAGUCAACCCCUUGAACUUGUCGAAAAACUUUUGCGACAAGUCGAGCUUUAUAGACAGUAAUAUUACCGUCAGCGUCAGUCUUUUUCUUGAAGAUCCAUUUAUUCUCAUUUGCUUGCCGAUCAUCAGGCAAGUCAACCAAAGUCCAUACUUUGUUCUCAUAUAUGGAUCCCAUCUCAGAUUUCAUGGCUUCAAGCCACUUUGCGGAAUCUGGGCUCACCAUCGCUUCUUCAUAGUUCGUAGGUUCAUCAUGAUCUAGUAGCAUGACUUCCAGAAUUGGAUUACCGUACCACUCUAGUGCGGAUCUCACUCUGGUUGAUCUAUGUGGUUCAGUAGUAUCUUGUCCUAAAGUUUCAUGAUCAUCAUCAUUAGCUUCCUCACUAAUUGGUAUAGGUGUCGCAGAAACAGUUUUCUGUGAUGUACUAUUUUCCAAUAAGGGAGCAGGUACAGUUACCUCGUCAAGUUCUACUUUCCUCCCACUCACUUCUUUCGAGAGAAACUCCUUCUCUAGAAAUGAUCCAUUCUUAGCAACGAAUGUCUUGCCUUCGGAUCUGUGAUAGAAGGUGUACCCAACAGUCUCCUUUGGGUAUCCUAUGAAGACACAUUUCUCCGCUUUGGGUUCGAGCUUAUCAGGUUGAAGCUUUUUCACAUAAGCAUCGCAGCCCCAAACUUUAAGAAACGACAACUUUGGUUUCUUGCCAACACUACAGGAAUCGGCUACUUUGCCAUGUGCCACGGCGGACGGCAAAGGCCCGAACGGCGGACGGCAAAGGCCUUUGCCGUCAGCGGCGGACGGCAAAAGGCUCCGGCAAAGUAGGCUUCGGUAAACAGGUUCUUUGCCGUCUACUAUUGACGGCAAAGUCUUUGCCGUCUGCGGCGGACGGCAAAGAGAGAGCAGCAGACGGCAAAGACGGCGGACGGCAAUAAUUGCGCUGUCAGUCCGUUAAGUGGCUAACGGAAGGCCUUUGCCGUCCGCCGCUGACGGCAAAAUUUCUAGGGUCUUUGCCGUCCGCCGUAUGAUGUCAUCUACACGUCACUACGUGGCAGGUUCUUUGCCGUCUGCCACUGACGGCAAAGUCUUUGCUGUCUGCCACUGUAGGCAAACUGACCAAAUGGGUCAGCUCCCAGGAAGCACAGGUGGACGCCACGUGGCUUCUUUGCCAUCCGCGGCAGACGGCAAAGAGCCCGUUGCCGUCGGUGGUAGACGGCAAAGAGCCUGCAUAUUGGCUCUUUUUUCUGUUUUUUCAUAUACCCAACCAUUUUCACAGCAAAUAGAUGAUACAUAUAUAUUUUUCACAUGGCAAGUUCACAGCAAACAUAUGAGAUAUCCAACACAUAUAAUUGCAUCAUACAUGCAUAGUUCCAUCAACCAUACAUAGCAAGUUCGACAUACAUGCAUCCAACCAUACAUAUUACAAUAGUGUCAUCCUACCAUACAUGCAUAGUUCAUAGAUACAAAGGAAACAUAGUUCAUCCAAACAAGCACUCCAUCUAUGCAAGCUUCCGUGAAGUGAAUGAAUUCUGCAAAAUGGGAAAUAAGAAAGUUAGAAGAAGAAGAUUGGAAGAAGAAGAAGUAGAAGAAGAAUAUAUAUAUAUAUAUGACAUUUAUGCGCUAAUUUAGGUGAAAUUGAUCAUUUGUGAGCUAACUUAGGUGAAAUGGAUCGUUUAUGAGCUAACCUAGGUGCAAUGGAUCGCUUAUGAGCAAACUUAAGUAAAAUGCAUCAUUUUAGAGGUAACCUAGGUAAGAUGGAUCAUUUUGGAGCUAACCUAGGUAAAAUGGGUCAUUUUAGAGCUAACUUCGGUAGAAUGGAUCAUUUAUGAGCUAGGUAAGGUUAAAUGGAUCAUUUUAGAACUAACUUAGGUAAAAUGGAUCGUUUAUGAGCUAACUUAGGUAAAAUGGAUCGUUUUUGAGCUAACUAAGGUGAAAUGAAUCGUUUUUGAGCUAACUAAGGUGAAGGGCAUCAUUUUUGAGCUAACUAAGGUGAAAUGGAUCGUUUUUGAGCUAACUAAGGUGAAAUGAAUCGUUUUUGAGCUAACUAAGGUAAAAUGGAUCGUUUUUGAGCUAACUUAGGUGAAAUGGAUCGUUUUUGAGCAAACUUAGGUGAAAUGGNNNNNNNNNNNNNNNNNNNNNNNNNNNNNNNNNNNNNNNNNNNNNNNNNNNNNNNNNNNNNNNNNNNNNNNNNNNNNNNNNNNNNNNNNNNNNNNNNNNNNNNNNNNNNNNNNNNNNNNNNNNNNNNNNNNNNNNNNNNNNNNNNNNNNNNNNNNNNNNNNNNNNNNNNNNNNNNNNNNNNNNNNNNNNNNNNNNNNNNNNNNNNNNNNNNNNNGGAUCGUUUUUGAGCUAACUAAGGUGAAAUGGAUCAUUUUUUAGCUAACUAAGGUGAAAUGGAUCGUUUUUGAGCAAACUUAGGUGAAAUGGAUCAUUUAAGAGCUAAUUUAGGUGAAAUGGAUUGUUUUUGAGCUAACUAAGGUGAAAUGGAUCGUUUUUGAGCAAACUUAGGUGAAAUGGAUCAUUUAAGAGCUAAUUUAGGUGAAAUGGAUCGUUUUUGAGCAAACUUAGGUGAAAUGGAUCAUUUAAGAGCUAAUUUAGGUGAAAUGGAUCGUUUUUAGCUAACUUAGGUGAAAUGGAUCGUUUAGGAGCUACUCUAGGUAAAUUGGGUCAUUUUAGAGCUAACUUGGAUAAACUAGAUCACUUAUAAGCUAACCUAGGUAAGAUGGGUCAUUUUGGAGCUAACUUAGGUAAAAUGGAUCGUCUAUGAGCUAACUAAGCUAAUUAUGCAAUUUUUGACAUAAGUAAGCUAAGUAUAGAUUGUUUUAGAGCUAACUUAGGUAAAAUGGAUGGUUUUGGAGGUCAGUAAGCUUAUUUAGUCAUUUUGGAGGAGAAGAAGCUAAGUCUACGUCAUUAUGGUAAGCAUUGGAGGAAAUAAAGCUAAGUCUAGGUCUUUAUGCAUGUGUUAAGCAAAACACUAGAUAAACUUACCAAGAUCCAGGAGGUGUAGGAGUGGGGUGGCUCGUGUCGGUAGCUGGAGAAGGAUCGUGCGAUGCUUGUCUGGAGUUACGCUGCACCAAAGAUCAUUUCCAAUGUCUUGUUAGCAUGAUGACACUCAAAUGUUAAGACUAGUAAGUAAUGUCCAUUCAAAUAAAACUCACCGUGGUCCCAGGAGCAAUCACUGGCAUCGGCGGAGCGGUCUGACCUGUCUUCUCGCACACAGACUGCACAUUUGGUUUUGACGACUCAGUCAUACUAGUUAGUAAUGAGACAAACACUACAUGAAUGUUUUGGCUAAUCUGCAGAUGAAACUUACCACAAGGAGCUCGUACAUGGCCCUUGCCUGCAUGUCAUUCCGUGCCCUCUCCUCCUCCACCAUCUUUGUCGUCCUCUCCUCCAACUCCCGCUGCCUCUCCGCCGCCUCCGCCAGAAGUUUCUCCGUUCUAUCUCUCUCACUCUGUAUGGCAGCCUGCAACACCACUCACAUGACAAUUUGUAAUCAUUGAUGGAAGCGCACACAAUGUAAUGGAGAAAGAUAACUGAGUAUGUAUCACUAACCUUGAUGGCGACUUGCACUGGCCGUUCACGAGGCCUUAUCUUAGGAGCGGAGCUCGACUGGCGCGCCUUGAUCUCCGAGAGAGUGCUAGGACAACGGAUAAGUCCAUCUCCAAUGGCUAUGGAGCCAUGGGACCUCCCGUCACCAGAUAUCAUCAACAGCUCUGGAUCAAUGGGACCCUGGCUCGGGUUAAAGUCCUCCCCUUUCCUCGCCUUCCCCUCAUCUCUAUAUCUCACGAGCUUGUUGUGGGAGGAGAUGUUGGUGAAGUUGUUUGCAUCAUCGAGGUCAGACUGAGAGAAAGCCUUGACUUUCUUGAAAGAGGCAGUGUGGGCCAUGGCAUACAGGUCGUACACCUCUGGCACCUUAUCCGCCUUAUUAUAGCAUGCCUGAAAGAGAGAAACAAUGAAAAUUAGUAAUUAAAGGGCUCAAGCUAGCAUGAUGAAUGAAUUGCAUGAAUCAUGAAGCAAACCACAUACCCAGUUGCGCCCGAACUGAUAUAAGUUGGAGCUGCCUUGAUGGUGUGGCACACCUUCCAUUUUUGCACGUUUGUCCUUGGCCUCCUUGUGGGGGGCUAGCCAUCGUUGUGAGCACCACUCAUCGACCAACACCUCCCAACAAUCCAUCCGAUCCGCACACCAUCUCGGAGGCGCCUAAGUUAGCAAAUAGAAACUUGAGCGCUACGGCUAAGAAUUACUAAAUGAAGGAACUUAAGUAGAGAAGGCCUUGAGAAUUACCUUCAUGUAAUGCUCCUUACUCAGGAACUUAUCGCAGCAUGCCGGCUUGGUCUUCUUGAUACCACGCAAGGCGUAGUAGUCUCGAACAGCCUGCACCCGAGCCUCGUGCCGUAAGUUCUGGAGUAGGCGCUUGCAGACGUUCUCGAUAACAUGUGCCGCGUCCUCCUCGUAUCCCUCCUCACACCUGUAGAAUGUCUGCAAUCAAAUGAGACAAUGUUGAUUAGUACAAUUAAUAACUAGCUAGUUGAAGAUUUUUAAAUGUGUAAAGGAGAAAUUACCCAGAACUUUCUGAUCACCAUGUCUGCCCUCGUGUCACACACGACACCGUCGAUAAUCUCAUUUGGCAGGGCCGGGGCAGCCACGUAGUGCUCCCAGCUCAAUCCAAGCUCUGGAAGCCGACCCUCACCAGGCAACGUGACAAACCCCGGGAAGUUUUGCCGGCAAAGAACUCCAAGGACGGAGUUGGGCCGGCGGACACUAUGAUGGUGGUCCCAACCCCUGCAGCAUGACAAGGCCAACGCAUUAGUUAUUUGAAAAAAUGUGAAUGCACAAGGUACAAAAAUAUUAAAUGCACUUACGUACCUCUCCCCAUCAGGGAAAAUCAACCACCUCUGCUCGCGGGUCACCGGCACGGACGGGAGCCGUGUAGCACCACGCUGGUAGACGGUGCCCCCCUCCUCCUCAAGAUCAGUCGGCUCCCCGCCAUCAUCAGCAUGACCACUCGGCUCCUUGGGCUGAUCCGGCCAGGUACCCCAUCCGGACGUGUGCUCCUCCGGGGUCAUGUGGGCCGAACUCUCGUGGGCUGAAGACCCGUGGACCGGAGGCUCAUGGACCGGAGUUCGUGUAGCCUCCUCCUCGGACGAGUCCACCCUAGCAGUCACGUGCUUGGGUGAAACGGUUGGGGGUGGCGGCGAGGAAGGCACCGUAGCAGUCACCCUACCUCCUCUCCCAGGACCACGUGCCCCACCUCCUCUCUUCCUACCUCGUCCCCUGCUGGGCACCAUGGUCGACGAAGAAGGGCCCGGCGGUGUGGCCAUACUGUCCAGCAACGCUCGGCGGAGAGGUGCGUCUGGAAUGGAAGACCUCAGACCACGCUCCCGACCAGUGCCCACCAUCUUUCAACACCUGCCAUGACAAACAGUAAAUGAAAUUAGUACAACAUAAAAAAGGACCGACAUGAAUAAUAAUAUGUGUAUCACUUAAGUGUAUCAUCAUCAAGUACAACAUAAAAAAAUGUAAUACCGGACACUACUAAUAAUCUCGAUCAGUAUCAUCAAUAAAUGCAUAAUCAUCAUCAUCACUAUAAUCAAUGACGGGCUCAUAGGGUUCAUUGGCAUCAACAUGUGCAAGGCCACCUUGACGUAAUCGGUCAAGCAUUGACAGGUCAUCCGCAGCAGUAACCUCUUCUUGUUCCGGCUCUUCUUGUUCCUCCUCUGGGGUGAUGUCGGAUUCAUUGUCGCUGUCUACUUCAAUGUUUUGGGGUGAAGUAUAGCGGUUCUUGAAACGCUUUUUGGAAAGACGUGUCUCUUGGAAGAAUUCUCCUUCAUAUGUGUCUGGGUUAAUGUGAGGUUCAUAAUCCUCUUCCUUUGCGGGAGAAAGUCUAGCACGUGGCGGCACUUCAUAAACGACAUCCCAACCUUUCAGAUUUGGAUUAGUUUGGCAGGCCCACGGUAGAUAGAAUACUUGGGUCGCCUGUUGAGCCAUAAUAUAGACAUCAAGAACAUCUAAACGAGUGCUUUGGUUGAUUUCAACUAGCCCUACAUGUUCAUGAGUCCUUCUAGUCUCGUUUGGCUGAAACCAAUAACAUUUGAAGACUACGACAUUUUGUGGGUUUUCACCAUAGAACAGAAGUUCAUAAAUUGCUUCAACUCUCCCAUAAUACUCGGUACCUCCUUUGCCGAUAGCAGAUACACAACAAUUUGUUGACUUUGGGUCCGCCAUAGAUAGCUCUUUGCCAUAGGUACGAAAGCGAUACCCGUUGAUGUCGUACUUGUCAAAUGAACGGACCUUAUAGUCAAAACCAUUAGCGACUUGUCUCAAUUCGGCGUCCAUAGAGUCUGGAUUAGCCUACAGGUUUAAUAUGAAAGGAUUGUUGCAUUAUGCACAAAUUAGCGAAUGAAAUGAAAUUGUCUAAUAGAAAUUACCGUUUGUUUGAACCAAGAGAUGAAACCGGGAUAGCCACCUCCUUGCUUUGCGAGAAGCUCAUACUCUUCGACAGAAUCCUUUUGGAUCUCCGCUCCAUACGAGAAUAUGGUGACGUAUCGACUGUAUGACAUAUCCAGGAAUAAGAGUAGUUCAAAGGAAAUAGAAGUUGCGAAACAAUGUAUCGAGAACUUACUCGAUGUACGGCCGCACUUCUAUCAGGUUGUUGAAGAUAUACAAUGAAAUGGUCCGCCAUUCUUUGUUAUCCAAAGAUACUGGAUGUGAAACACCAGCUGGUGCGAGAUUCCCUUUGAAUAGGCUGAGGUUGGAUCCACCCUUUUUAGGCUCGUCAGCAUUGUACCGAGGCUUCGGAUUAUGCAAAUGACGAUUUUUGGCUUCGUAGUGCGCUGUUACGAAGUUUGCCACCUCCUCUGUGAUGAAUGCCUCAGCCAUCGAUGCUUCAAUUCUACGUUUAUUUUUACAUUUUUCUCGAAGCGUGUUCUGCAUCCUCUCAGUUGGGUAGCACCAACGAUUUUGCACGGGCCCCCCCAAUCUUGCCUCGGUCGGGAGAUGCAAAAUCAAAUGCUGCAUUGGAUUAAAGAAGCCCGGUGGAAAGAUUUUCUCUAACUUGUAGAUCAACUCCGGCGCCAACUCUUCCAUUUCUUCUAGCACGCCAGGAGAUAGUUAUUUCGCACAAAGAACACGGAAGAAAUAGCUGAGUUCUGCCAGUACUAGCCAUUCAUCCUCAGGGAUGAAGCCACGCAACAUCACCGGCAUUACCCGCUCAAUCCAUAUUUGCUCCCCUCUUUAGAUUCGCUGCAUACCCAUCGGGGAACAUCAACUGCUGUUGCACCCACAAGAGAAUUUCCCUCAUAGCUGGCCUUCCAAGAUUGAACCAUGCCUUUGGCUUCGUCUAGUUCUGCUUUCCUUUCGGUUCUUUCAUGUUUUGUAACGGCCUAUCACAUAGCGCCUCCAGAUCGACUCUAGCCUUAGUAUUAUCCUUUGACUUCCCAUCCAUGCCGAACAAUGUACCAAAAAGUGCCUCGGUGAUAUUCUUCUCAGUGUGCAUCACGUCGAUGUUGUGUGGGCAAAGGAGGUCUUUGAAGUAAGGCAGAUCCCAUAAGCAUGUUUUGUGAGUCCACGCAUGCUUAGUAUUAUACCCCUUGAAGUACCCUGGACAUUGUGGAUCUGGCUCGAGAGCGUUUAACUGAUCCAGGGUCUGUUGGCCUGUCAAUGCAGGUGGUGCAGAGUUUUUGACAACUCUACCCCUGAUGAAGUUCUUCUUGUCUUCCCUGAACUUAUGGCGAGGAUCCAGGAACUGUCUAUGCAUGUCGAAGCAAGAAAACUUGCGACCGGCCUGAAGCCAACGAAACUCAAGAGCUCCCUGGCAUGUGGGGCACGGGAACCUUCCAUGCACACACCAGCCAAUGAAUAGCGCAUACGCCGGCAAGUCAUGCGUCGAGUACAUGUACUAGACACGCAUUAUGAAGUUCCGUUUGCUAAAGGCAUCGUAUGUCUUGAACCCAUUAUCCCAAGCUUCUUGCAAUUCGUCCUUAAGCGGCUGCAUGUACACAUUCAUAUUUUUGCCCGGAUAGUUGGGUCCUGGAAAUAUCAACGUUAGGAAAAUGUUCUUUCUUUGCAUAAUCUGUGCGGGGGGGAGAUUGAGUGGAAAGACAAAUACGGGCCAACAACUGUAUUGGGCUGCCAUCAUACCAAACACACUGAACCCAUCCGUGCUGAUGCCGACUCGAGAAUGCCUCGGAUCUGCCGCUUUGUCAGCAUGUAAUUCAUCAAACUUUUUCCACGCAACACCAUCCGAUGUGUGUACCAUCAUCAGAUUCCCAUCUGCAUCUAGUGCGGUUCUUUUGCCUGUUUUGUGCCAUGUCAUCUGUCUGGCCGUCUCUUUGACCAUGAAAAGACGUUGAAGUCUUGGUACAAUUGGCAUAUACCGAAGAACACUAACGGGGAUUUUGGUCUGUGUCUUCUCACCCAUACCGUUGUCUACCACAAUAUACCUGGAAGACUUGCAAAUGGGACAAUAGUUCAAGUCCGCAUAGUCAAGCCUAAAUAAGGCACAUCCUUUCUCACAGGCAUGUAUCUUCUCAUAGGGCAUCUUCAGUGCAUGGAGGAUUUUGUCCGACUGGUACAGGUUUGCAGGCAUUACAUGUCCUUUGGGUAGAAAGCGUCCAAAUACUGUCAUAAUUGCGUCAUAGCAUUCUCUACCCAAGUUGAACUGAGCCUUCAGAGCCAUUACUUGUGAGAUGGCAUCCAACUGACAAAGCUCAGUGUGCUCGCGGAGCGGACGUUUCGAAGACUCCAACAUUUCAUUGAAGGCCUUUGCAGAUUCCUCCAUCUCCUCGUCCGAAUCCCGAGCAUCAUCAUAGUCUUGCACCAUGUUUUCCAUCCCGGUACCAUGCUCGUCGGUGCGACGACGAUCCACCUCAGCUCGGUCACGUUGGGCAGACUCACCAUGAAAUGUCCAGACCGUAUAAUCGGGCGUAAAACCACUCUUCUGCAGGUGUUUGCCCAUUUCAGCCUCUCUCUUCUUUUCCCAAUUGCCGCACCGGAAAUAGGGGCACCAGGUUUUCUUUUGGCCAUUUGCAAAUGCGGCUUGCACAAACCCCUUAGUUUUUGUGAACCAUUCAGCGCUCCAUUUGUUCUGACCAGUGUGACCGGUAUACAUCCAAGCACGGUCACUCAUCUUGACUUUCAGAGCUACUGGACACACAACAAUUAUAUAUGUAAUUCACCAUGUAUAUAUUCAUCAGUUGAUCUACUGUGUCAAUUUUAUUACGUCCAUGCAACCUACACUCUAAUAGGUAAUGAUAGGUCCUAAUCCCACCCGUGUAUGUGUAGAUUGGGUUCAUUUUCCCAUGCUAUGCUCCGGAUCCGACGCAAAAUUUCGGCAGCACCUCCCCGUUAUUCUCCUGAUACACGUCUCUGCAAUAAACAGAGAGGAUGUGUACCCGGAGAACAACAGGGGAGGCACUGACGAAAUAUAUGCGUCGGAUCCGGAGCAAAGCAUAUGGGAAAACGAACCCAAUCUACACAUACUCGGGCUGUCCAUGGAUAGCGUUGGACAAUUCGAAAGAAUCAAGGUUAUAAAUAUGCAAAUGCAUGCAUAUUUAUAAAUAUGACGCUUUCGAAUGGGAGACACAUAUUGGUUACGCAUACUGAUGAUUCAAGACACAUAUAUAGCUAGCUAUCAAGUUUCAUCGGAAUAGAUCAAAUAAUUAAUGGGGGAGGAGGACUUGUCAUUUGUGCUCACCCACGAACGAAGGGCAGAGCUCGUCAAACGCACGGCGAGGUCGUCGAACACCAAACCUCGCAGCGAUGAAACAACUGCACAUUUAAAACUACACGAUCAACACAAUUAUAUAUGAUGUUUUUCAUAACUAAAUCGAAAAAUAUAUAACCUAACUAAUAAUUCACAAAUAUAUGACCCCGUCGGCCUCUGGAAGGCCGAAGAACACCUUAAUUUUCGGGAGGUGUCGGUGGUCGGGGUGCCCUGUCGGUGUCGGGGUGCCGUGUCGGGGUCGGGGUCUCGGGGUCGGGGUGUCGGGUCGGGGUGCCNNNNNNNNNNNNNNNNNNNNNNNNNNNNNNNNNNNNNNNNNNNNNNNNNNNNNNNNNNNNNNNNNNNNNNNNNNNNNNNNNNNNNNNNNNNNNNNNNNNNNNNNNNNNNNNNNNNNNNNNNNNNNNNNNNNNNNNNNNNNNNNNNNNNNNNNNNNNNNNNNNNNNNNNNNNNNNNNNNNNNNNNNNNNNNNNNNNNNNNNNNNNNNNNNNNNNNNNNNNNNNNNNNNNNNNNNNNNNNNNNNNNNNNNNNNNNNNNNNNNNNNNNNNNNNNNNNNNNNNNNNNNNNNNNNNNNNNNNNNNNNNNNNNNNNNNNNNNNNNNNNNNNNNNNNNNNNNNNNNNNNNNNNNNNNNNNNNNNNNNNNNNNNNNNNNNNNNNNNNNNNNNNNNNNNNNNNNNNNNNNNNNNNNNNNNNNNNNNNNNNNNNNNNNNNNNNNNNNNNNNNNNNNNNNNNNNNNNNNNNNNNNNNNNNNNNNNNNNNNNNNNNNNNNNNNNNNNNNNNNNNNNNNNNNNNNNNNNNNNNNNNNNNNNNNNNNNNNNNNNNNNNNNNNNNNNNNNNNNNNNNNNNNNNNNNNNNNNNNNNNNNNNNNNNNNNNNNNNNNNNNNNNNNNNNNNNNNNNNNNNNNNNNNNNNNNNNNNNNNNNNNNNNNNNNNNNNNNNNNNNNNNNNNNNNNNNNNNNNNNNNNNNNNNNNNNNNNNNNNNNNNNNNNNNNNNNNNNNNNNNNNNNNNNNNNNNNNNNNNNNNNNNNNNNNNNNNNNNNNNNNNNNNNNNNNNNNNNNNNNNNNNNNNNNNNNNNNNNNNNNNNNNNNNNNNNNNNNNNNNNNNNNNNNNNNNNNNNNNNNNNNNNNNNNNNNNNNNNNNNNNNNNNNNNNNNNNNNNNNNNNNNNNNNNNNNNNNNNNNNNNNNNNNNNNNNNNNNNNNNNNNNNNNNNNNNNNNNNNNNNNNNNNNNNNNNNNNACUAAAUCUAAACCUAAAACAAAACUAAAACUAAACCUAAAACUAAAACUAAAACUAAAUCUAAACUAAAACUAAAAAGGAAAAAAACAGAAAAAAAAUAGAAAAAAGGAGGUUGGGGCUCACCUUCUGCAGCGCCGGUGGAGGAGGGGGCGGGGCGGUGGAGGAGCUGGCUGGGGCGCGGGGCGGCCUGGGGCGGCGCGGGGCCGGGCCCGAUGCGGUGGGGCGCGGGGCGGCGGUGCGUGCGGACCCUAUGGUUCGAGAACAAUGUAGACAUGACCGAGACACGUCUCCGGUCAAUAACCAAUAGCGGGACCUGGAUGCCCAUAUUGGCUCCUACAUAUUCUACGAAGAUCUUUAUCGGUCAGACCGCAUAAUAACAUACGUUGUUCCCUUUGUCAUCGGUAUGUUACUUGCCCGAGAUUCGAUUGUCGGUAUCCAAUACCUAGUUCAAUCUCGUUACUGGCAAGUCUCUUUACUCGUUCCAUAAUACAUCAUCUCACAACUAACAUCUUAGUUAUAAUGCUUGCAAGGCUUAUGUGAUGUGUCUUACCAAGAGGGCCCAGAGAUACCUCUCCGACAAUCGGAGUGACAAACCCUAAUCUCGAAAUACGCCAACCCAACAUCUACCAUUGGAGACACCUGUAGUACUCCUUUAUAAUCACCCAGUUACGUUGUGACGUUUGGUAGUACCCAAAGUGUUCCUCCGGCAAACGGGAGUUGCAUAAUCUCAUAGUCAUAGGAACAUGUAUAAGUCAUGAAGAAAGCAAUAGCAACAUACUAAACGAUCGGGGGCUAAGAUAAUGAAAUGGGUCAUGUCAAUCAGAUCAUUCAACUAAUGAUGUGACCUCGUAAAUCAAAUAACAACUCUUUGUUCAUGGUUAGGAAACAUAACCAUCUUUGAUUAACGAGCUAGUCAAGUAAAGGCAUACUAGUGACACUCUGUUUGUCUAUGUAUUCACACAUGUAUUAUGUUUCCGGUUAAUACAAUUCUAGCAUGAAUAAUAAACAUUUAUCAUGAUAUAAGGAAAUAAAUAAUAACUUUAUUAUUGCAUCUAGGGCAUAUUUCCUUCAGUCCAGUGUUCCAUGCCGGGAUUACUUUGGUACCUUCCUACCAAACUUACGGCAAGGUUUACAUCAGGUCUGGUACACAGCAUAGCAUACAAGAUAGACCCUAUGGCCGAGGCAUAGGGGACGACACUCAUAUUUUCUCUAUCUUCUACCGUGGUCGUGCAUUGAGCCGUGCUCAAUCUCGUACCUUGCAAUAUAGGCAAGAACCCCUUCUUUUACUGAUCCAUUUUGAACUUCUUCAAUAUCUUGUCAAGGUACGUACUCUGUGGAAGACCAAUGAGGCGUCUCGAUCUAUCUCUAUAGAUCUUGAUGCCUAAUAUAUAAGCAGCUUCUCCAAGAUCCUUCAUUGAAAAACACUUGUUCAAGUAGGCCUUUAUGCUUUCCCAGAAUUCUAUAUCAUUUCCCAUCAACAAUAUGUCAUCCACAUCCAAUAUGGGAAAUUCUACAAAGCUCCCACUCAGUUCUUGUAAAUGCAGGCUUCUCCAUAAGUCUGCGUAAACCCAAACGCUUUGAUCAUCUCAUCAAAAUGAAUGUUCCAACUCCGAGAUGCUUGCACCAGCCCAUAAAUCGAGCGUUGGAGCUUGUACACCUUGUCAGCAUUCUUAGGAUCGACAAAACCUUCUGGCUGCAUCAUAUACAAUUCUUCCUUAAGGAAACCAUCAAGGACUGUUGUUUUGACGUCCAUUUGCCAUAUCUCAUAAUCAUAGAAUGCGGCAAUUGCUAACAUGAUUCGGACGGACUUCAGCUUCGCUACGGGUGAGAAAGUCUCAUCAUAGUCAACCCCUUGUACUUGCCGAUAACCCUUAGCGACAAGCCGAGCUUUAUAGAUGGUCACAUUACCAUCCGCGUCUGUCUUCUUCUUAAAGAUCCAUUUAUUUUCUAUGGCUCGCCGACCAUCGGGCAAGUCAGUCAAAGUCCAUACUUUGUUUUCAUACAUGGAUCUUAUCUCGGAUUUCAUGGCUUCCAGCCAUUUCUCGGAAUCCGGGCCCGCCAUUGCUUCUUCAUAGUUCGAAGGUUCACCGUUGUCUAACAACAUGAUUUCCAAGACAGGGUUGCCGUACCACUCUGGUGCGGGACGUGUCCCCGUGGACCUACGAAGUUCAGUAGCAACUUGAUCUGAAGUUUCAUGAUCAUCAUCAUCAACUUCCUCUCUAGUCGGUGCAGGCACCUUAGGAACAUUUUCUUGAGCUGCGCCACUUACCGGUUCAAGAGGUAAUACUUCAUCAAGUUCUACUUUCCUCCCACUUAUUUCUUUCGAGAGAAACUCUUUCUCUAGAAAGGACCCAUUCUUGGCAACAAAGAUCUUGCCUUCGGAUCCGAGGUAGAAGGUAUACCCAAUAGUUUCUUUAGGGUAUCCUAUGAAGACGCAUUUUUCCGAUUUGGGUUCGAGCUUUUCAGGUUGAAGUUUCCUGACAUAAGCAUCGCAUCCCCAAAGUUUUAGAAAUGACAUCUUAGGUGUCUUCCCAAACCAUAAUUCAUACGGCGUCGUCUCAACGGAUUUCGACGUAGCCCUAUUUAAAGUGAAUGCGGCAGUCUCUAAAGCAUAGCCCCAAAAUGACAGCGGUAAAUCAGUAAGAGACAUCAUAGAUCAUACCAUAUCUAAUAGAGUGCGAUUAUGACGUUCGGACACACCAUUACGCUGAGGUGUUCCAGGCGGCGUGAGUUGUGAAACUAUUCCACAUUUUCUUAAGUGUGUGCCAAAUUCGUGACUCAAGUAUUCUCCCCCACGAUCUGAUCGCAAGAACUUGAUUUGCCUGUCAUGUUGAUUCUCAACCUCACUUUGAAAUUCCUUGAACUUUUCAAAGGUCUCAGACUUGUGUUUCAUUAAGUAGACAUACCCAUAUCUACUCAAGUCAUCAGUGAGGGUGAGAACAUAACGAUAGCCACCACGAGCCUCAACACUCAUUGGACCGCACACAUCAGUAUGUAUGAUUUCCAAUAAGUUGGUUGCUCGCUCCAUUGUUCUUGAGAAAGGAGUCUUGGUCAUUUUACCCAUGAGGCAUGGUUCGCACGUGUCAAAUGAUUCGUAAUCAAGAGACUUUAAAAGUCCAUCUGCAUGGAGCUUCUUCAUGCGUUUGACACCUAUGUGACCAAGGCGGCAAUGCCACAUGUGGGACUAUCAUUAUCAACCUUACAUCUUUUGCUAUUCACACUAUGAAUAUGUGUAACAUUAUGCUCGAGAUUCAUUAAGAAUAAACCAUUCACCAAUGGAGCAUGACCAUAAAACAUAUCUCUCAUAUAAAUAGAACAACCAUUAUUCUCGGAUUUAAAUGAGUAGCCAUCUCAAAUUAAACGAGAUCCUGAGACAAUGUUCAUGCUCAAAGCUGGCACUAAAUAACAAUUAUUGAGGUUUAAAACUAAUCCCGUAGGCAAAUGUAGAGGCAGCGUGCCGACGGCGAUCACAUCGACCUUGGAACCAUUCCCGACGCGAAUCGUCACCUCGUACUUCGCCAGUCUCCGUUUAUUCCGCAGCUCCCGCUUUGAGUUACAAAUGUGAGCAACUGCACCGGUAUCAAAUACCCAGGAGCUACUACGAGUACUGGUAAGGUACACAUCAAUUACAUGUAUAUCACAUAUACCUUUAGUGUUGCCGGCCUUCUUGUCCGCUAAGUAUUUGGGGCAGUUCUGCUUCCAGUGACCACUUCCCUUGCAAUAAAAACACUCAGUCUCGAGCUUGGGUCCAUUCUUUGGCUUCUUCCCGGCAACUUGCUUAGCGGGCGCGGCAACUCCCUUGCCGUCCUUCUUGAAUUCUUCUUACCCUUGCCUUUCUUGAACUUAGUGGUUUUAUUCACCAUCAACACUUGAUGUUCCUUUUUGAUUUCCACCUCUGCUGAUUUCAGCAUUGAAUAUACCUCAGGAAUGGUCUUUUCCGUCCCCUGCAUAUUGAAGUUGAUCACAAAGCUCUUGUAGCUUGGUGGAAGCGACUGAAUGAUUCUGUCAAUGACCGCGUCAUUCGGGAGAUUAACUCCCACCUGAGUCAAGCGGUUAUGCAACCCAGACAUUUUGAUUAUGUGCUCACUGACAGAUCUAUUUUCCUCCAUAUUACAGCUGAAGAACUUGUCGGAGACUUCAUAUCUCUCGACCCGGGCAUGAGCUUGAAAAACCAUUUUCAGCUCUUCGAACAACUCAUAUGCUCCGUGUCUCUCAAAAUGCUUUUGGAGCCCCGGUUCUAAGCUGUAAAGCAUGCCGCACUGAACGAGGGAGUAAUCAUCAGCACGUAACUGCCAAGCGUUCAUAAUGUCUUGGUUCUCUGGGACAGGUGUGUCACCUAACGGUGCUUCUAGGACAUAAUCUUUCUUGGCAGCUAUGAGGAUGAUCCUCAGGUUCUGGACCCAGUCCGUAUAGUUGCUGCCAUCGUCUUUCAGCUUGGUUUUCUCCAGGAACGCGUUGAAAUUGAGGACAACGUGGGCCAUUUGAUCUACAAGACAUAUUGUAAAGAUUUUAGACUAAGUUCAUGAUAAUUAAGUUCAUCUAAUCAAAUUAUACAAUGAACUCCCACUCAGAUAGACAUCCCUCCAGUCAUCUAAGUGAAACAUGAUCCGAGUUAACUAGGCUGUGUCGGAUCAUCACGUGAGACGGACUAGUCAACAUCGGUGAACAUCUUCAUGUUGAUCGUAUCUUCUAGACGACUCAUGCUCGACCUUUUAGUCUUCUAUGUUCCGAGGCCAUGUCUGUACAUGCUAGGCUCGUCAAGUAAACCUAAGUGUAUUGCGUGUGUAAGUCUGGCUUACACCCGUUGUAUUCGAACGUUAGAAUCUAUCACACUCGAUCAUCACGUGGUGCUUCGAAACAACGAACCUUCACAAUGGUGCACAGUUAGGGGGAACAGUUUCUUGAAAUUAUUUCGAGGGAUCAUCUUAUUGAAGCUACCGUCGUUCUAAGCAAAUAAGAUGUAAAACAUGAUAAACAUCACAUGCAAUCAAAUAGUGACAUGAUAUGGCCAAUAUCAUUUUCUCCUUUUGAUCUCCAUCUUCGGGGGUCCAUGAUCAUCAUUGUCACUGGCAUGACACCAUGAUCUCCAUCAUCAUGUCUUCUUGAAGUUGUCUCGUCAUCUAUUACUUCUACUACUAUGGCUAACGCUUUAGCAAUAAAGUAAAGUAAUUACAUGACGUUUAUGUUGACACGCAGGUCAUAAAAAAUAAAGACAACUCCUAUGGCUCCUGCCGGUUGUCAUACUCAUCGACAUGCAAGUCGUGAUUCCUAUUACAAGAACAUGAUCAAUCUCAUACAUCACAUAUAUCAUUCAUCACAUCCUUUUGGCCAUAUCACAUCACACGACACAUGCUGCAAAAACAAGUUAGACGUCCUCUAAUUGUUGUUGCAAGUUUAUACAUGGCUGCUAUAGGUUUCUAGCAAGAACGUCUCUUACCUAUGGCAAAACCACAACGUGAUAUGCCACUUUCUAUUUACCCUUCAUAAGGACCCUUUUCAUCGAAUCCGAUCUGACUAAAGUGGGAGAGACAGACACCCGCCAGCCACCUUAUGCAACUAGUGCAUGUCAAUCGGUGGAACCAGUCUCACAUAAGCGUACGUGUAAGGUCGGUCCGGGCCGCUUCAUCCCAUGAUGCCACCGAAUCAAGAUAAGACUAGUAACGGCAAGCAAAGUGACAAUAUCCACGCCCACAACUGCUUUGUGUUCUACUCGUGCAUAGAAACUACGCAUAGACCUAGCUCAUGAUGCCACUGUUGGGGAAUGUAGCAGAAUUUUAAAAUUUUCUAUGCAUCACCAAGAUCAAUCUAUGGAGUCAUCUAGCAAUGAGGGAGAGAGGAGUGCAUCUACAUACCCUUGUAGAUCGCGCGCGGAAGUGUUCAAGAGAACGGGGUUGAUGGAAUCGUACUCGUCGUGAUCCAAAUCACCGAUGACCAAGUGCCUAACGGACAGCACCUCCGCGUUCAACACACGUCCUUUUGGGAAGACGUCUCCUCCUUCUUGAUCCAGCAAGGGGGAAGGAGAGGUUGAUGAAGAUCCAGCAGCACCACGACGUGGUGGUGGAUGCAACAGGAUCCCGGCAGGGCUUCACCAAGCGGAAGCGGGGAGGAGAGGUGUUACGGAGGGAGAGAGAGGCGCCAAGAGCAAGGUUGCGGCUGCCCUCCCUCCCCCCCUCUUUAUAUAGGGGCCAUGGGGGGGCGCCGGCCCUAGGAGAUGGAUCUCCAAGGGGGGCGAAGGCCAAGGGGUGGCUCCCCCCCCCCCAAGCCAAGUGGGGGGCGCCCCCACCCCUAGGGUUUCCCAACCCUAGGCGCAGGGGAGGCCCAAGGGGGGCGGACCAGCCCACUAGCGGCUGGUUCCCCUCCCAAUUCAUCCCAUGGGGCCCUCCGGGAUGGGUGGCCCCACCCGGUGGACCCCCGGGACCCUUUCGGUGGUCCCGGUACAAUACUGGUGACCCCCGAAACCUUCCCGAUGGCCGAAACUGUACUUCCUAUAUAUAAAUCUUUACCUCCAGACCAUUCCGGAACUCCUCGUGACGCCCGGGAUCUCAUCCGGGACUCCGAACAACUUUCGGGUUACUAUAUACUAAUAUCUCUACAACCCUAGCGUCACUGAACCUUAAGUGUGUAGACCCUACGGGUUUCGGAGACAUGCAGACAUGACUGAGACGCCUCUCCAGUCAAUAACCAACAGCGGGAUCUGGAUACCCAUGUUGGCUCCCACAUGCUCCAUGAUGAUCUCAUCAGAUGAACCACGAUGUCGAGCAUUCAAUCAAUCUGUAUACAAUUCCCUUUGUCAAUCAGUACGUUACUUGCCCGAGACUCGAUCAUCGGUAUCCCAAUACCUUGUUCAAUCUUGUUACCGGCAAGUCACUUUACUCAUACCAUAAUGCAUGAUCCCGUCAUCAACCACUUGGUCACAUGAGCUCAUUAUGAUGAUGCAUUACCGAGUGGGCCCAGAGAUACCUCUCCAUCAUACGGAGUGACAAAUCCCAGUCUCGAUUCAUGCCAACCCAAUAGUCACUUUCAGAGAUACCUGUAAUGUAACUUUAUAGUCACCCAGUUACGUUGUGACGUUUGGCACACCCAAGGCACUCCUACGAUAUCUGGGAGUUUUGUUGGAAAUAUGCCCUAGAGGCAAUAAUAAAAGCAUUAUUAUUAUAUUUCCUUGUUCAUGAUAAUUGUCUUUAUUCAUGCUAUAAUUGUGUUAUCCGGAAAUCGUAAUACAUGUGUGAAUAACAGACACCAACAUGUCCCUAGUAAGCCUCUAGUUAACUAGCUCGUUGAUCAACAGAUAGUCAUGGUUUCCUGACUAUGGACAUUGGAUGUCAUUGAUAACGAGCUCACAUCAUUAGGAGAAUGAUGUGAUGGACAAGACCCAAUCAUAAACAUAGCAUAAAGAUCGUGUAGUUCGUUUGCUAGAGUUUUUCCAAUGUCAAGUAUACUUUCCUUAGACCAUGAGAUCGUGUAACUCCCGGAUACCGUAAGAGUGCUUUGGGUGUACCAAACAUCACAACGUAACUGGGUGACUAUAAAGGUAUACUACGGGUAUCUCCAAAAGUGUCUGUUGGGUUGACACGGAUCAAGACUGGGAUUUGUCACUCCGUAUGACGGAGAGGUAUCACUGGGCCCACUCAGUAAUGCAUCAUCAUAAUGAGCUCAAAGUGACCAAGUGUCUGGUCACGGGAUCAUGCAUUACGGUACGAGUAAAGUGACUUGCCGGUAACGAGAUUGAACGAGGUAUUGGGAUACCGACAAUCGAAUCUCGGGCAAGUAACAUACCGAUUGGCAAAGGGAAUUGUAUACGGGGUUGCCUGAAUCCUCGAUAUCGUGGUUCAUCCGAUGAGAUCAUCGUGGAGCAUGUGGGAGCCAACAUGGGUAUCCAGAUCCCGCUGUUGGUUAUUGACCGAAGAGUCGUCUCGGUCAUGUCUGUCUGUCUCCCGAACCCGUAGGGUCUACACACUUAAGGUUCGGUGAUGCUAGGGUUGUAGGAAUAUGUAUAUGCAGUAACCCGAAUGUUGUUCGGAGUCCCGGAUGAGAUCCCGGACGUCACGAGGAGUUCCGUAAUGGUCCGGAGGUAAAGAAUUAUAUAUGGGAAGUGCUAUUUCGGCCAUCGGGACAAGUUUUGGGGUCACCGGUAUUGUACCGGGACCACCGGAAGGGUCCCGGGGGUCCACCGGGUGGGGCCACCUAUCUCGGAGGGCCCCAUGGGCUGAAGUGGGAAGGGACCCAGCCCAAAGUGGGCUGGGGUGCCUCUCCCCUAGGGCCCAUGCGGCUAGGGUUUGGGGGAAACCCUAAAAGGGGGCGCCCCCUUGCUUGGGGGGCAAGCCCCCCACCCCUUGGCCGCCGCCCCCCCCUCCCCCUAGGAAAAUAGAUCUCCUAGGGCCGGCGCCCCCCCCCCUUGGCCCUCCUAUAUAUAGUGGGGGAGGGAGGGCUAUUCUCUCAUGCCUUUGGUUGCCUCCCUCUCCCUCUCCGACACCUCCUCCUCCUCCAUAGUGCUUGGCGAAGCCCUGACGGAGUUCUGCAGCUCCACCAUCACCACGCCGUCGGUCUGCUGCUGGAGCCAUCUUCCUCAACCUCUUCUUCCCUCUUGCUGGAUCAAGAAGAAGGAGACGUUACGCUAACCGUACGUGUGUUGAACGCGGAGGUGCCGUCCGUUCGGCGCUAGGAUCUCUGGUGAUUUGAAUCACGUCGUGUACGACUACUUCAUCCACGUUCUUUGAACGCUUCCGCUCGCGAUCUACAAAGGUAUGUAGAUGCAUCCGAUGACUCGUUGCUAGAUGAACUCAUAGAUAGAUCUUGGUGAAACCGUAGGAAAUUUUUUGUUUUCUGCAACGUUCCCCAACAGUGGUAUCAGAGCUAGGUCUAUGCGUAGUUCUUCUUGCGCGAGUAGAACACAAUUUGUUGUGGGCGUAGAUGUUGUCAACUUUCUUGCCGCUACUAGUCUUAUCUUGCUUCGACGGUAUUGUGGGAUGAAGCGGCCCGGACCAACCUUACACGUAUGCUCACGUGAGACAGGUUCCACCGACAAACAUGCACUAGUUGCAUAAGGUGGCUAGCGGGUGCCUGUCUCUCCUACUUUAGUUGGAGCGGAUUCGAUGAGAAGGGUCCUUAUGAAGGGUAAAUAGAAGUUGAAAAAUCACGUUGUGGCUUUCACGUAGGUUAGAAAACGUUCUUGCUAGAACCCUACUUCAGCCACGUAAAACUUGCAACAACAAUUAGAGGAUGUCUAACUUGUUUUUGCAGCAAGUGCUUUGUGAUAUGAUAUGGCCAAAGUUGUGAUGAAUAAUACAUAUGUGAUGUAUGAGAUGUUCGUGCUAUUGUAAUAGGAAUCACGACUUGCAUGUCGAUGAGUAUGACAACCGGCAGGAGCCAUAGGAGUUGUCUUUAUUCUUUUAUAUGACCUGCGUGUCAUUGAGAAACGCCAUGUAAAUUACUUUACUUUAUUGCUAAACACGUUAGCCUUAGUAGUAGAAGUAAUAGUUGGCGAGCAACUUCAUGGAGACACGAUGAUGGAGAUCAUGAUGAUGGAGAUCAUGGUGUCAUGCCGGUGACAAGAUGAUCAUGGAGCUCCAAGAUGGAGAUCAAAGGAGCUAUGUGAUAUUGGCCAUAUCAUGUCACUAUUAUUAUUUGAUUGCAUUUGAUGUUUAUCAUGUUUUGCAUCUUGUUUACUUAGAACGACGGUAGUGAAUAAGAUGAUCCCUCAUAAUAAUUUCAAGCAAGUGUUCCCCCUAACUGUGCACCGUUGCGACAGUUCAUUGCUUCAAUGCACCACGUGAUGAUCGGGUGUUUGAUUCAAACGUUCACAUACAACGGGUGUAAGACAGAUUUACACAUGCAAACACUUAGGUUGACUUGACGAGCCUAGCAUGUGUAUAGACAUGGCCUCGGAACACAGAAGACCAAAAGGUCGAGCAUGAGUCGUAUAGAAGAUACGAUCAACAUGAAGAUGUUCAUCGAUGUUGACUAGUCCGUCUCACGUGAUGAUCGGACACGGCCUAGUUGACUCGGAUCAUGUUAUACUUAGAUGACUAGAAGAGGGAUGUCUAUCUAAGUGGGAGUUCAUUCAAUAAUUUGAUUAGAUGAACUUAAUUAUCAUGAACUUAGUCUAAAAUCUUUGCAAUAUGUCUUGUAGAUCAAAUGGCCAACGUAGUCCUCAACUUCAACGCGUUCCUAGAGAAAACCAAACUGAAAGAUGAUGGCAGUAACUAUACGGAAUGGGUCUGGAACCUGAGGAUUAUCCUCAUAGCUGCCAAGAAAGAUUAUGUCCUACAAGCACCGCUAGGUGAAGCUCCCGUCCCAUGGAACCAAGAUGUUAUGAACGCUUGGCAGACACGUGCUGAUGACUACUCCCUCGUUCAGUGCGGCAUGCUUUACAGUUUAGAGCCGGGGCUCCAAAAGCGUUUUGAGAGACAUAGAGCAUAUGAGAUGUUCGAAGAGCUGAAAAUGGUGUUUCAAGCUCAUGCCCGGGUCGAGAGAUAUGAGGUCUCCGACAAAUUCUUCAGUUGUAAGAUGGAGGAAAAUAGUUCUGUCAGUGAGCACAUACUCACUAUGUCUGGGUUACAUAAUCGCUUGACUCAGCUGGGAGUUAAUCUCCUGGAUGAUGCGGUCAUUGACAGAAUCCUCCAGUCGCUUCCACCAAGCUACAAGAGCUUUGUGAUGAACUUCAAUAUGCAGGGGAUGGAAAAGACCAUUCCUGAGGUAUUUACAAUGCUGAAAUCAGCAGAGGUAGAAGUCAAGAAGGAACAUCAAGUGUUGAUGGUCAAUAAAACCACUAAGUUCAAGAAGGGCAAGGGUAAAAAGAACUUCAAGAAGGACGGCAAGGGAGUUGCCGCGCCCGGCAAGCAAGCUGCCGGGAAGAAGCCAAAGAAUGGUCCCAAGCCCGAGACUGAGUGCUUUUAUUAUAAGGGAAGCGGUCACUGGAAGCGGAACUGCCCCAAAUACUUAGCGGACAAGAAGGCCGGCAAAACAAAAGGUAUAUGUGAUAUACAUGUAAUUGAUGUGUACCUUACCAGUACCCGUAGUAGCUCCUGGGUAUUUGAUACUGGUGUAGUUGCUCACAUUUGUAACUCAAAGCAGGGGCUGCGGAAUAAGCGGAGACUGGCGAAGGACGAGGUGACGAUGCGCGUCGGGAAUGGUUCCAAGGUCAAUGUAAUCGCCGUCGGCACGUUACCUCUAUAUUUACCUUCGGGAUUAGUUGUAAACCUUAAUAAUUGUUAUUUAGUACCAGCUUUGAGCAUGAACAUUGUAUUGGGAUCUCGUUUAAUUCAAGAUGGCUACUCAUUUAAAUCCGAGAAUAAUGGUUGUUCUAUUUAUAUGAGAGAUAUGUUUUAUGGUCAUGCUCCUAUGGUGAAUGGUUUAUUCUUAAUGAAUCUCGAGCGUAAUGCUACACAUAUUCAUAGUGUGAGUACCAAAAGAUGUAAGGUUGAUAAUGAUAGUCCCACAUACUUGUGGCACUGCCGCCUUGGUCACAUAGGUGUCAAACGCAUGAAGAAGCUCCAUGCAGAUGGACUUUUAGAGUCUCUUGAUUAUGAAUCAUUUGACACGUGCGAACCAUGCCUCGUGGGUAAAAUGACCAAGACUCCGUUCUCAGGAACAAUGGAGCGAGCAACCAACUUAUUGGAAAUCAUACAUACUGAUGUGUGCGGUCCAAUGAGCGUUGAGGCUCGCGGUGGCUAUCGUUAUGUUCUCACCCUCACUGAUGACUUGAGUAGAUAUGGGUAUGUCUACUUAAUGAAACACAAGUCUGAAACCUUUGAAAAGUUCAAGGAAUUUCAGAGUGAGGUUGAGAAUCAACGUGACAGGAAAAUCAAGGUUCUACGAUCAGAUCAUGGAUGCGAAUACUUGAGUCACGAAUUUGGCACACACUUAAGAAAAUGUGGAAUAGUUUCACAACUCACGCCGCCUGGAACACCUCAGCGUAACGGUGUGUCCGAACGUCGUAAUCGCACUCUAUUAGAUAUGGUACGAUCUAUGAUGUCUCUUACCGAUUUACCACUAUCUUUUUGGGGCUAUGCUUUAGAGACUGCCGCAUUCACUUUAAAUAGGGCUCCGUCGAAAUCCGUUGAGACGACACCGUUUGAAUUAUGGUUUGGGAAGAAACCUAAGCUGUCGUUUCUAAAAGUUUGGGGAUGCGAUGCUUAUGUCAAGAAACUUCAACCUGAAAAGCUCGAACCCAAGUCGGAAAAAUGCGUCUUCAUAGGAUACCCUAAAGAAACUGUUGGGUAUACCUUCUACCUCAGAUCCGAAGGCAAGAUUUUUGUUGCCAGGAAUGGAUGCUUUCUAGAGAAGGAGUUUCUCUCGAAAGAAGUAAGUGGGAGGAAAGUAGAACUUGAUGAAGUGUUACCUCUUGAACCGGAAAAUGGCGCAACUCAAGAAAAUGUUCAUGAGGUGCCUGCACCGACUAGAGAGGAGGUUAAUGAUGAUGAUCAUGAAACUUCUGAUCAAGUUGCUACUGAACUUCGAAGGUCCAUAAGGACACGUUCCGCACCAGAGUGGUACGGCAACCCUGUCUUGGAAAUCAUGUUGUUAGGCAACGGUGAACCUUCGAACUAUGAAGAAGCGAUGGCGGGCCCGGAUUCCGACAAAUGGCUAGAAGCCAUGAAAUCCGAGAUAGGAUCCAUGUAUGAAAAUGAAGUAUGGACUUUGACUGACUUGCCCGUUGAACGGCGAGCCAUAGAAAAUAAAUGGAUCUUUAAGAAGAAGACAGACGCGGAUGGUAAUGUGACCAUCUAUAAAGCUCGGCUUGUCGCUAAGGGUUAUCGACAAGUUCAAGGGGUUGACUACGAUGAGACUUUCUCACCGGUAGCGAAGCUGAAGUCCGUCCGAAUCAUGUUAGCAUUUGCCGCAUUCUACGAUUAUGAGAUAUGGCAAAUGGAUGUCAAAACGGCAUUAAUUAAUGGUUUCCUUAAGGAAGAAUUGUAUAUGAUGCAGCCGGAAGGUUUUGUCGAUCCUAAGAAUGCUGACAAGGUGUGCAAGCUCCAACGCUCGAUUUAUGGGCUGGUGCAAGCAUCUCGGAGUUGGAACAUUCGCUUUGAUGAGAUGAUCAAAGUGUUUGGGUUUACUCAGACUUAUGGAGAGGCCUGCGUUUACAAGAAAGUGAGUGGGAGCUCUGUAGCAUUUCUCAUAUUAUAUGUAGAUGACAUACUUUUGAUGGGAAAUGAUAUAGAACUCUUGGACAGCAUCAAGGCCUACUUGAAUAAGAGUUUUUCAAUGAAGGACCUUGGAGAAGCUGCUUAUAUAUUAGGCAUCCAGAUCUAUAGAGAUAGAUCAAGAUGCCUCAUAGGUCUUUCACAAAGCACAUACCUUGAUAAGAUAUUGAAGAAGUUCAAUAUGGAUCAAUCUAAGAAGGGGUUCUUGCCUGUGUUACAAGGUAUGAAAUUGAGCUCAGCUCAAUGUCCGACCAUGGCAGAAGAUAUAGAAGAGAUGAGUGUCAUCCCCUAUGCCUCAGCCAUAGGUUCUAUUAUGUAUGCCAUGCUGUAUACCAGACCUGAUGUAAACCUUGCCGUAAGUUUGGUAGGAAGGUACCAAAGUAAUCCCGGCAAGGAACACUGGACAGCGGUCAAGAAUAUCCUGAAGUACCUAAAAAGGACUAAGGAAAUGUUUCUCGUUUAUGGAGGUGACGAAGAGCUCGUCGUAAAGGGUUACGUCAACGCUAGCUUCGACACAGAUCUGGAUGACUCUAAGUCACAAACCGGAUACGUGUAUAUUUUGAAUGGUGGGGCAGUAAGCUGGUGCAGUUGCAAGCAGAGCGUCGUGGCGGGAUCUACAUGUGAAGCGGAGUACAUGGCAGCCUCGGAGGCAGCACAUGAAGCAAUUUGGGUGAAGGAGUUCAUCACCGACCUAGGAGUCAUACCCAAUGCGUCGGGGCUGAUCAAGCUCUUCUUUGACAACACUGGAGCUAUUGCACUUGCCAAGGAGCCCAGGUUUCACAAGAAGACAAGGCACAUCAAGCGUCGCUUCAACUCCAUUCGUGAAAAUGUUCAAGAUGGAGACAUAGAUAUUUGUGAAGUACAUACGGACCUGAAUGUAGCAGAUCCGUUGACUAAACCUCUCCCUAGAGCAAAACAUGAUCAACACCAGAAUUCCAUGGGUGUUCGAUUCAUCACAAUGUAACUAGAUUAUUGACUCUAGUGCAAGUGGGAGACUGUUGGAAAUAUGCCCUAGAGGCAAUAAUAAAAGCAUUGUUAUUAUAUUUCCUUGUUCAUGAUAAUUGUCUUUAUUCAUGCUAUAAUUGUGUUAUCCGGAAAUCGUAAUACAUGUGUGAAUAACAGACACCAACAUGUCCCUAGUAAGCCUCUAGUUAACUAGUUCGUUGAUCAACAGAUAGUCAUGGUUUCUUGACUAUGGACAUUGGAUGUCAUUGAUAACGAGAUCACAUCAUUAGGAGAAUGAUGUGAUGGACAAGACCCAAUCAUAAACAUAGCAUAAAGAUCGUGUAGUUCGUUUGCUAGAGUUUUUCCAAUGUCAAGUAUCCUUUCCUUAGACCAUGAGAUCGUGUAACUCCCGGAUACCGUAAGAGUGCUUUGGGUGUACCAAACGUCACAACGUAACUGGGUGACUAUAAAGGUAUACUACGGGUAUCUCCGAAAGUGUCUGUUGGGUUGACACGGAUCUAGACUGGGAUUUGUCACUCCGUAUGACGGAGAGGUAUCACUGGGCCCACUCGGUAAUGCAUCAUCAUAAUGAGCUCAAAGUGACCAAGUGUCUGGUCACGGGAUCAUGCAUUACGGUACGAGUAAAGUGACUUGCCGGUAACGAGAUUGAAUGAGGUAUUGGGAUAACGACGAUCGAAUCUCGGGCAAGUAACAUAUCGAUUGGCAAAGGGAAUUGUAUACGGGGUUGCUUGAAUCCUCGACAUCGUGGUUCAUCCAAUGAGAUCAUCGUGGAGCAUGUGGGAGCCAACAUGGGUAUCCAGAUCCCGUUGUUGGUUAUUGACCGGAGAGUCGUCUCGGUUAUGUCUGCCUGUCUCCCGAACCCGUAGGGUCUACACACUUAAGGUUCAGUGACGCUAGGGUUGUAGGAAUAUGUAUAUGCAGUAACCCGAAUGUUGUUCGGAGUCCCGGAUGAGAUCCCGGACGUCACGAGGAGUUCCGGAAUGGUCCGGAGGUAAAGAAUUAUAUAUGGGAAGUGGUAUUUCGGCCAUCGGGACAAGUUUCGGGGUCACCGGUAUUGUACCGGGACCACCGGAAGGGUCCCGGGGGUCCACCGGGUGGGGCCACCUAUCCCGGAGGGCCCCUUGGGCUGAAGUGGGAAGGGACCCAGCCCAAAGUGGGCUGGGGCGCCUCUCCCCUAGGGCCCAUGCGGCUAGGGUUUGGGGGAAACCCUAAAAGGGGGCGCCCCCUUGCUUGGGGGGCAAGCCCCCCACCCCUUGGCCGCCGCCGCCCCCCCCCCCUAGGAGAAUAGAUCUCCUAGGGCCGGCGCCCCCCCCCUUGGCCCUCCUAUAUAUAGUGGGGGAGGGAGGGCUAUUCUCUCACGCCUUUGGUUGCCUCCCUCUCCCUCUCCAACACCUCCUCCUCCUCCAUAGUGCUUGGCGAAGCCCUGACGGAGUUCUGCAGCUCCACCAUCACCACGCCGUCGUGCUGCUGCUGGAGCCAUCUUCCUCAACCUCUUCUUCCCUCUUGCUGGAUCAAGAAGAAGGAGACGUUACGCUAACCGUACGUGUGUUGAACGCGGAGGUGCCGUCCGUUCGGCGCUAGGAUCUCCGGUGAUUUGAAUCACGUCGUGUACGACUACUUCAUCCACGUUCUUUGAACACUUCCGCUCGCGAUCUACAAAGGUAUGUAGAUGCAUCCGAUGACUCGUUGCUAGAUGAACUCAUAGAUAGAUCUUGGGGAAACUGUAGGAAAAUUUUCUGCAACGUUCCCCAACAAGUUUCACAAUCUCAUGGUCUAAGGAAAUGAUACUUGACAUUCGGAAAAGCUACAGCAGAUGAACUACACGACCUUUGAGCUAUGCUUAGGAUUGGGUCUUGUCCAUCACAUCAUUCUCCUAAUGAUGUGAUACCGUUAUGAAUGACAUCCAAUGUCCAUAGUCAGGAAACCAUGACUAUCUUUUGAUCAACAAGCUAGUCAACUAGAGGCUCACUAGGGACGUGUUGUGGUCUAUGUAUUCACACAUGUAUUACGAUUUCCGGAUAACACAAUUAUAGCAUGAACAAUAGACAAUUAUCAUGAACAAAGAAAUAUAAUAAUAACCAUUUUAUUAUUGCCUCUAGGGCAUAUUUCCAACACCUACGUACCCCCAAACGAUCAUAUACGGAGCCAAAACCCUAAUUCCACCGCCGCAACUUUCUGUAUCCACGAGAUCCCAUCUUGGGGCCUGUUCCGGAGCUCCGCCAGAGGGGGCAUCGAUCACGGAGGGCUUCUACAUCAACACCAUAGCCUCUCCGAUGAAGUGUGAGUAGUUCACCUCAGACCUACGGUUCCAUAGUUAUUAGCUAGAUGGCUUCUUCUCUCUUUUUGGAUCUCAAUACAAUGUUCUCCCCCUCUCUUGUGGAGAACUAUUCGAUGUAAUCUUCUUUUUGCGGUGUGUUUGUUGAGACCGAUGAAUUGUGGGUUUAUGAUCAAGUCUAUCUAUGAAUAAUAUUUGAAUCUUCUCUGAAUUCUUUUAUGUAUGAUAGGUUAUCUUUGAAAGUCUUUUCGAAUUAUCAGUUUGGUUUGGCCUACUAGAUUGAUCUUUCUUGCAAUGGGAGAAGUGCUUAGCUUUGGGUUCAAUCUUGCGGUGUCCUUUCCCAGUGACAGUAGGGGCAGCAUGGCACGUAUUAUAUUGUUGCCAUCGAGGACAACAAGAUGGAGUUUUCAUCAUAUUGCAUGAGUCUAUCCCUCUACAUCAUGUCAUCUUGCUUAAGGCCUUAAUCUGUUUUUAACUUAAUACUCUAGAUGCUUGCUGGAUAGCGGUCGAUUAGUGGAGUAAUAGUAGUAGAUGCAGGCAGGAGUCGGUCUACUUGUCUCGGACAUGAUGCCUAUAUAUAUGAUCAUACCUAGAUAUUCUCAAAACUAUGCUCAAUUCUGUCAAUUGCUCAACAAUAAUUUGUUCACCCACCGUAGAAUACUUAUGCUCUCGAGAGAAGCCACUAGUGAAACCUAUGGCCCCCGGGUCUAUCUUUAUCAUAUUAAUCUCCUACUACUUAGUUAUUUCCUUUGCUUUUUACUUUGCCUUUAUUUUACUUCGCAUCUUUAUCACAAAAAUACGAAAAAAAUUAUCUUUAUCAUAUCUAUCAAAUCUCACCCUCGUAAGUGGCCGUUUAGGGAUUGACAACCCCUAUUCGCGUCGGUUGUGAGGAUUUAUUUGUUUUGUGCAGGUACAAGGGACUCGCGCGUAGCCUCCUACUGGAUUGAUACCUUGGUUCUCAAAACCUAUUUGAUUGCCGUAGCACGAUCGCGCUUCCUCGGGCGCUAUUGUCUCAAAAAUACCGUCGUCCAUCUCCGUGACCUCCAGUCUACUACUCAUGAGCUGGUUUGGGCGCCGUGGCCUCUUUGCUUUCGGUUCUAGACCAGCUCCGCUAGUCUCGGCGCCUGUCUCAGUCUCAUCGCCGAUCUGCAUGUCGGUAUCAGUCCCCGAUGCGACAUCACAGUUGCUGCAACAUGGGAAAGGGAGACCACGUCAGUGCUGGGGGGUCUGAAAAUCGGAACACACUUUCGCGCGUUGCGGGCCGCCUCUCAGACAGCUACUGGGGAGGCGGCGGAGUACCUGGGUGCGCGGCGAAUCCCCGGGAACUCGGUGACCAACUUCCUUCCCGUGUGGCGCAUGGAGACGACGGCGACCCCGGCGAAGAGCAGCUUAGCCGCGAGCUGCACAGCCUCGUCCACCUCCUAAGUUGGGACCUCCGUGCGAGCGUUGCGGGGCCGCCACUCGGAUGGCUUCUGGAAGGCGGUUGUACAUGGGCACAUGGUGAAUCCCGGCGAGAGCUUGCCAUUGGCGCGCUCAAGUAGACGACGACGUCCUCGACGAAGAGCAGCCCGGCCAGCUCGCCUCACUAUCGUUUGAUUAGAAAUGAAAGAUUGGGAAGAAGCAGACUUGAGCCUGCAGGGAAAGGAUAAGGUGACGAUGCAGUCUCCACUCGUUCGGGGCGACACUCGUACUGAAUGUAUGAGAAAUCUGACGUGGCAGAGACCCCAAGAUACUCCCUCCAUUUAUUUUUAGUCUGCAUAUAAAGUUUGGUCAAAGUCAAGAUUUGUAAAUUUUAACUAACUUUAUAAUAAAAAAAUAUCAACAUUCACAAUAUGAAAUCAAUAUUACCAGAUGCGUCAUGAAAUGUAUUUCCAUACUAUAUAGUUUUGGUAUUGUAGAUGUUCAUAUUUUUUUAUAUAUAUGGGAAGUAGAGGCACUCUUCUAUACUAUAUUCAGAUGUAUGAUAUCUGUUAUUUAAGCGCUUGAAUUUUACAUACGAAUAUUUAUUAUUAAAUAUGUACCCCUACAAUAGCUAGGCCGUGCAGUUGCACGGGUAGAUGACUAGUGAUUACAAUCUUGUUUGUGUGCAAGUCAAGCUUAUCUAGUUUACACGUAACAACUUGUAGAACAUUACAAAAUUUAUGCUUGCUAAUAACUUUUAGAACACUACAACACUUGACAUGUAAAAGGAAUUUGACUGAGUCAUGGCCUACUAAAGCAAGUUACAUUACUAGUCUUAUCUAUCUUAACAGACCACACAAGAUUACAAACUAAGUACCGUGACAGCCAUGCUUAUCUAGUUUAUGCGUAACAAUUUGCAGAAAAUUACAAACUUAGUUUCAGAAAGAUAGGCAAUCUAGAUUAGUGUUUGAGCUGUAAAGUGAAUAAGAUGAGUCAUGCAUGUUAUCACACCUUUUUGGUGGUCGAAUGAUAGUGCAACAACAAGGAACUUUAAUGACCAGUCCAAGAAUACACUUGUAAGUAGUGCCACCAAACAGAACAUACCAAAUGAUCAUUCCAUGGCAGCUAUAAAUAGCCCCAUAGCAUGACGAUCAUCCUUCCUCAUCCAUCAUUCUCAUAAGUAGAGCACAUCAUUUAAGCCAAGCAAGUUGUGGUCAAUACAAAUCCACCAUGAAGACCUUUCUCAUCCUUGCCCUCCUUGCUAUCGUGGCGACCACCGCCACAACCGCAGUUAGAGUUCCAGUGCCACAAUUGCAGCCACAAAAUCCAUCUCAGCAACAGCCACAAGAGCAAGUUCCAUUGGUACAACAACAACAAUUUCUAGGGCAGCAACAAACAUUUCCACCACAACAACCAUAUCCACAGCUGCAACCAUUUCCAUCACAACAACCAUAUCUACAGCUGCAACCAUUUCCGCAGCCGCAACUACCAUAUUCGCAGCCACAACCAUUUCGACCACAACAACCAUAUCCACAACCGCAACCACAGUAUUCGCAACCACAACAACCAAUUUCACAGCAUCAACAGCAGCAGCAGCAACAACAACAACAACAACAACAACAACAAAUCCUUCAACAAAUUUUGCAACAACAACUGAUUCCAUGCAUGGAUGUUGUAUUGCAGCAACACAACAUAGCGCAAGGAAGAUCACAAGUUUUGCAACAAAGUACUUACCAGCUGUUGCAAGAAUUGUGUUGUCAGCACCUAUGGCAGAUCCCUGAGCAGUCGCAGUGCCAGGCCAUCCACAAUGUUGUUCAUGCUAUUAUUCUGCAUCAACAACAACAAAAACAACAACAACAACAACAACAACAACCAUCGAGCCAGGUCUCCUUCCAACAGCCUCAGCAACAAUAUCCAUUAGGCUAGGGCUCCUUCCGGCCAUCUCAGCAAAACCCACAGGCCCAGGGCUCUGUCCAGCCUCAACAACUGCCCCAGUUCGAGGAAAUAAGGAACCUAGCGCUACAGACACUACCUGCAAUUUGCAAUGUCUACAUCCCUCCAUAUUGCACCAUCGCGCCAUUUGGCAUCUUCGGUACUAACUGAGAAGAAAAUAACUCUAGUACUAGAUAUAUGAAACACCGUUUUCUCAGUCCAUGGUUUGGUCGUUGUAGCGGUGAAAAAAUAAUGUGGCAUGCACUAUCAUGUAAGAACCCAAACUAUACUAGUUCAAACUUGGGAAUAAAAGACAAACACAGGUCUUGUCUACAUAUUUAUGUUGCAUCUAUUUAUAUAUUAAAAGUAAUAUAAGGUGAACCAGGAGCAAGGUAAAUAUGCUAGAAAAUUGCACGUUAAUUAGAAAUUACUAGCCCUCAAUCUGGUAAAUCUUAACAAAUAGAAUUAUCUUGACCGUUAGAUUUAUGUAACAUAUAUAAUGCUCUGGGCCUCCAACGACUGUACGUGACACAUCUGAACGCACAUAUCUUAAAGAAAAUAUAUUUGGUAAAUGGUGGGCCUCUUUAAAAAGAGAACUCACGUACAUGCACCAACUAAGAAAAACACAUACAUGUAAACGGGAAAAGGAUGAGAUUUUCUCACGUACGUGCUCCCUGGCUCCACCCCGUUGAAAAAAUAUACAUCUGGAGGCCACUUUGUUUCCUCAUCAAAAAAAAACUUACGUUAAAAAGAUUGCAUGCAUCCCAGGGAAAAUAGUCAAGAAGAAGUCGGCUCUUCCUUACAAAAACAAGGAACGUGUUAAGUUGACUUCAAAGAAAAAAGGAACAUGUUAAGUUAAAAAAAACAAGAAACCUGUUAAGUUAGAAAAAAACAAGGAACGUGUUGUCCUAGGAAAGAUAUGUGUCAAAUCUUACAAAAAAAAAGAAUACACACACGUACGUUCAUGCACUUGGAAAAUAGAAAAAAAAGGAACAUCACGUAUGUAUACACUUCGGAAACUCAUUACAUGACCAUGUCUGAUAUACUCCUCUAAUGCUUAAUAUUAGUGCCUAAUAAUUUAUAUUUAAAAUUUAAUUUACUGAUCAAAUAUCCCCACUGUAUAAAUUUUAAUUUGGCACAUUGUUUGGCUAUAGUAUGAACCUAAAUUUCCUCUUAUUAUUAUAUAUCAUGGUAAUAAUCCAAAGGCGACUAAUCUGCGCCGGCGCACCGGCGCAAUCAAUUCGGCCCGACACAGCGCGGCCGUUUGAUUAGAUUGCAUUUAACCGUCAGAUCUGGAAUCAUUUUAUUUCCAAUUAAACGGAUUCAACCAAACAGCAGAGAGGAAAACAAAGCAGCGCCGCCGCCAACACUAGCCAUGGACGACCGAUGUAGCAAAACCUUGAAGAACCGCCGCCGGUCGCCACCCUUGCCGCUGGUCGCCGCCCUCGCCGCCUGUGUUUCUCAUCGGCUUCAUGCAUGCAACAACAUGCACUCGUGAUUGCAGGCUUGCAGCUCCGGCUCUGGGGGACAUGGCCGCAUCUCCAGUAGCGCCGGCCGCCGGCCGCAGCACCUGUCGUUGUGGUCACGCUGUACCUCGCCGUGUGCCCUCCCAAGGAUCUUGCUGGUUCCAACAAAAAACGAUACCUGUUGUAGCAAAAAAGUUUAUCGCUUCCAGCAAAAAAGCUUACCGCUACAGCCCGCCAUCAUCAUUGUAGCAAAAAUGUUAACUCGAUGUAGCUUCUGUGGUUGCCGACUGCAGCCAAAAAUGACGUGGUUGUAGCAAAACACAAAAGAAAAACUCCGGCCGUCCGCUGUGUAUGGUGGUAACAAACCCUAUAGCCGGUGGUAGCGAAAAACUUCAUUGUUUGCAGCAAAAAAAUGUUGUCGCCCAUCGUCGAGGUUGCAUCAUCUUCAUGAAUUAUGUCGCAAAAAAACGUUGUCGCCGGUAGUAGCAAAUGAAGCCGCCGGUAGAAACAAAACAAGACACUGGUUCCAGCCAAAAAAAAAUCAGCGACAGAACCUUUUGUUGGUUCCAACAAAAAAACUUGUCGGUUGUAGCAUCCCUCGCCGCCGGAUGUAGCAUCUCCCAGGGCUGGUUGCAACACUCCAUAAAAAAAGGUUGUCUACGAGCGCAUCCAUGGCAACUGCUGCACCGUCAGCAACGAGGGGAAGAGGAGGCAAUGAAAAUCGUUCGAGUCGUAGCUCCACAGGACGCGGGUGCAGCAUAGGGAGUCCAAAAAUCUGUCACAAGCAAGAUGCGCCUUGCCAUCCUCCUGCGCAGGAGAGAGAAGAAAAAGGAAUAAGAGGAAGAAGAAAGGAAACGGGAGAAAGAAAAAAAGAAACGAUUGGUUGUGGGCUCAGGCAAUUAGUCAAACGAGGGGCACGCGGGGCCGCAGGAUACAGCGCAAUCGAACGAAGUGCGCGCGUCUGGCCGAAGACUCAGCUGGACUGCCGGCUGGAAAUGUUUCCCUAAUACAAAGGCUUUUCUGAAUGACAAGUCGUCUGAGUUAUCGGCUAACUAGAAAAAAGAUAAAUAUGCUAGAUAAUUCCAUAAUCAUUAGAAAUAUCUAGCCUUUAAUUAUGUAAAUCAGAAAAUCACAACCGUUGGAUUUACUUUAAAGGUAAAUUUCUCUAAAUUCCCACCAUUGCCAGUAUGUAGAAACAUGUGCUGCUUCAAUUCUCCCUUAAUCACCAAUCAAUCAACAACAGAAAACAUACCGCAGUUCAAAAAACUGAACAAAAAAAAGAAAAAAAGAAGAAAGGACAAGAUACACGCAUGUACACGACAGCCUUGGCUUGAAACACAUCAGUAAAUCAAGUGUCCACCUCCCUUACACAGAAUAAAUUCUAGGGAAGAAAAUAAUAGUGCAACCUAACCUUAUACGUACUAUUCUAUCCUCACGUCCCAUGAGGUUUACUAGCCUACUGCCGCCGCAUCAUGCCAUCCUCUCCUUUCAGCUCCCAUGCUCUCCAGCACCCUCCUUGCGGCGCCACUACUCGCCUAGGGAUAUUGCUGCUCAGACCGUGGAGCUUAACCUGCUUCUUCUUCAGCAAAUAUGGAACUGCUUUAGGAUCCUUCUGACAUCAGCGCGUAUGGGCCUCAUUAUACUGCAGCUCCUGGACCUCCUACAAUUGGUUGGCUAUGGCCAGUUGAUCGAUUUGCUGAUGUCCAGGUCUGUUUGCUGGCACAUAUGCUUUGGAAAUAGGCCACUAUGUUUGUACUUCAAAAUUGUUUCUGUAUUCUUUAGUGGUACAUCCUUUUAAGCGCCAGUUUUUUAUGUUAAUUCAUGCUGACAACACUUAACCUAGCCUUUCAUGUUCACGUACUAAAUACAGGAGCAAGUAAAAACAACAGACCACCUAAUUGCUCUGCAAGUUCUACAUAGGAAAAUUUGUCAUGUUCUACGAUCGCACUAUCCCACCCUUCUCUCUUGGUAUGGGCGCCAAUUGAGGGAUUGAUAAAAUUGAAACGAAGCCGUCACAGGGCUGGAAGUACCGCUAGCCUGGUUCGCACUGCAACCUACCCAACGCCAUCAGAAACUAGCAACUGAGUCAGGUGUUGAUCGAUUCUCUCAAAUUGCUCUCAUGUAAGUACUACCCCUUGCAUGUGCGUACAUACCUUUGUUGCAUUCUCAAACAGAUAGAACAUGUAUGAUCGGUGCAUGGCUAUUUUUCAUCACAUGACAUCCAGAUAACAAGCAUGAAAGGACUACAUUGGAGAUCAAAAAAUAUUGGUUCCUGGCUAGAGUACCACUACCUAUGGACUUGUCUCCAUAGAAUUUGUUCCCAAGAUGUUAUUUUAAUUAACCUCUUUAGCUUUCUUCCAUUGCAAACGGUGAUGUGCAUCUUGGUAUAUACGUGACCAUCUUGCACAUGUAUACACAAGAGGCUCAGACGGAGGUGUUGGAUUCUGGACGAGGGAAUAUAAAGCAGGAGUGAGCGAAGUGUAAAUAAUGGUGGGAGUACCGAUUGGUGUUAUGAAGAAAAAUGCCAUCAAAAGAUUGAUUAGUGUCAUGGAAGAUUAAUUUCUGAAUGCGAAUAUAUAUGUUACAUUGGUUUGGAUCUUUUUGAGAUAAUUGCACCUAAAUUAGGUUCUUUCUUAUUUCAUAUGUAUACCUUAUUUCAGUAAAAGUUCACAACGAACUUAGUAGGACAAAUAUAAUUUUGUUUGUUCUUUCUGUUGUCCGCCACCAAAGCUCAAUUUGAACUCUCUAGAAAUGGACAAUGAUUUAUGCAUUCUAUAUCUUCUUGAUUGAUUAGCCAUGACAAGGAAAUAAAAGGAUUGACUGAUAUAGCAUAACUUUGGAACGAUUAGAGGUUACUACAAAUAAGAGUAGUGUCUGUUGGAAUUUUGCUAGUAGGCCUUUGGCCCAAAGCCCAACUAAAAUUCUGAAAUUCUCUUGGCUCAUUUAUACACACAUGUGAGUUGAGUGAGUGAGACUAAAGUUUAGUCCCACCCCGGAAGUUGAGAGAGAGUUGCACCUCUUUAUAAGGUGAGCUCUUCUACCACUUGUAUGAGCAUGAGAAGAGGAGACCUACACGCGCGCUCCUCCUCCACGCUCGCCACGCCUCGUCGCGCCGCGCCGUGCCGCGGGUUGCGGGAUUGAGCCGAGCCGAGGACGUUUUCUAUAUUUUUGCUGCUCGGGAAAAAUUAAUGAGUCAUUAAUUAAUAAUUAAUGGACACAUUAAUUACUGAACCGUUUCCGAUUUUUUUGGAUCGUGACGACUCGGACGUGGGGUUUACUCCCAGGACCUACCCGGCCCGCACUAUAUAGUCAGGAAGAUGUCUACCCUAGCCGCCGCCGCUUCGUAUGGUUUCUCACCAUCGUUACAGAUCAUUGCGCCGCCAAGCAAGUUUUCUCCAUCCCUCCUUUCGGCGUGCACCGGGAGAAGGGACAGCAGACCUCCGGAACCCCGCCUCUCGUGAUCCUAUACGGGAGAGGGGCGAUCAGGUUUUUGGGGAGCGCACUCGCAUGACUGCUUGCAGCGACGACUUCGCAAACGACGACUUCUUCCCCGACCUCGGCAACCUCAUCCUCGACGACAUGGGCGACAACGUCAACGCCGGCGAUGCUACACCCACUGCACCGUAUGUUAUUCUCUCCUUCUUGUUCGAGAUCGUGGUAGAAUUCAUGUUUCUAGUAUAUGUGCCCUAGAUGUGAUCUGUUCAUCUACUAUGGUAGUUCGCAUGAUUAGUUUAAUCUCUGCUAUUGCUGUCAUGAUCUAUUUCCUAUUUAUUCGGAUUAAAUCUCUUUGUAAUUUGCUCAUUUUUCCAACAAUCCAAAAACCUGAUUAUAGGAAAUUUACUCCGAGUGGUUUUGCUGCGCAUCUGAAAGCCGCUUGCCUUUAAGGGGGCGCAAUAUAAGAGGUGGCGCACCAGAGCAGUCUACUGGUUUCAGAUCAUGGGCUGCUAUGACGCCACCAAGGGCAAGCCUGAGGGCGAUCUUAAUCCAGCACAGCUGGAAGCUUUCAAGAAGAUCAAUACCCUCUUUAAAGGCACGCUUCUGAGUGUUCUUGAUGACUCCAUUGUAGAUUCGUAUAUGUCGUUUGACAACGGCAAGAACAUGUGGGCUACGCUCGAGGCCAAGUUUGGUGCCUCGGACGCCGGCAGCGAGUUGUACGUCAUGGAGCAAUUAUAUGACUCCAAGAUGACUGAUGGGCGCCCUGUUGUACAUGGGCGACUUCUUCCCCGACCUCGGCAACCUCAUCCUCGACGACAUGGGUGACAACGUCAAUGCCAGCGGUGCUACACCCACUGCACCGUAUGUUAUUCUAUCCUUCUUGUUCGAGAUCGUGGUAGAAUUCAGAUUUCUAGCAUGUUCCCUAGAUGUGAUCUGUUCAUCUACUAUGCUAAUUCGCAUGAUUAGUUUAAUCUCUGCUAUUGCUGUCAUGAUCUAUUUCCUAUUUAUUCGGAUUAAAUCUCGUAGUAAUUUGCUCAUUUUUCCAACAGUGCCAUCCAAUAGAUGAUGUAAAUCUCCUCAAGUUUGACGUUGUUGAGCUAAUUUACAAAAAAAACCUCAUCAUUAUUGGAUGUCCUUAACAGCUCAAGAACAAGUUGGGGUCGAAAUAAUGGAUUUUACACUUUUACAUUAAAGGUUUAGCUAAAGCAAGCAGGUGUUUUUAAAACUGAAUUUUUUCCUCCUGAAUUUCUUUGUAUUUUCUUAUUGACACUAUUUAUACAAUCAUCUGACAAAGAUUAGCUAAAGCUGUUUGUAGAUACGUUGAAACCUGAAAAGCUUCUUUGGUUAUCCUUUUAAUAGUUCUACGUUUAUUUUCUCAUAGGUCAUAAUUCUUAUGUAAUACCAAGAUGCAUUGUGGUAGUGUACAUGUGUUAAAUUCAGGUUGUUAUUCACAAUUUGCGACAAAAUUUAGCUCACGCUACAUUUAAAUAUGUUGAAAUGUGAAAGCUCUUUUUCUUCUCCUUUCUACACCUUGCAUCGGAUUGCAUCCCUUUAGUUAUCCAACAUUUUGUUCAACAUGUAGAGAUUAGGAAGUUCAUCAUAGUUUGUCUAUUUCCGUGCUAAUAAAUGUAUGAAAUCUGCAUUUCCAAGCUACUAGGACAAGUAAAAAAUAAUAAUUUUACUAGAGGAUUCAAAAACAGCAGUUCUGAAGUGCACUUUAUUUAUUUGUGAAAGUGAUCACAUUUUGUUUCAUUUUUCUAUAGACAAAUCUACUAAUACAUACUCACGAUAAAACUAUAAAAGUUCUAGUCCGCACAUUGGGCGGGCCACCCGGCUAGUUAGUCUAAAGAUAACAAAAUGAGUCUGGAAUUUGAAUUAAAUUGAAGUAUUUUCUUGGACUAUCCACAUCCUUGGCUUGCCCCUGAUCAAUUAUUUCCAGAGAAGCAUUCAAUUCAUCAAUCAAUUACAUUGAUUUUAGUGGCUAGUACAUCACCUCAACAUCAGUAUAUUCACCGUGGCCACUCCAAAUCGGCAAGAAUGAGGUACCAGUGCUCUGGAGAAGUGCAAGCUAAUUGCUUCUCAUGUGAAGGGGUGCGGGCGCGGGAGAGGUAUUUCUGGUGGGCCAAGGGACUAAGAAGCGACCGUGGCAGCGGUACAGAUGCCCGCAAAGCCUCAUAAUUUGUUUUUGGUUUACAGGAAAAAUGCACAUCCAUACUGGCCCGGGGAAUAUAGCACUGUAUUGGAUGGAAAACAAUGUCCGGAUGGUUGUGUGCGGUUUGAGGGUUAGCUUUUGUAACGCCCGGUUAGUUAUGCUAUAGCAAUUCCCUGCUAAUGAUGUCACGUCACCACGAUUACUGUUGUUAACCUCACAAUGAUUCAAUCUCGUUCAAAUUCAAAUUUAAAAUAAAGGCAAACAUCAAAAGUUUUCAAACAUUAAAACUAAAAUCUUUGAGAGGUGACAAAUAAUGCAUAAGUAAUUAUGGUGAAGAAACCACACUUUAAUCAAAUGUUUAAAUACUCUAAAAUGAAAAAAAAACAGUGACUUAAACUAUUAUUUAAAUGCUUUUAAAAUAGUAAAAAUCUUCUAACUAAAUUAUUUGGGUACCAAAACUUUUGGUGGCAGUGGUAUAUUUAGUAGAACUAAUUUAGAUGCUAAUUAUAUAAUUUACAAAAUUAGAGUAAAUUGAAAAAUAGGAUAAAACGAAAAAAGGAAAAACAAAACAAAUAAAAGCAAAAGGGGGCAACCCCUCGCUGGGCCUCGGCCUAGCUGGCCACUAGGCUAGCUAGGCUCGCCCCGCCGCCUCCCUUAACCCCCCACUCCCCGUCGAACCCAAGCCCGAUCGCCCCACUUCCCCCACACCCCCUCGCCGGUCUCCCCACCUCUUGAUCCCAUCUGGAUCGGGGAGGGUAUUGCCCCCAUCGAACCCGUUGCUGUCGCCGGAUCGCCCGCCGACGUCGCCAGGCCUCCUCCCCGUCGCCCGUCUCCGGCUCACCUCCCCUCUCGCUCCUCUUCCCUGACCCGAUCUGGAUCGUGAACGAGCAAUGAGCUCGAAGCCCCCCUUCACCGGCGCCAUCACCGUGCGCCACCACCACCGCCUGAAGACCUCACCGUCGCCGAACCUUGCGUCGCUGUAACACCCUCGAUGCGACUAUAUCUCCCACGUGUCGAGGCACGACUUAGAGGCAUAAUCGCAUUGAAGGCAUAUGUCGCAAGUGAGGUAGUCUUCACACAACCCAUGUAAUAUAAUAAGGGAAAGAGAUACAUAGUUGGCUUACACUCGCCACUUCACACAAUUACAUGAAUAAAACAUUACAUCAACCAAGUACACUCAUGGUCCGACCACGGAACCAAAAUAAAGAAGAACCCCAAAAGCGACAAAGGUCCCCGAUCGACCCCAACUGGGCUCCACUACUGAUCAAUUAGAACGAAACAGCUCAACGGACAAAGUCUUCAUCGAGCUCCUCCUGAGCUUGGUUGCGUCCUGCUCGGACUCAUCGGCACCUCCAAGCUGGUUUUGGAAGUAUCUGUGAGCCACGGGGACUCAGCAAUCUCGCACCCUCGCGAUCAAGACUAUUUAAGCUUAUGGGUAAGGUAAAGGUAUGAGGUGGAGCUGCAGCAAGCGACUAGCAUAUAUGGUGGCUAACCUAUUCGCAAAUGAGAGCGAGAAGAGAAGGCAAAGCACGGUCGAUAAAAGUAUGAUCAAGAAGUGAUCCUAGACUACCUACGUCAAGCAUAACUCCAACAACCGUGUUCACUUCCCGGACUCCGCCGGAAAAAGACCAUCACGGUUACACAUGCUGUUGAUUCAUUUUAAUUAAGGUCAAUUUUAGAUUUUCUACAACCGGACGUUAACAAAUUCCCAUCUGCCCAUAACCGCGGGCACGGCUUUCGAAAGUUCAAAUCCCUGCAGGGUGUCCCAACUUAGCCCAUGACAAGCUCUCACGGUCAACGAAGGAAUAGACCUCCACCCGAGAUAUUCCGAUCAGACUCGGUAUCCCAGUACAACAAGACAUUUCGACAGGGUAAAACUAAACCAGCAACACCGCCCGAUGCGCCGACAUCCUGAUGGGAGCUGCACAUAUCUCGUUCUCAGGGCAACACUGGAUUGUCUAAACUUCCGGUAGGCCAGCCCAGAGUUGCCCCUGGUGGCCACCGGCGGCUGACGGUUUGGACCAACACUUAGACAAGCACUGGCCCGGGGGGGUUAAAAAACGAUGACCCUCAGGAGCGCGACUCCCAAGGGAAAAGAAAAGGCUAGGUGGCAAAUGGUAAAGCCAAUGUUGGGCAUUGCUGGCAAAGCUUUACUUAAGGCGAACUGUCAAGGGGUUCCCAUUAUAGCCCAACCGCGUAAGGGACGCAAAGUCCAGGAACAUAACACUGAUAUGACGGAAACUAGGGCGGCAAGAGUGGAACAAAACACCAGGCAUAAGGCCGAGCCUUCCACCCUUUACCAAGUAUAUAGAUGCAUUAAUUAAAUAAGAUAUAUAGUGAUAUCCCAACAAGUAAACAAAUGUUCCAACAAGGAACGGCCUCCAAUCUUCACCUGCAACUAACAACGCUAUAAAAGGGGCUGAGCAAAGCGGUAACAUAGCAAUUCAACGGUUUGCUAGGACAAUGGUGGGUUAGGGGCUGAACAUGGCAAUUUGGGAGGCUGACAAGCAAGUGGUAGGCAUUGUAGCAAUGGCAUAGCAAAAGAGUGAGCAUACUAGCAUAGCAAAGAUAGUAGUGACUUCGAGGGUAUGAUCAUCUUGCCUGAAAUCCCGCAAGGAAGAAGAACGAGUCCAUGAAGAAGACAAACGGGCGUAGUCGAACGGGUCCUCACAAUCACGACGUUAUCGGAACCAACCCGAAGAAGCAAUCACCGGAAAAGAAGCACACACAACAUAGUAAACACCCAACACAUCAACAUGGCAAGAUGCACAAUCGAGUAUGAUGCAUGUCCGGUUUAAAGAGGCAUGGCAUGGCAAAGUGCACAAACAACCCUACAAAUUAAGUGGAGCUCAAUAUGCAACGGUUGCAUAUUGACGAAACACCACGUCAAUUAUUUAGUUCGAUCUCGUUUAUGUACCCAACAAUAUUAAAUGUUGUUAAAACAUGGCAAGAGGGGAAACAUGAUGAAACUAUCUAAUCUAGGCAAGUUUAAAUGAGGCCGGAAGCAACGAACAACAAUUCCGGAAAAUCCUCAUGUGUAAAUAUUAGGUUAGGUCCUGAUCUGUCCUAAACACAAUUUAAGCGUUGUUUAACAUGCAAGAUGAGGCCACCACGUUAAACUAGGCAAAAUUCUACCCGAUUUACAUAUAAAGAUUAUUAAAAUCGGAGUUACGGUUAAUUAGAUAUGAAUAAAAUCAUUUUAGCAUGGCAUGGGAGCAAACUUAAACAAACAUCAUUUUAGACAUUUUUUAAUUGUUGUUAUCAUGAUGCGGAUGACAUGAACAAGUUUAACGCAAUUUUAAUUAAGACUUGACAAGAGCAUUAUCAUGAAGCAUUGUCACCGUGGUGGAAGGAAAAAGGGGGUGCCACGGCAACGAAUCCGAAAAUGAUGCCAUGGCAACAUAUCGGUUCCGGUAACUCGAUUGAGAUCCCGGUGCAAACGAAAAAAACGACGGGAGCGUGACACGCGAUAGGAGGUGGGGUGAUCCCGGAUAUCGGGUUCCCACAAUAUGGUGACAAAGCAAAAGAGGGGCGACGUGCACCGAACAACUCCGACACGGAGCAAACACGAGCAUUUCAUACAUCACACAUGCAUUCGUUCACGGGCAUCGUUCCGGCGGUUAUACCUUUGAAGCGAGCAUCAUCGAAACGGAUCGAGUUCGACGGUAGGGGUACACGUGUCGACGAGGAAGUAGUUGUACACGGGGUCGUCGUGGGAAGUAGUCAUUCUCGCGAUGGUAGUGGAAGUAGGGGUACAUGACGACGUAGAGGUGCUCGCGACGGUAGUCGUUCACGUUUGCGUUUCACGGGUCUUCGGCGACGGUUGUCGUACAUGGUCCACAAGACGUCGAUCGUUCGGGGUCCGAUUUGCGGAUCUUGCCGACAUGAAGGGGUACUUGGCGUUCUCCGGACUUGCUGGUCUCGUCGAAACGAAGGGGUACUUGGUACAAUCCUCGUAGUCGUGCACUUGUCGUCAAGGGACUAGAUGGAUCCGAGGCUUCCGGAGGCGACGGUAGUGGGACUUGGUGAAUCCGAGUUCUUCAGAGGUCGUCAUGGUACUUGGUGAAAUCCUCGGAGAUGGACUUGACGCACGAAAGGUCUUCGGUGCCACGGUACUUGUCUGAUCACACACGGAGAUGCAUCGAUGGAUCUCUGACUCGUCCUGGCGAUGGACGAACUUGGCGAAAACCCCGAAGGCGGUCUUGAGCUUCCCUGGUUACCGCACCUUGGCAGAGACCAGAGGAACGACGAGGCCAGCGGGCAGCAACCGAAGAUGCCUGAGGUCUGUGGGCGUCCAGAUCAGGUGGCCUUCUGGCUAGGCAAGGACGACGAGGAGGAUGCCGAGGCGCGGGGACGAGGUAGGAGGCGGCACGGGAGCACGGCGCGGGCGUGGGCGCUCCUGGUGGGCGCAGAGGACGACGACGGCAGGCCAUGGCAGGGGCGGAGGCGCGGUUCCCUGGACCGGUAGGGCCGCGGCGGCGCUGUGGUGCCCGGCGGCCUCGGCGACGCGGCGAGGGAGGGGAUCCGGCGGGGCGCGAGGGAGCUCGGUGGCGGCGCAGGCUGCAGUGCCCGACAGAUGGAGGAGGCGCGGCAGGGUGGCUCCGGCCAGGGCACGGCGCGGGGAGCGCAAGACGGCGGCGAGGAGGCCGAUGAGGCUCCGACCUGGUACUUGGAUCGAAGGAGGAGGGAGGAUGAGGGGAGCCGGAGGGAGAUCGAGAGGGGGGUUCGAGCAGCUGGGGAUGGGGAUCGGGCUGCGAGGGAAAAUGGGGGUCGGGCACGAGAGAGAGAGAUCGAGGGGAGAUGGCGGCGCUGCGGGAACGAGAGGGAGAUGAGUGUGGUGCAGGAGCUGGGCUUCGGGCCUUCUAGGGUUAGGAGGGAGUGGGCCAGGGAGGCCGGCCGAGGAGAGAGAGGCCCAGGUGGGCAGGGGCGCGGCCUGCGGGGAAGGAUGGGCCUAGGGAGGCCUGAGGCUGCAGCUGGGCUGGACUCUCUUUCCCUCUUUCUCUAAUUUUCUUUAGCAGCAAAUGAUUAAAGAGAAAGAAAAGAAAGAGGGGGUUAGGGAAAGGAGUCGGACACGCGGAUAAUUUUCCCGGACUCACAAAAUUGCACUUGUUCCGAGAAAAAUGAAGUGGGCAAGAUUGCAAGAAUUAAAUUCAAGGACAAUUGAAUUUAAUUAGAAAGGUUGCACAAGGACUAGGAUUUAGGAGAGUCCAAAAAUGUUGAGAAAUUAGGAGGAGCCUCAAUAAAUGGGAAAAGAGAUGUUGGCAAAGUUUGGGGACCAAACUUGAAGUAGAAAGGGAGUGGGGAUUUUUCCAGUGUGUUUUGGUUAAUUCCGAAAGAAUGGAAUAUUUUAUAAUAGCCCCACUAAUAUCGGGACGAUAUGUUAUAAAGAGAAGUCAUCCUUCCCUCGAUUUAAAUGGAUCGAAGAUCCAUAUGAAUUAUUUAGUUGAGAUGCAAAAGAUUAUGACAUGAUGACAUGAUGCAAUGCACAUGAUGACGUGACAUGGUGCAACACGCAAGCACAUGACAACGCAACAACAUCGAAUAACUGCACGACACCUGGCACAUCGGUCUCGGGGCGUUACAGUCGCCUCCUUGUAUCCCCCCCCUACUCGCAUCCUCAAGCCAGGCCGAGCCCCUUCUCGGCAACGCUGUGAGACGCCCCCGUUUCCCUCCUCUUUCCACCGCAUUCACCGCGCCGCUCGCCGUGCCCGUCGCCGUGCGUGAGCCCACCACCGCACCAGCCCCCGCUCCGCGCACGACCCUACCCGCGCCCGCGCCAUGAUCCCCUUUUCCGCCCUACCUUCACGCGCUCGCCGCGAUCCCGAUGCUCCCCCGCGCCCUCUUUCGGGCGCGCCGACUGCCCCUGUCCUGGUGCUCGCCGCCGUGCCUCGCCACCGCUCUACUGCUACGUUACUACUGCGCUGCGGCCGCCGCCUCUUCCCGCUGCUCCGCUAGCGCCGGAGCUCCCGGUUGGCUCCACCACUGCUCACGUUAAACCGCCGGCCUAAAUGGCCUAACCCCCGGCUAAUGAACCCCCACUAACCCACUGACACCGGGACCCACAUUCCCUAAUUAACCAUUUAAUAAAUUAAAACUCUUAAAUUAACAUUAGUGUAUGACAUGUGCGUCCCCUGUUAAUUAAUAAUUUUACUGCUAGUUUUAUUAGUUUCUGUUUUUUCUGCAUAUUUCUUUUGUAUUUGAACAGGCUUUAUACAAUAAUAUUUAGCGUAUCAUACACAUACAAAUGUAAUCAUAGCAUAUACAUACAAAUAGUCUCAUCAAAUCAUGUCAUCAUCAUAAUCAUCAUCCAUCACAAAGUGGUCUCUCGUCAUCAUCUCGAAAAUAGCGAUACAAGUCUCGAUUACUUGCAACUACAUCGUCAUCCAUCUAAACAAUGAUAUACGCGAGAAGAGCUCUCACUAUGAGUGAGAGCGGAACUAUGCAGUACAUGAGUUUGUAUCCCUCUCUCGCAUUAGCGUGAACCUAAACUAACGACUCGCUGUUGCUCGGAAACCGGAAACCGGUACACCUGGGCCUGACACUCCGGCCACUCGUCGUAUACUCCUGGCGUAGCACUUCUUCGCCAUCGAUGAUCUAUGCACCUGCAUCGUCACAUGAGUCGAUGAUAUGCAACAUAUAUAGUUGAGUAACAGAAAGAGACAGACUUCGCAAAAAUAGAAGCAACAUAUCAUAAGUAUAAAUAACAAAGUUCAUCCUACCCAAAAUGCCCUAACUAGAGUGAUCUUCGCUAGUCGAGGAGGACGGUUUAAUUACAUCACAAAUAACGUUUCGUCGUGCAUAACUCAAAGUUCCGUCAUACAGAAAGUAUGAACUAAACGGACACAUUGUCAUAUUUCGAAAAUCACUCCAACAUAUCGUACCAUCCAUCCAAGUCAAGGAGAGAGUGCCCGAGCUUAGUGAAAGGCUUGUGGUCGAGACGCUGAGCGGCUACGCGUGUUCGAAAGUCUUCCCACGUCAUUUGUCCUUCUUCAUAGAACAUCCCUGUUUUUUCGACGACCUCCUUCAUGAUGAUUUGGACAAGUUCGCACUGGAAGUGAUAUAACUCAUCUCGAAGUGGAUGAUCCUCGAUAUCUCCUAAGUUCUUUGCCCAUUGCAGAAUAUGGGCAUCGCUGAAUUUAGGUGACAUGCAAAGGUUCCGGUGAUCUCGUCUAUACUCCAUCAUAUGGACAUAGAAUCGAUCAUCAAGAGAAUCACUCGGUUGCUGGAUGCAGCUGAAGUGGGUCUUAUGGGCCUGCCGUCCCUUUUCUUCUUGUCCUUGACCUCUCCACCCCGUGCAUCGUAGUAAAACGUAGCACUGUCGAGAAUAGACUUGAUGUGGGUGUAAUCCUUUUUGUUAAUGUUCUUCGACGAGUCCACAGUAUCGGGGGUAGCGGAUAAUGAGGACGGCGCUGAAGGAAAUAUGCCCUAGAGGCAAUAAUAAAGUUAUUAUUUAUUUCCUUAUAUCAUGAUAAAUGUUUAUUAUUCAUGCUAGAAUUGUAUUAACCGGAAACAUAAUACAUGUGUGAAUACAUAGACCAACAGAGUGUCACUAGUAUGCCUCUACUUGACUAGCUCGUUAAUCAAAGAUAGUUAUGUUUCCUAACCAUGAACAAAGAGUUGUUAUUUGAUUAACGAGGUCACAUCAUUAGUUGAAUGAUCUGAUUGACAUGACCCAUUCCAUUAGCUUAGCACCCGAUCGUUUAGUAUGUUGCUAUUGCUUUCUUCAUGACUUAUACAUGUUCCUAUAACUAUGAGAUUAUGCAACUCCCAUUUACCGGAGGAACACUUUGGGUACUACCAAACGUCACAACGUAACUGGGUGAUUAUAAAGGAGUACUACAGGUGUCUCCAAUGGUAGAUGUUGGGUUGGCGUAUUUCGAGAUUAGGGUUUGUCACUCCGAUUGUCGGAGAGGUAUCUCUGGGCCCUCUCGGUAAUGCACAUCACAUAAGCCUUGCAAGCACUGCAACUAAUAUGUUAGUUGUGAGAUGAUGUAUUACGGAACGAGUAAAGAGACUUGCCAGUAACGAGAUUGAACUAGGUAUUGGAUACCGACGAUCGAAUCUCGGGCAAGUAACAUACCGAUGACAAAGGGAACAACGUAUGUUGUUAUGCGGUCUGACCGAUAAAGAUCUUCGUAGAAUAUGUAGGAGCCAAUAUGGGCAUCCAGGUCCCGCUAUUGGUUAUUGACCGGAGACGUGUCUCGGUCAUGUCUACAUUGUUCUCGAACCGUAGGGUCCGCACGCUUAAUGUUACGAUGACAGUUAUUAUGAGUUUAUGCAUUUUGAUGUACCGAAGGUUGUUCGGAGUCCCGGAUGAGAUCACGGACAUGACGAGGAGUCUUGAAAUGGUCGAGACGUAAAGAUUGAUAUAUUGGAAGCCUAUGUUUGGACAUAGGAAGUGUUCCGGGUGAAAUCGGGAUUUUACCGGAAUACCGGAAGGGUUACCGGAACCCCCCGGGAGACUAAUGGGCCUAUUGGGCCUUAGUGGAAAAAGAGAAAAGGGGCAGCCCAUAGCUGGCCGGCGCCCCCCCCCUUUCCCCAAGUCCUAGUAGGACUAGGAGAAGGGGCCGGCCCCCCCUCUUUCUCCUUUCCCCCCGAGAGUCCUAAUUGGAAUAGGAUUGGAGGGAGGAGUCCUACUCCCGGUGGGAGUAGGACUCCCCUGCGCCUCCCUCUCCCUGGCCGGCCGGCCCCCCUUCCUCCAACCUUUAUAUACGGGGGCAGGGGACACCCCAAGACACACAAGUUGAUCCUUGAGAUCGUUCCUUAGCCGUGUGCGGUGCCCCCUGCCACCAAAUUCCACCUCGAUCGUACCGUUACAGUGCUUAGGCGAAGCCCUGCGUCGGUAGUACAUCAAGAUCGUCACCACGCCGUCGUGCUGACGGAACUCUUCCUCGACACUUUGCUGGAUCGGAGCCCGAGGAACGUCAUCGAGCUGAACGUGUGCUAAGAACUCGGAGGUGCCGGAGUAACGGUGCUUGGAUCGGUCGGAUCGGGAAGAAGACGUACGACUACUUCCUCUACGUUGUGUGAUCGCUUCCGCAGUCGGUCUGCGUUGGUACAUAGACAACACUCUCCCCUCUCGUUGCUGUGCAUCACCAUGAUCUUGCGUGUGCGUAGGAAAAUUUUCGAAAUUACUGCGUUCCCCAACAGGCGCGCCCGCCGCUGCGCAAAAUAAGUACACCUCCAAUUAAUUACACUCCAUCGUUCAAAUGAAUGAUUGAAAUCGAAGGAAGGAUAUCUGCGCGGAUGACUUACACGAGAUGAUAAGCCAUGAGAAUCGCCUCCUUGUCCUUAUUGGCAAGCAUGAAAUCGACGAUGUAUUCCUCGCGUAUUCACGGUGCUUUGCACGGACUCCCAAGAAGCCCUCGUGCAUGAAGUACGGGUCAGCAACACAGAUAUGAGGUAUCUGCUCAACCCCGAUGAGGUAGUUCAUGUGCAAGGCAUAAAGGCGGACAAACGUAAAAUCCAGCUUCUUUAAGUGAAACAUGUUGAAGAUGUAAUCGAAUCGAAGGAAAAACUUCUUCGAGGGGAAUGUGUCGACGUACGACAAUUGCCGCGGCACGUUAACCACGUAGAGAGGGUAUCCUGGAUUUUUCGAGGCGAUGAGGCCUUUCUCUAUCCGCAACACGUCGUCAUGAAGUCUCCUUAGAUUGCCGGAUCUGGCCCCUAGUGCUGCUUUCGGUAGGAUUGGUUCACCGGGAUACGCCAUUUUGCCGCUCCGGGGAUAUCUAUACGGUCUUGAACCCGAGGCUGCUGAGGCGGCUGGAUCAUAGAAGCAGCUUUGUUGGCUUUCCUCGGUGUAUUCCUAAGCUUCUUUGCUACCGGAAGGUCGUCUAUAAUAUGUUCAGCCUCCGGAGGCGGCAAUUCAAGCACCGACUCAUGACGCUCAAACCCUUAGUAGGCGCCAGUAUUGAGAUACUAUUGAGUGUCAUUGUCAUCCUCAUCUAUGGCGGUGUCACCAGCGACAAAUGGAGCCUCUUCCUCACCCCGUCCGCUAUCACCCAGCACGACAGCCGGCGCUAAUUGGGUAGGUGGGGUGUUGAUGUUCAUACCUAACUGCGUGCUCGUGUGUGUGCUCCCGGCCGUCUCCAAACAAAGCAGACUCUUUGGCCACAAUAGGACCCACCCAUUGCAAUCACCAAGCCGCUGCGGGAUCUUGUCGUCAUUCCCCCUAGUACCGGAGGAGCCAAAUUCUCCUGGCCUGGUUUGACACUGGCCACGGAAACUUUGAAGAUGUCCAGGGGGAUCGAUCGGCCGUGGAACAAUGGUUCCUUCAGCUUCAUUAUCGUCACCUUCCCCACGUCCACCUCCUGGUAGCGGAUGCUGUACAAUAUGGUGCACGGGGUUAUAUUGGCCUGCAAAGACAUUUCUGUGAUGUGAGAUAUCCGAAAGGCAACGGAAAUGGGAGAUUAUACAUUUAUUGAAGAGGGCCGGUGUGACAGAUACCGUGAGGGCGUCGAGCUCAGCCAAAGACGAAGCACCGCUGAGCACGUCUGGUGUCGGAGCCGGUGCCGGAGCAGGUGCGGGAGCCCGUGCGGGAGCAGGUGUAGGUGCCGGUGCAACGCUAGUUGAGCUACUCCCGAAGAAGUCAGCAAGGGGAAAGUCUGCUGUAUUUUUUUCUGGAUUUUGCAUGCUCCAAUUGAAAACGGCCGGAACCAAGACAGAAGACAUAUCUGGAACCACCUGUUUUGCGGCAGCUAUCGCAGUUGUGACUGUCUCAGAUGAUUUCUUCUCAACCGCAAUCUCAACCUUCUGGUUGAUGUUUUCUUCAGUUAACCUCCGUCUUUCCUUUCUCUCCUCUGUGGUCUCACGGUAGUACUUCUUCCAUGUGGCGCCGUCUUCGACACCGUGCACGCGUCCAUACGACGGCCGAUUCUCCACCGGGAGUCCUUUCAAUAUGUUCAAUGCCCGAUUGAAUGGAGUGUUCCACUUGGGCCUCGCCAACACCUCAGACGGUGAGUCACUUUCGGCUGCAAUCUUGUGCUGCUCUCUCUACAAAAGGAACAAGGAUCGUUUACAAAUAUGACUAAACGUGCAGUCGAAUUGAUCAGAAACUAAAAUUACCGGCAGUCCCAUGAACUUCGUCGUGAUCAGGUCAGUCUUGAAAACCUUCUUGACUGAGUCCCAAUGGUGUCGUGCCCCGAGGACGUCAUGCUCCCGCGGGACGGUGAAGUCCGCCAAGGGGUCUGGGAUGCCCAGACUUUCGCGUUCCGCGUCCUCCUAUGCCCAUAUGGACCUCUUCCCGCCGUAACCACGGCUUCCGAGGUGGUGGCGCCCUAUGUUCCUUUGUUGAAGCCCCUUCAUGUACUUCGACUUUUUUUGGCAGCUUCGGCCUCGCAAGCCGCCUUGAAUUUUUCAAAGUGCUCUCCCGUGAUUGUCGGAUUAUCCUUUACAAUCUCAGAGUAUGGUUCCUUUUUGUCGACAAUCCGAUGUUUCAACCUUGUUUUCCAGGUGCCCAACGCGUCACUAAACUUGGUCAUGGCGUGUUUGUUUAUCUUCUUCAUUGCCGGGUCCUUAUUUGGAUCUUUAUAAUCCAUUUCAUUCCGGCCCGGGAACAACAAUAUCUGGUGCAGCUUCUUUAGGAGAGAGGGCCUCAUAUUAUCUAUCUUCUGUAGUUUCCCAUCAUUGAUCGUGGCAGUUGUCCGUACGAUGCAGCCUACUUGAUUGCCGUAGCACGAUCGCGCUUCCUCGGGCGCUAUUGUCUGAAAAACACUGUCGUCCAUCUCCGUGACCACCAGUCUAGUAGUCAUGAGCAGGUUUGGGCGCCGUGGCUUCUUUGCUUUCGGUUCUAGACCAGCUCCGCUAGUCUCGGCGCCGGUCUCAGUCUCAUCGCCAGUCUGCAUGUCGGUAUCAGUCCCCGAUGCGAUAGGUCGGCCCAGCAACAACAUUCGUUGAUCGUCGGCAAGGCUCAAAAAUUCAUCUGCCGCCAGGUAGACGUGUCGCAAUCACCAGAACCCUAUCCUUCAUCGUUGCUAGCCAUGUUUCCUACGAUUAUGCCUAGUCAAUUAAUUUUAGACCUAAUAAAAUGAAUAAUGACAUAAAACAGGCCAAUGUUUUGCAGGAUUACAACUCAACCCAUUGCAGAUUAGAAAACAAGCCCGUGUGAAUGCACAGGCUGACCACUAGUCUAUCUAUACCUAUACCUACCUAUACUAAUUACAGACUCCCAAGUAAUUCCCACGUUAAUUAGUAAUUAAGAGCCGUUAAUCUUGUGGGACCAAAUUAUUACGACAGUCCACGAUCUCUUUUCUCUCUGUGUAAAAAAAAAGGUCCACGAUCUCUUUUCUCCGUUGUAAAAGAUAAAGGCAACUCAGGUCCACGAUCUCUUUUCACGGUUGUGAAAGAUAAAGACAACUCCCGUCUUCUUCUAAUCUAUAGUUCUAUACCUCCACGACCCCUUCCUCUCCCCAUUUAAAAGGAACAAGCUGAACCAAUAUCUAAGCAUGCAAUUGGUUCCUGUGCGGUCUUGACCUUCCAUCCGUCCACUGCUCGAUCGGCCCUCCCUCAACUACAAGCUGACAAGCCACCAUCGCCAUCCAGCGGCACGCCACCGUUCAUGCAUGUGUUUUUGCCCUUCAAUCUGAAGGAGAUGCGUUGGCUACUCAAGUAACUCUGUUUGUUUUGUUCAAACCAAUUUCGUUAAUUCGGUUCUUUGAUUAUCUUAUUGACAUGGCCUGUGAGUUUUGUGCUAGUGAUACAGGGCCUGUCUACUAGAUUCUCUCCUUGCAACUUCUAUUGUUGUCUCGAUUUGGUGUGGUCAAGAUCCUUGCCCCACCACAAGCAGCACCUUUGCACCAUCGGGGAAAUCUGUCAUAGCAAACAGAGGUAUGUAACAUGCUUUGGUGUUUUCCUCUUUCGUUUAGAUCACUAGAGUUGCUCAACCACACCAUUCAUUGAUUAGUAGUUGGCCUGAGAAGUUGCUCGGUCACCUGCAGCGUCUGAUCCCCUUCUUGACCCUCUCAUUCUGGUCAUUAUCCACCGGCAGGUCAAUGCCAAACGGAUCGUUCGUUGCCGCCACCUUGCGGAGACCGAUGUUUGGCUGCCCUCCUGCCAUCCUGGCGCUCUGGUACCGGUCACUGUGCCGUUGUUCUAGAAGAACUAUGUCACACGAAGCGAGAUAUCUUCUUACUAAUCUGGAACAUAAGUGUUUCUUCUUACUAGGAUUCGCUCACCGGUGCAUUCAUCUCUUUUUGGAAAAUACGGCCUUCAUAUUUCACACGCCUAUACAUGGGUGCUGUCCCAACAAUAAUCCAUCUAAUCCAUGAUGCACAUUCAUGAAGACUGAUGUGACUGAAUUAAUAUAUCAAUCUGGUGCUUCCGGAUCAGCACUUGAAGAAGCAACCCCUUUAGUUCAUAAAUAUAUCAUACGAAAGUCAGGGGAGAAAUCAACUAAGUCAUGUGUGCUUUUCUAAUUAUUUACUAUACACUAAUUCCAUUUUUUCAGUAGAAGGCUAGGAUACGUGGAUUGUGGCAGCACAGAAGUAAACCGAUGAGCUACGUUGGCCGUUCACCAGUCAUCGGAUCAGCAGCCAUGUCGACCAGAGGGACGGAACAGUUCUAUAUUAGGCGAUGGAUACAUGUGGAAGCAACUAAGCAUAUGUGGAUGCAUGUGAUCGCAUAGGUAAGGCCAUAGCUGUUCAAGCCCUACAGGAUCUUUAUUGCUGGUUUUAAUUAUGAGUUUACAACACCAUCUAUACAUACUACUUAUCCAUUUAUUUCCUUACCUUCUUUGUUUCUUUCUCUCCUUGAUCCCCUGUCAAAAGGGCAUCAACAUCCAUAUGCGCAACGGCACACGCAACAAACUAUGACUUCGGUUGCAUGUCCAACGGCAACCACAGUACAUGAUGAUAUCAUGUUUGCUGCAAGACGAAGUACAAGUUCAUAAUUUGGUCUUUUGCAUGGUCCCUUAGUAAAUUCACUUCUGCUUCGGUACACCCCCCCUAAACACAUAGACGGCCCAGAUUAGUCGAUACCUCUUCAUAAGUAAGGGCAUGAUGGUCAUAUAUUAAAAACCAUUCGUCCCCUGUAUAUGUGUACAGUGAGAUGGGCCGGCCCAUCUUUCCCUUUUUUUCUGAUUUGAUCCUGACAGGAAUCGAACCAGAUAGUUCCUGGUACAUAGUUGGACGUGAUAACCAACCAGCCGACUUAGGCACCUAUGGUUAGAUAGUUCUUUCUCGUCCUUUUCUUCUUUCCUCUUUCCUCUUUCUUAUUUCCUUUUUUCUUGUUUUUUCAAACGUUGUUUUGGGUUUUCAUUUCCCUUUUUUUCUUUUUCGUUUUCUUUUCCUUUUUAUGUUCCUUUUGUUUUACCUUUUCUUUUGCAAUGUGCAAAAUUUUUCAGUUUCCUUUAUAAAAAAUUAAUGAACCUUUUUUAAUAUUGAUGAUUUUUUUUUCAAAGUCGAUGAACUUUAUUCAAGAUUGAUGAUUUUUUUCUAAAUUGAUGAACCUUUCUCAAGAUGAAUAUAGUUUUUUCAAAGUAGAAGAUUUUUUUUCAAAAUUGAUAAAAUUUUGCAAAAUCGAUGAUUUUAAAAAAAUCAUGAACUUUUUUCAAAUCCUUGUACUUUUUUUAAUCAAGAUGCAUGGGUUAUUUUUAAUUCAUGGAACUUUUAAUUUACGGACAUUUUGCCAAUCCGCUUAUUUUUUUCAAGUCCAUGAACUUUUCCAAAAGGGCGAACCCUUUUUUAUAGUCAAUGGUCAAAGGUCAAGCAUGUCAAUGGUCAACUUUUUGUCCAGGUUAACCAUGAAGAAGUUUUUUUUUGGUCGAACCACGAAGAAGCGAUCGAGCGUAUGCUCUUGGCGAGCGACAGCUGAUCGCUCCUGUAGUUUGGCCAGCCCAUGAAAGGUGGUGUUCAAGCGAUGUGUCCACUAAGUAGCGCAGAAAGCGGUGACUAGGCGCUCCCACUGUACAGGGAGUAGCGUCGCACAAACCGGCGCACACACCCCUUCGUCCAAGGUCUGGCCCAUUUUCCUUUUCUAUUUUUACCUUGAAAAAAUAGGUGCAUGAAGUAGGAUUCAAACUAUGAACCUUUGUGAUUACUUCCACCCACUAUAACAAACUAGGAUAGCUCACUUCUUGCGUCUAAUUACUUCUUUUUUAGAGCAUCUUCUCAGUCUGUUUUUUCUUUUGCUUUUGUUUGGCCUUUUUAUUCCGUUUUAUUCAUUUUUUAUUUGUCUUUGUUUCUUCUUAUUUUCAUUUUGUUAAAUUCAUGAUUUUUUAAAUCUAUGAGCUUAUUUUAAGGAUGUUGAGAAAUAACAUGCUCCCAGACAAAACCUUCUGGCCUACCGGAUACUCUUUGUAGAACAUGGUAUAGUUUUGGACAUCAUUCAAAUGAUCCCAACUUUUGUAGGAUGGUGGGCAUUUCCCGUGGUAGGCAUCAUUGACAGGUUUGAAUGACUUCUGACACCGUAUGCAAGUUGCGACACGUCCGAUCAUUUAUCGGUCUUUUUUCACCGGAAAAACUCUAGAAAAUGCAAAACUUGUUGAGAAUCCAAAAAACUUAGCUUGGUGUCUUGAAUUGGUCGUACAAGGCCAUGAAAAAAUUUGGGGCCAUUUCAAGGAUGUCAAGAAACAACGUGCUCUCAAACAGAGCCUUCUGGCAACCGAACACCCUUCAUUGAACAUGGUCUAGUUUUGGACAUUCUUGAAAUGACCCCAACUUUUUGAAGUAGAUGAGCAUGCCCAUGGUAGACAUCCAUGUCAAGUUUGAAUGAUUUCUGACACCGUAUGCAAGUCGCGACACGUCCGGCCAUUUAUCGACCUUUUUUGGCCGAGGAAACUCCAGAAAAUGCAAAAUUCAUCAAAAAACAAAACAACUUGGCAUGGUGCACUUAGUUGGCCAUACAAGGUCAUAUAAAAAAUUGGGGCAAUUUCAUGGGUGUGGAAACACAACAUGCUCUCAGACGGAGCUUUCUGACCUACCUGAUGAAGGAAAUAUGCCCUAGAGGCAAUAAUAAAGUUAUUAUUUAUUUCCUUAUGUCAUGAUAAAUAUUUAUUAUUCAUGCUAGAAUUGUAUUAACCGGAAACAUAAUACAUGUGUGAAUACAUAGACAAACAGAGUGUCACUAGUAUGCCUCUACUUGACUAGCUCGUUAAUCAAAGAUGGUUAUGUUUCCUAACCAUGGACAAAGAGUUGUCAUUUGAUUAACGGGAUCACAUCAUUAGUUGAAUGAUCUGAUUGACAUGACCCAUUCCAUUAGCUUAGCACCCGAUUGUUUAGUAUGUUGCUAUUGGUUUCUUCAUGACUUAUACAUGUUCCUAUAACUAUGAGAUUAUGUAACUCCCGUGUGCCGGAGGAACACUUUGUGUGCUACCAAACGUCACAGCAUAACUGGGUGAUUAUAAAGGUGCUCUACAGGUGUCUCCAAAGGUACAUGUUGGGUUGACGUAUUUCGAGAUUAGGAUUUGUCACUCCGAUCGUCAGAGAGGUAUCUCUCGGCCCUCUCGGUAAUGCACAUCACUUAAGCCUUGCAAGCAUUGCAACUAAUGAGUUAGUUGCGGGAUGAUGUAUUACGGAACGAGUAAAGAGACUUGCCGGUAAUGAGAUUGAACUAGGUAUUGGAUACCGACGAUCGAAUCUUGGGCAAGUAACAUACCGAUGACAAAGGGAACAACGUAUGUUGUUAUGCGGUCUGACCGAUAAAGAUCUUCGUAGAAUAUGUAGGAGCCAAUAUGGGCAUCCAGGUCCCGCUAUUGGUUAUUGACCGGAGACAUGUCUCGGUCAUGUCUACAUUGUUCUCGAACCCGUAGGGUCCGCACGCUUAAGGUUUCGAUGACAGUUAUAUUAUGAGUUUAUACGUUUUGAUGUACCGAAGGUUGUUCGGAGUCCCGGAUGUCAUCACGGACAUGACGAGGAGUCUCGAAAUGGUCGAGACAUAAAGGUUGAUAUAUUGGAAGCCUAUGUUUGGAUAUCGGAAGUGUUCCGGGUGAAAUCGGGAUUUUACCGGAGUACCGGGAGGUUACCGGAACCCCCCGGGAGAUAUAUGGGCCUUAGUGGGCCUUAGUGGAAAAGAGAAGAGGCAGCCAGAGAUGGGCCGCGCACCCCUCCCCUCCCUUGGUCCGAAUAGGACAAGGAGAGGGGGCCGGCCCCCUUNNNNNNNNNNNNNNNNNNNNNNNNNNNNNNNNNNNNNNNNNNNNNNNNNNNNNNNNNNNNNNNNNNNNNNNNNNNNNNNNNNNNNNNNNNNNNNNNNNNNNNNNNNNNNNNNNNNNNNNNNNNNNNNNNNNNNNNNNNNNNNNNNNNNNNNNNNNNNNNNNNNNNNNNNNNNNNNNNNNNNNNNNNNNNNNNNNNNNNNNNNNNNNNNNNNNNNNNNNNNNNNNNNNNNNNNNNNNNNNNNNNNNNNNNNNNNNNNNNNNNNNNNNNNNNNNNNNNNNNNNNNNNNNNNNNNNNNNNNNNNNNNNNNNNNNNNNNNNNNNNNNNNNNNNNNNNNNNNNAUCCUACUCCCGGAGGGAGUAGGACUCCUCCUGGCGCGCCUCUCCUAGGCCGGCCGCACCCCUCCCCCCCCUUGAGCCUUUAUAUACGGAGGCAGGGGCACCCCAGAGGAACACAAGUUGAUCCACGUGAUCAUAUUCUUAGCCGUGUGCGGUGCCCCUGCCACCAUAGUCCUCGAUAAUAUUGUAGUGGUGCUUAGGCAAAGCCCUGUGACAGUAGUACAUCAAGAUCGUCACCACGCCGUCGUGCUGACGGAACUCUUCCCCGACACUUUGCUGGAUCGGAGUCCGGGGAUCGUCAUCGAGCUGAACGUGUGCUAGAAUCGGAGGUGCCGUAGUUUCGGUGCUUGAUUGGUCGGGCCGUGGAGACGUAUGACUACAUCAACCAAACGCUUCCGUUGUUGAUAUACAAGGGUACGUAGAUCACAUUCUCCCCUCUCGUUGCUAUGCAUCACCAUGAUCUUGCGUGUGCGUAGGAUUUUUUUUGAAAUUACUACGUUCCCCAACACCUGAACACCCUCAUUUGAACAUGGUCAGUUUUUAGAUAUCCUUCAAAAGACCACAACUUUUCCAAAAAGGUGAGCAUGCACAUGGUAGGCAUAUAUGCCAAGUUUGAACGAUUUUUGACACUGUAUGCUAGUUGCGACACGUUCGGCAAUUUUCGCCAUUUUUUGACAAAGAAAUCUCCAGAAAAUGUAGAAUUUUUAGAAAACCAAAAAACCCUGGCAUGGUGCCUUGAAUUCUUCAUACAAGCCAGUGAAAAAAAAUAGGUCAUUUGACGGAUGUCGAGAAAAAACAUGCUCCCAAACGGAGCCUUCUUACCUACCCCUACACCCUAUGUUGAACAUGGUGAUUUUUUCUACACGAACACAAAAAAAAUGUUCGAGAAAAUUCAAAAAAUUUUCUUUCAAAUUUUUAUUCGUAUUUUUCUUGAAGUUCCAAAUUUAAUAGUGAAUUUUCCUAAAAUGUUAAAUCAAAAAUGUUCGUGUGGAAAAUUUUGUUUGCUCUUUGUAAAAAUGUUUGUGUUUUGACAUUAUGAGCAAUUUGAAAAUACAAAUACAUUCUGAGGAAUUCAUAAAUGUCGCAUUUUGAAGUAAUUGUUCGUAGUUUCAGAAAAUGUCCGUGUUUUCAGUUUUAUAUCUCUUUUAAGAAAAUGUUCGUAUUUAAAAAAAAUUGUUUGUAGUUUCAAGAAAUGUUCUCGUUUUCAAUUCUGCUCUUAUUUUUCUAAAACAAAGUUUGAGAGUCUGAAACAUUGCUCACUAAAGGUUUGAAUUUUAAAAAUAUGUUCACAGAUUUUGAAAUUUUUUGGGUUUAAAGCAUAUUUACUUUGUCAAACAGAAAUUCACAUACGGAAUUUUGAAAAAAAUAAUCGUUUUUGGACUAGUGAUGUUAUGCACUCGCGGGAGCUUGUGUGUUAGAUCCGCGCACCCAUUUUAGUAUUUGUGAAUUGGUGUUGAAGUGUUGCCGCUCUAGCUAAUUCUUUAGGUGUGACACUGCUAUUGUGUCGGUUGCGUUAGGCAGGCGAAGUGGCUAGGGCGUAAUUUUUGUUGAUUUUCCAGCCCAAAUGGAUCGGCCCAGGUUAUCUGUGCCUGUGUCCUGCGAACAUAUGGCACAUUCCAGCGUACGUACGAAAAUGGAUAGGAUUUGUCAAAAGUCUAAAUUACCCAUUAUACGCUUUGUGAGGGGGGUGUAUCGAAGCGUUUCUCCACAUAAAUUAUAUUUGUCCACAUACACCACAUACAUAAAAACAGGUAGAAGCGGUUGCAUGGUGAAAAUGUCCUCUCAAUAUGCAUGCCUAUGAAUACUAUCACCAGAAAGCCAAGGACUAACAAUUAUUCAGGGGUCAAGAUUGAAGACAGACGUCCAAGAUUGGAAGUCGGCCGGCCUAAGAGGGGCAAAACCAUUGUACAUUAUAUUGUAUGGACCUAGCAAGAUCCUAAAGAUAAGUGAUAAUGGAGAUCAUGGGGGCCACCCUUAUAACCAUAUGUCCAAAUGUUCUUAUUUGUUUAUUUUUCUUUUCUCUUUUCGGAAGAAUCCAUCCUGCCUCUAUGGUCAUCCUGACCACUUCGUAUUGUUAUCUAAUCUCCUCCCUUAAUUAAUAUAAAGAAUUACCGCAGCUGAAUUCACUAAAAAAAGUAUUCAGUUUAUUUUAAUUUAUUCAACUAUUAUGGCAUAUCAAUUGGAUUGCAAGUUCUUGGCGGUUGCAUUUGAAUCAUAUUUGAUGUGCACAAAGGCUUCAGUGUCAAGGUGGUCGGACGAGUAUUUAUGUCCAUUAUAUAUGCGUUAGCUUGAGAUCAUCAGGCACCUGUUAUGCAUCUGUCCAGUUAAAAGGAUGUUCAGACUCAGGCUUGCCCUACCAUAUAUGGCUGUGACACUCUGAACCAAGCAAGUUGGUCAUAUAUGUCGAGCACUAUUAACUCUUUGGAAGAAGAUCCACCAAGUACAGAAAACAAAUCAAAUAUCUUCUUAACCUUAUCACCAGAAAAAUUAGCAAGAGAUGAAUAGUAACAUUUUAAAGAAGAAAGAUAUGUUUGAAAAGGGAUAUAUAUUAUGGCGACGAUUAGAACAGCCCUUGACGAAUGGUGCCUAGCCUGCGAAAGUUUCUUAUGAAUAUAGUCAACACUCUAUAUCAACUGUUGUAAGAUUUUAGAAAUAUUUUUGGGGACAUAUGAUACAUGUCUAUUAUACAUAUGAUUCAACAGAAGUUUGAUUGAAUACAUAUUUAAAACGUGACUGACUUCUAUAUGGACGGAGUAUUUCACAAAGGACUCACUGCCAACUGUGUGAAUAUUCCAAGAUAGUUAGUGCACAUAAAUGUUCAAAUCCAUAGCUGCAUAAAUAUACAAAAGCAAUGUGUUAGACCACUACACAUGCUUCUGAAAGGAGGCAAAAAAAUGUAUGCUUGAUUGAUGACCGUUCAUGCAUGAAAUUAAUUUUUGAUUUCUAAUUAUUUUGGUCAUAUAAUGGAAAUAGAGACAUUAUAAAGAUCCAACAGCAUGCUAUCACACACGUGUGAACACAGACACACACAAAUAACAUUUGCCGAGCACUCACAAAUAAAAGGUGUGGCUACUCUUGGGUGUUCUACAGCUGGCUUAAAAAAACACGUAUGAAACAUGAUCCCCAAAAAUCUGAAAUUCGCAACAUAUGAAAAUCCACCCUCAAACAUAUUUCUAGUGUCUCAAUUCUUUUAGUUUCAGAUGGUAUGUCCAGCCAAAGUAGUUGUACACAUACAUUACUAUGUUCUAUUAUUUGAGAUUCUAAGAGAACAUUUAGUAACUAGCCCGUGCGAUGCACGGGUUCACGACUAGUAUAUAUAAAGCUUAAUGGUGCCUAAGAAAGCUCGCACAAUUUUACAGUGGCUAUGGAAAUGUGUUGCCAAACUGAGACAUAAGAUUUUCAUUUGGCAUCCAGAGUUGCAGACCGCUUGUGUUAUCCUUAAUCCAUGGCCACUCUAAUUUUUCCGGCUGGGCCUUCCCUGUGGUACCGCGGCAAGGCUUGCGUGUGUAUAUGUUUCCUUUAACUACCACUAGCACAUAUGCCCAUGCGUGCGUUGCAAUGGGAGAGAUAAUGGCAUAUCCACCAAUAUAUCUAGCAGCAUGACCCAACAACAUCCGAAUGAUGUCACCCGACGACGGCAGGAAGGCACGCACAGAGGUCUAGUAAAAACUCAUCAAUUGUACGGGCAUGGUUAAUUCGCGUGAAUUCAAGGGUGUGAGAUUAGUUAGUGUUGGUCCCACAAUUGAAUUCGGGGGGUGAUUAGUUAGUGUGGGCCCACCCUUGAAUUCACCGGGGGAGACAAAAUAAUUAGGGCGAGGAGAGAUUUACGGGGCUUGGUCCCCAGAUGCGUUGCGGCAGUCAUUAUUCGAGCAUUGCAAUGCUCGCACGUGAGGAGCUCCUUUUCCAAUUGUAUAUUAAGAAGCAUGCUAUAGAUACAAUGUUUUUGAUACAUUUUUGUACGAUGAUCCUGAUCUUAAAGGGCCUUCUAAUUUUUAAAUCUUAAAGGCAUUAUUUGUAAGUUGUCGUGAAAAAAAUCUCGCUAAAAGGGUUGUGUUAGACCAUCUUCAGUACAUUAGAAAUAACGAAUUAUAAUUCCUUGGCAUUUGAACAAACAAUCCCUACUUAUUUACACAUACAAUACUUUUGGUAUGAUUUUGAAAUCUUGAAGGCAUUAUUGUAAGUUGAAGCAAUUUUGAAAUCUCACUAAAAGGUCUGGUAAGCUUUAGAAAUAACUAAUUAUAAUUUUGCAAAAAAAAGAAAUAACUAAUUACUAAUUUUGGUAUGAUUUAUUGUCUGGGUAGUAGUUCCUUUGCAACAUUAUUCUCUCCUUUCUUGAAGGAACUCUUGCCUGCUCCCUCGCCAUGCUCCCAUCCAUGCUCCCACUCCAUCCUAUGGUUGUCCUUUUUUCCUUUUUCUUUCUAAACUAAUCAUCUCCCCCCCUGAUUUUAAGGGGAUGGGGCCGGGCCUUAUUUUGUUCCAAUUAAAUCAUGCCACGUAUGCGGGAGCAUUUUGUCCCUCCUUCUAGCGCCUCCCACUGAAAAUGCCCUAAAAGUUUUUGAGGGAUUUUUUUACUGUGUCCUACUUCACGAAUCACGAGGCAAAUCAAGUAGGCGGCAUGGCCUGGCCGGUGAGUGCCAUUGCACUUACUUGCCCCAGCGAUUUUCCGCCUGCAUUGUAGAAUUCUUUCUCCGAGUCCUGUGAAUUAAAGAUGGUGCAGACAAAAGUAUAUCCUAUAUGCGUACAUGUGCAUGAUCAGAACAUGUUUUUACGUGCGUCUACUAUAAAUCAUGACCAUUUUUAACACAAAUCAUGACCAUUCAUGAUUAGUGAAUCAUACUGUCUUAACUUAUGUGAAAUCAUGUGGAGUAAUAUAAUAUAAUAUAAUAGAUAGAUAGAUCCAUGUUGUAUUAUUUUUUGUUUACAAAAAAUAUCUGUCAUUACACAUUUUGAUUUAUGCAUUUGUUUACAAAAAAACAGUAACAUUUCAUGGUGGAGAGUUUGUAUUGUUUCAUACUGAACACCAAUGUUUUCCCGUAAAAGAAAAUAAUGCCUACGCAUAUGCUUUUAUAUUAUUAUUAUUCUUUCAAACUUAUUCAUAUAGUAUUUUUGAUUGUGCAACCAUAAUUUUUAUUAUCUCUCUCGUUCCACUACAUGCUCUUACUCAAUGAUUUUUUUAUAAUGGGUGUUUUUAUUAACUCAGCCAAAACAUAAUGAGCCACAUCCGGUCUCUGCAUAACUAAGAUGCACACAGCCAAAAGCAGAAGUCUGACAAAAAUAAGAUAAGAAAAUCAACAUAUCGACACCAGUGAGUCAUAUAGUUCCGACACUAUGCCUCUGUUGAAGGACGGGGUGGAGCGAUCUGGAGAUUAUGCUUCCCUCCAUUUUGAGUAAAUACCUCCCUGGCCACUUGUUCCAACCGCAUAGACGCCGCCACGAAUAAUGGUUGGUACUCUGUUCGGUGUAGCAUACACCAUGUAGGAACUGAGUGCUCACUCCUAGUUACUAAAUUAUGUACACACUAGUAGAAAAAGGGCCAUUUGUCCCGGUUCGUAAGGCCCAUUUGUCUCAGUUAGGGAACCGGGACUAAAGGGUCGGUACUAAAGCCCCACACCUUUACUCCCGGUUCUUACACCAACCGAGACAGAUGGGGCUCCACGUGGCCGCUGCGGCUUGCCAUGGCAGGGGGGCCUUUUGUCCCGGUUGGUAGCACCAACCGGGACCAAUAAGCUACCACGCGUCAGCAUUUGAGGGGCUUGGGUUUUUGUUUUUCUUCUGAAGGGGAGGGGAGGGGUGUUGGGGGUUUUGGGGGGUUUUGUAUGGUUAAUUUUGGGGGGUUUCAUAUAUUGUGUUAGGUAGUAAUUAAUUAAUAGAGAGAAGUGUCCUCUCUUAUCUCCGUGCUUGGUCGACGCUACGUACUAUACGUAUAGAGAGGCCCUCGACACACUUGCCAGUAAGCAAAUGAAGGAAACCAUUAAGUACAGAAGUUCGUCAUGAACAUAUGCAUACAAACAUAAGUGAUAUCGACCUCUCCUUCUCUGAGAGAUAGGUCGAACAACAAGUUUCCGUAUAUCCAUCCGGCGCUACUAGCUACUUAUAUACAAUAUUAAGAUCUCUUACAAUAUAAUCCCCUAAUUAUAUAUGAACUCAGUUUCCAGAUGGUAUUCUCGGGCUUUAUUGAUGACGUGGUCAAGAAAGAAUCCCUCCAAUUCCUCUUGAAUUGCUUUGAUGCGAUCUUGUGGUAGGAGUUCAUCCCGCAUCUGCCACAUCUAAUUUGAAGAAGGGGGUCAAUCACUAGUGGAAUAACAGCCAUUUGUCCAAGUUCAUAAGGCUCAUUUGUCCCGGUUGGGGAACCGAGACUAAAGGGUCGUUACUAAAGCCCUACACCUUUAGUCCCGGUUGUCGGUGUCAAAACCGGCGGAUCUCGGGUAGUUGGUCCCGAACUGUGCGUCUAGGCCGGAUGGUAACAGGAGGCAAGGAACACAAUGUUUUACCCAGGUUCGGGCCCUCUCGAUGGAGGUAAAACCCUACGUCCUGCUUGAUUAAUAUUGAUGAUAUGGGUAGUACAAGAGUAGAUCUACCACGAGAUCAAGGAGGCUAAACCCUAGAAGCUAGCCUAUGGCAUGAUUGUUGUGUAUGGAGUUGAUUGCCUACGGACUACAACCCUCCGGUUUAUAUAGACACCGGAUAGGGUUAGGGUUACAUAGAGUCGGUUACAAUGGUAGGAGAUCUUGAAUAUCCGCAUCGCCAAGCUUGCCUUCCACGCCAAGGAAAGUCCCAUCCGGACACGGGACAAAGUCUUCAAUCUUGUAUCUUCAUAGUCCAGGAGUCCGGCUACCCGAACACCCCCUAAUCUAGGACUCCCUCAGUAGCCCCUGAACCAGGCUUCAAUGACGACGAGUCCGGCGUGCAAAUUGUCUUCGGCAUUGCAAGGCGGGUUCCUCCUCCACGUCCUUCAUAGAAGAUUGUAAACACCAAGAGUAGUGUCCGGCUCUGCAAAAUAAGCUUCCACAUAUUUCCGUAGAGAGAAUAAUAUUAACACAAAUCAAAUCUGCUGACGUAUUCCGCAGUGCGUCAUCACACUGCAGCCAAGUCCUUCACUCGAAUCGUUUUCACUUUUCCACCUCAGCGUGUUUUGCGAGGCGGUUUCCUUGGCACGUCUUGUCAAAGUAGAUAUCGUGUACCCCCCUUUUACGGGAUUCUCAUCAAUACAGACAUGGGUAACCCAACCGCGCCACUUAUCUCGACGCUUGGGAGGCAAGCGAGUUUUACUAGGCAGGUGGGGACGCACAACCGCAUCUACCCAUAUAAGGGGAUAAGGAUCCACCUUUUUACCUACGCCUUCUUCCUCCUUUGCCUAUCCAUCUCCUGCGCACCCGAGCUCCAGCGCCCAAGCCCGCACUUCCCACCUCGACCUUCUCCAGCAAUGUCCGGAGCGGGAGGCAAGUGGAUGGUCUCUACCACCACGGAGGGUAAAAUCAAGAAGCUAAGGAAGGCCGGAUACCUGUCCAAGGACAUCGCGCACUGGCUUCCCGAAGAGGGGCAGCUUCUCCCCACCCCAAGGCCCCAUGAGAGGGUAGUAUUUCUCCCCCACUUCCUCCGCGGACUGGGUUUUCCACUCCACCCAUUUGUCCGGGGGCUCAUGUUCUACUACGGCCUGGAUUUCCACGAUCUGGUCCCGAACUUCAUCCUCAACAUCUCGGCGUUUAUCGUCUUUUGCGAGGCUUUUCUCCGCGUCCGCCCUCAUUUCGGCCUCUGGCUCAAGACCUUCAACGUCAAGCCCAAGGUGGUGUGCGGCAGCCAGGCGGAGUGCGGAGGCGCCAUGGUGGGCAAGAUGGCCAAUGUCAUAUGGUUCGAGGGCUCUUUUGUGGAGACCCUAAAGGGAUGGCAAUCUGGGUGGUUUUACAUCACCGAGCCGCGCGAUCCGAAAUGGACCGCAGCCCCCGAGUUCCGAUCCGGACCCCCCAAGCGGCUUGUGUCCUGGAAAGAGACGGGCCUGUCAUGGGGUGACGAAAAUGAGGUGACCGGAUUGCAAACAUGCAUCCAGUCCCUGGUGAACAAGCCAGUCUGGCUUGUUAAUGUAAUCCAGGUUAUGCUCGUCCGCCGGAUCCUCCCGUGCCAACAACGGGAUUUUAAUCUAUGGGAGUUCGACCCGGUGCAGCAUCAAACCCUCAGCAGGCUCUUCGACACGACGUACGAAGACGCCUGGAAGAUGCUAUUAAAGGGCGUCGAGGCUCCCGCAUCCGCUUCCGAGGACCGCGAAUACAGCUCGCAGCGUCACGCUAGCGAGGUAAGCCAUCUACACCUUUUAUAGGAUGUUCAAGCUUUUUUCAUAGUUUGACUCUAUGUGGGAUCUAAACUCCCUUACCUUUGAAAGGCUUGGCGGGCAAUAUCCGGACCGAUUAACUGUCCGGCUCCGCUGCCCGAAGACCCAGCCCCAGCUCUACUAGUGAAGCUGCUGGUUCCGGAGCCUUAUGUGGUGCCGAAGACGAAGGCCAAGAAGAAGAAGACCACAGGGACUCGAAAGAGUGCAUGCAACGUGGUGGUGUCGGACUCGUCAUCUGACGAGUCCAAGACGCCCUCCUCCCAUGAAAACGAGGAGGAGGAAGAAGAAAACUCCCCCCCCCCCCCAGCGGAGGGAGGAGAGAAGAGGAAGGCCGCCCCAACGGGGGAGGCCGAGGGGUCUAGGAAAAGGAAGACCCCUCCGCCAGACUACGCCCCCGACGCCGAAGAGGGCGAAGAGGAGUGGCCGAACAGGGCCAAACGUCCGGCGAAAUCGUAAGUUCGGAUAUCAGAGUAACUCAUGAUGUUCCUUUGUUGCACAGCUUUCCCUAAUGUCGAAUGUAAUUAUGCAGUCCGCCCCGGGCCAAAUUCGACGAAUCAUCGUGCGGCUCCCUGGACUCAUCGGACGUGAACUCAGUUCCGCCCGCUGUCUCCCCCCGCACUGUGGACGACGCCGAAGUGGCGUCGCGACAAGCCCCGGGGCAGGAGGAGGUGGUCCCGGAGGAGCCACAAGGCAACCUCCCGGACUCCAGGAGUGAAGGGGACAAGACCCCCCAGGGCUCCAAGUCUGGCUUUGAGCCGGACACCGCACCGGAAUCUACAACAGUUCCGGACCGCGGUAGGCGAACUCCUUCCAAGAGGAGUAAGCCUUCUGAGCCGGCGUCCUCCGUCCAGCCGAAGGCGCCGGAAAAUCUGCUGGAGGAGCUUAAGGGCGCCUCCAUCGACGAGGAGCACCAUGCCAUCAUGAGUAUGGUGGUCCAGAAGGUUCGGUCCGCCAAAAGCGGACUGACUGAAGCUUGUAAAAAUAUGUAAAAAUAUUACCGUAUAGACAGUAGCCCCUGAUGCUCUGUUUGGCGUUCGGAAAGAAAAGCUGGAUAGAGGAUCUAUUAAAUAUCGCAGGAGUCUAACUAAAAAGCAGUCAAUAUACGUAUGCAGGCUUCGCUGCUGGCCACCGCUGCACUGACUGCGGAGGUGGGUGCCCUGAAACAGGGCCUCGAGCGGACCGAGCAAGAGCUCGGCCUUGCCAAACGGCAGCUCGAGGAGAAAGAAGGUAAGAAAUACCUUACAGAAAAAGUGCCUAUAAAAAGACCUGAUUGCAAAAAAUAACAGGAUUGUACUGCUUAUUGUAGGGGCCACGACUGAGGUGGCGACCCUCAAGCAGGCGCUGUCCGAGGCCAAAAAGAAAACGGCCGUGGAGUGCACCGAGCGAGAGAAACUUGAGGCCCAGGUCAGCGAGGUGCAGCAGGAGCUUCAGGCUCUCAUGAAAAAACAUGAGAGUUUGGAGCUUGAGUCCAAGACGCAAGCGUAUGAGCUCGCGGCGGCCCUUGAGACUGCCAAGUCUGCCAAGGCCGAAGCCCAAAAGGCCCUCCAAGAGUUGGAGGAGAUGAAAAAGAUAGCGGCGGGUAAGGCAUUCUUUAUGCAAAGCAGAAGUAUAAAAGUGAAGUACUUGUUACUUACCCGAAUCCAGAGCUCUCCAGGGGCAUUCGCAGAUCUUCCCCGCGGCGUAUCUGACGCCGCUGCAUUCUACCGAGCCGAAGAGGGCAGCUCGACGGAGAAGGUGUUCUGGUUUCAGUAUGCUGAGGCCGGACACCCUGUGCCCUUGAGCGACCAGCUGAAACAGCUGGUCGAGCUCCACAAGGCGGCCGAGCAGGCCAUGAAGGGCUUCAUAGUUCGGCUGUGGCCCGGAGAGGCCCUGCCUGGGAGCUACUUCGGGUUGGUGUGGCGACUGGUGGAGGCCUGUCCAAGGCUCGAGGUCAUUAAGUGCUCCGUCUGCAUCGAAGGUGCCCGUAGGGCCCUUGCCCGUGCAAAGGUGCACUGGGGCAAGCUGGACGGUGAGAAGCUUGUGAGGGACGGGCCGCCGCCGGGGAAGGAGCAUCGCAAGCCCGAGAACUACUAUAAGGAUGUUCUAGCGGGUGCCCGCCUUGUGGCGGAUGAAUGUACCAAGGAUGUAAUUUUUUAAUGAACUCGCUCGUGUUUAUCCUGUGUGCUGAAAAGUUGUUCAUAUGCGCUAAGCAAUGCUUGUUGAAUUUAAAAUAUUACUUUCUGUGCGGCCGUUUAUCAAAAAUUGAGAGAUGGCCAGUCGGCGGCUUCUGCCCCCAUGCCACUAGUGCUGGGGUGUUCGGGAUAAACCUGAGCGCUCUUUUUCCCAUAGUUGGAUCCUUCGAGGGAGGCGCUCAGCACAACGAACCAGGCAAUCGGACUAUAAUGCUUGAACACUCUAACUUAGCCAUAGAACUCUAUAAUUUUAAAUUUCGGCGAAGCCCCUAGUUCGGAAGACCGAGUUCGGGGCGCUAUCCACGCCUUGGCCGGACAAAGCCGGCUCCUCGCUCGAAGCGGCAUAAGUCUUUAGGGACUCGAAAAACCUGUCGAACAGCGACCGGUCUCUCACCAUAUCAUGACAGUCAGUUUUACCUUUCUCCACUGAGGUGCUUAACCCAGCUCAACCGGGGCACAAUCGCAGUGGUUCUCCUAGUGCUACCUUAGCCGAUAUAGCGGAACGUAAGGCACCAAAACAUAGGAGCCAGGCAAACGCAACUAUUGACCCAAAUCAUGAUACGGAGCCGAUGCAUAUAGUGCUAUAAGUUCGGGGUGCCGUACUUGUGAAAGUGUACGGACUUCUCACGCCAUAUUUAUGGGUACUAAAGCCCCUGACGUAUUUUGCCGUACCACGGUGUACGGGUGCAACAUGUCAUAAACAUAUAUAUGAAAAGGUGAUAAUGCGAAAAAUAGACAGAAAGCUAUCCAUUGUUUAUAGAGAGGCUAUUUAUCAAAGCCGAACGAUACAAAUAGUGCGGUAAGCAAAAAAUAUUGGACUAUUUAGUAUGUCCUGACCAGGAGCAGGCCGCGGAAUUGUGUUUAAAACAGGUAUACCGCUCGUAACAGAGACCACCUGGGAGUUCCAUAAUGCGGCAUGGCUUGUCUUCCUCCCUGGAUCUUGCAUCGUUUGUGCGGCCGUCGAAUUGCCGAACAGGUCGUCCGAAGUAUGGAGUCCUGAAAGUAAGAAAAAAAUUAAAAAAAGAAUCCGGCAGCCCCUAGUACGUUUUAAGUCGUAUUUUGGGCGUGCCGUUAUUGCCCCUUCCCCUGUGCCCAUGGUAUUUCAAGGGCGUAGUUAUGUACGCGGGGUACUGGUUUCGCUAUGUCGCGAAAGCUGGGGUUGGGGCCACAUUGCUACGCUUGCUUAGAGUGUGCCAGGCGGUCCUGCUGUGGGUUACUCCAGGGGCGCCUGGCAGUGUCUGGCUUUUUAAUGGCCGGACUAGAGAAUUGCCUGAGAAGGCUACUUUGUACCUCCGCUGCGAGAGCCGCCGUAUGCUCCCCCAUAUGGAGGGAGCGUUCGGUGUUUCCGUUGACCGUAAUUACUCCUCGAGGGCCUGGCAUCUUGAGCUUGAUAUAUGCGUAGUGCAGCACCGCAUUGAACUUUGAGAAUGCAGUUCGUCCGAGCAGGGCGUGAUAGCCACUGCGAAACGGGACUAUAUCGAAGAUUAACUCUUCGCUUCGGAAAUUGUCCGGGGAUCCGAAGACCACGUCAAGUGUUACUGAGCCUGUACAGUUGGCUUCUACACCUGGUAUAAUGCCUUUAAAGGUCGUUCUUGUGGGCUUAAUCCUUGAGGGAUCUAUGCCCAUUUUCCGCACUGUAUCCCGAUAAAGCAGGUUCAGGCUACUGCUGCCGUCCAUGAGGACUCUUGUGAGAUGAAAUCCGUCGAUGAUUGGGUCGAGAACCAAUGCGACGAAGCCGCCAUGACGGAUGCUAGUGGGAUGGUCCCUUUGAUCAAAAGUGAUUGGGUAGGAGGACCAUGGGUUGAACUUUGGGGCGACUGGCUCCAUCGCGUAUAUGUCUCGCAGCGCACGCUUCCGCUCCCGCUUGGGAAUGUGGGUUGCAUUUAUCAUGUUCACCGUCCGCACUUGUGGGGGAAAGCCCUUCUGUCCAUUGUUGUUCGGCGGCUUGGGAUCCUCAUCGUCGUUGUGCAGCCCCUUUUUCUCUGUUUUUGGCCCUUAACUUGCCUGCCUGCUUGAACACCCAACAAUCCCUAUUAGUGUGAUUGGCUGGCCUUUCGGGGGUGCCAUGUAUCUGGCACAAGCGAUCGAGUAUUCGGUCCAAACUGGACGGGCCCUGAGUAUUCUUUUUGAAUGGCUUUUUCCGCUGACCGGAUUUAUAGCCUUUGAAUCCGGCAUUGACUGCCGUGUCUUCAUUGCUGUUGCUGCUAACGCGGCGUUUUUGCUUAUUCCGACGUGUCCUGCCACUUUUGUCCUUGGUAUCCGAAUUACCAGGGUUCUUUGAUAAGUUGUUACUGCGAGCUAGCCAGCUAUCUUCUCUCGCGCAAAAGCGGGUCAUGAGUGUCGUGAGGGCUGCCAUGGAUUUCGGCUUUUCCUGUCCCAGGUGCCGGGCAAGCCACUCGUCGCAGAUGUUAUGCUUCAAGGCUGCCAGGGCCUCUGCGUCCGGAUAGUCGACUAUCUGGUUUUUCUUUGUUAGGAACCAUGUCCAGAAUUGUCUGCCGAUUCCUCUGGCUGCUGAAUUAUGUGGCUUAAGUCGUCGGCAUCCGGUGGUCGCACGUAAGUGCCCUAGAAGUUGUCGAGGAAUGCGGCUUCCAGGUCCUCCCAAGAACCGAUUGAGUCUGCUGGCAAGCUGUUAAGCCAAUGCCGGGCCGGUCCUUUAAGUUUGAGCAGGAGCUAUUUGAUGGCGUGUAGAUCAUCGCCGCGUGCCAUGUGGAUGUGAAGGAGAUAAUCCUCGAUCCAUACCGCCAGAUCUGUUGUGCCAUCGUAUGAUUCGAUGUUUACGGGUUUGAAACCCUCUCGGAUUUUAUGAUCCAUUACUUCGUUCGUGAAGCAUAGCGGGUGUGCGGCGCCUCUGUAUUGGGCUAUAUCAUGACGCAGCUCGGAAGAGCUAUGUCUGUUGUGUUCGGCCCGGCCGGAUUUGUUGUAUCCGGAGUGAAGAUCAUUGUCACAUGCUGUAGGGUGGCUGCGCGAUCCGUAGAUCGAUCUUUUUUGUCUUGCCUUAUCCUCCAGUAUGUCUCGCAGAUCGGGCGCAUUUUCCCGUGCCUUAUUUACGCACCGUCGGGGCAUGGCUUGGGUGGAGGGCCGAGAGGCCUCUCUGUCGCGGCCGUGAGGUGGCCGGUCUGCCAUGUCAUUCGCUGGUGACGUAGGUACUUCCUCCUCUGAUCGGGGUAGCGGCCUGCGCUUCGGGUAACUCUUGGAGGGGCGUUCGUGUUCAUACUCUUCGGCUGCAAGGACUUCAGUCCAUCUGUCAGCUAGCAAAUCUUGGGCGGCUGUAAGCUGUUGCUGCUUUUUCUGGAGGCUGCUUGCCAUGGCUAAAAGCCUGUGUUUAAAACGCUCUUGUUCGGCGGGGUCUGAUGGUAUGACGAAUUUGUCGUCAUCGAGGCUUGCCUCGUCUCCAGAGGGAGGCGUAUAGUUAUCAUCCUCGACUUCUCGGUCUGCCGCUCUCUCAUGAGGGCUGGCUACUCCAUCUCCCUGUGCCGAAUCUUGCUGAGGUGGGUGUUCUUCGGCGUUAUCCGGGGUAGUAUUAUCUCCCGUGCCGGAAUCACCGUUUUUGCUUUGGCUGUUUCUUGGGGGCGUCAUCCCCCACUAUUCCAUCACCAUCUCCAUCUUUUGGAGUAUCCACCAUAUAUAUGUCAUAUGACGAGGUGGCCUUCCAGCGCCCUAUAGGUGUUGGUUCCUAUUCGUCUCCUACUUCGUCGUCCAUGCCGUCGAUGUCUUCGGAGCCGAAGUCACGCAUGUCGGUUAAAUCAUCGACAGUGGCUACAAAGUGGGUGGUGGGUGGGCUUUGAAUUUCCUCAUCGUCCGUAUCCCACCCUCGCUGACCGUAGUCCGGCCAGGGCUCUCUUGAUAAAGAGAGAGACUUAAGAGAAUUCCGGAUGUCACCAAAAGGCGAAUGCUGAAAGAUGUCUGCGGCGGUGAACUCCAUUAUCGGCGCCCAAUUGGAUUCGAUUGGCAGGGGCGCAGGGGGUUUGGAGUCCGGGAAGGAGUCCGGAUCCUCGGAGUCACGGGUCGUCCAGAGUGCGGGGCUAGCGUUCAGCUCGAUCGCUUUCGGGAUCGCAGCCCCUGAGGUGACGUCCAGCCACUCAUCCUCGAUUGGCGCAAUAGGCAUCGAGUUAGGGGUCAGAACCGAUGCGUGUGCGGCCUCCAGGACACUGUCCGGGGGCAGAGCUAGAUCAUGCCCCUCGAGAUAGUGCGGCGCGCUUGACCGUGGCUCGAGCCCGUCGAAGAUCAAGUCUCCGCGGAUGUCAGCCGUGUAGUUUAAGCUUCCAAACCUGACUUGAUGGCUAGGGGCGUAGCUUUCGAUCUGCUCCAGGUGGCCGAGCGAAUUGGCCCGCAGAGCAAAGUUGCCGAAGACGAAGAUCUGUUCGGGGAGAAAAGUAUCACCCUCGACCGCAUCGUUGUUGAUGAUCAAAGGAGCCAUCGGGCCUAAAGGCGACGACACAGAGGAACUCUCAAUGAAAGCACCAAUGUCGGUGUCAAAACCGGCGGAUCUCGGGUAGUGGGUCCCGAAUUGUGCGUCUAGGCCGGAUGGUAACAGGAGGCAGGGAACACGAUGUUUUACCCAGGUUCGGGCCCUCUUGAUGGAGGUAAAACCCUACGUCCUGCUUGAUUAAUAUUGAUGAUAUGGGUAGUACAAGAGUAGAUCUACCACGAGAUCAAGGAGGCUAAACCCUAGAAGCUAGCCUAUGGCAUGAUUGUUGUGUAUGGAGUUGAUUACCUACGGACUACAACCCUCCAGUUUAUAUAGACACCGGAUAGGGUUAGGGUUACAUAGAGUCGGUUAUAAUGGUAGGAGAUCUUGAAUAUCCACAUCGCCAAUCUUGCCUUCCACGCUAAGGAAAGUCCCAUCCGGACACAGGACAAAGUCUUCAAUCUUGUAUCUUCAUAGUCCAGGAGUCCGGCUGAAGGUCUAGUCCGGCUACCCGAACACCCCCUAAUCCAGGACUCCCUCACCGGUUCUUACACCAACUGGGAGAGAUGGGCUUCCACGUGGCCGCUGCGGCGAGCCCAGGCAGGAGGUCCUUUGGUCCCGGUUAGUGACACUGAUACGUCUCCGACAUAUCUAUAAUUUUUGAUUGCUCCAUGCUAUUAUGUUAUCCAUUUUGGAUGUUAAUGGGCUUUAUUUUACACCUUUAUAUCAUUUUUGGGACUAACCUACUAAUUGGAGGCCAAACCCAAAUUGCUGUUUUUUUUGCCUAUUUUAGGUUUUCGAAGAAGAGGAAUAUCAAACGGAGUCCAAACGGAAUGAAAACUUCGGGAACGUGAUUUUCUCAACGAACAUGAUCCAGGAGACUUGGAGUGUGCGCCAAGAAAUAAGGGAGGAAGGCACGAGGCAGGGGUCGCGCCUACCCCCCUUGGGCGUGCCCUCCACCCUCGUGGGCCCUCCACUGCUCCACCGACGUACUUCUUCCUCCUAUAUAUAUACACGUACCCCCCCAAACAACCAGGAGCACCAUGAAAACCUAAAUCCACCGCCGCAACCUUCUGUACCCGAGAGAUCCCAUCUUGGGGCCUUUUCCGGAGGGGGCAUCGAUCACGGAGGGCCUCUACAUCAACUGCAUGGCCUCUCCGAUGAUGUGUAAGUAGUUUACUUCAGACCUACGGGUCCAUAGUUAUUAGCUAGAUGGCUUCUUCUCUCUCUUUGGAUCUCAAUACAAAGUUCUCCUCGAUGUUCUUGGAGAUCUAUUCGAUGUAAUCUUCUUUUGCGGUGUGUUUGUCGAGAUCCGAUGAAUUGUAGGUUUAUGAUCCAGAUUAUCUAUGGACAAUAUUUGAUUCUCCUCUGAAUUCUUUUAUGUAUGAUUCGUUUAUCUUUGCAAGUCUCUUCGAAUUAUCAGUUUGGUUUGGCCUACUAAAUUGAUCUUUCUUGCAAUGGGAGAAGUGCUUAGCUUUGGGUUCAAUCUUGCGGUGUUCGAUCCCAGUGACUGAAAGGGAACCGAUAUUUAUUGUAUUGUUGCCAUCGAGGAUAAAAAGAUGGGGUUUAUAUCAUAUUGCAUGAGUUUAUCCCUCUACAUCAUGUCAUCUUCCUUAAAGCAUUACUCUGUUCUCUUGAACUUAAUACUCUAGAUGCAUGCUGGAUAGCGGUCGAUGUGUGGAGUAAUAGUAGUAGAUGCAGAAUCGUUUCAGUCUACUUGUCUCGGACCUGAUGCAUAUAUACAUGAGCAUAACUAUAUAUUCUCAUAACUAUGCUCAAUUCGAUCAAUUGCUCGACAGCAAUUCGUUUACCCACCGUAAUACUUAUGCUCUUGAGAGAAGCCACUAGUGAAACCUAUGGCCUCGGGGUCUAUCUUCUAUCAUAUUAAUCCUCCAAUACUUAGUCAUUUCUAUUUCUAUUUAUUUUAUUUUGCAUCUUUUAUUUCUCUUUAUCAUAAAAAUACCAAAAAUCUUAUCUUAUCAUAUCUAUCAGAUCUCACUGUCGUAAGUGACCGUGAAGGGAUUGACAACCCCUUUAUCGCGUUGGUUGCGAUGUUCUUAUUUGUUUGUGUAGGUUCGUGGGACUUGAGCAUGAUCUCCUACUGGAUUGAUACCUUGGUUCUCAAAAACUAAGGGAAAUACUUACGCCGAUUUAUUUCAUCACUCUUUCUUCUUCAAGGGAAAACCAACGCAAUGCUCAAGAGGUAGUGUCGGUGUCAAAACCGGCGGAUCUCGGGUAGUGGGUCCUGAACUGUGCGUCUAGGCCGGAUGGUAACAGGAGGCAGGGAACACGAUGUUUUACCCAGGUUCGGGCCCUCUUCAUGGAGGUAAAACCCUAUGUCCUGCUUGAUUAAUAUUAAUGAUAUGGGUAGUACAAGAGUAGAUCUACCAUGAGAUCAAGGAGGCUAAACCCUAGAAGCUAGCCUAUGGUAUGAUUGUUGUAUAUGGAGUUGAUUGCCUACGGACUACAACCCUCCGAUUUAUAUAGACACCGGAUAGGGUUAGGGUUACAUAGAGUCGGUUACAAUGGUAGGAGAUCUUGAAUAUCCGCAUCGCCAAGCUUGCCUUCCACGCCAAGGAAAGUCCCGUCCGGACACGGAACGAAGUCUUCAAUCUUGUAUCUUCACAGCCCAGGAGUCCGGCUGAAGGUAUAGUCCGGCUAUCCGAACACCCCCUAAUCCAGGACUCCCUCAGUAGCCCCUGAACCAGGCUUCAAUGACGACGAGUCCGGCACGCAAAUUGUCUUCGGCAUUGCAAGGCGGGUUCCUCCUCCAAGUCCUUCAUACAAGAUUGUAAGCACCAAGAGUAGUGUCCGACUCUGCAAAAUAAGCUUCCACAUAUCGCCAUAGAGAGAAUAAUAUUAACACAAAUCAAAUCCGCUGACGUAUUCCGCAGUGCGUCAUCACACUACAGCCAAGUCCUUCACUCGAAUCGUUUUCACUUUUCCACCCCAGUGUGUUUUGCGAGGUGGUUUCCUUGGCACGUCUUGUCAAAGCAGAGAUCGUGUCCCCUUUGUUUACGGGAUUCUCGUUAAUACGGACGUGGGUAACCCAACCGCGCCACUUAUCAUGGCGCUUGGGAGGCAAGCGAGUUCUACUAGGCUGGUGGGGACGCAUAGUCGCAUCCGCCCAUAUAAGGGGAUAAGGAUCCACCUUUUUACCUAUGCCUUCUUCCUCCUUUGCCUAUCCAUCUUCUGCGCACCCGAGCUCUAGUGCCCCAUCCCGCGCUUCCUACCUCAACCCUCUCCAACAAUGUCCGGAGCGGGAGGCAAGUGGAUGGUCUCCUCCGUCACGAAGGGCCAUGUCAAAAGGUUAAGGAAGGCCGGAUACUUGUCCAAAGACAUCGCGCACCGGCUUCCUGAGGAGGGGCAGCUUCUCCCCACCCCAAGGCCCCAUGAGAGGGUAGUAUUUCUUCCCCACUUCCUCCGCGGACUGGGUUUUCCUAUCCACCCAUUUGUCCGCGGGCUCCUGUUCUACUAUGGCCUAGAUUUCCAUGAUCUGGCCCCGAACUUCAUCCUGAAUAUCUCGGCAUUUAUCGUCGUGUGCGAGGCUUUCCUCUGCAUUCGCCCCCAUUUCAGCCUCUGGCUCAAGACCUUCAACGUCAAGCCAAAGGUGGUGCGCGGUAACCAGGCGGAGUGCGGAGGUGCCAUGGCGGGAGAAAUUGCCAACGUCCUAGGGCUCGAGGGCUCCUUUGUGGAGACCUUGAAGGGGUGGUAGUCAGGGUGAUUUUACAUCACCGAGCCACGCGAUCCGAAGUGGAUCGCAGCCCCUGAAUUCCGAUCCGGACCCCCUACACGGCUCACGUCCUGGAAGGAGACGAGCUUGUCGUGGGGCGACGAAGGAGAGUUGACCGGACUGCAAAAAUGCAUCCAGUCCCUGGUGAACAAGCAGCUCAAGCUUGUCAACGUAAUCUAGGUCAUGCUCGUCCGCCGGAUCCUUCCGUGUCAAGAACGGGACAUCAAUUUGUGGGAGUUCAACCCGGUGCAGCAACGAACUCUGAGAAGGCUCUUUGACACGACGUACGAAGUUGUCUGGAGGGGGCUAACCAAAGGCGCCGAGGCUCCCACAUCCGCCUCCGAUGACCGCGGAUUCAGCUCGCAGCGUCCUGCUGGCGAGGUAAGAUAUUUCCAUCUUUUACAGGAUAUUAAGUUUUUUCAUAGUUGACUCUAUGCGGGAUCUAAACUCCCUCACCUUUGACAGGAUUGGCGGGAGAAGUCCGGACAGAUUAACUGCCCGGCUCCCUUGCCAAGCCGGAGAAGAGGGCCAAGAAGAAGAAGGCCACGGGGACUCGAAAGAGUUCCUGGCAUAUGGUGGUGUCGGACUCGUCGUCCGACGAGUCCGAGAUGCACUCCUCCCGUGAAUACGAGGAGGAAGAAGAAACCUCUCCCCCUCCAGCGGGGGGAGGAGAGAAGAGGAAGGCCGCCCCAGUAGGGGAGGCCGAGGGGUCCAAGAAGAGGAAAACCCAUCCGCCGGACUACGUCCCCGACACCGACGAGGACGAAGAGGAGUGGCCGGACAGGGCCAAGCGUCCGGCGAGAUCGUAAUUCUUCGGAUACCAGAGUAACUCGUGAUAUUCCUUUUGUUGCACAGGUUUCGCUAAUGUCAGAUAUAAUCAUGCAGUCCACCCAAGGACGGGCACGACGAGUCGUCGAGCGGCUCCCUGGAUUCAUCGGACGCGAAUUCAGUUCCGCCUACUGCUUCCCCCUAUGCUGCAGAUGACGCCGAAGUGGCGUCGCGACAAGCUCCGGGGCGAGAGGAGGUGGUCCAGGAGGAGUCGCGAGGUGACCUCCCGGACUCCAGGAGUGAAGGGGACAAGACCCCCAUGGGCUCCAAGUCCGGCUUUAAGCUGGACACUGCGCCGGAAUCAUCAAUGGUUCCGGACCGCGGUAGGCGAACUCCUGCCAAGAGGAGCAAGCCUACUGAGCCGGCAUCCUCCGUCCAGCCGGAGGCGCCGCACAAUCUGGUGGAGGAGCUUAAGGGCGCCUCCAUCGACGAGGAGCAUCGUGCCGUCAUGAGUACGGUGAUCCAGAAGGUUCGGUCCGCCAAAAGCGGACUGACUGAAGCUUGUGCUAGCCUUCUAACAGGCUUCGAGGUAAGUAAAAAUAUGUAAAAAUAUUACCGUAUAGACAGUAGCCCCUGAUGCUCUGUUUGGCGUUUGUAAAGAAAAGCCAAAUAGAGGAUCUAUUAAAUAUCCCAGGAGUCUAACUAAAAAGGAGUCAAUAUACGUAUGUAGGCUUCGCUGCUGGCCAUCGCCGCACUGACUGCGGAGGUGGGUGCCCUUAAGCAGGGCCUCCAGCGGACCGAGCAAGAGCUCGGCCUUGCCAAACGGCAGCUCGAGGAGAAAGAAGGUAAGAUAUACCUUAGAGAAAAAGUGCCUAUAAAAAGGCUUGAUUGCAAAAAGAGUAACAGGAUUGUACUGCUUAUUGUAGGGGCUACGACUGAGGUGGCGACCUUUAAGCAGGUGUUGUCUGAGGCCGAAAAGAAAACGGCCGCGGAGCGCACCGAGCGAGACAGACUUGGGGCUCAGGUCAGCGAGGUGCAGCAAGAGCUUCAGGCUCUCAUGAAAAAACAUGAGAGUUUGGAGCUGGAAUCGAAGGCGCAAGCAUCCGAGCUUGCAAUGGCCCUAGAGGCUGCCAAGUCUGCCAAGGCCGAAGCCCUAAAGGCCCUCCAAGAGUUGGAGGAGAUGAGGAAGAUAGCAGCGGGUAAGGCAUUCUUUAUGCAAAGCAGAAAUAUAAAAGUGAACUACCUGUUACUUACCCAAAUCCGAAGCUCUCCAGGGGCAUUCGCAGAUCUUCCCAGCAGCGUAUCCGACGCCGCCGCAUUCUGCCAAGCUGAAGAGGGUAGCUCGACGGAGAAGGUGUUCUGGUUUCAGUAUUCUAAGGCCGGACACCCUGUGCCCUUGAGCGACCAGCUGAAACAGCUGGUUGAGCUCCACAAGGCGGCCGAGCAGGCCAUGAAGGGCUUCAUAGUUCGGCUGUGGCCCGGAGAGGCCCUACUUGGGAGCUAUUUCGGGCUAGUGCGGCGGCUUGUGGAGGCCUGUCCGAGGCUUGAGGUCAUCAAGUGCUCCGUCUGCAUCGAAGGUGCCCGUCGGGCCCUUGCCCGUGCAAAGGUGCACUGGGGUAAGCUGGAUGGUGAGAAGCUUGUGAAGGACGGGCCGCCGCCGGGGAAGGAGCAUCGCAAGCCCGAGAACUACUACAAGGAUGUUCUUGCAGGUGCCCGCCUUGUGGCGGAUGAAUGUACCAAGGAUGUGAUAUUUGAAUGAACUCGCUCGUGUUUAUCCUGUGCGCUGAAAACUUGUUCAUAUGCGCUAAGCAAUGCUUAUUGAAUUUAAAAUAUUACUUUCUGUGCGGCCAUUUAUCAAAAAUUGAGAGAUGGCCAGUCGUCGGCUUUUGCCCCCGUGCCACUAGUGCUGGGGUGUUCGGGAUAAACCUGAGCGCUCUUUUUCCCAUAGUUGGGUCCUUCGAGGGAGGCGCUCACCACAACGAAUCAGGCAAUCAGACUAUAAUGCUUGAACACUCUCACUUAGCCAUAGAGCUCUAUAAUUUUAAAUUUCGGUGAAGCUCCUAGUUUGGAAGACCGAGUUCGGGGCGCUAUCCACGCCUUGGCCGGACAAAGCCAGCUCCUCGCUCGAAGCGGCAUAAGCCUUUAGGGACUCGAAAAACCUCUCGAACAGCGACUGGUCUCUCGCCACAUCAUGACAGUCAGUUUUAGCUUUCUCCACUGAGGUGCUUAACCCAGCUGAACCGGGGCACAAUCGCAGUGGUUCUCCUAGUGCUACCUUAGCCGAUAGAGCGGAACGUAAGGCACCAAAACAUAGGAGCCGGGCAAACCCAACUAUUGACCCAAAUCAUGAUUCGGAGCCGAUGCAUAUAGUGCUAUAAGUUCGGGGUGCCGCACUUGUGAAAGCGUACGGACUUCUCACACCAUUAUGAGGGGUUCUGAAGCCCCUGGCGUGUUUGCCAUACCAUGGUGUACGGGUGCAAUCAUGUCAUUUAAUAAACAUAAAUGUGAAAAGAAGACAACGCAAAAAAUAGACUAGAAGCUAAGCAUUGUUUAUAGAGAGGCUAUUUAUCAAAGCCGGACGAUACAAAUACUGAAGUAAGCAAAAGAUAUUGGACUAUUCAGUAUGUCCUGACCAGGGGCAGGCCGCGGAAUUGUAUUUAAAACAGGUAUACCGCUCGUAACAGAGACCACAUGGGAGUUCCAUAAUGCGUCAUGGCUUGUCUGCCUCCCUGGAUCUUGCAUCGUUUGUGCGGCAGUCGAAUAUCCGAACAGGUCAUCCGAAGUAUGGAGUCCUGAAAGAAGAAAAAAUUAAAAAAAGAAUCCGGCAGCCCCUAGUACGUAUUAAGCCGUAUUUUGGGCAUGUCGUUAUUGUGCCCCUUCUCCUGUGCCCAUGGUAUUUCAAGGGCGUAGUUAUGUCCGCGAGGUACUGGUUUCGCUAUGUCGCGAAAGCUGGGGUUGGGGCCGCAUUGCUACGCUUGCUCAGAGUGUGCCAGGCGGUCCUGCUGUGGGUUACUCCGGGCGUGCUUGGCAGUGCCUGGCUUUUUAAUGGCCGGACCGGAGAAUUGCCUGAGAAGGCUACUUUGUACCUCCGCUGCGAGAGCCACCGUAUGCUCCUCCAUACGGAGGGAGCGUUCGGUGUUUCCGUUGACCGUAAUUACUCCUUGAGGGCCUGGCAUCUUGAGCUUGAGAUAUGCGUAGUGCGGCACCGCGUUGAUCUUUGCGAAUGCGGUUCGUUCGAGCAGGGCAUGAUAGCCACUGCGAAACGGUACUAUAUCGAAGAUUAACUCUUCGCUUCGGAAAUUAUCCGGGGACCUGAAGACCACAGCAAGUGUUACUGAGCCUGUACAAUUGGCUUCUACACCUGGUAUAACGCCUUUAAAGGUUGUUCUUGUGGGCUUAAUCCUUGAGGGAUCUAUGCCCAUUUUCCGCACUGUAUCCUGAUAAAGCAGGUUCAGGCUAAUGCCGCCGUCCAUGAGGACUCUUGUGAGAUAAAAUCCUUCGAUGAUUGGGUCGAGAACCAAUGCGGCAAAGCCGCCAUGACGGAUGCUAGUGGGAUGGUCCCUUCGAUCGAAAAUGAUCGGGCAGGAGGACCAUGGGUUGAACUUUGGGGCGACUGGCUCCAUCGCAUAUACGUCCCGUAGUGCAUGCUUCCGCUCCCGCUUGGGAAUGUGGGUUGCGUAUAUCAUGUUCACCGUCCACACUUGUGGGGGAAAGCCCUUCUGUCCAUUGUUGUUCGGCGGCUUGGGCUCCUCCUCGUCGCUGUGCAGCCCCUUGUCUCUAAUUUCGGCCCUUAACUUGCCUGCCUGCUUGAACACCCAACAAUCCUGUUAGUGUGAUUGGCUGGCCUUUCGGGGGUGCCAUGUGUCUGGCAUAAGCGAUCGAGUAUUCGGUCCAAACUGGACGGGCCCUGAGUAUUCUUUUUGAAUGGCUUUUUCCGCUGACCGGAUUUAUAGCCUUUGAAUCCGGCAUUGACUGCCGUGUCUUCAUUGCUGUCGCUGCUAACGCGGCGUUUUUGCUUAUUCCGACGUGUCCUGCCACUUUUGUCCUUGGUAUCCGAAUUACCAGGGUUCUUUGAUAAGUUGUUACUGCGAGCUAGCCAGCUGUCUUCUCCCGCGCAAAAGCGGGUCAUGAGUGUCAUGAGGGCUGCCAUGGAUUUCGUCUUUUCCUGUCCCAGGUGCCGGGCAAGCCACUCGUCGCAGAUGUUAUGCUUCAAGGCUGCCAGGGCCUUUGCGUCCGGACAGUCGACUAUCUGGUUUUUCUUUGUUAGGAACCGUGUCCAGAAUUGUCUGGCCGAUUCCUCUGGCUGCUGAAUUAUGUGGCUUAAGUCGUCGGCAUCCAGUGGUCGCACGUAAGUGCCCUGGAAGUUGUCGAGGAAUGCGGCUUCCAGGUCCUCCCAAGAACCGAUUGAGUCUGCUGGCAAGCUGUUAAGCCAAUGCCGGGCCGGUCCUUUAAGUUUGAGCGGGAGGUAUUUGAUGGCGUGUAGAUCAUCGCCGCAUGCCAUGUGGAUGUGAAGGAGAUAAUCCUCGAUCCAUACCGCCGGAUCUGUUGUGCCAUCGUAUGAUUCGAUGUUUACGGGUUUGUAACUCUCUGGGAUUUUAUGAUCCAUUACUUCAUUCGUGAAGCAUAGUGGUUGUGCGGGUCCUCUGUAUUGGGCUAUAUCACGACGCAGCUCGGACGAGCUAUGUCUGUUGUGUUCGGCCCGGGGCCGGAUUUGUCGUAUCCGGAGUGAAGAUCAUUUUCCCGUGCCUUAGUUGAGCGGUGUCGGGGCAUGCCUUGGGUGGAGGGCCGAGACGCCUCUCUGUCGGGGCCGCGAGGUGGCCGGUCUGCCAUGUCAUGCGCUGGUGAUGUAGGUGCUUCCUCCUCUGAUCGGGGUAGCUGCCUGCGCUUCGGGUAACUCUUGGAGGGGCGUUCGAGUUCAUACUCUUCGGCCGCAAGGACUUCAGUCCAUCUGUCAGGUAGCAAAUCUUGGGCAGCUCUAAGCUGUUGCUGCUUUUUCUUGAGGCUGCUUGCCGUGGCUAAAAGCCUGCGUUUAAACGCUCUUGUUCGGCGGGGUCUGAUUGUAUGACGAAUUCGUCGUCAUCGAGGCUUGCCUCGUCUUCGGAGGGAGGCGUAUAGUUAUCAUCCUCGACCUCUCAGUCUGCCGCUCUCUCAUGAGGGCUGGCUUCUCCAUCUUCCUGUGCCGAAUAUUGCUGAGGUUGGUGUUCUUCGGCGCUAUCCGGGGUAGUAUUAUCUCUCGUGUCAGAAUCACCGUUUUUGCUUUGGCGGGAUUUAGGGUGGCGCCGCUGGUGCCGGUGCUUUGGUUGUUUCUUGGGGGCGUCAUCCCCCACUGUUCCAUCGCCAUCUCCAUCUUUUGGAGUAUCCACCAUAUAUAUGUCAUACGACGAGGUGGCCUUCCAGCGCCCUACAGGUGCUGGUUCCUAUUCGUCUCCUACAUUGUCGUCCAGGCCGUCAAUGUCUUUGGAGCUGAAGUCAAGCAUGUCGGUUAGAUCGUCGAUACUGGCUACAAAGUGGGUGGUGGGUGGGCUUUGAAUUUCCUCAUCGUCCGUAUCCCACCCUCGCUGACCGUAGUCCGGCCAGGGCUCUCCUGAUAAAGAGAGAUACUUAAGAGAAUUCAGGAUGUCGCCAAAAGGCGAAUGCUGAAAGAUGUCUGUGGCGGUGAACUCCAUUAUCGGCGCCCAAUCGGAUUCGAUUGGCAGGGGCGCGGGUGGUUUGGAGUCCGGGGAGGAGUCCAGAUCCUCGGAGUCACCGGUCGUGCAGAGUGCGGGGCUAGCAUUCGGCUCGAUCGCUUUCGGGAUCGCAGCCCCCGAGGUGACGUCCAACCGCUCAUCCUCGAUUGGCGCAAUAGGUUCCGAGUUAGGGGUCGGAACCGAUGCGUGUGCGGCCUCCAGGACACUGGCCGGGGGCAGAGCUAGAUCAUGCCCCUCGGGAUAGUGCGGCGCGCUUGGCCGUGGCUCGAGCCCGUCGAAGAUCAAGUCUCCAUGGAUGUCUGCCGUGUAGUUUAAGCUUCCAAACCUGACUUGAUGGACAGGGGCGUAGCUUUCGAUCUGCUACAGGUGGCCGAGCGAAUUGGCUCGCAGAGCGAUGCCGCCGAAGACGAAGAUCUGUCCGGGGAGAAAAGUCUCACCCUGGACCGCAUCGUUGUUGAUGAUCAAAGGAGCCAUCGGGCCUAAAGGUGACGAGACAGAGGAACUCUCAAUGAAAGCACCAAUGUCGGUGUCAAAACCAGUGGAUCUCGGGUAGUGGGUCGCGAACUGUGCGUCUAGGCCGGAUGGUAACAGGAGGCAGGGAACACGAUGUUUUACCUAGGUUCCGGCCCUCUUGAUGGAGGUAAAACCCUAUGUCCUGCUUGAUUAAUAUUGAUGAUAUGGGUAGUACAAGAGUAGAUCUACCACGAGAUCAAGGAGGCUAAACCCUAGAAGCUAGCCUAUGGUAUGAUUGUUGUAUAUGGAGUUGAUUGCCUACGGACUACAACCCUCCGGUUUAUAUAGACACCGGAUAGGGUUAGGGUUACAUAGAGUCAGUUACAAUGGUAGGAGAUCUUGAAUAUCCACAUCGCCAAGCUUGCCUUCCACGCCAAGGAAAGUCCCGUCCGGACCCGGGACGAAGUCUUCAAUCUUGUAUCUUCAUAGCCCAGGAGUCCGGCUGAAGGUAUAGUCCGGCUACCCGAACACCCCCUAAUCCAGGACUCCCUCAGGUAGCAAGAUGGAUUUCUGGCGCCGUUGCCGGGGAGACUCGCGCCAAGUAAAGACAUACCAAGUACCCAUCACAAACCCUUAUCCCUCGCAUUACAUUAUUUUCCAUUUGCCUCUCGUUUUCCUCUCCCCCACUUCACCCUUGCCGUUUUAUGCGCCCUCUCUUUUUUCCUUCGCCUCUUUUCCACUUGCUUUGUCAUUAUGGCUAGUCCUUUAUCUACUCCUUUGUCUCCCGAGAAUGAAGUUCUUAAUUUUAAACAAAGGGAGGGAGAAAAUCUAAAAGAUGCUUGGUACAGAAUUUGCAACACGCAAAUUAGAUCUACUAGGAAACAAUCUACUUUUGUUCUUCUUCACAAUUUUUAUGUAGGCAUCACACCUAGGAAUAGAUAUAUUCUUGAUGCCAUUACCGGAGGGAAUUUCUUGGGUAGCCAUACUUUUGAUUCUUAUAAUGCUAUGAUAGAUCUGUUUGGCCCACCACCUCUUUUGGUUAAUGGAACUAUUUUAACUUUGGAACAUGUGAUGCAAUGGCUUGAAAUUAGUGAAAAUAAAGUUGCCACCAUAGAGUUAAUUGAAAAUUUGGAUAGAAAGAUCCACAACCAAAUUACCCAAUACGGAUCUAAGUUAGGAGUUGCUCUUAAAAGUUUUAAAGAAAAGGGACCUAUGGUUAAUGAAAAGAUAGAAAAAGAUUCCACUAGAAUUGUUAAAUUGAGGAUAUUAUUACCAACCUUGGGUCUUCCUUUUCUUCUAUUAUAAAUACUCUACCUAAUGCUAAGAUUGCCAAACUAAUGUAUGUUACAAAAAAUAAUGGUGAAACUUCUAAUAAGGAAAAUGCGGAUCUCAAAUCCAUAAGUGUUCACCCCAAUUUUCUCACUAUCCUGAAGGAACCUUUUGCUACAAAUGAUUUUCUUGAUUUCGUACCUAGGAGUUUGAUAAUUAAUAAAAACCAAGAAACUCCUAAAAGUUAUUGGUGUCUUAUUGAAGAAUCACCUUCCAAAGACGGCAAUACCUAGGUCUAUCUUCGCUUUUAUGCCUAGCUAGGGGCGUUAAACGAUAGCGCUUGUUGGGAGGCAACCCAGUUUUAUUUUUAUUCCUUGCUUUUUGCUCCUAUUUAGUAAUAAAUAAUUUAUGUAGCCUCUGUUUUGGUUUGUGUUUUUUGUGUUUAAUUUGUGUUUGUGCCAUGUAGAACCGUUGGGUAGACUUGGGGAAAGUCUUUUUGAUCUUGCUGUAAAAAACAGAAACGUUAGCGCUCACGAGAAUCGCUGACAUUUUUAUUUGGAAAGUGAUAUUUAGAUAAUUAUUUUUGCAGAUGAUUAAUAGAUAAAUUCCUCACGUCUAGAAAUUUAUUUUAUAAUUUUUGGGGUUACAGAAGUUUGCGUUAGGUACAGAUUACUACAGACUGUUCUGUUUUUGACAGAUUAUGUUUUUCGUGUAUUGUUUGCUUAUUUUGAUGAAUCUAUGGCUAGUAAAAGAGGUUAUAAACCGUAGAGAAGUUGGAAUACAGUAGGUUUAACACCAAUAUAAAUCAAGAUUGAGUUCAUAACAGUACCUUGAAGUGGUGUUUUGUUUUCUUUCGCUAACGGAGCUCACGAGAUUUUCUAUUUGAGUUUUCUGUUGUGAAGUUUUCAAGUUUUGGGUAAAGAUUUGAUGGAUUGUGGAACAAGGGGUGGCAAGAGCCUAAGCUUGGGGAUUCCCAUGGCACACCAAGGUAAAAUUCAAGGACACCAAAAAGCCUAAGCUUGGGGAUGCCCCGGAAGGCAUCCCCUCUUUCGUCUUCGUCUAUUGGUAACUUUACUUGGAGCUAUAUUUUUAUUCACCACAUGAUAUGUGUUUUGCUUGGAGCGUCUUGUAUGAUUUGAUUAUUUGAUUUUUAGUUUACCAAAAUCAUCCUUGCUGUACACACCUUUUGAGAGAGACUCACAUGAUUGGGAAUUUAUGAGAGUACUCGAUGUGCUUCACUUAUAUCUUUUGAGCUAUAUGGUUUUUGUUCUAGUUCUUCACUUAUAUAUUUUAGAGCACGGCGGUGGUUUUAUUUUAUAGAAAUAAUUGUUCUCUCAUGCUUCACUUAUAUUAUUUUGAGAGUCCUUUAGAACAACAUGGCAAUAAUAAAACUGUCAUACAAGUGCAUUGAAUACUAUGAGAAGUUUGAUACUUGAUAAUUGUUUUGAGAUAUGGAGAUGGUGAUAUUAGAGUCAUGCUAGUUGUGUAGUUGUGAAUUUGAGAAAUACUUGUGUUGAAGUUUGUGAUUCCCGUAGCAUGCACGUAUGGUGAACCGUUAUGUGACGAAGUCGGAGCAUGAUUUAUUUGUUGAUUGUCUUCCUUAUGAGUGGCGGUCGGGGAUGAGCAAUGGUCUUUUACUACCAAUCUAUCUCCCUAGGAGCAUGGGCAUAAUACUUUGCUUUGAUAACUUGUAGAUUUUUGCAAUAAGUAUGUGAGUUCUUUCUGACCAAUGUUGAGUCCAUGGAUUAUACGCACUCUCACCCUUCCACCAUUGCUAGCCUCUCUAAUACCGCGCACUUCUCGCCGAUAUCAUACACCCACCAUAUACCAUCCUCAAAACAGCCACCAUACCUACCUAUUAUUGCAUUUCCAUAGCCAUUCCGAGAUAUAUUGCCAUGCAACUUUUCAUCGUUCCAUUAUUAUGACACACUUCAUCAUUGUCAUAUUUGCUUGCAUGAUCAUGUAGUUGGCAUUGUAUUUGUGCAAAGCCACCGUUAAUAAUUCUUCAUACAUGUCACUCUUCAUUCACUUCAUAUCCCGGUACACCGCCGGAGGCAUUCACAUAGUCAUAUUUUGUUCUAAGUAUCGAGUUGUAAUUCUUGAGUUGUAAGUAAAUAAAAGUGUGAUGAUCAUCAUUAUUAGAGCAUUGUGCCAAGUGAGGAAAGGAUGGAGACUAUGAUUCCACAACAAGUCGGCAUGAGACUCCAGACGAAAAUAAAAAAAGAGGGGAAAAAGAGAAAGGCCAUAGAAAAAGAAGGCCCAAAAAAUGAGAGAAAAAGAGAGAAGGGGCAAUGUUACUAUCCUUUUUCCACACUUGUGCUUCAAAGUAGCACCAUCAUCUUCAUGAUAGAGAGUCUCCUAUGAUAUCACUUUCAUAUACUAGUGGGAAUUUUUCAUUAUAGAACUUGGCUUGUAUAUUCCAAUGAUGGGCUUCCUCAAAUUGCCCUAGGUCUUCGUGAGCAAGCAAGUUGGAUGCACACCCACUUAGUUUCUUUUGUUGAGCUUUCAUACACUUAUAGCUCUAGUGCAUCCGUUGCAUGGCAAUCCCUACUCACUCACAUUGAUAUCUAUUAAUGGGCAUCUCCAUAGCCCGUUGAUACGCCUGUUCCGGAGCUCCGCCGGAGGGGGCAUCGAUCACGGAGGGCUUCUACAUCAACAGCAUAGCCUCUUCGAUGAAGUGUGAGUAGUUGACCUCAGACCUAUGGGUCCAUAGUUAUUACCUAGAUGGCUUCUUUUCUCUUUUUGGAUCUCAAUACAAUGUUCUCCCCCUCUCUUGUGGAGAACUAUUCGAUGUAAUCUUCUUUUUGCGGUGUGUUUAUUGAGACCGAUGAAUUGUGGGUUUAUGAUCAAGUCUAUCUAUGAAUAAUAUUUGAAUCUUCUCUGAAUUCUUUUAUGUAUGAUUGUUUAUCUUUGCAAGUCUCCUCGAAUUAUCAGUUGGUUUGGCCUACUAGAUUGAUCUUUCUUACAAUGGGAGAAGUGCUUCGCUUUGGGUUCAAUCUUGCGGUGUCCUUUCCCAGUGACAAUAGGGGCAGCAAGGCAUGUAUUGUAUUGUUGCCAUCGAGGAAAACAAGAUGAGGUUUUCAUCAUAUUGCAUGAGUCUAUCCCUCUACAUCAUGUCAUCUAGCUUAAGGCGUUACUCUGUUUUUAACUUAAUACUCUAGAUGCAUGCUGGAUAGCGGUCGAUGAGUGGAGUAAUAGUAGUAGAUGCAGGCAGGAGUCGGUCUACUUGUCUCGGACGUGAUGCCUAUAUACAUGAUCAUACCUAGAUAUUCUCAUAAAUAUGCUCAAUUCUGUCAAUUGCUCAACAGUAAUUUGUUCACCCACCAUAGAAUAAUUAUGCUCUCGAGAGAAGCUACUAGUGAAACCUAUGGCCCCCGGGUCUAUCUUUAUCAUAUUAAUCUCCUACUACUUAGUUAUUUCCUUUGCUUUUUCCUUUGCCUUUAUUUUACUUUUCAUCUUUAUCACAAAAAUACCAAACAUAUUAUCUUUAUCAUAUCUAUCAGAUCUCACUCUCGUAAGUGGCCGUGUAGGGAUUGACAACCCCUAUUCACGUUGGUUGCGAGGAUUUAUUUGUUUUGUGCAAGUACGAGGGACUCGCGCGUAGCCUCCUACUGGAUUGAUAUCUUGGUUCUCAAAAACCGAGGGAAAUACUUACGCUACUUUGCUACAUCAUCCCUUCCUCUUCGGGGAAAACCAACGCAGUGCUCAAGAGGUAGCAAGAAGGAUUUCUGGUGCCAUUGCCAGGGAGGUCUACGCAAAAGUUAACAUACCAAGUACCCGUCACAUACCCUUAUCUCCCGCAUUAUAUUAUUUGCCAUUUGCCUCUCGUUUUCACCUCCCCCACUUCACCCUUGCCGUUUUAUUCGCCCUCUCUCUCUAUCCUCCCUCUCUUUCUCUAUUUGCCUCUUUUUUCCCGCUUGCUUUCUGUUUGCUUGUGUGUUAGUUGCUUGCUUGUCACGAUGGCUCAAGAUAAUACUAAAUUAUGUGACUUCACCAAUACCAACAACAAUGAUUUUAUUAGCACUCCGAUUGCUCCUCUUAUCGAUGCUGAAUCUUGUGAAAUUAAUACUGCUUUGCUGAAUCUUGUCAUGAAAGAUCUGUUUUCCGGCCUUCCUAGUGAAGAUGCCGGUACCCACCUAAAUAGAUUCAUUGAUUUGUGUGACAUGCAAAACAAGAAAGGUGUGGAUAAUGAUAUUGUUAAAUUGAAGCUAUUUCCUUUUUCGCUUAGAGAUCGUGCUAAACUUGGUUUUCGUCUUUGCCUAAAAAUAGUAUUGAUUCAUGGAAUAAGUGCAAAGAUGCUAUUAUCUCUAAGUAUUUUCCUCCUGCUAAGAUCAUCUCUCUUAGAAACGAUAUUAUGAAUUUUAAGCAACUUGAUCAUGAAUAUGUUGCACAAGCUUGGGAGAGAAUGAAACUAAUGGUACGUAAUUGCCCUGCCCAUGAUUUAAAUUUGUGGAUGAUUAUACAAAAUUUUUAUGCCGGAUUGAAUUUUGCUUCUAGAAAUCUUUUAGAUUCGGCCGCGGGAGGCACUUUUAUGGAAAUCACUUUAGGAGAAGCUACUAAACUCCUAGAUAAUAUUAUGGUUAAUUAUGCUCAACGGCAUACUAAAAGAUCUAAUAAUAAAAAGGUGCAUGCGAUAGAAGAAAUUAAUGUUUUGAGUGGAAAGAUGGAUGAACUUCUGAAAUUAUUUGCUAAUAAGAGUGUUUCUUCUGAUCCUAAUGAUAUGCCCUUGUCUACUUUGAUUGAGAAUAAUAAUGAAUCUGUGGAUGUGGAUUUUGUUGGUAGGAACAAUUUUGGUAACAGCGCGUAUAGAGGAAAUUUCAACCCUAGGCCUUAUCCUAGUAAUCUCUCUAAUAAUUACGGUAAUUCCUACAACAAUUCUUAUGGAAAUUAUAAUAAGAUGCCCUCUAAUUUUGAAUCUAAUAUUAAAGAAUUUAUUACUUUGCAAAAGAAUUUCAAUGCCUUGAUUGAAGAAAAAUUGCUUAAGAUUGAUGAUUUGGCUAGGAACGUUGAUAGAAUUACUCUUGAUGUUGAUUCUUUGAAACUUAGAUCUAUUCCACCUAAGCAUGAUGUCAAUGAGUCUCUCAAAGCCAUGAGAAUUUCCAUUGAUGAGUGCAAAGAAAGAACCGCUAAGAUGCGUGCUAAGAAAGAUGCCUUUAUAAGAGCGUGUUCUUCUAGUUCCUAUGAAAAUAAUGAUGAAGAUCUAAAAGUUAUAGAUGUGUUCCCUAUUAAAUAUUUGUUUUUCAAUAUGAAUCUUGAUAAUGAUGGGACUGAAUAUGAUCCACCUUUACCUAUAAGGCGUUCGAAGAAUUCAGAAUUUGUUGAUCUUGAUGCUAAAAUUGAUAAAGGUGGGAUUGAAGAAAUUAAAACCCUAGAUGUUGCUAAACCCACUAUUAUGGAUUUCAAGGAAUUUAACUAUGAAAAUUGCUCUUUGAUUGAUUGUAUAUCCUUUUUACAAUCCGUGCUAAAUUCUCCUCAUGCUUAUAGUCAAAAUAAAGCGUUUACUAAACAUAUCGUUGAUGCCUUGAUGCAAUCUUAUGAAGAAAAACUUGAAUUGGAAGUUUCUAUCCCUAGAAAGCUUUAUGAUGAUUGGGAACCAACUAUUAAAAUUAAAAUUAAAUAUCAUGAAUGCUAUGCUUUAUGUGAUUUGGGUGCUAGUGUUUCCACGAUUCCAAAGACUUUGUGUGAUUUGUUAGGUUUCCGUGAUUUUGAUGAUUGCUCUUUAAACUUGCGCCUUGUGGAUUCCACUAUUAAGAAACCUAUGGGAAGAAUUAAUGAUGUUCUUAUGGAUGCAAAUAGGAAUUAUGUGCCUGUAGAUUUUAUUCUUCUUGACAUAGAUUGCAAUCUUUCAUGUCCUAUUAUUCUUGGUAGACCUUUCCUUAGAAUGAUUGGUACAAUUAUUGAUAUGAAGGAAGGAAAUAUUAGAUUCCAAUUUCCAUUAAGGAAAUUCAUGGAACACUUUACUAGAAAGUAAAUUAAAUUACCUUAUGAAUCUAUUAUGAUAGCCACUUGUGGAUUGCCUACCAAAGAUGGCAAUACCUAGAUCUAUCCUUGCUUGUUAUGCCUAGCUAGGGGCGUUAAACGAUAGCGCUUGUUGGGAGGCAACGCAAUUUUGUUUUUAUUCCUUGAUUUUUGCUCCUGUUUAGUAAUAAAUAAUUUAUCUAUCCUCUGUUUUGGUUGUGUUCUUUGUGUUUAAUUAGUGUUGGUGCCAAGUAGAACCGUUAGGAAGACUUGGGGAAAGUCUUGUUACACUUGCUGUAAAAAACAGAAACUUCGGCGCUCAUGAGAACUGCUGCCAUUUUUAUUUGGAAAGUGCUAUUUAGUUAAUUAUUUCUGCAGAUGAUUAAUAGAUAAAUUCCUCACGUCCAGAAAUUUAUUUUAGAAUUUUUGGGGUUCCAGCUCUUGAGCUAGGUACAGAUUACUACAGAUUGUUCUGUUUUUGAAAGAUUCUGUUUUUUCGUGUGUUGUUUGCUUAUUUUGAUGAACCUAUGGCUAGUAAAAUAGUUCAUAAACCAUAGAGAAGUUGGAAUACAGUAGGUAUAACACCAGUAUAAAUAAAUAAUGAGUUCAUUAUAGUACCUUGAAGUGGUCUUUUAUUUUCUUUCGCUAACGGAGCUCACGAGAUUUUCUACUUUAAGUUUUGUGUUGUGAAGUUUUCAAGUUUUGGGUAAAGAUUUGAUGGUUUAUGGAACAAGGAGUGACAAGAGCCUAAGCUUGGGGAUGCCCAUGGCACCCCCAAGAUAAUCUAAGUACACCUAAAAGCCAAAGCUUGGGGAUGCCCCGGAAGUCAUCCCCUCUUUCGUCUACUUCUAUCGGUAACUUUACUUGGAGCUAUAUUUUUAUUCGCCACAUGAUAUGUGUUUUGCUUGGAGCGUCUUGUAUUAUUUGACUCUUUAUUUGUUAGUUUACCACAAUCAUCCUUCCUGUACACACCUUUUGAGAGAGCCAUACAUGAUUUGGAAUUUGUUAGAAUAGUCUAUGUGCUUCGCUUAUAUCUUUUGAGUUAUAUAGUUUUGCUCUAGUACUUCACUUAUAUAUUUUAGAGCACGGUGGUGGAUUUGUUUUAUAAAAACUAUUGAUCUCCCAUGCUUCACUUAGAUUAUUUUGAGAUGCUUAAUAGCAUGGUAACUUGCUUAAAAUCCUAAUAUGCUAGGUAUUCAAAGUUAGUAAAAUUUUCUUAAGAGUGUUUUGAAUACUAAGAGAAGUUUGAUGCUUGAUGAUUGUUUUGAGAUAUGGAGGUAAUAAUAUCAAAGUCGUGCUAGUUGAGUAGUUGUGAAAUUGAGAAAUACUUGUGUUGAAAUUUGCAUGUCCCGUAGCAUGCACGUAUGGUAAAUGUUGUGUAACAAAUUUGAAACAUGAGGUGUUAUUUGAUUGUCUUCCUUAUGAGUGGCGGUCGGGGACGAGCGAUGGUCUUUUCCUACCAAUCUAUCCCCCUAGGAGCAUGCGCGUAGUACCGAGGUUUUUGAUGACUUGUAGAUUUUUGCAAUAAGUAUGUGAGUUCUUUAUGACUAAUGUUGAGUCCAUGAAUUAUACGCACUCUCACCCUUCCAUCCUUGCUAGCCUCUUUGGUACCAUGCAUUGCCCUUUCCCACAUUGAUUGUUGGAGCAAACUUCGCCGGUGCAUCCAAACCCCGUGAUAUGAUACGCUCUUUCACACAUAAACCUCCUUAUAUCUUCGUCAAAAAAGCCACCAUACCUACCUAUUAUGGCAUUUCCAUAGCCAUUCCGACAUAUAUUGCCAUGCAACUUUCCACCAUUCCGUUCAUCAUGACACAUUCAUCAUUGUCAUAGUGCUUAGCAUAAUCAUGUAGUUGACAUAGUAUUUGUGGCAAGGCCACCGUUCAUAAUUCUUUCAUACAUGUCACUCUUGGUCCAUUGCAUAUCCCGGUACACCGCUGGAGGCAUUCAUAUAAGUCAUACUUUGUUCUAGUAUCGAGUAGUAAUUAUUGAGUUGUAAAUAAAACGAAGUGUGAUGAUCUUAAUUAAUAGAGCAUGGUCCCAAAAAGAGAAAAAAGGAAGGGCCAAAAAAAGGCCAAAUAAAAAAAUAUAAAAAGGGGGGCAAUGCUACUAUCCUUUUUUCCACACUUGUGAUUCAAAGUAGCACCGUAAUCUUCAUGAUAGAGAGUAUCUUGAUUUGUCACUUUCAUAUACUAGUGGGAAUUUUUCAUUAUAGAACUUGGCUUGUAUAUUCCAACAAUGGGCCUCCUCAAGUGCCCUAGGUCUUUGUGAGCAAGCAAGUUGGAUGCACACCCACUUAGUUUCUUUUGUUGAGCUUUCAUACAUUUAUAGCUCUAGUGCAUCCGUUGCAUGGCAAUCCCUACUCCUUGCAUUAACAUCAAUCGAUGGGCAUCUCCAUAGCCCAUUGAUUAGCCUCGUUGAUGUGAGACUUUCUCCUUUUUGUCUUGUCCACAUAACUCCACUCAUUAUAUUCUAUUCCACCCAUAGUGUUAUGUCCAUGGCUUACAAUCAUAUAUUCCGUGAAAGUUUAUAGGUUUGAGAUCACUAAAGUAUGAAACAAUUGCUUGGCUUGUCAUCGGGGUUGUGCAUGAUGAGAGCAUUGUUGUGUGACAAAAAUGAAGCAUGACUAAACUAUAUGAUUUUGUAGGGAUGAACUUUCUUUGGCCAUGUUAUUUUGAGAAGACAUAAUUGCUUAGUUAGUAUGCUUGAAGUAUUAUUAUUUUUAUGUCAAUAUGAACUUUUGUCUUGAAUCUUUCGGAUCUGAAUAUUCAUACCACAAUUAAGAAGAAUAACAUUAAAAUCAUGCUAAGUAGCACUCUGCAUCAAAAAUUCUGUUUUUAUCAUUUACCUACUCGAGGACGAGCAGGAAUUAAGCUUGGGGAUGCUUGAUACGUCUCCAACGUAUCUAUAAUUUUUGAUUGCUCCAUGCUAUAUUAUCUACUGUUUUGGACAAUAUUGGGCUUUAUUAUCCACUUUUAUAUUAUUUUUGGGACUAACCUAUUAACCGGAGGCCCAGCCUAGGAUUGCUGUUUUUUGCCUAUUUUAGGGUUUCGAAGAAAAGGAAUAUCAAACGGAGUCCAAACGGAAUGAAACCUUCGGGAACGUGAUUUUCUCAACGAACAAGACCCAGGAGAAUUGGACCCUCCGUCAAGACACAAAAGAGGAGGCCACGAGGUAGGGGGCGUGCCUACCCCCCCGGCGCGCCCUCCACCCUCGUGGGCCCCCUGUUGCUCCACCGACGUACUCCUUCCUCCUAUAUAUACCUACGUACCCCCAAAUGAUCAUAUACGGAGCCAAAACCCUAAUUACGCUGCCGCAACAUUCUGUAUCCACGAGAUCCCAUCUUGGUGCCUGUUCCGGAGCUCCGUCAGAGGGGGCAUCGAUCAUGGAGGGCUUCUACAUCAACACCAUAGCCUCUCUGAUGAAGUGUGAGUAGUUGACCUCAGACCUACGGGUCCAUAGUUAUUACCUAGAUGGCUUCUUCUCUCUUUUUGGAUCUCAAUACAAUGUGCUCCCCCUCUCUUGUGGAGAACUAUUCGAUGUAAUCUUCUUUUUGCGGUGUGUUUGUUGAGACCGAUGAAUUUUGGGUUUAUGAUCAAGUCUAUCUAUGAAUAAUAUUUGAAUCUUCUCUGAAUUCUUUUAUGUAUGAUUGGUUAUCUUUGCAAGUCUCUUCGAAUUAUCAGUUUGGUUUGGCCUACUAGAUUGAUCUUUCUUGCAAUGGGAGAAGUGCUUAGCUUUGGGUUCAAUCUUGCGUGUCCUUUCCCAGUGAUAGUAGGGGUAGCAAGGCACGUAUUGUAUUGUUGCCAUCGAGGACAACAAGAUGGGGUUUUCAUCAUAUUUUAUGAGUCUAUCCCUCUACAUCAUGUCAUCUUACUUAAGGCGUAAUAGUAGUAGAUGAGUGGAGUAAUAGUAGUAGAUGCAGGCAGGAGUCGGUCUACUUGUCUCGGACGUGUUGCCUAUAUACAUGAUCAUACCUAGAUAAUCUCAUAACUAUGCUCAAAUCUAUCAAUUGCUCAAUAGUAAUUUGUUCAUCCACCGUAGAAUACUUAUGCUCUCGAGAGAAGCCACUAGUGAAACCUAUGGCCCCCGGGUCUAUCUUUAUCAUAUUAAUCUCCUACUACUUAGUUAUUUCCUUUGCUUUUUUACUUUGCCUUUAUUUUACUUUGCAUCUUUAUCACAAAAAUAAAAAUAUCUUUAUCAUAUCUAUCCAAUCUCACUCUCGUAAGUGGCCGUGUAGGGAUUGACAACCCCUAUUCACGUUGGUUGCGAGGAUUUAUUUAUUUUGUGCAGGUACGAGGGACUGGCGCAUAGCCUCCUACUGGAUUGAUACCAUGGUUCUCAAAACCUGAGGGAAAUACUUAUGCUACUUUGCUGCAUCAUCCCUCACUCUUCGGGGAAAACCAACGAAGUGCGCAAGAGGUAGCAAGGGUUCCUUUUUGUCGACGAUCUGAUGUUUCAACCUUGUUUUCCAGGCGGCCAACGCAUCACUCAACUUGGUCAUGGCGUGUUUGUUUAUCUUCUUCAUUGCCAGGUCCUUAUCUGGAUCUUUAUUAUCCUUUUCAUUACGGUCCGGGAACAAGAAUAUCUGGUGCAGCUUCUUCAGGAGGGAGGGCCUCAUAUUAUCUAUCUUCUAUAGUUUCCCAUCGUUGAUCAUGGCAGUUGUCCGUACAAUGCAACCUAUUUGAUUGCCGUAACACGAUUGCGCUUCCUCGGGUGCUAUUGUCUCAAAAAUACUGUCGUCCAUCUCCGUGACCACCAGUCUAGUACUCAUGAGCUGGUUUAGGCGUCGUGGCCUCUUUGCUGUCGGUUCUAGACUAACUCCCCUAGUCUCGGCACCGGUCUCAGUCUCAUCGCCGGUCUGCAUGUCGGUAUCAGUCCCCGAUGCGACAACACAGUCGCUGCAACAUGGGUAAGGGAGACCACAUCAGUGCUGGGGGUCCGAAAAUUGGGACACACUUUCGCGCGUCGCGGGCCGCCUCUCAGACAGCUAAUGGGGAGGCGGCGGAGUACCUGGGUGCGCGGCGAAUCCCCAAGAACUCGGUGACCAACUUCCUUCCCGUGUGGCGCAUGGAGACGACGGCGACCCUGGCGAAGAGCAGCUUAGCCGCGAGCUGCACAGCCUCGUCCACCUCCUAAGUUGGGACCUCCGUGCGAGCGUUGCGGGGCCGCCGCUCGGAUGGCUUCUGGAAGGCCGUUGUACAUGGGCACAGGGUGAAUCCCGACGAGAGCUGGCCAUUGGCGCGCGCAAGUAGACGACGACGUCCCCGACGAAGAGCUGCCCGGCCAGCUCGCCUCACUCGCCUUUGAUUAGAAAUGAAAGAUUGGGAAGAAGCAGACUUGAGCCUGCAGGGAAAGGAUAAGGUGACGAUGCAGUCUCCACUCGUUCGGGGCGACACGCGUACUGAAUGUAUGAGAAACGUGACGUGGCAGAGACCCCAAGAUACUCCCUCCAUUUAUUUUUAGUCUGCAUAUAAAGUUUGGUCAAAGUCAAGAUUUGUAAAUUUUAACGAACUUUAUAAUAAAAAAAUAUCAGCAUUCACAAUAUGAAAUCAAUAUUACCAGAUGCGUCAUGAAAUGUAUUUCCAUACUAUAUAGUUUUGGUAUUGUAGAGGCACUCUUCCAUAUAAUGAAGUUUAUAAUAUAUGUGCUUAUAUUGUAUUACAAUUGUUUGAAUAGCUUAGCAUAUGUUCAGAUGUAUGAUAUCUGUAAUUUAAGCGCUUGAAUUUUACAUAUAAAUAUUUAUUAAUAAAUAUGUACCCCUAUAAUAGCUAGGCCGUGCCGUUGCACGGGUAGAUGACUAGUGAUUACAAUCUUGUUUGUGUGCAAGUCAAGCUUAUAUAGUUUACACGUAACAACUUGUAGAACAUUACAAAAUUUAUGCUUGCUAAUAACUUCUAGAACACUAGAACACUUGACAUGUAAAAGGAAUUUGACGAGUCAUGGCCUACUAAAGCAAGUUACAUUACUAGUCUUAUCUAUCUUAACAGACCACACAAGAUUACAAACUAAGUACCGUGACAGCCAUGCUUAUCUAGUUUAUGCGUAACAAUUUGCAGAAAAUUAGAAACUUGGUUUCAGAAAAAUACGCAAUCUAGAUUAGUGUUUGAGCUGUAAAGUGAAUAAGAUGAGUCAUGCAUGUUAUCACACCUUUUUGGUGGUGGAAUGAUAGUGCAACAACAAGGAACUUUAAUGACCAGUCCAAGAAUACACUUGUAAGUAGUGCCACCAAACAGAACAUACCAAAUGAUGAUUUUUAGAAGCAUCCAAGCACUUUCCACACAAACAAAUGCCAAUUGUGAAAGAGAUCAUUCCAUGGCAGCUAUAAAUAGCCCCAUAGCAUGAGGUUCAUCCUUCCUCAUCCAUCAUUUUCAUUAGUAGAGCGCAUCAUUUAAGCCAAGCAAGCUGUGGUCAAUACAAAUCCACCAUGAAGACCUUUCUCAUCCUUGCCCUCCCUGCUAUCGUGGCGACCACCGCCACAACUGCAGUUAGAGUUCCAGUGCCACAAUUGCAGCCACAAAAUCCAUCUCAGCAACAGCCACAAGAGCAAGUUCCAUUGGUACAACAACAACAAUUUCUAGGGCAGCAACAACCAUUUCCACCACAACAACCAUAUCCACAGCCGCAACCAUUUCCAUCACAACAACCAUAUCUGCAGCUGCAACCAUUUCCGCAGCCGCAACUACCAUAUUCGCAGCCACAACCAUUUCGACCACAACAACCAUAUCCACAACCGCAACCACAGUAUUCGCAACCACAACAACCAAUUUCACAGCAGCAGCAGCAGCAGCAACAACAACAACAACAACAACAACAACAACAAAAGCAAAUCCUUCAACAAAUUUUGCAACAACAACUGAUUCCAUGCAUGGAUGUUGUAUUGCAGCAACACAACAUAGCGCAUGGAAGAUCACAAGUUUUGCAACAAAGUACUUACCAGCUGUUGCAAGAAUUGUGUUGUCAGCACCUAUGGCAGAUCCCUGAGCAGUCGCAGUGUCAGGCCAUCCAAAAUGUUGUUCAUGCUAUUAUUCUGCAUCAACAACAAAAACAACAACAACAACCAUCGAGCCAGGUGUCCUUCCAACAGCCUCUGCAACAAUAUCCAUUAGGCCAGGGCUCCUUCCGGCCAUCUCAGCAAAACCCACAGGACCAGGGCUCUGUCCAGCCUCAACAACUGCCCCAGUUCGAGGAAAUAAGGAACCUAGCGCUACAGAUGCUACCUGCAAUGUGCAAUGUCUACAUCCCUCCAUAUUGCACAAUCGCGCCAUUUGGCAUCUUCGGUACUAACUGAGAAGAAAAUAACUCUAGUACUAGAUAUAUGAAACACCGUUUUCUCAGUCCAUGGUUUGGUCAUUGUAGCGUCGAAAAAAUAAUGUGACAUGCACUAUCAUAUAAGAAUCCGAACUAUACUAGUUCAAACUUGGGAAUAAAAGACAAACACAUGUCUUGUCUACAUAUUUAUGUUGCAUCUAUUUAUAUAUUAAAAGUAAUAUAAGGUGAACCAGGAGCAAGGUAAAUAUGCUAGAAAAUUGCACGUUAAUUAGAAAUUACUUGCCCUCGAUCUGGUAAAUCUUAACAAAUAGAAUUAUCUUGACCGUUAGAUUUAUAUAACAUAUAUAAUGCUCUGGGCCUCCAACGACUGUACGUGACACAUCUGAACGAACAUAUGGUAAAGAAAAUAUAUUUGGUAAAUGGUGGGCCUGUUUAAAAAGAGAACUCACGUACAUGCACCAACUAAGAAAAACACAUACAUGUAAACGGGAAAAGGAUGAGAUUUUCUCACGUACGUGCUCCCUGGCUCCACCCCGUUGAAAAAAUAUACAUCUGGAGGCCACUUUGUUUCCUCAUCAAAAAAACUUACGUUAAAAAGAUUGCAUGCAUCCCAGGGAAAAUAGUCAAGAAGAAGUCGGACUUUUCCUUACAAAAACAAGGAACGUGUUAAGUUGACUUCAAAGAAAAAAGGAACAUGUUAAGUUAAAAAAAAACAAGAAACCUGUUAAGUUAGAAAAAAACAAGGAACGUGUUGUCCAAGGAAAGAUAUGUGUCAAAUCUUACAAAAAAAAAGAAUACACACACGUACGUUCAUGCACUUGGAAAAUAGAAAAAAAGGAACAUCACGUAUGUAUACACUUCGGAAACUCAUUACAUGACCAUGUCUGAUAUACUCCUCUAAUGCUUAAUAUUAGUGCCUAAUAAUUUAUAUUUAAAAUUUAAUUUACUGAUCAAAUAUCCCCACUGUUUAAAUUUUAAUUUGGCACAUUGUUUGGCUAUAGUAUGAACCUGAAUUUCCUCUUAUUAUUAUAUAUCAUGGUAAUAAUCCAAAGGCGACUAAUCUGCACCGGCGCACCGGCGCAAUCAAUUCGGCUGGACACAGCGCGGCCGUUUGAUUAGAUUGCAUUUAACCAUCAGAUCUGGAAUCGUUUUCUUUCCAAUUAAACGGAUUCAACCAAACAGCAGAGGGGAAAACAAAGCAGCGCCGCCGCCAACACUAGCCAUGGACGACCGAUGUAGCAAAACCUUGAAGAACCGCCGCCGGUCGCCACCCUCGCCUCUGGUCGCUGCCCUCGCCGUCGGUCACCGCCGGUCGCCGCCCUCGCCGCCUGCGUUUCUCAUCGGCUUCAUGCAUGCAACAACAUGCACUCGUGGUUGCAGGCUUGCAUCUCCGGCUCCGGGGACAUGGCCGCAUCUCCGGUAGCGCCGGCCGCCGGCCGCAGCACCUGUCGUUGUGGUCGCGCUGUACCUCGCCGUGUGCCCUCCCGAGGCUCUUGCUGGUUCCAACAAAAAACGAUACCUGUUGUAGCAAAAAAGUAUCGCUUCCAGCAAAAAAGCUUACCGCUACAGCCCGCCAUCGUCAUUGUAGCAAAAAUGUUAACCCGAUGUAGCUUCUGUGGUUGCCGACUGCAGCAAAAAAUGACAUGGCUGUAGCAAAACACAAAAGAAAAACACUGGCCGGCCGCUGUGUAUGGUGGUAACAAACCCUAUAGCCGGUGGUAGCGAAAAACUUCAUAGUGUGCUGCAAAAAAAUGUUGUCACCCGUCGUCGAGGUUGCAUCAUCUUCAUGAAUUAUGCCGCAAAAAAACGUUGUCGCCGGUAGUAGCAAAUGAAGCCGCCGGUAGUAGCAAAACAAGACACUGGUUCCAGCCAAAAAAAAAAUCAGCGACAGAACCUUUGGUUGGUUCCAACAAAAAAACUUGUCGGUUGUAACAUCCCUCGCCGCCGGAUGUAGCAUCUCCCGGGGCUGGUUGCAACACUCCAUAAAAAAAGUUGUCUAUGAGCGCAUCCAUGGUGACUGCUGCACCGUCAGCAAUGAGGGGAAGAGGAGGCAAUGAAAAUCAUUCGAGUCAUAGCUCCACAGGACGCGGCUGCAGCAUGGGGAGUCCAAAAAUCUGUCACAAGCAACAUGCGCCGCGCCAUCCUCCUGCGCAGGAGAGAGAAGAAAAAGGAAUAAGAGGAAGAAGAAAGGAAACAGGAGAAAGAAAAAAGAAAGGAUUGGUGGUUGGCUCAGGCAAUUAGUCAAGCGAGGGGCACGCGGGGCCGCAGGACACAGCGCAAUCGAACGAAGCGCGCGCGUCCGGGCGAAGACUCGGCCGGACUGCCGUCUGGAAACGUUUCCCUAAUCCAAAGGCUUUAUCUGAAUGACAAGUCGUCUGGGUUACCGGCUAACUAGAAAAAAGAUAAAUAUGCUAGAGAAUUCCAUAAUAAUUAGAAAUAUCUAGCCUUUAAUUAUGUAAACCAGAAAAUCACAACCGUUGGAUUUACUUUAAAGGUAAAUUUCUAUAAAUUCCCACCAUUGCCAGUAUGUAGAAACAUGUGCUGCUUCAAUUCUCCCAUAAUCACCAAUCAAUCAACAACACAAAACAUACCUCAGUUAAAAAAACUGAACAAAAAAAAGAAAAAAAGAAGAAAGGACAAGAUACACGCAUGUACACGACAGCCUUGGCUUGAAACACAUCAGUAGAUCAAGUGUCCGCCUCCCUUACACGUACGUCCCAUGAGGUUUACUAGCCUACCGCCGCCGCAUCAUGCCAUCCUCUCCUUUCAGCUCCCAUGCUCUCCAGCACCCUCAUUGCGGCGCCACUACUCGCCUAGGGAUAUUGCUGCUCAGACCGUGGAGCUUAACCACAUCAGCAUCAGCACGUAUGGGCCUCAUUAUACUGCAGCACGUAUUGCGCCCCCUUAAGUCCAGGUCUGUUUGCUGGCACAUAUGCUUUGGAAAUAGGCCACUAUGUUUGUACUUCAAAAUUGUUUCUGUAUUCUUGAGUGGUACAUCCUUUUAAGCGCCAGUUUUUUAUGUUAAUUCAUGCUGACAACACUUAACCUAGCCUUUCAUGUUCACGUACUAAAUACAGGAGCAAGUAAAAACAACAGACCACCUAAUUGCUCUGCAUGUACUACAUAGGAAAAUUUGUCAUGUUCUACGAUCGCACCAUCCCACCCUUCUCUCUUGGUAUGGGCGCCAAUUGAGGGAUUGAUAAAACUGAAACGAAGACGUCACAGGGCUGGAAGUACCGCUAGCCUGGUUUGCACUGCAACCUACCCAACGCCAUCAGAAACUAGCAACUGAGUCAGGUGUUGAUCGAUUCUCUCAAAUUGCUCUCAUGUAAGUACUACCCCUUGCAUGUGCGUACAUACCUUUGUUGCAUUCUCAAACAGAUAGAACAUGUUUGAUCGGUGCAUGGCUAUUUUUCAUCACAUGACAUCCAGAUAACAAGCAUGAAAGGACUACAUUGGAGAUCAAAAAAUAUUGGUUCCUGGCUAGAGUACCACUACCUAUGGACUUGUCUCCAUAGAAUUUGUUCCCAAGAUGUUAUUUUAAUUAAUCUCUUUAGCUUUCUUCCAUUGCAAACGGUGAUGUGCAUCAUGGUAUAUACGUGACCAUCUUGCACAUGUAUACACAAGAGGCUCAGAUGGAGGUGCUGGAUUCUGGACGAGGGAAUAUGAAGCAGGAGUGAGCGAAGAGUAAAUAAUGGUGGGAGUACCGAUUGGUGUUAUGAAGAAAAAUGCCAUCCAAAGAUUGAUUAGUGUCAUGGAAGAUUAAUUUCUGAAUGCGAAUAUAUAUGUUACAUUGGUUUGGAUCUUUUUGAGAUAAUUCCACCUAAAUUAGGUUCUUUCUUAUUUCAUAUGUAUACCUUAUUUCAGUAAAAGUUCACAACGAACUUAGUAGGACAAAUAUAAUUUUGUUUGUUCUUUCUGUUGUCCGCCACCAAAGCUCAAUUUGAACUCUCUAGAAAUGGACAAUGAUUUAUGCAUUCUAUAUCUUCUUGAUUGAUUAGCCAUGACAAGGAAAUAAAAGGAUUGACUGAUAUAGCAUAACUUUGGAACGAUUAGAGGUUACUACAAAUAAGAGUAGUGUCUGUUGGAAUUUUGCUAGUAGGCCUUUGGCCCAAAGCCCAACUAAAAUUCUGAAAUUCUCUUGGCUCAUUUAUGCACACAUGUGAGUUGAGUGAGUGAGACUAAAGUUUAGUCCCACCCUGGAAGUUGAGAGAGAGUUGCACCUCUUUAUAAGGUGAGCUCUUCUACCACUUGUAUGAGCAUGAGAAGAGGAGACCUACACGCGCGCUCCUCCUCCACGCUCGCCACGCCUCGUCGCGCCGCGCCGUGCCGCGGGUUGCGGGAUUGAGCCGAGCCGAGGACGUUUUCUAUAUUUUUGCUGCUCGGGAAAAAUUAAUGAGUCAUUAAUUAAUAAUUAAUGGACACAUUAAUUACUGAACCGUUUCCGAUUUUUUUGGAUCGUGACGACUCGGACGUGGGGUUUACUCCCAGGACCUACCCGGCCCGCACUAUAUAGUCAGGAAGACGUCUACCCUAGCCGCCGCCGCUUCGUAUGGUUUCUCACCAUCGUUACAGAUCAUUGCGCCGCCAAGCAAGUUUUCUCCAUCCCUCCUUUCGGCGUGCACCGGGAGAAGGGACAGCAGACCUCCGGAACCCCGCCUCUCGUGAUCCUAUACGGGAGAGGGGCGAUCAGGUUUUUGGGGAGCGCACUCGCAUGACUGCUGGCAGCGACGACUUCGCAAACGACGACUUCUUCCCCGACCUCGGCAACCUCAUCCUCGACGACAUGGGCGACAACGUCAACGCCGGCGGUGCUACACCCACUGCACCGUAUGUUAUUCUCUCCUUCUUGUUCGAGAUCAUGGUAGAAUUCAUGUUUCUAGUAUAUGUGCCCUAGAUGUGAUCUGUUCAUCUACUAUGGUAGUUCGCAUGAUUAGUUUAAUCUCUGUUAUUGCUGUCAUGAUCUAUUUCCUAUUUAUUCGGAUUAAAUCUCGUAGUAAUUUUCUCAUUUUUCCAACAAUCCAAAAACCUGAUUAUAGGAAAUUUACUCCGAGUGGUUUUGCUGCGCAUCUGAAAGCCGCUUGCCUUUAAGGGGGCGCAAUAUAAGAGGUGGCGCACCAGAGCAGUCUACUGGUUUCAGAUCAUGGGCUGCUAUGACGCCACCAAGGGCAAGCCUGAGGGCGAUCUUAAUCCAGCACAGCUGGAAGCUUUCAAGAAGAUCAAUACCCUCUUUAAAGGCACGCUUCUGAGUGUUCUUGAUGACUCCAUUGUAGAUUCGUAUAUGUCGUUUGACAAUGGCAAGAACAUGUGGGCUACGCUCGAGGCCAAGUUUGGUGCCUCGGACGCCGGCAGCGAGUUGUACGUCAUGGAGCAAUUCUAUGACUCCAAGAUGACUGAUGGGCGCCCUGUUGUACAGCAGGCUCAUGAGAUACAGUUGCUCGCAAAAGAACUUGAGUACUUCAAGUGUGUGUUGGCGAACAAAUUUGUUGCCGGAGGCAUCAUUGCCAAGCUUCCACCUUCGUGGAACAAUUUUGCUACUUCCCUGAAACACAAGAGACAGGAGUUUUUCGUUGCGGAUCUCAUUGGUACUCUUGAUGUUGAAGAGAAGGCGAGAGCAAAGGAUACACGUGCUUGAGUUGCUAAGGGAGGUUCUAGUGCCCACAUGGUACAGAAGAAGAACUUCCAGCCCAACAAGUUCAAAAACAACAAGAACAAAACUUAGGGCAAAGGCAAGUUCGAUACAAAGAACAAGCCAUCACAUUCUACCAACUUCAAGAAGAACUCUCAUAAGAAGGGGAAGGGACUUUGCCAUGUCUAUGGUGAUCCUAAUCACUGGGCUCCGAAGUGUCCCAACCGCUUUGAGGAGCGCGAACAUGAGAAGAGCGGCAAGUCUGCUAAUGUUGUCAUCGGUGAUACUGAUAUGAAGGAAUCAGGGUACGGUAUUUUUCCUACCAUCCUUUCAGUAUUCCAAACCCCUGACUGGUUAAUUGACACCGGUGCCAAUGUACAUGUUUGUGCUGAUGCCUCCAUGUUUUCUUCUUACCAGGCCACUGGGACUUCUCCUAUGCUGAUGGGGAACGGGUCACAUGCCAUCGUUCGAGGUGUUGGUACGGUCGAUCUGAAGUUUACUUCGGGGAAGACCGUGCGUCUGAAGAACGUUCAUCAUGUGCCGUCCAUCAAUAAAAAUCUCGUUAGCGGUUCCCGUUUAUGUCGAGAUGGUUUUAAGUUGGUUUUCGAAUCCAAUAAAGUUAUAAUUUCUAAGUAUGGACAAUUUGUUGGAAAAGGCUAUGAGAGCGGAGGCUUGUUUCGCCUGUCUUUGUCAGAUAUUUGCACUAAAGUUAUUAAUAAUGUUUGCCACAACAAUGAGUCUGAUAUUUGGCAUUCACGACUUUGUCACAUUAACUUUGGUUGCAUGACGCGGCUAGCCAAUAUGAAUUUAAUUCCGAAAAUCUCUACUGUCAAAGGAUCUAAGUGCCAAGUAUGUGUGCAAGGUAAGCAACCUCGCAAGUCCCAUAAGACUGCAGAGGCAACAGACUUGGCGCCACUAGAGCUUAUACAUUCUGAUAUUUGUGAGAUGAAUGACGUGUUGACAAAAGGUGGAAAGAGAUACCUCAUGACGUUGAUUGAUGACUCCACUAGAUAUUGUUAUGUGUAUCUUAUGAAAUCAAAAGAUGAGGCUUUGGCUUUCUUCAAAAACUAUAGAGCUGAGGCAGAGAACCAACUUGAUCGAAAAAUUAAACGGCUUAGGUCCGAUCAUGGUGGAGAGUAUUUUUCCAAUGAAUUUGAUCUAUUUUGUGCGGAACAUGGUAUAAUCCAUGAGAGGAUGCCUCCCUACUCACCCCAGUCAGAUGGGGUAGCCGAAAGAAAGAACCAAACUCUAACUGAUAUGGUUAACACCAUGUUAGACACUUCGGGUCUAUCCAAGGAAUGGUGGGGGGAGGCGCUAAUGACUGCGUGUCAUGUCCUAAACCGAGUUCCCACAAAGCAUAAGACCAUGACUCCAUUUGAGGAAUGUUAAAGGAAAAGGUUGAAACUCUCUUACCUACGUACUUGGGGUUGUUUGGCGAAAGUCAAUAUACCAAUUCCCAAGAAGCGCAAGCUUGGACCAAAAAUCGUGGGUUGUGUUCUUCUUGGCUAUGCUUUUCAUAGCAUCGGCUAUAGAUUUUUGAUAAUAAAAUCUGAGGUAUCCGACAUGCAUGUUGGUACGAUUAUGGAGUCGAAUGAUGCAACUUUUUUUGAGGACAUAUUUCCUAUGAAGGAUAUGUCGAGUUCAUCAAAUCAGGAGACACCUACUCCAUCUAGUGAGGAAUUCAUUGUAAUUCCUGAACCCACCAUUGCGAUGGAACACAUUGAGAAUCCUGUUGAGGGUGACAAUGGAACUCUUGUGAGGAGUAAGAGACAUAGGACUACAAAGUCCUUUGGUGAUGAUUUCAUUGUGUACCUCGUGGAUGACACACCCAGGACUAUUUCAGAAGCCUGUGCAUCUCUUGAUGCUGACUACUGGAAGGAAGCUGUACGUAGCGAGAUGGAUUCCAUCUUAGGUAACGGAACCUGGGAGAUCACUGACCGUCCUUAUGGGUGAAAACCUGUAGGAUGUAAGUGGGUGUUCAAGAAGAAGCUUAGACCUGAUGGUACGAUUGAAAUGUACAAGGCACGGCUUGUGGCCAAGGGUUAUACCCUGAAAGAAGGUGUAGACUUCUUUGAUACUUACUCACCCGUGGCUAGACUGACCACAAUUGGGUGCUACUAUCACUUGUUGCCUCACAUGGUCUUCUCGUUCAUCAAAUGGACGUUAAGAACGCUUUCCUCAAUGGAGAGUUGAAGGAGGAAAUUUACAUGGAUCAGCCAGAUGGUUUUGUAGUACCUGGUUAGUAAGGAAAGGUGUGCAAGUUAUUAAAGUAUUUAUAUGGCCUUAAACAAGCUCCUAAAGAGUGGCAUGAGUAGUUUGAAAGAACAUUAACUGCUACCGGCUUUGUAGUAAACGAUGGUGACAAGUGCGUGUACUAUCGCUAUGGUGGGGGCGAAGGAGUUAUUCUUUGUUUGUAUGUCGACGACAUAUUGAUCUUUCGAACCAAACUUGAUUUAAUCAAGGAGGUUAAGGAUUUCUUAUCUCGCUGUUUUGAGAUGAAGGAUCUAGGAGUAGCUGAUGUUAUCUUAAACAUCAAGCUGUUGAGAGAUGAGAAUGGUGGGAUCACACUGCUUCAGUCACACUAUGUGGAAAAGGUCUUGAAUCGUUUUGGGUAUAGCGACUGCACACCUUCUCCAACCCCAUAUGAUGCUAGCAUGUUGCAUCGAAAGAAUCGACGGAUUGCUAGAGAUCAACUGAGGUAUUCUCAUAUUAUUGGCUCGCUUAUGUAUUUGGCGAGUGCCACGAGGCCAAACAUCUCGUUUGCUGUUAGCAAGCUGAGUCGGUUUGUGUCAAAACCAGGAGAUGAUCAUUGGCAUGCACUUGAGAGAGUUAUGUGCUAUUUGAAAGGCACCGCGAGCUAUGGGAUUCACUACACCGGGUAUCCAAGAGUACUGGAGGGUUAUAGUGACUCAAACUGGAUAUCUGAUGCUAAUGAGAUUAAGGCCACAAGUGGUUAUGUUUUUACACUUGGUGGUGGCGCUGUUUCUUGGAAGUCCUGCAAGCAGACCAUCUUAAUGAGGUCAACUAUGGAAGCAGAACUCACAACAUUAGAAACUGCCACUGUUCAAGCAGUGUGGCUUCAUGAGCUCUUGAUGGACUUUCCUAUGAUUGAAGAACCAAUACCCCCUAUCCCAAUGAACUGUGAUAAUCAAACUAUGAUCGUCAAGAUAAAUAGUUCUAAGGACAAUAUGAAGUCCUCAAGGCAUGUGAAGAGGAGACUGAAAUCUGUCAGAAAAUUGAGGAACUCCGGAGUUAUUACGUUGGAUUAUAUCCAAACGUCAAAAAAAUUGGCAGAUCCCUUCACAAAGGGUCUAUCACGUAAUGUGAUAGAUAAUGCAUCGAUGGAGAUGGGUCUGAGACCCACCGCAUGAGUUGUCCAUAGUGGUAACCCACUCUUUGUGAUCGGAUAUCCCGUGAAGUAUAAGUGGGAGACAAGCUGUUGGUCAGCUGGGAGGAGAGUAUCCCUAUAUUACCUGUCCCACUCCAUGAAGAUGCAAUACUCUCCUAAUCUGCAUGGCAGGUUGAUACUUAUCUUAAUGUGUUCCAAGUGGCUUAUUCGGGUAAGCAGAGAUGUUGUCCUGCAGAACAUCUUCUGAGGAACACACCUAUAUGAAUUUGACUGUUAACGUCGCAGUCUGUGAGAAUUGGGUGUUCUCUAAUAAAUUCAUGAAAAGGCCCUGGAGUAUGACGUAUACGCUCCACCCGCAGGGAAGCCUUGCGGCAGCCCAGUAUCGGUCAAGAAUUUGUGUGAAACUAGUUGCGCAGAAAAUUUGUAGUUCAAGGCAUAGUCCACUAUUCAAGUUGUGAUCUAGUGUAGCAUAAAUCUCUAAGUGGAAGUUCAACUUCACAGUCUCCACUAAGCCCCGGUAUAUAAACAAUGUUUUGGAACUAAAUGAUGAGAUGUGCCAAUGAGACUUUGUGGGGGAUUGUUGGAAUUUUGCUAGUAGGCCUUUGGCCCAAAGCCCAACUAAAAUUCUGAAAUUGUCUUGGCCCAUUCAUGCACACAUGUGAGUGGAGUGAGUGAGACUAAAGUUUAGUCCCACCCCGGAAGUUGAGAGAGAGCACCUCUUUAUAAGGUGAGCUCUUCUACCACUUGUAUGAGCAUGAGAAUAGGAGACCUACACACGCGCUCCUCCUCCUCGCUCGCCACGCCACCCCUCGUCACGACGCGCCGCGGGUUGCGGGAUUGAGCCGAGCCGAGGACAGAGCUAUGCACAUUGUCUAUUUUUUGCUACCCGAAAAAAUUAAUGAGUCAUUAAUUAAUAAUUAAUGGACACGUUAAUUACUAAACCGUUUUCGAUUCUUUUGGAUCAUGAAGACUCGGACAUGGGGUUUACUCCCACGACCUACCGGGCCCGCAUUAUAUAGUCCGGCAGACGUCUACCCUAGCUGCCGCCGCUUCAUAUGGUUUCUUACCACCGUUCCAGAUCAUUGCGCCGCCAAGCAAGUCUUCUCCAUCCGUCCCUUCGGCGUGCAUCGGGAGAAGGGACAACAGGCCUCCGGAACCCCGCCUCUCGUGAUCCUGUACGGGAGAGGGGCGAUCAGGUUUUUGGGGAGCGCACUCGCGCGACUGCUGGCAGCGACGACUUCGCGAAUGACGACUUUUUCCCUGACCUCGGCAACCUCAUCCUCGACGACAUGGGCGACAACGUCAACGCCGGCGGUGCUGCACCCGCUGCACCUUAUGUUAUUCUAUCCUUCUUGUUCGAGAUCAUGGUAGAAUUCACGUUUCUAGUAUAUGCCCUAGAUGUGAUCUGUUCAUCUACUAUGCUAGUUCGCAUGAUUAGUUUAAUAUCUGCUAUUGCUGUCAUGAUCUAUUUCCUAUUUAUUCGGAUUAAAUCUCGUAGUAAUUUGCUCAUUUUUCCAAUAGUACCAUCUAAUAGAUGAUGUAAAUCUCCUCUAGUUUGACGUUGUUGAGCUAAUUUACAAAAAAAACCUCAUCAUUAUUGGACGUCCUUAACAGCUCAAGAACAAGUUGGGGUCGAACUAAUGGAUUUUACACUUUUACAUUAAAGGUUUAGCUAAAGCUAGCAGGUGUUUUUAAACCUGAAUUUUUUUCCUCCUGAAUUUCUUUGUAUUUUCUUAUUGACACUAUUUAUACAAUCAUCUGACAAAGAUUAGCUAAAGCUGUUUGUAGAUACGUUGAAACCUGAAAAGCUUCUUUGGUUAUCCUUUUAAUAGUUCUACGUUUAUUUUCUCAUAGGUCAUAAUUCUUAUGUAAUACCAAGAUGCAUUGUGGUAGUGUACAUGUGUUAAAUUCAGGUUGUUAUUCACAAUUUGCGACAAAAUUUAGCUCACGCUACAUUCAAAUAUGUUGAAAUGUGAAAGCUUUUUUUUCUUCUCCUUUCUACACCUUGCAUCGGAUUGCAUCCCUUUAGUUAUCCAACAUUUUGUACAACAUGUAGAGAUUAGGAAGUUCAUCAUAGUUUGUUUAUUUCGGUGCUAAUAAAUGUAUGAAAUCUGCAUUUCCAAGCUACUAGGACAAGUAAAAAAUAAUAAUUUUACUAUAGGAUUCAAAAACAGCAGUUCUGAAGUGCACUUUAUUUAUUUUUGAAAGUGAUCACAUUUUGUUUCAUUUUUCUAUAGACAAAUCUACUAAUACAUACUCACGAUAAAACUAUAAAAGUUCUAGUCCGCACAUUGGGCGGGCCACCCGGCUAGUUAGUCUAAAGAUAACAAAAUGAGUCUGGAAUUUGAAUUAAAUUGAAGUAUUUUCUUGGACUUUCAAAUUGAGUUUUAUUAAAGUAGUAAGGACUAUCCACAUCCUUGGCUUGCCCCUGAUCAAUUAUUUCCAGAGAAGCAUUCAAUUCAUCAAUCAAUUACAUUGAUUUUAGUGGCUGGUACUUCUCCUCAACAUCAGUAUAUUCACCGUGGCCACUCCAAAUCGGCAAGAAUGAGGUACCAGUGCUCUGGAGCAGUGCAAGCUAAUUGCUUCUCAUCUGAAGGGGUGCGGCCGCAGGAGAGGUAUUUCUGGUGGGCCAAGGGACUAAGAAGCGACUGUGGCAGCGGUAUAGACGCCCGCAAAGCCCCAUAAUUUGUUUUUGGUUUACAGGAAAAAUGCACAUCCAUACCAGCCUGGGGAAUAUAGGACCGUAUUGGAUGGAAAACCAUGUCCGGAUGGUUGCGAGCGGUUUAAGGGUUAGCUUUUGUAACGCCCGGUUAGUUAUGCUAUAGCAAUUCCCUGCUAAUGAUGUCACGUUACCACGAUUACUGUUGUUAACCUCACAAUGAUUCAAUCCCCUUCAAAUUGAAAUUUAAAAUAAAGGCAAACAUCAAAAGUUUUCAAAUAUUAAAACUAAAAUCUUUGAGAGGUGACAAAUAAUGCAUAAGUAAUUAUGGUGGAGAAACCACACUUUAAUCAAAUGUUUAAAUACUCUAAAAUGAAAAAAAACAGUUGCUUAAACUAUUAUUUAAAUGCUUUUAAAAUAGUAAAAAUCUUCUAACUAAAUUAUUUGGGUACCAAACUUUUGGUGGCAGUGGUAUAUUUAGUACAACUAAUUUAGAUGCUAAUUAUAUAAAAAGGAAAAGCAAAAGGGGGCAACCCCUCGCUGGGCCUCGGCCUAGCUGCCACUAGGCUAGCUAGGCUGGCCCCGCCGCCUCCCUUAACCCCCCCCCCCCACUCCCCAUCGAACCCAAGCCCGAUCGCCCCACUUCCCCCANNNNNNNNNNNNNNNNNNNNNNNNNNNNNNNNNNNNNNNNNNNNNNNNNNNNNNNNNNNNNNNNNNNNNNNNNNNNNNNNNNNNNNNNNNNNNNNNNNNNNNNNNNNNNNNNNNNNNNNNNNNNNNNNNNNNNNNNNNNNNNNNNNNNNNNNNNNNNNNNNNNNNNNNNNNNNNNNNNNNNNNNNNNNNNNNNNNNNNNNNNNNNNNNNNNNNNNNNNNNNNNNNNNNNNNNNNNNNNNNNNNNNNNNNNNNNNNNNNNNNNNNNNNNNNNNUUGAUCCCAUCUGGAUCGGGGAGGGUAAUGCCCCAAUCGACCCCGUUGCCGUCGCGGGAUUGCCCGCCGACGUCGCCAGGCCUCCUCCCCGCCACCCGUCUCCGGCUCGCCUCCCCUCUCGCUCCUCUUCCCCGACCCGAUCUGGAUCGUGAACGAGCAAUGAGCUCGAAGCCCCCUUCACCGGCGCCAUCACCGUGCGCCACCACCACCGCCUGAAGACCUCACCGUCGCCGAACCUUGCGUCGCCUCCUCGUAUCCCUCCCCUACUCGCGUCCUCAAGCCAGGCCGAGCCCCUUCUCGGCAACGCCGUGAGACGCCCCCGUCUCCCUCCUCUUUCCACUGCGUUCACCGCGCCGCCCGCCGUGCCCCUCGCCGUGCGCACGCCCACCACCGCACCAGCCCCCGCUCCGCGCACGACCCUACCCGCGUCCGCGCCAUGAUCCCCUUUUCCACCCUACCUUCCUGCGCUCGCCGCGGUCCUGAUGCUCCCCCGCGCCCUCUUUUGGGGGCGCCGACUGCCCCUGUCCCACUGCUCGCCGCCGUGCCUCGCCAUCGCUCUACUGCUAAGUUAUUGCUGCGCUGCGGCCGUCGCCUCUUCCCGCUGCUCCGCCAGCGCCGAAGCUCCCGAUUGGCUCCACCACUUCUCACGUUAAACCGCCGGCCUAAAUGGCCUAACCCCCGGCUAAUGAACCCCCACUAUCCCACUGACACCGGGACCCACAUUCCCUAAUUAACCAUUUAAUAAAUUAAAACUCUUAAAUUAACAUUAGUGUAUGACAUGUGCGUCCCCUAUUAAUUUAUAAUUUUACUGCUAGUUUUAUUAGUUUCUGUUUUUUCUGCAUAUUUCUUUUGUAUUUGAACAGGCUUUAUAUAAUAAUAUUUAGCGUCUCAUACACAUAUAAAUGUAAUUAUAGCAUAUACAUACAAAUAGUCUCAUCAAAUCAUGUCAUCACCAUAAUCAUCAUCCAUCACAAAGUGAUCUCUCGUCAUCAUCUCGAAAAUAGCAAUACAAGUCUCGAUUACUUGCAACUACAUCGUCAUCCAUCUAAACAAUGAUAUACGCGAGAAGCGCUAUCACUAUGAGUGAGAGCGGAACUAUGCAGUACAUGAGUUUGUAUCCCUCUCUCACAUUAGCGUGAACCUAAACUAACUACUGGCUGUUGCUCGGAAACCGGAAACCGGUACACCUGGGCCUGACACUCCGGCCACUCGUCGUAUACUCCUGGCGUAGCACUUCUUCGCCAUCGAUGAUCUAUAAACCUACAUCGUCAGAUGAGUCGAUGAUAUGCAACAUAUAUAGUUGAGCAACAGAAAGAGACAGACUUGGCAAAAAUAGAAGCAACAUAUCAUAAGCAUAAAUAACAAAGUUCAUCGUACGCAAAAUGCCCUAACUAGAGUGAUCUUCGCUAGUCGAGGAGGACGGUUUAAUUACAUCACAAAUAAUUUUUCGUCGUGCAUAACUCAAAGUUCCGUCAUACAGAAAGUAUGAACUAAAUGGACACAUUGUCAUAUUUCAAAAAUCACUCCCACAUGUCGUGCCAUCCAUCCAAGUCAAGGAGAUAGUGCCCGAGCUUAGUGAAAGGCUUUAGGUCGAGACGCUGAGCGGCUAUGCGUGUUCGGACGUCUUCCCACGACAUUUGUCCUUCUUCAUAGAACAUCCCUGUUUUUUCGACGACCUCCUUCAUCACUGGAAGAAAAAGGGCCUGUUGUCCCGGUUCUGGAACCGGGACUAAAGGGUCGGUACUAAUGCCCUGUCCCUUUAGUCCCGGUUCAAUCCAGAACCAGGACAGUUGGGCCUCCACGUGGCCUGUGCGCGGAGCCUAGGCGGGAGACCCUUUGGUCCAAUAAGCAUCCACGCAUCAGCAUUUAUGUGGUUGGGGUUUUUGUUUUUUUUGAAGGGGGGGGCAUUGGGGGUUUUGGGGGGUUAAUUUUGGUGUUUCAUAUAUUGUGUUAGCUAGCUAUAAUUAAUAGAGAGAAUUGUCCUCUCUUAUGUCCGUGCUUGCUCGACGCUACGUACUAUACAUACGUAUAGAGAGGACUAGACACGGUAGCUAGCUAGUAAGCAAACGAAGGAAAUAGAAGAUCGUCAUGAACAUAUAUGCAUACAGAGAGAAGUAAUAUCGACCACCUCUCCUUCUCCGAGAGAUUGGUCGAACAACAAGUUCUCAUAUAUCUAUCCGACACUACCGGCUACAUAUAUACAAUAAUUAUCUCUUACAAAUAUAAUCAUACGGAUUCAGGGUCCACAUAGUAUUCUCUGUCUUCAAGGAUCACGUGGUCAAGAAAGAAUGCCGCCAAUUCCUCUUGAAUUGCUCGCAUGCGAGCUGGUGCUAGGAGUUCAUCCCGCUUCCGAAACAUCUAAUUUAAAGAAGGGGGUUAAUACAUAUAUACAUAUAUAUAUAUAUAUAUAUAUAUAUAUAUAUAUAUAUAUAUAUAUAUGAAUGAAUGAAACUCAACACGAAUGAUGGUAAUAAAAUAAAAUUGUGAAUGUUGUUAUUUACGUACUUCAUAUUGUUCGUCAGUGUAGCCCCGCUCAUAGGUCGUGUGGCGGAUGGACUCGCAAACGUAGUAUCCACAGAAAUCAUUCCUUUGUUCCUGCCACAACCACUUUAUAAGAAAUAGAGGUCAAUCAAACUGAUAAGCAAGAAUGCCAAAUGGUAUUGAUGAAACUUGUCAGGACCCCGAUUCCAAGCCACAUCGAUCUAGCCGGUAACACCUCAUAUCACUUUGCGGCCUCACGCACGAUAUUCCACGGGUGUCGCCUUACCAUGGCCCGGGACCGUUUGCGCCUUUUGGCUCACGUAUAUGAUAGUGUUGCUAGCAUCCAUAUGACAGAGAACCCGGGCCGACAUGGCUAGUCGUGAACCCAAAGUGGCACAGACCUAUGGAGACAGGCAUACAUGAAUCACAUCGAGCAUGUCGGUCAUCAGUGUGUGAUUCCGGGCUGUAGCACUGGGCUAACAGGACUCCGGGGAACCCGGGCUGUAGCAGGCUAGGCAGGACUCCGGAAGUCACCGCGUGACAUUUACCCGAAGGGACAGACAUAGGAACGAAGUGAAUCACAUGCCGGCAAGUCAAGUGUCCUGAGCAGUAGUACUGGGCUAGCAGGACUCCGGUGAACCGGGCUGUAGCGGACUACUAUGGCUCGAGGAACACUAGACUACAUUUCCCCAUAAGAAAGGCUGCCAAGGAUAAACAACUAGAUUGUCGGAUCCCACUCAUACCAAGCAUUUCAAUCAUACACACAAUAUGCCCGAUAUGAGUACAUACAACAUGGCAUCACAACAAAACUCUACAACUCAAGUACUUUAUUUAAAGGCUCUAGAGAGCCAUACAUAACAUGUUCAUACAGAUAGGGGUCACAUGACCCGACACUCAAGUCAUACAAUCAUACAAGCACAUGCGGAAGCAACCGGUCUGAGUACAGACACUAGAAAGAAAGAAGGCUCCUCGAGGCCUGUCUAUCUACAUAGGGCCCUCCAUGGCCAGGAUCACCACCUGGGUGGCUAGUCACUCGUCGAUGUCAAGGUCUACAUAGAACCCAUCGAAGGGGGCUGUGUUGUCGUCUGAAAACAGUAAUUAAGCAAACAUGAGUACAAAGGUACUCAGCAAGUCUUACAAAAGAACCUACUAUACAUGCUUAUUCUCAAGAAGGUGGUGGGGAUAUUGCAGCAAGCCAGUUUUCACUCUUGGCUAAACUAUCCUACAGAACUUCUCUAGUAAAAUAGUUUUCGCACACGAGUCCACUACUCACCAACACAAUACUCCACCGGGGAUCCUCCCUCGUCAUCCUAUGAGAGGGCCAUCCUCGGUACUCACACUUAUCUUGACUAUUUUAGUAGUAUCCAUUUAAUUGUCUAUGAACUGUAUAGGCAACCAAGUAGUCCUUUACCGCGGACGCGGCUAUUCGAAUAGUUUUAUACCCUGCAGGGGUGUACUUCGUCAUACAUGCUUUCACCACUUAUCGUCGUUUACACGACAUGUACUCGGCAACCUUCAAGCGAAAGCCCAGCGAGGGUGUCGGCCACGGCCUACCUAAACACUUAAGUCUCUAGUCCAGGUUUAUCGCCUAUCUAGGUUCCAUCCGCAGGGAGUCCGGGCGAGGUUUCCACAUACGGCCCCGAACGAUGUGAACAGGGUCCCGAGACGCCAAACGGGCGCCCGGCAUACCCGGCCAUGGUGUAUCUACCGCAACAUAGCCCACCCUUAGGGUCAGCGCUACGCACGGCCGCCAACACAUAACCUACAAACACCAGAAACUAUUUGCAACUCCUAGACAGAGUACAAGGGUGAUUAAGAAGCCGAGAGGGUCAAUUAAGGAUCCCAAUGCAUGGUAGUAGCUGAAUCUUAAAUCACACAUACCGAUCUCAGUUCUUAGGGACGGUCUCAAUGAAACAACCCACCAUGUACUCCUACAUGGCCUCUCAUCGAUACCUUUACCAAAACAUGUUCAACACAUUCCUCAUAUUACCGACAUAAUCAUAUCACCCUAGCCCAUCACCCAGAUGAACCAGACCUGACACAACUAUAAGCAUAGCAGGCAUAGCAAGGUAGGAAUCACAUACAUGGCUCAAUCAACUCCUACACAUGCUAGUGGGUUUCAUCUAGUUACUGUGGCAAUGACAGGUCAUGCAGAGGAUAAGGGUUCAACUAUCGUAGCACACAGCAGUUUGAAUCACAUUGUCUUAAUGCAGUAAACAAGAGCAGAGGCAAGAACAUGGGUUGUAUCGGAAUGAUCAAUGGGUUGCUUGACUGAUGGAGUGGUAGUGGGAUACUGCCCUUCAGUUGGAUACUCAUGAAUAUCCUCGGAGGCAGAACCUACCACGAAGAACACAUCGGAACACAAUCAACACAUGAUGAUAUGCAACAAUAUGAUGCAUGCUAUGACAUGGCAAUAUGAAUGUGUCUUGGCCUAAUGCAAGCUAAAAUAGAAAGGGAUGAACUCAUUUGAAUCAAAGAUUCAAAUAUUAGCUCAUUAAACAUGGCCUUAGUAGUGCAUUUCCUUAUUCUGCUUAAACAGCAAGGUAAACUUGUUUUUUCAUGCUUGAAACCAUUACAGAUGGAUAUAUUGAAUUUUUCUGAUAAUUUUUCAUAUAUAAAUUAUUUCAUUUGGAGUUACGGUUGAAUUUCUAUGAUUUUUAGAAGUUUCAAACAUUUUCUGGAAUUUCUUGAAUAAAAAUAAAUCCAGAAAAUGCAUUACUGCGUCAGCAUUGCAUCAUGCUGACCUCCGCAGGUCAAAGGCACCAGCCUAGGUCAAACCUGACUGGUGGGCCCCUUCUGUCAGUCUCUCAGUUAAAUAACAGGAUUAGAUUAACACUAAUUAGCUGUCAGUGGGGCCUGGGCCCACAUGUCACUGACUGAUUAAAAUAAAAUUAGUUAAAACUAAUCCUAGAUUAGUUAGCAAACCGGCCCCACCUGUCAUAGACUUAGGGGGGGUCUACCUGGGCCCACCCAGGGUCAAACUGGGUCAAACUCGCCGGCGCAGCUCGGAAAACGCCUACAGGGCACGAGCGAGGCCGUUCUUGGGCUCAUUGGAGAGCUCUUGCAGUCGCGCAUCUAGUGGCGGUGGUGGCCGGAGACGACGACGGCGAGCUCCAAGGCGGCGGCCGGAGUUCGGCCAUGUGCGGGGUGUCGGCUGUGGCGUGCAAACGUGGAAACUGAGGCACUAGCGAGGCACUACGCGAUGCGGCAAGCACGUUGCAUAGCACGGGAUAAUCAAAUGGUUGCCGGAGCGGCACCGGUGACAAGCUCGAGCGGAGACGAGCUUCGGCCAUGGUGGAACUAUGGCCUAGAGGGUGCAAACGCGUGGAAAAGAAGAGGGGAAAGGUGGCGGAGCUCACAGGGAGGUCGAUGAGCAGCUCAGUGGGCUCGGGGGCGACAGAAGUGAGGCGAAUCGAUGAGCAGCGUCCGGCGGGUACCGAGGUUGAAGACGAUCCGAUGGCGGCGAUGCAGGGCCUCCGGCGAUGCGUGGCUCGGUGGGAAGGGCGAGGGGGUGACGGAGGGCGCGACUACGGCGGUGAGACGGCGACGGGUGCGUCGGCCAUCGCGGGAGAGGGAGAGGGAGAUGAGUGGGAGAGUGAGAGAGGAUGAGAGGGGGACGUGGGGGUCGCGUGGCAUUCCCUGGACGUCUCCCGGCAUCGGCGGAAGCAGGAGGUGGCCGGCGUGUGGCCGCGGGCGCCGGCCACGCGCUCUGCGUCCUUCUGGCGCGAGGAGGACGACGACUGGCAGCGCCAGUAGGCUGGGCCGAGCCAGGUGGGCUGGCCAGCACAGGUAAGGCUCAGGUGGGCUUCUCCCUCUUUUUUUUAAUUUGUUUCUGUUUUCUAUUUAACUGUAAAUGUUGGGCUUUAUUUAAAAUACUAAAACAUUUCCAAAAAUCCUGAAAAUAAUUGUGGGCUCUGUUUGGAUUAUUUCCAAUAGCAAACAUUUAUUUGCAGAAUUAUUUGAGCAUUUAAAUGCCCAAAUUCAAAUACUUAUGAUUUAAAUCAAUGACCUUCUGUUGACCUAGAAAAGUUGUGCACCAAUUUUGCCAGAGGUUCUAACCCAAGACAAAGAGGGUGAACUUUUUAGAAGGGCAUUUCAGGUUCAUUGAAAAUAAUUUUAGUAAUCCCUAGUUGUUUCCAGGGGGGUGUUGGGGGUUUCUGCCUUCCCCAAUUCAAAUUUAAGAGGAAUUUAAACAUGAUGCACAUUCUAAUGCUUGAACUAGCUAGGGUGUGACAACUCACCCCCACUCAAAAGAAUCUCGUCCCGAGAUUUAGGAUCCUCUGGAAAGAAGGUGGGGUACUCGAGUCGAAGACGAUCCUCCCUUUCCCAAGUGGCUUCUUUCUCGGAAUGGUGUGUCCAUUGAACCUUGAGAAACUUGAUAUUAUGACGUCGAGUGGUACACUCGGCUUGAUCAAGGAUACGAACGGGAUAUUCCCGAUAAGAGAGGUUAUCUUGUAGAUCAAGCAUUUCGUGGUCCACUCCACGGAUAGGAUCCGCGAAGCAACGCCUGAGUUGUGAAACGUGGAAGACAUCAUGAACUCUGGAAAGAUGCGGAGGUAGUUCCAAUUGGUAGGCAACUUCUCCUCGUUUGGCAAGAAUGCGAAAGGGUCCAAUGUAACGAGGAGCCAAUUUGCCUUUGAUACCGAAAUGAUGGGUUCCUUUUAAUGGGGUAACCCGAAGGUAAGCCUUCUCGUCGAUUCAUAAGUCAUAGGCUUAUGUUUACGAUCAUAUUGACUCUUUUGACGAGAUUGGGCUGUUUUCAAUUUCUCACGAAUAACGCGAACCUGCUCUUCCGCUUCCUGAAUCAUAUCCGGGCCAAAGAGUUGUCUUUCCCCGGUUUCUGACCAGUUAAGAGGCGUUCGACAUUUUCGUCCAUAGAGAACUUCGAAAGGAGCUUUGCCCAAGCUAGCUUGAUAACUAUUGUUAUAAGCAAACUAUGCGAAUGGGAAGCAUUUCUCCCAACUCAUUCCGAAUGAGAUAACAGAAGCUCGGAGCAUAUCUUCUAGAAUUUGAUUGACUCGCUCUACUUGACCACUUGAUUGAGGAUGGAAGGCGGUACUAAAAGAGAGACGAGUUCCCAUAGCAUUUUGGAAACUUUCCCAAAAUCGAGAGGUGAAGAGACUCCCACGGUCUGAGUUAAUUUCCAAUGGGACACCAUGGAGAGACACUAUUCGGGAGAUGUAUAAAUCGGCUAGCUGGCUAGCAGUGAUACUCGCACGAACAGGUAGGAAAUGGGCUACUUUGGAAAGACGGUCGAUCACGACGAAGAUGGCAUUAUUCCCUCUCUUGUUCCUGGGAAACCCAGUAAUGAAAUCCAUACUGAUUUUAUCCCAUUUCCAUUCAGGAAUAGCCAAAGGUUGAAGGGUGCCAGCAGGCCGUUGAUGCCCUGCUUUAACACGAUGACAGACGUCGCAGCUAGCAAUGUAUCGAGCGAUUUCUCUCUUCAUCCUAGUACAUCAAAACCUCUGGCGUAGGUCUUGAUACAUUUUAUUGCUACCGGGAUGAAUGGUGAGAGGGGAUUCAUGAGCUUCCUUAAGGAUCAAUUGGCGUAGAUGUUGUUUCUUGGGAACCACCAAACGGUUCUCAAAGAAGACAGCACCCCGCUUAUCCAUGGAAAAACAUUUAGCAACUCCGCUAGCAAUGUUUUCCUUAAUCCGGGAUAUGCCCUUAUCAUACCGCUGGGCAGUUAUGAUCUGAUCCAUAAGGUUAGGUUUCGCCACCAGGGUGGAUAGGAAUCCUCGAGGAACAAUGUGAAGAUUAAGCUUACGGAAUUCCUCAUGGAGAAGUGGUUGACUUUGUUGUAACAUCAGGUUGUUACAAUAGGAUUUACGGCGUAGUGCAGCAGCCAUGACAUUGGCUUUGCCCGGUGUGUAGGUUAUUCCUAAGUCGUAAUCCGAGAUCAACUCAACCCAACGUCUUUGCCUGAGAUUCAAAUCUGGUUGGGUGAAGAUAUAUUUCAAGCUUUGGUGAUCGGUGAAGAUCUCGCAACGAUUAAGUGCAUGGACUACAGCUGCCAGCUCUAGAUCAUGUGUGGGAUAAUUUUCCUCAUGUGGGUGUAAUUGCCGUGAAGCGUAGGCAAUUACCUGACGAUCUUGCAUGAGUAUGCAACCUAGUCCUUGUCGCGAGGCGUCACAAUAGAUAAUAAAGUCCUUGGAUAAAUCAGGUGGUACCAGUACGGGAGCAGAUGUCAGGCGUCUUUUCAGUUCCUAAAAGCUGAACUCGCACUGUGGAGUCUACUCGAACUUUUUAUCUUUCUUGAGGAGUUUAGUUAGAGGUUUAGCAACCUUGGAGAAAUUCUCGACGAAGCGGCGGCAAUAGCUCGCUAAGCCAAGGAAGCUCCAAACUUGCUUGACCGUCUCAGGUGGAGUCUAAUCAAGGACGGCUUGAACUCGCUCGGGAUUGACGGCAAUACCCUUACCAGAGAUUACAUGGCCUAGAUAGGUUACUUCUGGCAACCAAAAUUCACACUUGGAGAAUUUGGCAUAAAGGCGAUGCUCUCGAAGUUUCAUCAAUACCAGCCUUAGAUGUUCGGCAUGUUCCUCUUCAUUCUUGGAGUAGAUUAGUAUGUCAUUGAGGUAUACUACGAUGAAUUUAUCCAAGUACUCCAUGAAAACCGAGUUCAUUAGCCGGGAGAAGGUAGCCGGGGCAUUGGUUAAACCGAAGGACAUAACGGUGUACUCGUAUUGGCCAUAACGAGUAACAAAGGCCGUUUUGGGAAUGUCCCCGUUUCUGAUUUAGAUUUGAUGGUAGCCCAACCUCAAAUCCAUCUUGGAAAAGACUGAGGAUCCAGCAAACUAAUCAUACAGAUCAUUGAUCCUGGGAAGUGGGUAUUUGUUCUUGAUGGUGACCAAGUUGAUAGGUCGGUAAUCCACAACCAUUCGAUCUGUUCCAUCCUUCUUGACGAAGAGGACGGGGCAAGCCCAAGGAGAGGAACUAGGACGGAUGAAACCCUUUUUCAAGGACUCAUCGAGUUGGUUCUCAAGCUCGGCUAGUUCUAAGGGUGCCAUCUUGUAGGGUCUUCUAGAAAUUAGAAUGGUUCCUGGAACAAGGUCUAUCACAAACUCGACAUCCCUGUCAGGUGGAACACCUGGCAGUUCUUCUGGAAAGGCAUCCGGAAAGUCUCGGACUACCGGAACAUCCUCAAGGUCUGGAAGGGGGUUGGCAUUUAGGGAGUAAAGUUGGCACUUGGCCACUCGAGUUAAGACAUUAACUGUCUUGCCCGAUGGGUGAGUAAGUUGAACGGUUCUAGUGGCACAGUCAAUCUUAGCAUAAUGAGCUGACAUCCAGUCCAUACCUAAGAUGAUGUUUAUGUCCGAGGACUUGAGAGCUAUUAAGGAUGCAAGGAAGACAAGUCUAUCGACAAGAAUUUCGUUCCCAUGGCUUACUCUAGAAGUUUGCCAUCUAGAGCCAGGGGUUUGAAUUUCCAUGGUAGAGGGCAUGUCACAGAAUGUCGUGUUGUGCAAUCGAGCAUAGUUCUCGGAUAUGAAUGAAUGAUAUGCUCCAGUAUCGAAAAGAACAGAUGCCGGAUGGCAGUUAACAAGGAGCGUACCAAGGACGACGUUGGGAUCCUCAUGAGCCUCCUCGGCUGAAACAUAGUUGACAUGGCCACGUGCAGUGGUGGCUGGCUUAGCGUAGAAUGUUUUUCCCGCGGGCUUACCACGGCCAACGGACUUUCCAGUUUGAUUGGGGUUGUUGUUCUGGGGACACUCUCGGCUAUAGUGACCCGGCUCUCCACACUUAAAGCAUGUCACCACAUUGGGGCGUGGAGCAGCAUUAGCAGCGGGGCCACCAUAGGGCUUGGGCGGUGCAAAUUGCUGGUUGGGACGUGGUGCCUCAAAGGAUGGCCUCGGGAUGAACCUGGGUGGCAGUGCCGUGCUUGGAAUCCACACCCGGCGCUUCUGAGCUCCAGAGCCGAUGAAGAGCCAAAAUCACGGGAGUGCUUGCGUGAAGUGUCAUAAUCAGUCUGGCCUUUCUCAGCACUGAUGGCUUUAUGGACCAACUUCUAAAAGGAGGUGCACUUGUGCAGACGAAGACCACGGUGAAGCUCAGGGCUAAGUCCCUUGCGGAACCUUGCCUGCUUCUUAGCAUCAGUAGAUACCUCUUCAGGGGCAUAACGUGCCAGAUUCCCAAAUUCACGACUGUAAGCAUCCACAGUCAGUCUUCCUUGGGUGAAGUUGCAGAACUCCUCCCUCUUGCGAUCCAUGAGACCUUCCGGAAUGUGAUGCUCACGGAAAGCCUCACUGAAUUCAGCCCAAGUAGUGAUUUGGCCGACCGGGCGCAUAGCUUCGAAGUUUUCCCACCAAAGGCUAGCAGGGCCUUUGAGGUGAUAGGCAGCAUAAGUAACCUUGUCGGCUUUGGCUACGUUGGCAGAACGUAGCUUGUGGGUGAUGCUGUGAAGCCAGUCAUCCACGUCGAGGGGCUCGACGGAAUGGUUAAACUUUGGUGGGUACAUCUUGAUAAAGUCAUUGAUUGACACCAACUCAUUUCGCGGGUGGCGUGCAGUGUUCUGCUCAAUCCGCUCCAGCAGGCGGUUGGUCUCACGCUUCUUUCUUUCUGCCUCCAGCAUUACUUCGGCCAGAGAAGGCGGGUGAGGCAGAUUUUCACCUCUAGCAGCACUGGCUUCCCCCUGCUCCGGGGCAACAGGGUUGCUGCGAGUAUUGACCAUCCUAGGAGAAAACAAGACAACGGUUUAGACAAGGAUGGCUCAAACUGAGCAAGGAUGUGCAGAAUGUAAUGGAUAACACGGAACACAGAGAUGUUCAUCCGUAUGUCAUGGUAAUAUAAAACUGCCAUAUAUAUACCAACGGUCAUACACAUCACACAUAGUUUAGUACAAGCCCAGGCUACAGUACAACUAUGAUGAAAGACGUUACAUCUCAUCGGAGGCAUUCCAAGCUCCUAUACAUUAUUGUCUACACCUUCGGAAUUGAUUACACGCAAAGUCAUAUUCCAAAAGUCACGCAGGACAGUGGAGAUACAACUACUACAAUACUAGUGGUACUACUACUAACUCAGACAGCUCCGUACUAGUCCUCAUAGAAGUCACCUCCAUAGCCUGGAAGUUCAACGUGACCAUCCGGGAACAGACGGUCCUGAGGAGCCUGUGGACCAUAGGGGCUUGGAUGGGGUCUUGGACCAACAAACGGUGGCCUGCGGGGACCACAGGGUGGGGUGAUGCCUCCCACAUCACGCCAAUCCACCACGUCUGGCAAAGCAGACCUCACAGGAUACAAAUCCCUUGUAUCCAUACAUCCAGCUUGCACCACAGGUGCAAACCGAGUCAAUGUGGCCCAAUGAUCAGCACGGGUAUUAAAAAGCUCCAGCCUCAAGGCCUGAUUCUCUCGGUCCUUAUAUUCGAGCAUCUCGGCAGUGGUACGAGUUAAUGAAUCCUCCUGAGUGGAGUCAGCAUAGAUAGCCUGAAGAUACCCUUGCGCUCCCGGAAGUGAAGCUAGCAUGUAUCGGAAGUCGGUGUUCCGAAGCAGGCCAGUCCGGACUCGCAUGAUUGUCAUCAUGGAAUAGGCAGCAUCCUGCACAGCCAUCUCAACAGUAACCCCGAGUCCAUAGGAACAGUGAAGGGGCUCGGUAGAUCCAGGAUAAGAAGGAAAUAUCUUGACGGUGCAGAAAUACUGGCUUUGAUUAAAGUCUCAGAAUUGCUCUUCGACGGUGUAUUCGGGAUACCAACGGUAACCCGUCUCGAUCAUGACCCGGACUAACAUAGCAGUAUGACCGGGCACGUCGAGCCACCGGGUCAGGCGAACCACUUUGUUUUGAGCACGGUUGGGCAUCUGAAAGCACAACCACAAUGCAAAGACAUCAGAAUUUCUAGGGAAAAUUGGACAGCAUAACAGCUGUAAAUGCUCAGAAAAAGAUUUGAGACAUCCACAACAGUUCGCAAUACCACUCAACAACAUCAUAUCAAGGUUCUGAUCCAAAUAGCAGCAUACUAAAAAUAGUAGAAACUGAACUGGGGCUUGUAACAACAAUCCUAUAAGCUACUACGGAUUAGUAACACGUGAACCUGAUAGAAGAAGAGAGACUAGUCCUUAACCCACAUUGAAUGAAAAGGGAAUGACUCAGAUAAGAGGCAUAGGGUAAAGGAGUAAAAGAGCCUUACGUUCCCUCCCACAAUCAAUUCCCCUACAUAUAACUAAAGCAUUUCCAGACUCGACAUCGACCAGUUUGGCUCAACGAACCUACAGGCAGUCCGGCACUGAUGCCAACGCUGUCAGGACCCCGAUUCCAAGACACAUCGAUCUAGCUGGUAACACCUCAUAUCACUUUGCGGCCUCACGCACGAUAUUCCACGGGUGUCGCCUUACCAUGGCCCGGGACCGUUUGCGCCUUUUGGCUCACGUAUAUGAUAGUGUCGCUAGCAUCCAUAUGAUAGAGAACCCGGGCCGACAUGGCUAGUCGUGAACCCAAAGAGGCACAGACCUAUGGAGACAGGCAUACAUGAAUCACAUCGAGCAUGUCGGUCAUCAGCGAGUGAUUCCGGGCUGUAGCACUGGGCUAACAGGACUCCGGGGAACCCGGGCUGUAGCAGGCUAGGCAGGACUCCGGAAGUCACCGCGUAACAUUUCCCCGAAGGGACAGACAUAGGAAUGAAGUGAAUCACAUGCCGGCAAGUCAAGUGUCCUGAGCUGUAGUGCUGGGCUAGCAGGACUCUGGUGAACCGGGCUGUAGCGGACUACUAUGGCUCAAGGAACACUAGACUACAUUUCCCCAUAAGAAAGGCUGCCAAGGAUAAACAACUAGAUUGCCGGAUCCCACUCAUACCAAGCAUUUCAAUCAUACACGCAAUAUGUCCGAUAUGAGUACAUACAACAUGGCAUCACAACAAAACUCUACAACUCAAGUACUUUAUUUAAAGGCUCUAGAGAGCCAUACAUAACAGGUUCAUACAGAUAGGGGUCACAUGACCCGACACUCAAGUCAUACAAUCAUACAAGCACAUGCGGAAGCAACCGGUCUGAGUACAGACACUAGAAAGAAAGAAGGCUCCUCGAGGCCUGUCUAUCUACAUAGGGCCCUCCAUGGCCAGGAUCACCACCUGGGUGGCUACUUACUCGUCGACGUCAAGGUCUACAUAGAACCCAUCGGAGGGGGCGGUGUUGUCGUCUGAAAACAGUAAUUAAGCAAACAUGAGUACAAAGGUACUCAGCAAGUCUUACAACAGAACCUAGUAUACAUGCUUAUACUCAAGAAGGUGGUGGGGAUAUUGCAGCAAGCCAGCUUUGACUCUUGGCUAAACUAUCCUACGGAACUUCUCUAGUAAAAUAGUUUUCGCACACGAGUCCACUACUCGCCAACACAAUACUCCACAGGGGAUCCUCCCUCGUCAUCCUAUGAGAGGGCCAUCCUCGGUACUCACACUUAUCUUGAGUAUUUUAGUAGUAUCCAUUUACUUGUCUAUGAACUGUAUAGGAAACCAAGUAGUCAUACACGCUAUUCGGAUAGUUUUAUACCCUGCAGGGGUGUACUUCGUCAUACACGCUUUCACCACUUAUCGCCGUUUACAUGACAUGUACUCGGCAACCUUCAAGCGGAAGCCCAGCGAGGGUGUCGGCCACGGCCUACCUAAACACUUAAGUCUCUAGUCCAGGUUUAUCGCCUAUCCAGGUUCCAUCCACAGGGAGUCCGGCCGAGGUUUCCACAUACGGCCCCGAACGAAGUGAACAUGGUUUCGAGACGCCAAACGGGCGCCCGGCAUACCCGGCCACGGUGUAUCUACCGCAACAUAGCCCACCCCUAGGGUCAGCGCUAUGCACGGCCGCCAACACAUAACCUACAAACACCAGAAACUAUUUGCAACUCCUGGACAGAGUACAAGGGUGAUUAAGAAGUCGAGAUGGUCAAUUAAGGAUCCCAAUGCAUGGUAGUAGUGAAUCUUAAAUCGCACAUACAGAUCUCAGUUCUUAGGGACGGUCUCAAUGAAACAACCCACCAUGUACUCCUACAUGGCCUCUCAUCGAUAUCUUUACCAAAACAUGUUCAACACAUUCCUCAUAUUACCGACAUAAUCAUAUCACCCUAGCCCAUCACCCAGAUGAACCAGACCUGACACAACUCUAAGCAUAGCAGGCAUAGCAAGGUAGGAAUUAUAUACAUGGCUCAAUCAACUCCUACACAUGCUAGUGGGUUUCAUCUAGUUACUGUGGCAAUGACAGGUCAUGCAGAGGAUAAGGGUUCAACUACUGUAGCACACAGCAGUUUGAAUCACGUUGUCUUAAUGCAGUAAACAAGAGCACAGGCGAGAACAUGGGUUGUAUCGGAAUGAUCAAUGGGUUGCUUGCUUGAUGGAGUGGUAGUGGAAUACUGCCCUUCAGUGGGAUACUCGUGAAUAUCCUCGGAGCCAGAACCUACCACGAAGAACACAUCGGAACACAAUCAACACAUGACGAUAUGCAACAAUAUGAUGCAUGCUAUGACGUAUCUUGGCCUAAUGCAAGCUAAAAUAGAAAGGGAUGAACUCAUUUGAAUCAAAAAUUCAAAUAUUAGCUCAUUAAACAUGACCUUAGUAGUGCAUUUCCUUAUUCUGCUUAAACAGCAAGGUAAACUUGUUUUGUCAUGCAUGAAACCAUUACAGAUGGAUAGAUUGAAUUUUUCUGAUAAUUUUUCAUAUAUAAAUUAUUUCAUUUGGAGUUACGGUUGAAUCUCUAUGAUUUUUAGAAGUUUUAAACAUUUUCUGGAAAUUACUGAAUAAAAAUAAAUCCAAAAAAUGCAUUACGGCGUCAGCAUUGUGUCAUGCUGACCUCAGCAGGUCAAAGGCGCCAGCCCAGGUCAAACCUGACUGGUGGGCCCCUUCUGUCAGUCUCUCAGUUAAAUAACAGGAUUAGAUUAACACUAAUUAACUGUCAGUGGGGCCUGGGCCCACAUGUCAGUGACUGAUUAAAAUAAAAUUAGUUAAAACUAAUCCUAGAUUAGUUAGCAGACCGGCCCCACCUGUCAUAGACUCAGGGGGGUCUACCUGGGCCCACCCAGGGUCAAACUGGGUCAAACUCGCCGGCGUUGAGCCGCCGGCGAGACCCGAGACAGUGGCGCAGCUCGGAAAACGCCUACAGGGCACGAGCGAGGCCGUUCUUGGGCUCGUUGGAGAGCUCUUGCAGUCGCGCAUCUAGUGCUGGUGGUGGCCGGGCCUACGGUGGCCGGAGACGACGACGGCGAGCUCCAAGGCGGCGGCCGGAGUUCGGCCAUGUGCGGGGUGUGGGCUGCGGCGUGCAAACGUGGAAACUGAGGCGCUAGCGAGGCACUACGUGAUGCGGCAAGCACGUUGCGUAGCACGGGAUGACCAAAUGGUCGCCGGAGCGGCGCUGACGACAAGCUCGAGCGGAGACGAGCUUCGGCCAUGGUGAAACUAUGGCCUAGAGGGUGCAAACGCGUGGAAAAGAAGAGGGGAAAGGUGGCGGAGCUCACAGGGAGGUCGAUGAGCAGCUCAGUGGGCUCGGGGCGACCGGAGUGAGGCGAAUCGACGAGCGGCGUCCGGCGGGUACCGAGGUUGAAGACAAUCCGAUGGCGGCGAUGCAGGGCCUUCGGCGAUGCGUGGCUCGGUGGGGAGGGCGAGGGCGUUACGGCGGAGCUUCUGGACAGGUCAGAGAGGCGAGGUGGUGAUGGAGGGCGCGACUAUGAUGGUGAGACGGCGAUUAAAAAGAAAGAUCUGGUUCACUCGUACGUGAAAAAAGUAGCAAGCGCUCGAUGCCUUCCUUUGCAUCGAUGCCAGACGCGGUGCUGGGAAUCGACAAGAUAACCGCCAAUCUACCACGAUUAAAUUCCUAGCGCCUCCUUCUAGCGCCUCCCACUGAAAAUGCCCUAAAGGUUUUGGAGGGAUUUUUUUACUGUGUCCUACUUCACGAAUCACGAGGCAAAUCAAGUAGCCGGCAUGGCCUGGCCGGUGAGUGCCAUUGCACUUACUUGCCCCAGCAAUUUUCCGCGUGCAUUGUAGAAUUCUUUCUCCGAGUCCUGUGAAUUAAAGAUGGUGCAGACAAAAAUAUAUCCUAUAUGCGUACAUGUGCAUGAUCAGAACAUGUUUUUACGUGCGUCUACUAUAAAUCAUGACCAUUUUUAACACAAAUCAUGACCAUUCAUGAUUAGUGAAUCAUACUGUCUUAACUUAUGUGAAAUCAUGUGGAGUAAUAUAAUAUAAUAUAAUAAAUAGAUAGAUCCAUGUUGUAUUAUUUUUUGUUUACAAAAAAUAUCUGUCAUUACACAUUUUGAUUUAUGCAUUUGUUUACAAAAAAAACAGUAACAUUUCAUGGUGGAAAGUUUGUAUUGUUUCAUACUGAACACCAAUGUUUUCCUGUAAAAGAAAAUAAUGCCUACGCAUAUGCUUUUAUAUUAUUAUUAUUCUUUCAAACUUAUUCAUACAGUAUUUUUGAUUGUGCAACCAUAAUUUUUAUUGUCUCUCUCGUUCCACUACAUGCUCUUACUCAAUGAUUUUUUUAUAACGGGUGUUUUUAUUAACUCAAAAUAUAGUAUCAAGCGGAUACAAAACAUAAUGAGCCACACCUGGUCUCUGCAUAACUAAGAUGCACACAGCCAAAAGCAGAUGUCUGACAAAAAUAAGAUAAGAAAAUCGACAUAUCGACAACAGUGAGUCAUAUAGUCCCGACACUAUGCCCCCGUUGAAGGACGGGGUGGAGCGAUCUGGAGAUUAUGCUGCCCUCCAUGUUGAGUAAAUACCUCCCUGGCCACUUGUUCCAAACGCAUAGACGCCGCCACGAAUAAUGGUCGGUACUCUGUUCAGUGUAGCAUACACCAUGUAGGAAGUGAGUGCUCACUCCUAGUUACUAAAUUAUGUACACACUAGUAGAAAAAGGGCCAUUUGUCCCGGUUCGUAAGGCCCAUUUGUCCCAAUUGGGGAACCGGGACUAAAGGGUCGGUACUAAAGCCCUACACCUUUAGUCCCGGUUCUUACACCAACCGAGACAGAUGGGGCUCCACGUGGCCGCUACAGCUUGCCGUGGCAGGGGGGCCUUUUGUCCCGGUUGGUAGCACCAACCGGGACCAAUAAGCUACCACGCGUCCGCAUUUGAGGGGCUAGGGUUUUUGUUUUUUUUCUGAAGGGGGGGGGGUGGGUUUGUAUGGUUAAUUUUGGGGGGUUUCACAUAUUGUGUUAGGUAGCUAAUUAAUUAAUAGAGAGAAGUGUCCUCACUUAUCUCCGUGCUUGGUCGACGCUACGUACUAUACGUAUAGAGAGGCCCUCAACACGCUAGCCAGUAAGCAAAUGAAGUAAACCAUUAAGUACAGAAGUUCGUCAUGAACAUAUGCAUACAAACAUAAGUGAUAUCGACCUCUCCUUCUCCGAGAGAUAGGUCGAACAACAAGUUUCCGUAUAUCUAUCCGGCGCUACUAGCUACAUAUAUACAAUAUUAAGAUCUCUUACAAUAUAAUCCCCUAAUUAUAUAUGAACUCAGCUUCCAGAUGGUAUUCUCCGGCUUUAUUGAUGGCGUGGUCAAGAAAGAUUCCCUCCAAUUCCUCUUGAAUUGCUUUGAUGCGAUCUUGUGGUAGGAGUUCAUCUCGCAUCUGCCACAUCUAAUUUGAAGAAGGGGGUCAAUCACCAGUAGAAUAACAACCAUUUGUCCUGGUUCAUAAGGUUAAUUUGUCCCGGUUGGGGAACCGAGACUAAAGGGUCUUUACUAAAGCCCUACACCUUUAGUCCUGGUUCUUACACCAACUGGGACAGAUGGGCCUCCAUGUGGCUGCUGCGGCGAGCCCAGGCCGGAGGUCCUUUGGUCCCGGUUAGUGGCACUGAUACGUCUCCAACGUAUCUAUAAUUUUUGAUUGCUCCAUGCUAUUAUGUUAUCUAUUUUGGAUGUUAAUGGCUUUAUUUUACACCUUUAUAUCAUUUUUGGGACUAACCUACUAAUCGGAGGCCCAACCCAAAUUGUUGUUUUCUACCUAUUUUAGGUUUUCGAAGAAAAGGAAUAUCAAACGGAGUCCAAACGGAAUGAAACCUUCGAGAACGUGAUUUUCUCAAUGAACAUGAUUCAGGAGAAUUGGAGUGUGCUCCAAGAAACAAGGGAGGAAGGCACGAGGCAGGGGGCGCGCCUACCCCCUUGGGCGCGCCCUCCACCCUCGUGGGCCCUCCGCUGCUCCACCGACGUACUUCUUCCUCCUAUAUAUAUCCACGUACCCCCAAACAUCCAGGAGCACCACGAAAACCUAAUUCCACCGCUGCAACCUUCUGUACCCGAGAGAUCCCAUCUUGGGGCCUUUUCCGGAGGUCCACCGGAGGGGGCAUCGAUCAUGGAGGGCCUCUACAUCAACUCCAUGGCCUCUCCGGUGAUGUGUGAGUAGUUUACUUCAGACCUAGGGGUCUAUAGUUAUUAGCUAGAUGGCUUCUUCUUCUCUCUUUGGAUCUCAAUACAAAGUUCUCCUCGAUUUUCUUGGAGAUCUAUUUGAUGUAACCUUCUUUUGCGGUGUGUUUGUCGAGAUCCGAUGAAUUGUGGGUUUGUGAUCCAGAUUAUCUAUGAACAAUAUUUGAUUCUCCUAUGAAUUCUAGUAUGUAUGAUUGGUUUAUCUUUGCAAGUCUCUUCGAAUUAUCAGUUUGGUUUGGCCUACUAGAUUGAUUUCUUGCAAUGGGAGAAGUGCUUAGCUUUGGGUUCAAUCUUGCAGUGUUUGAUCCCAGUGACAGAAAGGGAACCGAUACGUAUUGUAUUGUUGCCAUCGAGGAUAAAAAGAUGGGGUUUAUAUCAUAUCGCAUGAGUUUAUCCCUCUACAUCAUGUCAUCUUCCUUAAAGCAUUACUAUGUUCUCUUGAACUUAAUACUCUAGAUGCAUGCUGGAUAGCGGUCCAUGUGUCGAGUAAUAGUAGUAGAUGCAGAAUCGUUUCGGUCUACUUGUCUCGGACGUGAUGCCUAUAUACAUGAUCAUACCUAGAUAUUCUCAUAACUAUGUUCAAUUCUGUACAAUAUGGUGCACGGGGUUACAUCGGCCUGCAAAGACAUUUCUGCGAUGUGAGACAUCCGAAAAGCAACGAAAACGGGAGAUUAUACAUUUAUUGAAGAGGGCAGGUGUGACAGAUACCGUGAGGGCGUCGAGCUCAGCCAAAGACGAUGGACAGCUGAGCACGGCCUGUGUCAGAGCCGGUGCGGGAGCAGGUGCAGGUGCAGGUGCUGGUGCAACGCUAGUCGAGCUGCUCCUGAAGAAGUCAACAAUGGGAAAGUCCGCUGCAUUUUUUCUGCAUUUUGCGUGCUCCAAUUGAAAAUGGCUGGAACCAAGACAGUAGACAUAUCUGCAACCACCUGUUUUCCGGCAGCUACCGCUGUCGCGACUGUCUCAGAUGAUUUCUUCUCAACCGCAAUCUCAACCUUCUUGUCGAUGUUUUAUUCGGUUAACCUCCAUCUUUCCUUUCUCUCCUCCGUGGUCUCACGGUAGUACUUCUUCCACGUGGCCCCGUCUCCGACACCGUGAACGCGUCCAUACGACGACCGAGUCUCCACGGGGAGUCCUUUCAAUAUGUUCAAUGCCCGGUUGAAUGGAGUGUCCCACUUGGGCCUUGCCAAUGCCUCAGACGGCGAGUCGCUUUCGGCCGCAAUCUUAUGCUGCUCUCUCUACAAAAGGAACACGGAUCAUUUACAAAUAUGACUAAACGUGCAGUCGAACUGAUCAGAAACUAAAAUUACCAGCAGUCUCAUGAACUCCGUCGUGAUCGGGUCCGUCUUGAAAACCUUCUUGACUGAGUCCCAAUGGUGUCGUGCCCUGAGGACGUCAUGCUCCUACGGGACGGUGAAGUCCGCCAAGGGGUCUGGGAUGCCAGAUUUUCGCGUUUCGUGUCCUCCUUGGCCCAUAUGGACCUCUUCCUGCCGUAACCACUGCUUCCGAGGUGGUGGCGCCCCAUGUUCCUUUGUGGAAGCCCCUUCAUGUACUUCGACUUUGUUUUGGCAGCUUCGGCCUCGCAAGCCGCCUUGAAUAUUUCAAAGUGUUCUCUAGUGAUUGUCAGAUUAUCCUUUACAAUCUCGGAGUAGGGUUGAUACGUCUCCAACGUAUCUAUUAUUUUUGAUUGCUCCAUGCUAUAUUAUCUACUGUUUUGGACAUUAUUGGGCUUUAUUAUCUACUUUUAUAUUAUUUUUGGGACUAACCUAUUAACCGGAGGCCCAGCCUAGAAUUGUUGUUUUUUGACUGUUUUAGGGUUUCGAAGAAAAGGAAUAUCAAACGGAGUCCAAACGGAAUGAAACCUUCGGGAACGUGAUUUUCUGAAUGAACAAGACCCUGGAGACUUGGACCCUACGUCAAGACACAAAAGAGGAGGACACGAGGUAGGGGGCGCGCCUAACCCCCCCCCCCCCUCGAGGCACGCCCUCCACCCUCGUGGGGCCCCUGUUGCUCCACCGACGUACUCCUUCCUCCUAUAUAUACCUACGUACUUCCAAACGAUCAGAUACGGAGCCAAAACCCUAAUUCCACUGCCGCAACUUUCUGUAUCCACGAGAUCCCAUUUGGUGCCUGUUCCGGAGCUCCGCCGGAGGGGGCAUCGAUCACGGAGGGCUUCUACAUCAACACCAUAGCCUCUCCGAUGAAGUGUGAGUAGUUCACCUCAGACGUACCGGUCCAUAUUUAUUACCUAGAUGGCUUCUUCUCUCUUUUUGGAUCUCAAUACAAUGUUCUCCCCCUCUCUUGUGGAGAACUAUUCGAUGUAAUCUUGUUUUUGCAGUGUGUUUAUUGAGAUUGAUGAAUUGUGGGUUUAUGAUCAAGUCUAUGUAUGAAUAAUAUUUGAAUCUUCUCUAAAUUCUUUUAUGUAUGAUUGUUUAUCUUUGCAAGUCUCUUCGAAUUAUCAGUUUGGUUUGGCCUACUAGAUUGAUCUUUCUUACAAUGGGAGAAGUGCUUAGCUUUGGGUUCAAUCUUGCGGUGUCCUUUCCCAAUGACAGUAGGGGCAGCAAGGCAUGUAUUGUAUUGUUGCCAUCGAGGACAACAAGAUGGGGUUUUCAUCAUAUUGCAUGAGUCUAUCCCUCUACAUCAUGUCAUCUUGCUUAAGGCGUUACUCUGUUUUUAACUUAAUACUCUAGAUGCAUGCUGGAUAGCGGUCGAUGAGUGAAACCUAUGGCCCCCGGGUCUAUCUUUAUCAUAUUAAUCUCCUACUACUUAGUUAUUUCCUUUGCUUUUUCCUUUGCCUUUAUUUUACUUUUGAUCUUUAUCACAAAAAUACCAAACAUAUUAUCUUUAUCAUAUCUAUCAGAUCUCACUCUCGUAAGUGGCUGUGUAGGGAUUGACAACCCCUAUUCGCGUUGGUUGCGAGGAUUUAUUUGUUUUGUGCAAGUACGAGAGACUCGCGCGUAGCCUCCUACUGGAUUGAUACCUUGGUUCUCAAAAACUGAGGGAAAUACUUACACUACUUUGCUGCAUCAUCCUUCCUCUUCGCGGAAAACCAACGUAGUGCUCAAGAGCUGGCAAUAAGGAUUUCUGGCGCCGUUGCCGGGGAGGUCUAAGCAAAAGUCAACAUACCAAGUACCCAUCACAUACCCUUAUCUCCUGCAUUACAUUAUUUUCCAUUUGCCUCUCGUUUUCCUCUCCCCCACUUCACCCUUGCCGUUUUAUUCGCCCUCUCUCUCUCUCUCUAUCCUCCCUCUCUUUCUCUAUUUGCCUCUUUUUUCCCACUUGCUUUCUGUUUGCUUGUGUGUUAGUUGCUUGCUUGUCACGAUGGCUCAAGAUAAUACUAAAUUACGUGACUUCACCAAUACCAACAACAAUGAUUUUAUUAACACUCCGAUUGCUCCUCUUACCGAUGCUGAAUCUUGAGAAAUUAAUACUGCUUUGCUGAAUCUUGUCAUGAAAGAUCUGUUUUUCGGCCUUCCUAGUGAAGAUGCCGCUACCCACCUAAAUAGAUUCGUUGAUUUGUGUGACAUGCAAAAGAAGAAAGGUGUGGAUAAUGAUAUUGUUAAAUUGAAGCUAUUUCCUUUUUCGCUUAGAGAUCGUGCUAAAGCUUGGUUUUCGUCUUUGCCUAAAAAUACUAUUGAUUCAUGGAAUAAGUGCAAAGAUGCUUUUAUCUCUAAGUAUUUUCCUCCUGCUAAGAUCAUCUCUCUUAGAAACGAUAUUAUGAAUUUUAAGCAACUUGAUCAUGAACAUGUUGCACAAGCUUGGGAGAGAAUGAAACUAAUGAUACGUAAUUGCCCUGCCCAUGGUUUAAAUUUGUGGAUGAUUAUACCAAAUUUUUAUGCCGGAUUGAACUUUGCUUCUAGAAAUCUUUUAGAUUAGGCCGCGGGAGGCACUUUUAUGGAAAUCACUUUAGGAGAAGCUACUAAACUCCUAGAUAAUAUUAUGGUUAAUUAUUCUCAACGGCAUACCGAAAGAUCUACUAAUAAAAACGUGCAUGCGAUAGAAGAAAUUAAUGUUUCGAGUGGAAAGAUGGAUGAACUUCUGAAAUUAUUUGCUAAUAAGAGUAUUUCUUCUGAUCCUAAUGAUAUGCCCUUGUCUACUUUGAUUGAGAAUAAUAAUUAAUCUAUGGAUGUGGAUUUUGUUGGUAGGAACAAUUUUGGUAACAACGCGUACAGAGGAAAUUUCAACCCUAGGCCUUAUCCUAGUAAUCUCUCUAAUAAUUAUGGUAAUUCCUACAACAAUUCUUAUGGAAAUUAUAAUAAGAUGCCCUCUGAUUUUGGAUCUAAUAUUAGAGAAUUUAUUACUUUCCAAAAGAAUUUCAAUGCUUUGAUUGAAGAAAAAUUGCUUAAGAUUGAUGAUUUGGCUAGGAACGUUGAUAGAAUUACUCUUGAUGUUGAUUCUUUGAAACUUAGAUCUAUUCCACCUAAGCAUGAUGUCAAUGAGUCUCUCAAAGCCAUGAGAAUUUCCAUUGAUGAGUGCAAAGAAAGAACCACUAGGAUGCGUGUUAAGAAAGAUGCCUUUAUAAGAGCGUGUUCUUCUAAUUCCUAUGAAAAUAAUGAUGAAGAUCAAAAAGUUAUUGAUGUCCUCCCUAUUAAAUCUUUGUUUUGCAAUAUGAAUCUUGAUAAUCAUGGGACUGAAUAUGAUCCACCUUUACCUAGAAGGCGUUCCAAUAAUUCAGAAUUUGUUGAUCUUGAUGCUAAAAUUGAUAAAGGUGGGAUUGAAGAAAUUAAAACCCUAGAUGUUGCUAAACCCACUAUUAUGGAUUUCAAGGAACUUAACUAUGAAAACUGCCCUUUGAUUGAUUGUAUAUCCUUGUUACAAUCCGUGCUAAAUUCUCCUCAUGCUUAUAGUCAAAAUAAAGCAUUUACUAAACAUAUUGUUGAUGCCUUGAUGCAAUCUUAUGAAGAAAAACUUGAAUUGGAAGUUUCUAUCCCUAUAAAGCUUUAUGAUGAGUGGGAACCAACUAUUAAAAUUAAAAUUAAAUAUCAUGAAUGCUAUGCUUUAUGUGAUUUGUGUGCUAGUGUUUCCACGAUUCCAUAGACUUUGUGUGAUUUGUUAGGUUUCCGUGAUUUUGAUGAUUGCUCUUUAAACUUGCACCUUGCGGAUUCCACUAUUAAGAAACCUAUGGGAAGAAUUAAUGAUGUUCUUAUUGUUGCAAAUAGCAAUUAUGUGCCCGUAGAUUUUAUUGUUCUUGACAUAGAUUGCAAUCUUUCAUGUCCUAUUAUUCUUGGUAGACCUUUCCUUAGAACGACUGGUGCAAUUAUUGAUAUGAAGGAAGGAAAUAUUAGAUUCCAAUUUCCAUUAAGGAAAGGCAUGGAACACUUUCCUAGAAAGUAAAUUAAAUUACCUUAUGAAUCUAUUAUGAUAGCCACUUAUGGAUUGCCUACCAAAGAUGGCAAUACCUAGAUCUAUCCUUGCUUGUUAUGCCUAGCUAGGGGCGUUAAACGAUAGCGCUUGUUGGGAGGCAACCCAAUUUUAUUUUUAUUCCUUGAUUUUUUCUCCUGUUUAGUAAUAAAUAAUUUAUAUAGCCUCUGUUUUGGUUCUGUUCUUUGUGUUUAAUUAGUGUUUGUGCCAAGUAGAACCGUUAGGAAGACUUGGGGAAAGUCUUGUUACACUUGCUGUAAAAAACUGAAACUUCAGCGCUCACGAGAACUGCUGCCAUUUUUAUUUGGAAAGUGCUAUGUAGUUAAUUAUUUUUCAGAUGAUUAACAGAUAAAUUCCUCACGUCCAGAAAUUUAUUUUAGAAUUUUUGGGGUUCCAGCUCUUGAGCUAGCUACAGAGUACUACAGGCUGUUCUGUUUUUGAAAGAUUCUGUUUUUCGUGUGUUGUUUGCUUAUUUUGAUGAACCUAUGGCUAGUAAAAUAGUUUAUAUACCAUAGAGAAAUUGGAAUACAGUAGGUAUAACACCAAUAUAAAUAAAUAAUGAGUUCAUUACAGUACCUUGAAGUGGUCUUUUAUUUUCUUUCGCUAACGGAGCUCAUGAGAUUUUCUACUUUAAGUUUUGUGUUGUGAAGUUUUCAAGUUUUGGGUAAAGAUUUGAUGGAUUAUGGAACAAGGAGUGACAAGAGCCUAAGCUUGGGGGUUCCCAUGGCACCCCCAAGAUAAUCUAAGUACACCUAAAAACCAAAGCUUGGGGAUGCGCCGGAAGUCAUCCCCUCUUUCAUCUACUUCUAUCGGUAACUUUACUUGGAGCUAUAUUUUUAUUCGCCACAUGAUAUGUGUUUUGCUUGGAGCGUCUUGUAUUAUUUGAGUCUUUAUUUGUUAGUUUACCACAAUCAUCCUUGCUGUACACACCUUUUGAGAGAGCCAUACAUGAUUUGGAAUUUGUUAGAAUACUCUAUGUGCUUCGCUUAUAUCUUUUGAGUUAUAUAGUUUUGCUCUAGUACUUCACUUAUAUCUUUUAGAGCACGGUGGUGGAUUUGUUUUAUAGAAACAAUUGAUCUCUCAUGCUCCACUUAGAUUAUUUUGAGAUUCUUAAUAGCAUGUUAAUUUGCUUAAAAUCCUAAUAUGCUAGGUAUUCAAAGUUAGUAAAAUUUUCUUAAGAGUGUUUUGAAUACUAAGAGAAGUUUGAUGCUUGAUGAUUGUUUUGAGAUAUGGAGGUAAUAAUAUCAAAGUCGUUCUCGUUGACUAGUUGUGAAAUUGAGAAAUACUUGUGUUGAAGUUUGCAUGUCCCGUAGCACGCACGUAUGGUAAACGUUGUGUAACAAAUUUGAAACAUGAGGUGUUAUUUGAUUGUCUUCCUUGUGAGUGGCGGUCGGGGACGAGCGAUGGUCUUUUCCUACCAAUCGAUCCCCCUAGGAGCAUGCGAAUAGUACCAAGGUUUUUGAUGACUUGUAGAUUUUUGCAGUAAGUAUGUGAGUUCUUUAUGACUAAUGUUGAGUCCAUGAAUUAUACGCACUCUCACCCUUCCAUCCUUGCUAGCCUCUUCGGUACCGUGCAUUGCCCUUUCCCACAUUGAGAGUUGGAGCAAACUUCGCCAGUGCAUCCAAACCCCGUGCUAUGAUACGCUCAUUCACACAUAAACCUCCUUAUAUCUUCCUCAAAACAGCCACCAUACCUACCUAUUAUGGCAUUUCCAUAGCCAUUCCGACAUAUAUUGCCAUGCAACUUUCCACCAUUCCGUUCAUCAUGACACAUUCAUCAUUGUCAUAUUGCGUAGCAUAAUCAUGUAGUUGACAUAGUAUUUGUGGCAAGGCCACCGUUCAUAAUUCAUUCAUACAUGUCACUCUUGGUCCAUUGCAUGUCCCGGUACACCGCCGGAGGCAUUCAUAUAGAGCCAUACUUUGUUCUAGUAUCGAGUAGUAAUUAUUGAGUCGUAAAUAAAUAGAAGUGUGAUGAUCAUCAUUAAUAGAGCAUGGUCCCAAAAAGAAAAAAAAGGAAGGGCCAAAAAAAGGCCAAAUAAAAAAAUAUAAAAAAGGGGGCAAUGCUACUAUCCUUUUUUUCCAAACUUGUGCUUCCAAGUAGCACCGUAAUCUUCAAGAUAGAGAGUCUCUUGAUUUGUCACUUUCAUAUACUAGUGGGAAUUUUUCAUUAUAGAACUUGGCUUGUAUAUUCCAACAAUGGGCGUCCCCAAGUUCCCUAGGUCUUCGUGAGCAAGCAAGUUGGAUGCACACCCACUUAGUUUCUUUUGUUGAGCUUUCAUACAUUUAUAGCUCUAGUGCAUCCGUUGCAUGGCAAUUCCUACUCCUUGCAUUAACAUCAAUCAAUGGGCAUCUCCAUAGCCCAUUGAUUAGCCUCGUUGAUGUGAGACUUUCUCCUUUUUGUCUUCUCCACAUAACCCCACUCAUUAGAUUCUAUUCCACCCAUAGUGUUAUGUCCAUGGCUUGCAAUCAUAUAUUGCGUGAAAGUUUAUAGGUUUGAGAUCACUAAAGUAUGAAACAAUUGCUUGGCUUGUCAUCGGGGUUGUGCAUGAUGAGAGCAUACUUGUGUGACGAAAAUGAAGCAUGACUAAACUAUAUGAUUUUGUAGGGGUGAACUUUCUUUGGCCAUGUUAUUUUGAGAAGACACAAUUGCUCAGUUAGUAUGCUUAAAGUAUUAUUAUUUUAUGUCAAUAUGAACUUUUGUCUUGAAUGUUUCAGAUCCGAAUAUUCAUACCACAAUUAAGAAGAAUUACAUUAAAAUCAUGCCAAGUAGCACUCCACAUCAAAAAUUCUGUUUUUAUCAUUUACCUACUCGAGGACGAGCCGGAAUUAAGCUUGGGGAUGCUUGAUACAUCUCCAACGUAUCUAUAAUUUUUGAUUGCUCCAUGCUAUAUUAUCUACUGUUUUGGACAAUAUUGGGCUUUAUUAUCCACUUGUAUAUUAUUUUUGGGACUAACCUAUUAACCGGAGGCCCAGCCCAGAAUUGUUGUUUUUUGCCUGUUUUAGGGUUUCGAAGAAAAGGAAUAUCAAACGGAGUCCAAACGGAAUGAAACCUUCGGGAACGUGAUUUUCUCAACGAACAAGAUCUAGGAGACUUGGACCCUCCAUCAAGACAUAAAAGAGGAGGCCACGAGGUAGGGGGCGUNNNNNNNNNNNNNNNNNNNNNNNNNNNNNNNNNNNNNNNNNNNNNNNNNNNNNNNNNNNNNNNNNNNNNNNNNNNNNNNNNNNNNNNNNNNNNNNNNNNNNNNNNNNNNNNNNNNNNNNNNNNNNNNNNNNNNNNNNNNNNNNNNNNNNNNNNNNNNNNNNNNNNNNNNNNNNNNNNNNNNNNNNNNNNNNNNNNNNNNNNNNNNNNNNNNNNNNNNNNNNNNNNNNNNNNNNNNNNNNNNNNNNNNNNNNNNNNNNNNNNNNNNNNNNNNNNNNNNNNNNNNNNNNNNNNNNNNNNNNNNNNNNNNNNNNNNNNNNNNNNNNNNNNUGGGCCCCCCUGUUGCUCCACCGACGUACUCCUUCCUCCUAUAUAUACCUACUAUUGGGGAACGUAGCAGAAUUUUAAAAUUUUCUACGCAUACCAAGAUCAAUCUAUGGAGUCAUAUAGCAACGAGGGAGAGAGGAGUGCAUCUACAUACCCUUGUAGAUCGCGCGCGGAAGCGUUCAAGAGAACGGGGUUGAUGGAGUCGUACUCGUCGUGAUCCAAAUCACCGAUGACCAAGUGCCGAAUGGACAGCACCUCCGCGUACAACACACGUACGGUUGGGAAGACGUCUCCUCCUUCUUGAUCCAGCAAGGGGGAAGGAGAGGUUGAUGAAGAUCCAGCAGCACGACGGCGUGGUGGUGGAUGCAGCAGGAUCCCGGCAGGGCUUCGCCAAGCGCAAGCGGGGAGGAGAGGUGUUACGGAAGGAGAGGGAGGCGCCAAGAGCAAGGGUGCGGCUGCCCUCCCUCCCCCCCCUCUUUAUAUAGGGGCCUUGGGGGGGCGCCGGCCCUAGGAGAUGGAUCUCCAAGGGGGGCGAAGGCCAAGGGGUGGCUUCCCCCCCAAGCCAAGUGGGGGGCGCCCCCACCCCUAGGGUUUCCCAACCCUAGGCGCAUGGGAGGCCCAAGGGGGGCGCACCAGCCCACUAGGGGCUGGUUCUGCUCCCAAUUCAGCCCAUGGGGCCCUCCGGGAUGGGUGGCCCCACCCGGUGGACCCCCGGGACCCUUCCGGUGGUCCUGGUACAAUACCGGUGACCCCCGAAACCUUCCCGAUGGCCGAAAUUGUACUUCCUAUAUAUAAAUCUUUACCUCCGAACCAUUCCGGAACUCCUCGUGACGUACGGGAUCUCAUCCGGUACUCCGAACAUAUCCUUGGUUACUACAUACUAAUAUCUCUACAACCCUAGCGUCACCGAACCUUAAGUGUGUAGACCCUACGGGUUCGGGAGACAUGCAGACAUGACAGAGACGCCUCUCCGGUCAAUAACCAACAGCGGGAUCUGGAUACCCAUGUUGGCUCCCACGUGCUCCACGAUGAUCUCAUCGGAUGAACCACGAUGUCGAGGAUUCAAUCAAUCUGUGUAGAAUUCCCUUUGUCAAUCGGUACGUUACUUGCCCGAGACUCGAUCGUCGGUAUCCCAAUACCUCGUUCAAUCUCGUUACCAGCAAGUCACUUUACUCGUGCCGUAAUGCAUGAUCCCAUGAUCAACCACUUGGUCACAAUGAGCUCAUUAUGAUCAUGCAUUACCGAGUGGGCCCAGAGAUACCUCUCCGUCAUACGGAGUGACAAAUCCCAGUCUCGAUUCGUGCCAACCCAACAGACACUUUCGGAGAUACCUGUAAUGUACCUUUAUAGUCACCCAGUUACGUUGUGACGUUUGGCACACCCAAGGCACUCCUACGGUAUCCGGGAGUUGCCCAAUCUCAUGGUCUAAGGAAAUGAUACUUGACAUUCGGAAAAGCUACAGCAAACGAACUACACGAUCUUUGAGCUAUGCUUAGGAUUGGGUCUUGUCCAUCACAUCAUUCUCCUAAUGAUGUGAACCCGUUAUCAAUGACAUCCAAUGUCCAUAGUCAGGAAACCAUGACUAUCUUUUGAUCAACGAGCUAGUCAACUAGAGGCUCACUAGGGACGUGUUGUCGUCUAUGUAUUCACACAUGUAUUACGAUUUCCGGAUAACACAAUUAUAGCAUGAAAAAUAGACAAUUAUCAUGAACAAAGAAAUAUAAUAAUAACCAUUUUAUUAUUGCCUCUAGGGCAUAUUUCCAACAGUCUCCCACUUGCACUAGCGUCAGUAGUCUAGUUACAUUUUGAUGAAUCCAACACCCAUGAAGUUCUGGAGUUGAUCAUGUUUUGCUCUAGGGAGAGGUUUAGUCAAUGGAUCUGCCACAUUCAGGUCCGUAUGUACUUUACAAAUCUCUAUGUAUCCAUUUUGAACACUUUCAUGAAUGGAGUUGAAGUGACGCUUGAUAUGCCUGGUCUUCCUGUGAAAUCUGGGCUCCUUGGCAAGUGCAAUAGCUCCAGUGUUGUCACAGAAUAGAGUCAUCGGGCCCGGUGCAUUGGGUGUGACUCCUAGGUCGGUAAUGAACUCCUUCACCCAGAUUGCUUCUUGUGCUGCCUCCGAGGCUGCCAUGUACUCUGCUUCACAUGUAGAUCCCGCCACAACGCUUUGCUUGCAACUCCACCAGCUUACUGCCCCACCAUUCAAAAUAUACACGUAUCCGGUUUCCGACUUAGAGUCAUCCAGAUCUGUGUCGAAGCUAGCAUCAACGUAACCCUUUACGACGAGCUCUUCGUCACCUCCAUAAACGAGAAACAUAUCCUUAGUCCUUUUUAGGUACUUGAGGAUAUUCUUGACUGCUGUCUAGUGUUCCAUGCCGGGAUUACUUUGGUACCUUCCUACCAAACUUACGGCAAGGUUUUCAUCAGGUCUGGUACACAGCAUAGCAUACAUGAUAGACCCUAUGGCCGAGGCAUAGGGGAUGACACUCAUCUUUUCUCUAUCUUCUGUCGUGGUCGUGCAUUGAGCCUCGCUCAAUCUCGUACCUUGCAAUACAGGCAAGAACCCUUCUUUUACUGAUCCAUUUUGAACUUCUUCAAUAUCUUAUCAAGGUAUGUACUCUGUGAAAGACCAAUGAGGCGUCUCGAUCUAUCUCUAUAGAUCUUGAUGCCUAAUAUAUAAGCAGCUUCUCCAAGAUCCUUCAUUGAAAAACACGUGUUCAAGUAGGCCUUUAUGCUUUCCAAGAAUUCUAUAUCAUUUCCCAUCAACAAUAUGUCAUCCACAUCCAAUAUGAGAAAUGCUACAAAGCUCCCACUCACUUUCUUGUAAAUGCAGACUUCUCCAUAAGUAUGCGUAAACCCAAACGCUUUGAUCAUCUCAUCAAAACGAAUGUUCCAUCUCCGAGAUGCUUGCACCAGCCCAUAAAUCGAAUGUUGGAGCUUGUACACCUUGUCAGCAUUCUUAGGAUCGACAAAACCUUCCGGCUGCAUCAUAUACAAUUCUUCCUUAAGGAAACCAUUAAGGAAUGUUGUUUUGACGUCCAUUUGCCAUAUUCAUAAUCAUAGAAUGCGGCAAUUGCUAACAUCGUAGUCAACCCCUUGAACUUGCCGAUAACCCUUAGCGACAAGCCGAGCUUUAUAGAUGGUCACAUUACCAUCCGCGUCUGUCUUCUUCUUAAAGAUCCAUUUAUUUUCUAUGGCUCGCCGAUCAUCGGGCAAGUCAGUCAAAGUCCAUACUUUGUUUUCAUACAUGGAUCUUAUCUCGGAUUUCAUGGCUUCCAGCCAUUUGUUGGAAUUCAGGCCCGCCAUCGCUUCUUCAUAGUUCGAAGUUCACCGUUGUCUAACAACAUGAUUUCCAAGACAGGGUUGCCGUACCACUCUGGUGCGGGACGUGUCCCCGUGGACCUACGAAGUUCAGUAGCAACUUGAUCUGAAGUUUCAUGAUCAUCAUCAUCAAUUUCCUCUCUAGUCGUUGCAGGCACCUUAGGAACAUUUUCUUGAGCUGCGCCACUUACCGGUUCAAGAGGUAAUAAUACUUCAUCAAGUUCUACUUUCCUCCCACUUAUUUCUUUCGAGAGAAACUCUUUCUCUAGAAAGGACCCAUUCUUGGCAACAAAGAUCUUGCCUUCGGAUCUGAGGUAGAAGGUAUACCCAAUAGUUUCUUUAGGGUAUCCUAUGAAGACGCAUUUUUCCAAUUUGGGUUCGAGCUUUUCAGGUUGAAGUUUCCUUACAUAAGCAUCGCAUCCCCAAACUUUUAGAAAUGACAUCUUAGGUGUCUUCCCAAACCAUAAUUCAUACGGUGUCAUCUCAACGGAUUUCGACGGAGCCCUAUUUAAAGUGAAUGCGGCAGUCUCUAAAGCAUAGCCCCAAAAUGACAGCGGUAAAUCGGUAAGAGACAUCAUAGAUCGCACCAUAUCUAAUAGAGUGCGAUUAUGACAUUCCGACACACCAUUACGCUGAGGUGUUCCAGGCGGCGUGAGUUGUGAAACUAUUCCACAUUUUCUUAAGUGUGUGCCAAAUUCGUGACUCAAGUAUUCUCCCCCACGAUCUGAUCGCAAGAACUUGAUUUGCCUGUCACGUUGAUUCUCAACCUCACUUUGAAAUUCCUUGAACUUUUCAAAGGUCUCAGACUUGUGUUUCAUUAAGUAGACAUACCCAUAUCUACUCAAGUCAUCAGUGAGGGUGAGAACAUAACGAUAGCCACCGCGCCUCAACACUCAUUGGACCGCACACAUCAGUAUGUAUGAUUUCCAAUAAGUUGGUUACUCGCUCCAUUGUUCCUGAGAACGGAGUCUUGGUCAUUUUACCCAUGAGGCAUGGUUCGCACGUGUCAAAUGAUUCGUAAUCAAGAGACUUUAAAAGUCUAUCUGCAUGGAGCUUCUUCAUGCGUUUGACACCUAUGUGACCAAGGCGGCAAUGCCACAAGUAUGUGGGACUAUCAUUAUCAACCUUACAUCUUUUGGUAUUCACACUAUGAAUAUGUGUAACAUUAUGCUCGAGAUUCAUUAAGAAUAAACCAUUCACCAAUGGAGCAUGACCAUAAAACAUAUCUCUCAUAUAAAUAGAACAACCAUUAUUCUCGGAUUUAAAUGAGUAGCCAUCUCAAAUUAACCGAGAUCCUGAUACAAUGUUCAUGCUCAAAGCUGGCAGUAAAUAACAAUUAUUGAGGUUUAAAACUAAUCCCAUAGGCAAAUGUAGAGGCAGCGUGCCGACGGCGAUCACAUCAACCUUGGAACCAUUCCCGACGCACAUCGUCACCUCGUCCUUCGCCAGUCUCCGUUUAAUCCGCAGCUCCUGCUUUGAGUUACAAAUGUGAGCAACUGCACCGGUAUCAAAUACCCAGGAGCUACUACGAGUACUGGUAAGGUACACAUCAAUUACAGGUAUAUCACAUAUACCUUUAGUGUUGCCGGCCUUCUUGUCCGCUAAGUAUUUGGGGCAGUUCCGCUUCCAGUGACUACUUCCCUUGCAAUAAAAACACUCAGUCUCGAGCUUGGAUCCAUUCUUUGGCUUCUUCCCGGAAACUUGCUUAGCGGGCGCGGCAACUCCCUUGCCGUCCUUCUUGAAUUCUUCUUACCCUUGCCUUUCUUGAACUUAGUGGUUUUAUUCACCAUCAACACUUGAUGUUCCUUUUUGAUUUCCACCUCUGCUGAUUUCAGCAUUGAAUAUACCUCAGGAAUGGUCUUUUCCAUCCCCUGCAUAUUGAAGUUGAUCACAAAGCUCUUGUAGCUCGGUGGAAGCGACUGAAGGAUUCUGUCAAUGACCGCGUCAUUCGGGAGGUUAACUCCCAGCUGAGUCAAGCGGUUAUGCAACCCAGACAUUUUGAUUAUGUGCUCACUGACAGAACUAUUUUCCUCCAUCUUAUAGCUGAAGAACUUGUCGGAGACUUCAUAUCUCUCGACCCGGGCAUGAGCUUGAAAAACCAUUUUCAGCUCUUCGAACAUCUCAUAUGCUCCAUGUCUCUCAAAAUGCUUUUGGAGCCCCGGUUCUAAGCUGUAAAGCAUGCCGCACUGAACGAGGGAGUAAUCAUCAGCACGUAACUGCCAAGCGUUGAUAAUGUCUUGGUUCUCUGGGACAGGUGCGUGACCUAACGGUGCUUCUAGGACAUAAUAUUUCUUGGCAGCUACGAGGAUGAUCCUCAGGUUCCGGACCCAGUCCGUAUAGUUGCUGCCAUCGUCUUUCAGCUUGGUUUUCUCUAGGAACGCGUUGAAAUUGAGGACAACGUGGGCCAUUUGAUCUACAAGACAUAUUGUAAAGAUUUUAGACUAAGUUCAUGAUAAUUAAGUUCAUCUAAUCAAAUUAUACAAUGAACUCCCACUCAGAUAGACAUCCCUCCAGUCAUCUAAGUGAAACAUGAUCCAAGUUAACUAGGCUGUGUCGGAUCAUCACGUGAAACGGACUAGUCAACAUCGGUGAACAUCUUCAUGUUGAUCGUAUCUUCUAUACGACUCAUGCUCGACCUUUCGGUCUUCUGUGUUCCGAGGCCAUGUCUGUACAUGCUAGGCUCGUCAACUAAACCUAAGUGUAUUGCGUGUGUAAAUCUGGCUUACACCCGUUGUAUUCGAACGUUAGAAUCUAUCACACUCGAUCAUCACGUGGUGCUUCGAAACAACGAACCUUCGCAACGGUGCACAGUUAGGGGGAACACUUUCUUGAAAUUAUUUCGAGGGAUCAUCUUAUUUAAGCUACCGUCGUUCUAAGCAAAUAAGAUGUAAAACAUGAUAAACAUCACAUGCAAUCAAAUAGUGACAUGAUAUGGCCAAUAUCAUUUGCUCCUUUUGAUCUCCAUCUUUGGGGCUCCAUGAUCAUCGUUGUCACCAGCAUGACACCAUGAUCUCCAUCAUCAUGUCUUCUUGAAGUUGUCUCGUCAUCUAUUACUUCUACUACUAUGGCUAAUGCUUUAGCAAUAAAGUAAAGUAAUUACAUGACGUUUAUGUUGACACGCAGGUCAUAAAAAAAUAAAGACAACUCCUAUGGCUCCUGCCGGUUGUCAUACUCAUCGACAUGCAAGUCGUGAUUCCUAUUACAAGAACAUGAUCAAUCUCAUACAUCACAUAUAUCAUUCAUCACAUCCUUUUGGCCAUAUCACAUCAGACGGCACAUGCUGCAAAAACAAGUUAGACGUCCUCUAAUUGUUGUUGCAAGUUUUUACAUGGCUGCUAUAGGUUUCUAGCAAGAACGUGUCUUACCUACGCCAAAACCACAACGUGAUAUGCCAAUUUCUAUUUACCCUUCAUAAGGACCCUUUUCAUCGAAUCCGAUCUAACUAAAGUGGGAGAGAUAGACACCCGCCAGCCACCUUAUGCAAGUAAUGCAUGUCAAUCGGUGGAACCAGUCUCACGUAAGCGUACGUGUAAGGUCGGUCCGGGCCGCUUCAUCCCACGAUGCCGCCGAAUCAAGAUAAGACUAGUAACGGCAAGCAAAGUGACAAUAUCCACGCCCACAACUGCUUUGUGUUCUACUCGUGCAUAGAAACUACGCAUAGACCUGGCUCAUGAUGCCACUAUUGGGGAAUGUAGCAGAAUUUUAAAAUUUUCUACGCAUCACCAAGAUCAAUCUAUGGAGUUAUCUAGCAAUGAGGAAGAGAGGAGUGCAUCUACAUACCCUUGUAGAUCGCGCGCGGAAGCGUUCAAGAGAACGGGGUUGAUGGAGUCGUACUCGUCGUGAUCCAAAUCACCGAUGACCAAGUGCCGAACGGACAGCACCUCCGCGUUCAACACACGUCCGGUUGGGAAGACGUCUCCUCCUUCUUGAUCCAGCAAGGGGGAAGGAGAGGUUGAUGAAGAUCCAGCAGCACGACGGCGUGGUGGUGGAUGCAACAGGAUCCCGGCAGGGCUUCGCCAAGCGCAAGCGGGGAGGAGAGGUGUUACGGAGGGAGAGAGAGGCGCCAAGAGCAAGGGUGCGGCUGCCUUCCCUCCCCCCUCUUUAUAUAGGGGCCAUGGCGGGCGCCGGCCCUAGGAGAUGGAUCUCCAAGGGGGGCGAAGGCCAAGGGGUGGCUCCCCCCCCCAAGCCAAGUGGGGGGCGCCCCCACCCCUAGGGUUUCCCAACCCUAGGCGCAGGGGAGGCCCAAGGGGGCGCACCAGCCCACUAGGGGCUGGUUCCCCUCCCAAUUCAGCCCAUGGGGCCCUCCGGGAUGGGUGGCCCCACCCGGUGGACCCCCGGGACCCUUCCGGUGGUCCCGAUACAAUACCGGUUACCCCCGAAACCUUCCCGAUGGCCGAAACUGUACUUCCUAUAUAUAAAUCUUUACCUCCAAACCAUUUCAGAACUCCUCGUGACGCCCGGGAUCUCAUCCGGGACUCCGAACAACUUUCGGCUUACUACAUACUAAUAUCUAUACAACCCUAGCGUCACCGAACCUUAAGUGUGUAGACCCUACGGGUUUCGGAGACAUGCAGACAUGACUGAGACGCCUCUCCAGUCAAUAACCAACAGCGGGAUCUGGAUACCCAUGUUGGCUCCCACAUGCUCCACGAUGAUCUCAUCGGAUGAACCACGAUGUCGAGCAUUCAAUCAAUCUGUAUACAAUUCCCUUUAUCAAUCAGUACGUUACUUGCCCGAGACUCGAUCGUCAGUAUCCCAAUACCUUGUUCAAUCUCGUUACCGGCAAGUCACUUUACUCAUACCAUAAUGCAUGAUCCCGUGAUCAACCACUUGGUCACAUUGAGCUCAUUAUGAUGAUGCAUUACCGAGUGGGCCCAGAGAUACCUCUUCAUCACGCGGAGUGACAAAUCCCAGUCUCGAUUCAUGCCAACCCAAUAGACACUUUCGGAGAUACCUGUAAUGUACCUUUAUAGUCACCCAGUUACGUUGUGACGUUUGGCACACCCAAGGCACUCCUACGGUAUCCGGGAGUUUCACAAUCUCAUGGUCUAAGGAAAUGAUACUUGACAUUCGGAAAAGCUACAGCAGAUGAACUACACGACCUUUGAGCUAUGCUUAGGAUUGGGUCUUGUCCAUCACAUCAUUCUCCUAAUGAUGUGAUCCCAUUAUCAAUGACAUCCAAUGUCCAUAGUCAGGAAACCAUGACUAUCUUUUGAUCAACAAGCUAGUCAACUAGAGGCUCACUAGGGACGUGUUGUGGUCUAUGUAUUCACACAUGUAUUACGAUUUCCGGAUAACACAAUUAUAGCAUGAACAAUAGACAAUUAUCAUGAACAAAGAAAUAUAAUAAUAACCAUUUUAUUAUUGCCUCUAGGGCAUAUUUCCAACACCUACGUACCCCCAAACGAUCAUAUACGGAGCCAAAACCCUAAUUCCACCGCCGCAACUUUCUGUAUCCACGAGAUCCCAUCUUGGGGCCUGUUCCGGAGCUCCGCCAGAGGGGGCAUCGAUCACGGAGGGCUUCUACAUCAACACCAUAGCCUCUCUGAUGAAGUGUGAGUAGUUCACCUCAGACCUACGGUUCCAUAGUUAUUAGCUAGAUGGCUUCUUCUCUCUUUUUGGAUCUCAAUACAAUGUUCUCCCCAUCUCUUGUGGAGAACUAUUCGAUGUAAUCUUCUUUUUGCGGUGUGUUUGUUGAGACCGAUGAAUUGUGGGUUUAUGAUCAAGUCUAUCUAUGAAUAAUAUUUGAAUCUUCUCUGAAUUGUUUUAUGUAUGAUAGGUUAUCUUUGCAAGUCUCUUCGAAUUAUCAGUUUGGUUUGGCCUACUAGAUUGAUCUUUCUUGCAAUGGGAGAAGUGCUUAGCUUUGGGUUCAAUCUUGCGGUGUCCUUUCCCAGUGACAGUAGGGGCAGCAAGGCACGUAUUAUAUUGUUGCCAUCGAGGACAACAAGAUGGAGUUUUCAUCAUAUUGCAUGAGUCUAUCCCUCUACAUCAUGUCAUCUUGCUUAAGGCGUUAAUCUGUUUUUAACUUAAUACUCUAGAUGCUUGCUGGAUAGCGAUCGAUUAGUGGAGUAAUAGUAGUAGAUGCAGGCAGGAGUCGGUCUACUUGUCUCGGACGUGAUGCCUAUAUACAUGAUCAUACCUAGAUAUUCUCAUAACUAUGCUCAAUUCUGUCAAUUGCUCAACAAUAAUUUGUUCACCCACCGUAGAAUAUUUAUGCUCUCGAGAGAAGCCACUAGUGAAACCUAUGGCCCCGGGUCUAUCUUUAUCAUAUUAAUCUCCUACUACUUAGUUAUUUCCUUUGCUUUUUACUUUGCCUUUAUUUUACUUUGCAUCUUUAUCACAAAAAUACGAAAAAAAUUAUCUUUAUCAUAUCUAUCAAAUCUCACUCUCGUAAGUGGCCGUGUAGGAAUUGACAACCCCUAUUCGCGUUGGUUGCGAGGAUUUAUUUGUUUUGUGCAGGUACGAGGGACUCGCGCGUAGCCUCCUACUGGAUUGAUACCUUGGUUCUCAAAACCUGAGGGAAAUACUUACGCUACUUUGCUGCAUCAUCCCUUCCUCUUCGGGGAAAACCAAGGCAGUGCUCAAGAGGUAGCAAGGGUUCCUUUUUGUCGACGAUCCGAUGUUUCAACCCUGUUUUCCAGGUGGCCAACGCGUCGCUAAACUUGGUGACGGCGUGUUUGUUUAUCUUCUUCAUUGCCAGGUCCUUAUCUGGAUCUUUAUUAUCCUUUUCACUGCGGUCUGGGAACAAGAUUAUCUGGUGCAGUUUCUUAAGGAGGGAGGGCCUCAUAUUAUCUAUCUUCUGUAGUUUCCCAUCGUUGAUCGUGGCAGUUGUCCGUACGAUGCAACCUAUUUGAUUGCCGUAGCACGAUCGCGCUUCCUCGGGCGCUAUUGUCUCAAAAAUACCGCCGUCCAUCUCCGUGACCGCCAGUCUACUACUCAUGAGCUGGUUUGGGCGCUGUGGCCUCUUUGCUUUCGGUUCUAGACCAGCUCCGCUAGUCUCGGCGCCUGUCUCAGUUUCAUCAUCGGUCCGCAUGUCGGUAUCAGUCCCCGAUGCGACACCACAGUUGCUGCAACAUGGGUAAGGGAGACCACGUCAGUGGUGGGGGGUCUGAAAAUCAGAACACACUUUCGCGCGUCGCGGGCCGCCUCUCAGACAGCUACUGGGGAGGCGGUGGAGUACCUGGGUGCGCGGCGAAUCCCCGGGAACUCGGUGACCAACUUCCUUCCCGUGUGGCGCAUGGAGACGACGGCGACCCCGGCGAAGAGCAGCUUAGCCGCGAGCUGCACAGCCUCGUCCACCUCCUAAGUUGGGACCUCCGCGCGAGCGUUGCGGGGCCGCCACUCGGAUGGCUUCUGGAAGGCGGUUGUACAUGGGCACAUGGUGAAUCCCGGCGAGAGCUGGCCAUUGGCGCGCGCAAGUAGACGACGAUGUCCUCGAAGAAGAGCAGCCCGGCCAGCUCGCCUCACUAUCCUUUGAUUAGAAAUGAAAGAUUGGGAAGAAGCAGACUUGAGCCUGCAGGGAAAGGAUAAGGUGACGAUGCAGUCUCCACUCGUUCGGGGCGACACUCGUACUGAAUGUAUGAGAAACGUGACGUGGCAGAGACCCCAAGAUACUCCCUCCAUUUAUUUUUAGUCUGCAUAUAAAGUUUGGUCAAAGUCAAGAUUUGUAAAUUUUAACUAACUUUAUAAUAAAAAAAUAUCAACAUUCACAAUAUGAAAUCAAUAUUACCAGAUGCGUCAUGAAAUGUAUUUCCAUACUAUAUAGUUUUGGUAUUGUAGAUGUUCAUAUUUUUUUAUAUAUAUGGGAAGUAGAGGCACUCUUCUAUAUAAUGAAGUUUAUAAUAUAUGUGCUUAUAUUGUACUAUAAUUGUUUGAAUAACUUAGCAUAUAUUCAGAUGUAUGAUAUCUGUAAUUUAAACGCUUGAAUUUUACAUAUGAAUAUUUAUUAAUAAAUAUGUACCCCUAUAAUAGCUAGGCCGUGCAGUUGCACGGGUAGAUGACUAGUGAUUACAAUCUUGCUUGUGUGCAAGUCAAGCUUAUCUAGUUUACACGUAACAACUUAUAGAACAUUACAAAAUUUAUGCUUGCUAAUAACUUCUAGAACACUACAACACUUGACAUGUAAAAGGAAUUUGAUGAGUCAUGGCCUACUAAAGCAAGUUACAUUACUAGUCUUAUCUAUCUUAACAGACCACACAAGAUUACAAACUAUGUACCGUGACAGCCAUGCUUAUCUAGUUUAUGCGUAACAAUUUGCAGAAAAUUACAAACUUAGUUUCAGAAAGAUAGGCAAUCUAGAUUAGUGUUUGAGCUGUAAAGUGAAUAAGAUGAGUCAUGCAUGUCAUCACACCUUUUUGGUGGUGGAAUGAUAGUGCAACAACAAGGAACUUUAAUGACCAGUCCAAGAAUACACUUGUAAGUAGUGCCACCAAACAGAACAUACCAAAUGAUGAUUUUGAGAAGCAUCCAAGCACUUUCCACACAAACAAAUGCCAAUUGUGAAAGAGAUCAUUCCAUGGCAGCUAUAAAUAGCCCCAUAGCAUGACGAUCAUCCUUCCUCAUCCAUCAUUCUCAUAAGUAGAGCACAUCAUUUAAGCCAAGCAAGUUGUGGUCAAUACAAAUCCACCAUGAAGACCUUUCUCAUCCUUGCCCUCCUUGCUAUCGUGGCGACCACCGCCACAACUGCAGUUAGAGUUCCAGUGCCACAAUUGCAGCCACAAAAUCCAUCUCAGCAACAGCCACAGGAGCAAGUUCCAGUGGUACAACAACAACAAUUUCUAGGGCAGCAACAACCAUUUCCACCACAACAACCAUAUCCACAGCCGCAACCAUUUCCAUCACAACAACCAUAUCUGCAGCUGCAACCAUUUCCGCAGCCGCAACUACCAUAUUCGCAGCCACAACCAUUUCAACCACAACAACCAUAUCCACAACCGCAACCACAGUAUUCGCAACCACAACAACCAAUUUCACAGCAGCAGCAGCAGCAGCAGCAGCAGCAACAACAACAACAACAACAACAACAACAACAACAACCACAACAAAUCCUUCAACAAAUUUUGCAACAACAACUGAUUCCAUGCAUGGAUGUUGUAUUGCAGCAACACAACAUAGCGCAAGGAAGAUCACAAGUUUUGCAACAAAGUACUUACCAGCUGUUGCAAGAAUUGUGUUGUCAGCACCUAUGGCAGAUCCCUGAGCAGUCGCAGUGCCAGGCCAUCCACAAUGUUGUUCAUGCUAUUAUUCUGCAUCAACAACAAAAACAACAACAACAACAACAACAACAACAACCAUCGAGUCAGGUCUCCUUCCAACAGCCUCAGCAACAAUAUCCAUUAGGCCAGGGCUCCUUCCGGCCAUCUCAGCAAAACCCACAGGCCCAGGGCUCUGUCCAGCCUCAACAACUGCCCCAGUUCGAGGAAAUAAGGAACCUAGCGCUACAGACACUACCUGCAAUUUGCAAUGUCUACAUCCCUCCAUAUUGCACCAUCGCGCCAUUUGGCAUCUUCGGUACUAACUGAGAAGAAAAUAACUCUAGUACUAGAUAUAUGAAACACCGUUUUCUCAGUCCAUGGUUUGGUCGUUGUAGCGGUGAAAAAAUAAUGUGGCAUGCACUAUCAUGUAAGAACCCAAACUAUACUAGUUCAAACUUGGGAAUAAAAGACAAACACAGGUCUUGUCUACAUAUUUAUGUCGCAUCUAUUUAUAUAUUAAAAGUAAUAUAAGGUGAACCAGGAGCAAGGUAAAUAUGCUAGAAAAUUGCACGUUAAUUAGAAAUUACUAGCCCUCAAUCCGGUAAAUCUUAACAAAUAGAAUUAUCUUGACCGUUAGAUUUAUGUAACAUAUAUAAUUCUCUGGGCCUCCAACGACUGUACGUGACACAUCUGAACGCACAUAUGUUAAAGAAAAUAUAUUUGGUAAAUGGUGGGCCUCUUUAAAAAGAGAACUCACGUACAUGCACCAACUAAGAAAAACACAUACAUGUAAACGGGAAAAGGGCUCCACCCCGUUGAAAAAAUAUACAUCUGGAGGCCACUUUGUUUCCUCAUAAAAAAAAACUUACGUUAAAAAGAUUGCAUGCAUCCCAGGGAAAAUAGUCAAGAAGAAGUCGGACUCUUCCUUACAAAAACAAGGAACGUGUUAAGUUGACUUCAAAGAAAAAAGGAACAUGUUAAGUUAAAAAAAACAAGAAACCUGUUAAGUUAGAAAAAAACAAGGAACGUGUUGUCCUAGGAAAGAUAUGUGUCAAAUCUUACAAAAAAAAGAAUACACACACGUACGUUCAUGCACUUGGAAAAUAGAAAAAAAAAGGAACAUCACGUAUGUAUACACUUCGGAAACUCAUUACAUGACCAUGUCUGAUAUACUCCUCUAAUGCUUAAUAUUAGUGCCUAAUAAUUUAUAUUUAAAAUUUAAUUUACUGAUCAAAUAUCCCCACUGUUUAAAUUUUAAUUUGGCACAUUGUUUGGCUAUAGUAUGAACCUAAAUUUCCUCUUAUUAUUAUAUAUCAUGAUAAUAAUCCAAAGGCGACUAAUCUGCGCCGGCGCACCGGCGCAAUCAAUUCGGCCCGACACAGCGCGGCCGUUUGAUUAAAUUGCAUUUAACCGUCAGAUCUAGAAUCAUUUUAUUUCCAAUUAAACGGAUUCAACCAAACAGCAGAGGGGAAAACAAAGCAGCACCGCCGCCAACACUAGUCAUGGACGACCGAUGUAGCAAAACCUUGAAGAACCGCCGCCGGUCGCCACCCUCGCCGCUGGUCGCCGCCCUCGCCGCCUGCGUUUCUCAUCGGCUUCAUGCAUGCAACAACAUGCACUCGUGAUUGCAGGCUUGCAGCUCCGGCUCCGGGGGACAUGGCCGCAUCUCCGGUAGCGCCGGCCGCCAGCCGCAGCACCUGUCGUUGUGGUCACGCUGUACCUCGCCGUGUGCCCUCCCAAGGCUCUUGCUGGUUCCAACAAAAAACGAUACCUAUUGUAGCAAAAAAGUUUAUCGCUUCCAGCAAAAAAGCUUACCGCUAUAGCCCGCCAUCAUCAUUGUAGCAAAAAUGUUAACUCGAUGUAGCUUCUGUGGUUGCCGACUGCGGCCAAAAAUGACGUGGUUGUAGCAAAACACAAAAGAAAAACGCCGGCCGUCCGCUGUGUAUGGUGGUAACAAACCCUAUAGCCGGUGGUAGCGAAAAACUUCACUGUUUGCAGCAAAAAAAUGUUGUCGCCCGUCGUCGAGGUUGCAUCAUCUUCAUGAAUUAUGUCGCAAAAAAACGUUGUCGCCGGUAGUAGCAAAUGAAGCCGCCGGUAGUAACAAAACAAGACACUGGUUCCAGCCAAAAAAAUCAGCGACAGAACCUUUUGUUGGUUCCAACAAAAAAACUUGUCGGUUGUAACAUCCCUCGCCGCCGGAUGUAGCAUCUCCCAGGGCUAGUUGCAACACUCCAUAAAAAAAGUUGUCUAUGAGCGCAUCCAUGGCAACUGCUGCACCGUCAGCAACGAGGGGAAGAGGAGGCAAUGAAAAUCGUUCGAGUCGUAGCUCCACUGGACACGGCUGCAGCAUGGGGAGUCCAAAAAUCUGUCACAAGCAAGAUGCGCCUCGCCAUCCUCCUGCGCAGGAGAGAGAAGAAAAAGGAAUAAGAGGAAGAAGAAACGAAACGGGAGAAAGAAAAAAAGAAACGAUUGGUUGUGGGCUCAGGCAAUUAGUCAAAUGAGGGGCACGCGGGGCCGUAGGAUACAGCGCAAUCGAACGAAGUGCGCGCGUCCGGCCGAAGACUCAGCUGGACUGCCGGUCCAGCUGGAAAUGUUUCCCUAAUACAAAGGCUUUUCUGAAUGACAAGUCGUCUGAGUUAUCGGCUAACUAGAAAAAAGAUAAAUAUGCUAGAUAAUUCCAUAAUAAUUAGAAAUAUCUAGCCUUUAAUUAUGUAAAUCAGAAAAUCACAACCGUUGGAUUUACUUUAAAGGUAAAUUUCUCUAAAUUCCCACCAUUGCCAGUAUGUAGAAACAUGUGCUGCUUCAAUUCUCCCUUAAUCACCAAUCAAUCAACAACUGAAAACAUACCUCAGUUAAAAAAACUGAACAAAAAAAAGAAAAAAAGAAGAAAGGACAAGAUACACGCAUGUACACGACAGCCUUGGCUUGAAACACAUCAGUAGAUCAAGUGUCCGCCUCCCUUACACAGAAUAAAUUCUAGGGAAGAAAAUAAUAGUGCAACCUAACCUUAUACGUACUAUUCUAUCCUCACGUCCCAUGAGGUUUACUAGCCUACUGCCGCCGCAUCAUGCCAUCCUCUCCUUUCAGCUCCCUCCUUGCGGCGCCACUACUCGCCUAGGGAUAUUGCUGCUCAGACCGUGGAGCUUAACCUGCUUCUUCUUCAGCAAAUAUGGAACUGCUUUAGGAUCCUUCUGACAUCAGCGCGUAUGGGCCUCAUUAUACUGCAGCUCCUGGACCUCCUACAAUUGGUUGGCUAUGGCCAGUUGAUCGAUGUGCUGAAGUCCAGGUCUGUUUGCUGGCACAUAUGCUUUGGAAAUAGGCCACUAUGUUUGUACUUCGAAAUUGUUUCUGUAUUCUUCAGUGGUACAUCCUUUUAAGCGCCAGUUUUUUAUGUUAAUUCAUGCUGACAACACUUAACCUAGCCUUUCAUGUUCACGUACUAAAUACAGGAGCAAGUAAAAACAACAGACCACCUAAUUGCUCUGCAAGUUCUACAUAGGAAAAUUUGUCAUGUUCUACGAUCGCACCAUCCCACCCUUCUCUCUUGGUAUGGGCGCCAAUUGAGGGAUUGAUAAAACUGAAACGAAGACGUCACAGGGCUGGAAGUACCGCUAGCCUGGUUCGCACUGCAACCUACCCAACGCCAUCAGAAACUAGCAACUGAGUCAGGUGUUGAUCGAUUCUCUCAAAUUGCUCUCAUGUAAGUACUACCCCUUGCAUGUGCGUACAUACCUUUGUUGCAUUCUCAAACAGAUAGAACAUGUAUGAUCGGUGCAUGGCUAUUUUUCAUCACAUGACAUCCAGAUAACAAGCAUGAAAGGACUACAUUGGAGAUCAAAAAAUAUUGGUUCCUGGCUAGAGUACCACUACCUAUGGACUUGUCUCCAUAGAAUUUGUUCCCAAGAUGUUAUUUUAAUUAACCUCUUUAGCUUUCUUCCGUUGCAAACGGUGAUGUGCAUCAUGGUAUAUACGUGACCAUCUUGCACAUGUAUACACAAGAGGCUCAGACGGAGGUGCUGGAUUCUGGACGAGGGAAUAUGAAGCAGGAGUGAGCGAAGAGUAAAUAAUGGUGGGAGUACCGAUUGGUGUUAUGAAGAAAAAUGCCAUCCAAAGAUUGAUUAGUGUCAUGGAAGAUUAAUUUCUGAAUGCGAAUAUAUAUGUUACAUUGGUUUGGAUCUUUUUGAGAUAAUUGCACCUAAAUUAGGUUCUUUCUUAUUUCAUAUGUAUACCUUAUUUCAGUAAAAGUUCACAACGAACUUAGUAGGACAAAUAUAAUUUUGUUUGUUCUUUCUGUUGUCCGCCACCAAAGCUCAGUUUGAACUCUCUAGAAAUGGACAAUGAUUUAUGCAUUCUAUAUCUUCUUGAUUGAUUAGCCAUGACAAGGAAAUAAAAGGAUUGACUGAUAUAGCAUAACUUUGGAACGAUCUGUUCGUAGAGGUUACUACAAAUUAGAGUAGUGUCUGUUGGAAUUUUGCUAGUAGGCCUUUGGCCCAAAGCCCAACUAAAAUUCUGAAAUUCUCUUCGCUCAUUCAUGCACACAUGUGAGUGGAGUGAGUGAGACUAAAGUUUAGAGAGAGUUGCACCUCUUUAUAAGGUGAGCUCUUCUACCACUUGUAUGAGCAUGAGAAGAGGAGACCUAUACACGCGCUCCUCCUCCUCGCUCACCACGUCUCGUCACGCCGCGCCGCGCCGCGGAUUGCGGGAUUGAGCCGAGCCGAGGACGUUGUCUAUAUUUUUGCUGUUUGGGAAAAAUUAAUAAGUCAUUAAUUAAUAAUUAAUGGAUGCGUUAAUUACUGAACCAUUUUCGAUUCUUUUGGAUCGUGACGACUCGGACGUGGGGUUUACUCCCACGAUCUACCCGGCCCACACUAUAUAGUCAGGCAGACGUCUACCCUAGCCGCCGCCACUUCGUAUGGUUUCUCACCACCGUUACAGAUCGUUGCGCCGCCAAGCAAGUUUUCUCCAUUCCUCCUGUCGGCAUGCACUGGGAGAAGGGACAGCAGGCCUCCGGAACCCCGCCUCUCGUGAUCCUGUACGGGAGAGGGGCGAUCAGAUUUUUGGGGAGCGCACUCGCACGACUGCUGGCAGCGACGACUUCGCAAACGACGACUUCUUCCCCGACCUCGGCAACCUCAUCCUCGACUUCUGCACCGUAUGUUAUUCUAUCCUUCUUGUUCGAGAUCGUGGUAGAAUUCAGAUUUCUAGCAUGUUCCCUAGAUGUGAUUUGUUCAUCUACUAUUCUAAUUCGCAUGAUUAGUUUAAUCUUUGCUAUUGCUGUCAUGAUCUAUUUCCUAUUUAUUCGGAUUAAAUCUCGUAGUAAUUUGCUCAUUUUUCCAACAGUGCCAUCUAAUAGAUGAUGUAAAUCUCCUCAAGUUUGACGUUGUUGAGCUAAUUUACAAAAAAAACCUCAUCAUUAUUGGAUGUCCUUAACAGCUCAAGAACAAGUUGGGGUCGAAAUAAUGGAUUUUACACUUUUACAUUAAAGGUUUAGCUAAAGCAAGCAGGUGUUUUUAAACCUGAAUUUUUUUCCUCCUGAAUUUCUUUGUAUUUUCUUAUUGACACUAUUUAUACAAUCAUCUGACAAAGAUUAGCUAAAGCUGUUUGUAGAUACGUUCAAACCUGAAAAGCUUCUUUGGUUAUCCUUUUAAUAGUUCUACGUUUAUUUUCUCAUAGGUCUUAAUUCUUAUGUAAUACCAAGAUGCAUUGUGGUAGUGUACAUGUGUUAAAUUCAGGUUGUUAUUCACAAUUUGCGACAAAAUUUAGCUCACGCUACAUUUAAAUAUGUUGAAAUGUGAAAGCUCUUUUUCUUCUCCUUUCUACACCUUGCAUCGGAUUGCAUCCCUUUAGUUAUCCAACAUUUUGUACAACAUGUAGAGAUUAGGAAGUUCAUCAUAGUUUGUCUAUUUCCGUGCUAAUAAAUGUAUGAAAUCUGCAUUUCCAAGCUACUAGGACAAGUAAAAAAUAAUAAUUUUACUAUAGGAUUCAAAAACAGCAGUUCUGAAGUGCACUUUAUUUAUUUGUGAAAGUGAUCACAUUUUGUUUCAUUUUUCUAUAGACAAAUCUACUAAUACAUACUCACGAUAAAACUAUAAAAGUUCUAGUCCGCACAUUGGGCGGGCCACCCGGCUAGUUAGUCUAAAGAUAACAAAAUGAGUCUGGAAUUUGAAUUAAAUUGAAGUAUUUUCUUGGACUAUCCACAUCCUUGGCUUGCCCCUGAUCAAUUAUUUCCAGAGAAGCAUUCAAUUCAUCAAUCAAUUACAUUGAUUUUAGUGGCUGGUACUUCUCCUCGACAUCAGUAUAUUCACCGUGGCCACUCCAAAUCGGCAAGAAUGAGGUACCAGUGCUCUGGAGCAGUGCAAGCUAAUUGCUUCUCAUGUGAAGGGGUGCGGGCGCGGGAGAGGUAUUUCUGGUGGGCCAAGGGAUAAGAAGCGACCGUGGCAGCGGUACAGACGCCCGCAAAGCCCCAUAAUUUGUUUUUGGUUUACAGGAAAAAUGCACAUCCAUACCGGCCUGGGGAAUAUAGCACUGUAUUGCAUGGAAAACCAUGUCCGGAUGGUUGUGAGCGGUUUGAGGGUUAGCUUUUGUAACGCCCGGUUAGUUAUGCUAUAGCAAUUCCCUGCUAAUGAUGUCACGUCACCACGAUUACUGUUGUUAACCUCACAAUGAUUCAAUCCCGUUCAAAUUCAAAUUUGAAAUAAAGGUAAACAUCAAAAGUUUUCAAACAUUAAAACUAAAAUCUUUGAGAGGUGACAAAUAAUGCAUAAGUAAUUAUGGUGAAGAAACCACACUUUAAUCAAAUGUUUAAAUACUCUAAAAUGAAAAAAAAACAGUGACUUAAACUAUUAUUUAAAUGCUUUUAAAAUAGUAAAAAUCUUCUAACUAAAUUAUUUGGGUACCAAACUUUUGGUGGCAGUGGUAUAUUUAGUAGAACUAAUUUAGAUGCUAAUUAUAUAAUUUACAAAAUUAGAGUAAAUUGAAAAAUAGGAUAAAACGGAAAAAGGAAAGACAAAACAAAUAAAAGCAAAAGGGGGCAACCCCUCGCUGGGCCUCGGCCUAGCUGGCCACUAGACUAGCUAGGCUGGCCCCGCCGCCUCCCUUAACCCCCCACUCCCCAUCGAACCCAAGCCCGAUCGCCCCAUUUCCCACACACCCCCUCGCUAGUCUCCCCACCUCUUGAUCCCAUCUGGAUCGGGGAGGGUAUUGCCCCCAUCAACCCCGUUGCCGUCGCCGGAUCGCCCGCCGACGUCGGCAGGCCUCCUCCCCGUCGCCCGUCUCCGGCUCACCUCCCCUCUCGCUCCUCUUCCCCGACCCGAUCUGGAUCGUGAACGAGCAAUGAGCUCGAAGCCCCCCUUCACCAGCGCCAUCACCGUGCGCCACCACCACCACCUGAAGACCUCACCGUCGCUGAACCUUGCGUCGCCUCCUUGUAUCCCUCCCCUACUCGCAUCCUCAAGCCAGGCCGAGCCCCUUCUCGGCAACGCUGUGAGACGCCCCCGUUUCCCUCCUCUUUCCACCGCGUUCACCGCGCCGCCCGCCGUGCCCCUCGCCGUGCAUGAGCCCACCACCGCACCAGCCCCCGCUCCGCGCACGACCCUACCCGCGCCCGCGCCAUGAUCCCCUUUUCCGCCCUACCUUCACGCGCUCGCCGCGAUCCCCAUGCUCCCCCGCGCCCUCUUUCGGGGGCGCCGACUGCCCCUGUCCCGGUGCUCGCCGCCGUGCCUCGCCACCGCUCUACUGCUACGUUACUACUGCGCUGCGGCCGCCGCCUCUUCCCGCUGCUCCGCUAGCGCCGAAGCUCCCGGUUGGCUCCACCACUGCUCACGUUAAACCGCCGGCCUAAAUGGCCUAACCCUCGGCUAAUGAACCCCCACUAACCCACUGACACCGGGACCCACAUUCCCUAAUUAACCAUUUAAUAAAUUAACAUUAGUGUAUGACAUGUGCGUCCCCUGUUAAUUAAUAAUUUUACUGCUAGUUUUAUUAGUUUCUGUUUUUCUGCAUAUUUCUUUUGUAUUUGAACAGGCUUUAUACAAUAAUAUUUAGCGUAUCAUACACAUACAAAUGUAAUCAUAGCAUAUACAUACAAAUAGUCUCAUCAAAUCAUGUCAUCAUCAUAAUCAUCAUCCAUCACAAAGUGGUCUCUGGUCAUCAUCUCGAAAAUAGCGAUACAAGUCUCGAUUACUUGCAACUACAUCGUCAUCCAUCUAAACAAUGAUAUACACGAGAAGAGCUCUCACUAUGAGUGAGAGCGGAACUAUGCAGUACAUGAGUUUGUAUCCCUCUCUCGCAUUAGCGUGAACCUAAACUAACGACUGGCUGUUGCUCGGAAACCGGAAACCGGUACACCUGGGCCUGACACUCCGGCCACUCAUCGUAUACUCCUGGCGUAGCACUUCUUCGCCAUCGAUGAUCUAUGCACCUGCAUCGUCACAUGAGUCGAUGAUAUGCAACAUAUAUAGUUGAGCAACAGAAAGAGACAGACUUGGCAAAAAUAGAAGCAACAUAUCACAAGUAUAAAUAACAAAGUUAAUGUUUUGCAGGAUUACAACUCAACCCAUUGCAGAUUAGAAAACAAGCCCGUAUGAAUGCACAGGCUGACGACUAGUCUAUCUAUACCUAUACCUAUACCUAUACCUAUACCUACCUAUACUAAUUACAGACUCCCAAGGAAUUCCCACGUUAAUUAGUAAUUAGGAGUCGUUAAUCUUGUGGGACCAAAUUAUUACGACAGUCCACGAUCUCUUUUCUCUCUGUGUAAAAAAAGGUCCACGAUCUCUUUUCUCGGUUGUAAAAGAUAAAGGCAACUCAGGUCCACGAUCUCUUUUCACGGUUGUGAAAGAUAAAGACAACUCCCGUCUUCUUCUAAUCUAUAGUUCUAUACCUCCACGACCCCUUUCUCUCCCCAUUUAAAAGGAACAAGCUGAACCAAUAUCUAAGCAUGCAAUUGGUUCCUGUGCGGUCUUGACCUUCCAUCCGUCCACUGCUCGAUCGGCCCUCCCUCAACUACAAGCUGACAAGCCACCAUCGCCAUCCAGCGGCACGCCACCGUUCAUGCAUGUGUUUUUGCCCUUCAAUCUGAAGGAGAUGCGUUGGCUACUCAAGUAACUCUGUUUGUUUUGUUCAAACCAAUUUCGUUAAUUCGGUUCUUUGAUUAUCUAAUUGACAUGGCCUGUGAGUUUUGUGCUAGUGAUACAGGGCCUGUCUACUAGAUUCUCUCCUUGCAACUUCUAUUGUUGUCUCGAUUUGGUGUGGUCAAGAUCCUUGCCCCACCACAAGCAGCACCUUUGCACCAUCGGGGAAAUCUGUCAUAGCAAACAGAGGUAUGUAACAUGCUUUGGUGUUUUCCUCUUUCGUUUAGAUCACUAGAGUUGCUCAACCACACCAUUCAUUGAUUAGUAGUUGGCCUGAGAAGUUGCUCGGUCACCUGCAGCGUCUGAUCCCCUUCUUGACCCUCUCCUUCUGGUCAUUAUCCACCGGCAGGUCAAUGCAAAACGGAUCGUUCGUUGCCGCCACCUUGCGGAGACCGAUGUUUGGCUGCCCUCCUGCCAUCCUGGCACUCUGGUACCGGUCACUGUGCCGUUGUUCUAGAAGAACUAUGUCACACGAAGCGAGAUAUCUUCUUACUAAUCUGGAACAUAAGUGUUUCUUCUUACUAGGAUUCGCUCACCGGUGCAUUCAUCUCUUUUUGGAAAAUACGGCCUUCAUAUUUCACACGCCUAUACAUGGGUGCUGUCCCAACAAUAAUCCAUCUAAUCCAUGAUGCACAUUCAUGAAGACUGAUGUGACUGAAUUAAUAUAUCAAUCUGGUGCUUCCGGAUCAGCACUUGAAGAAGCAACCCCUUUAGUUCAUAAAUUUAUCAUACGAAAGUCAGGGGAAAAAUCAACUAAGUCAUGUGUGCUUUUCUAAUUAAUUACUAUACACUAAUUCCAUUUUUUUCAGUAGCAGGCUAGGAUACGUGGAUUGUGGCAGCACAGAAGUAAACCGAUGAGCUACAUUGGCCGUUCACCAGUCAUCGGAUCAGAAGCCAUGUCGACCAGAGGGACGGAACAGUUCUAUAUUAGGCGAUGGAUACAUGUGGAAGCAACUAAGCAUAUGUGGAUGCAUGUGAUCGCAUAGGUAAGGCCAUAGCUGUUCAAGCCCUACAGGAUCUUUAUUGCUGGUUUUAAUUAUGAGUUUACAACACCAUCUAUACAUACUACUUAUCCAUUUAUUUCCUUACCUUCUUUGUUUCUUUCUCUCCUUGAUCCCCUGUCAAAAGGGCAUCAACAUCCAUAUGCGCAACGGCACACGCAACAAACUAUGACUUCGGUUGCACGUCCAAUGGCAACCACAGUACAUGAUGAUAUCAUGUUUGCUGCAAGACGAAGUACAAGUUCAUAAUUUGGUCUUUUGCAUGGUCCCUUAGUAAAUUAUAUUUGUCCACAUACACCACAUACAUAAAAACAGGUAGAAGCGGUUGCAUGAUGAAAAUGUCCUCUCAAUAUGCAUGCCUAUGAAUACUAUCACCAGAAAGCCAAGGACUAACAAUUAUUCAGGGGUCAAGAUUGAAGACAGACGUCCAAGAUUGGCAGUCGGCCGGCCUAAGAGGGGCAAAACCGUUGUACAUUAUAUUGUAUGGACCUAGCAAGAUCCUAAAGAUAAGUGAUAAUGGAGAUCAUGGGGGCCACCCUUAUAACCAUAUGUCCAAAUGUUCUUAUUUGUUUAUUUUUCUUUUCUCUUUUCGGAAGAAUCCAUCCUGCCUCUAUGGUCAUCCUGACCACUUCGUAUUGUUAUCUAAUCUCCUCCCUUAAUUAAUAUAAAGAAUUACCGCAGCUGAAUUCACUAAAAAAAGUAUUCAGUUUAUUUUAAUUUAUUCAACUAUUAUGGCAUAUCAAUUGGAUUGCAAGUUCUUGGCGGUUGCAUUUGAAUCAUAUUUGAUGUGCACAAAGGCUUCAGUGUCAAGGUGGUCGGACGAGUAUUUAUGUCCAUUAUAUAUGUGUUAGCUUGAGAUCAUCAGGCACCUGUUAUGCAUCUGUCCAGUUAAAAGGAUGUUCAGACUCAGGCUUGCCCUACCAUAUAUGGCUGUGACACUCUGAACCAAGCAAGUUGGUCAUAUGUGUCGAGCACUAUUAACUCUUUGGAAGAGGAUCCACCAAGUACAGGAAACAAAUCAAAUAUCUUCUUAACCUUAUCACCAGAAAAAUUAGCAAGAGAUGAAUAGUAACAUUUUAAAGAAGAAAGAUAUGUUUGAAAAGGGAUAUAUAUUAUGGCGACGAUUAGAAGAGCCCUUGACGAAUGGUGCCUAGCCUGCGAAAGUUUCUUAUGAAUAUAGUCAACACUCUAUAUCAACUGUUGUAAGAUUUUAGAAAUAUUUUUGGGGACAUAUGAUACAUGUCUAUUAUACAUAUGAUUCAACAGAAGUUUGAUUGAAUACAUAUUUAAAACGUGACUGACUUCUAUAUGGACGGAGUAUUUCACAAAGGACUCACUGCCAACUGUGUGAAUAUUCCAAGAUAGUUAGUGCACAUAAAUGUUCAAAUCCAUAGCCUGCAUAAAUAUACAAAAGCAAUGUGUUAGACCACUACACAUGCUUCUGAAAGGAGGCAAAAAAAUGUAUGCUUGAUUGAUGACCGUUCAUGCAUGAAAUUAAUUUCUGAUUUCUAAUUAUUUUGGUCAUAUAAUGGAAAUAGAGACAUUAUAAAGAUCCAACAGCAUGCUAUCACACACGUGUGAACACAGACACACACAAAUAACAUUUGCCGAGCACUCACAAAUAAAAGGUGUGGCUACUCUUGGGUGUUCUACAGCUGGCUUAAAAAAACACGUAUGAAACAUGAUCCCCAAAAAUCUGAAAUUCGCAACAUAUGAAAAUCCACCCUCAAACAUAUUUCUGGUGUCUCAAUUCUUUUAGUUUCAGAUGGUAUGUCCAGCCAAAGUAGUUGUACACAUACAUUACUAUGUUCUAUUAUUUGAGAUUCUAAGACAACAUUUAGUAACUAGCCCGUGCGAUGCACGGGUUCACGACUAGUAUAUAUAAAGCUUAAUGGUGCCUAAGAAAGCUCGCACAAUUUUACAGUGGCUGUGGAGAUGUGUUGCCAAACUGAGACAUAAGAUUUUCGUUUGGCAUCCAGAGUUGCAGACCGCUUGUGUUAUCCUUAAUCCAUGGCCACUCUAAUUUUUCCGGCUGGGCCUUCCCUGUGGUACGGCAGCAAGGCUUGCGUGUGUAUAUGUUUCCUUUAACUACCACUAGCACAUAUGCCCGUGCGUGCGUUGCAAGGGGAGAGAUAAUGGCGUAUCCACCAAUAUAUCUAGCAGCAUGACCCAACAACAUCCGAAUGAUGUCACCCGACGACGGCAGGAAGGCACACACAGAGGUCUAGUAAAAACUCAACAAUUGUACGGGCAUGGUUAAUUCGCGUGAAUUCAAGGGUGUGAGAUUAGUUAGUGUUGGUCCCACAAUUGAAUUCGGGGGCUGAUUAGUUAGUGUGGGCCCACCCUUGAAUUCACCGGGGGAGACAAAAUAAUUAGGGUGAGGAGAGAUUUACGGGGCUUGGUCCCCAGAUGCGUUGCGGCAGUCAUUAUUCGAGCAUUGCAAUGCUCGCACGUGAGGAGCUCUUUUUCCAAUUGUAUAUUGAGAAGCAUUGCUACAGAUACAAUGUUUUUGAUACGUUUUUGUACGAUGAUCCUGAUCUUAAAGGGCCUUCUAAUUUUUAAAUCUUAAAGGCAUUAUUUGUAAGUUGUCGUGAAAAAAAUCUCGCUAAAAGGGUUAUGUUAGACCAUCUUCAGUACAUUAGAAAUAACGAAUUAUAAUUCCUUGGCAUUUGAACAAACAAUCCCUACUUAUUUACACAUACAAUACUUUUGGUAUGAUUUUGAAAUCUUGAAGGCAUUAUUUGUAAGUUGAAGCAAUUUUGAAAUCUCACUAAAAGGUCUGUUAGACCAUCUAUAGCUUUAGAAAUAACUAAUUAUAAUUUUGCAAAAAAAAGAAAUAACUAAUUAUAAUUCCUUAAGCAUCUGACCGAAACGACCCCGAUUUAUUGUCUGGGUAGUAAUUCCUUUGCAACAUUAUUCUCUCCUUUCUUGAAGGAACUCUUGCCUGGGUAGUAAUUCCUUUGCCCACGUAUUUGCAAGGUUAUUCUCUCCUUCAUUUUUACAGGAGCUCUCCUUCCUUAUACUAAUUGGUCAUUAUCCUCUCCUUCCUUUUUCUUUUUGCCAAACUCUCUUUCCAUAUUUAUGCCGCUAACCACGCCACUCUUUUUCCUUAUUUAUGCCCUUUGAUCACGCCACACAUCUCAUGAAAUCUAAGCCAUAUAUAUCACCCAUCUUUUUUCCUUAUUCCGGUGCUUUCCUCACAAACAGUAGUUCUCUAGGAUGCUUAACGAUUUUGAAACAGAAACAUAUAUAAAUCGGUAGAACGGGUUGUAAAGCAGCGAGGUGGUACUAAUUUAUAAAGAAACAAACCUUUUCUUUUUGUGUAAUGAUGCCUUGGUUCGGCUGGUUGCGUUGGGAAAAGGACCGGCGAAGUGGGCGAACCAAAAACGGAUAAAAUUACGGUGGUAAGAAGCGAUAGCCCUUUUAUUAGUAGGUAUGAGGAUGUCUAGGAUGUCUAGGAUGAGGAUUUACUGCACACAAGUGCGGGGGCACUCAGGUCCUGAUGCCGCCUUUUUAUUUUGGCUUCCGAUUUUCAAACUUCUAUAUCUUUUAAACAAAAAAUUCAAUUUAAGUUACGUUUUCAUAUUCGUGCUUCUCGCGGCCAGCGCUUUCAAAUAAGAUCCAUUUUGCAUACAUUUUGGUGGCUUUUGGAAACGGGCGAAUAGCUCCUAUGCGACGUUGUUGGUGUGUAUUGUCUCUCAUGCGACGUUGUUGGCUGUAAUAGCUCUCAUGCGACAUCUGCGUUGGAAAAAAUAGCUCCCAUGCGACACACCAUUUACGCGGCUAGUUGGCUGUUAGUUAGGCUGAGGUUUGGUUAGGACACUGGGGGUUAUGUGCUCUGACUGGUGGGGUCCACCUAUGGUCACGUAGACAAGAGUCAACCGUCCACGACUCGACCUGGGACUGUGUGACCGUGCUCGACUCACCCGUGCUGGACUGAGUGAGCGGUGCCGCCGUAAGCAUCUUCUCCGACAGCGGUUUCUUCUCCGCGGUGGUGGAGCGCAUUUCUCGGCAGCGGCAGAGCUAUUGCGAGGUGAGCCCGAAACCCUAGUCCCACUCCCCAGAAUUUUGGGGGAUCUGUGGCCUCAUGCUGCCCUCUGUUUCUUGGCGAUUUAGAAUCGGGCUCCAUUGGAUCCGGGGGUUGUUUCUUCUCCGUGGCCCGGUGGUGGAGCGCCUAUCUCUGUAGCGGCUAUUGCGAGUGAGUAUUUUCCAAACACUACUCGCAUUCCACUAAAUUUUGGAUAAAUCUGUGGCCUCAUGCUGCCCCUAUUUCUUGGCGUUUUAGAAUCUCGAUUGGAUAGGAGAUGGAGCGAGGGCUGGAUGAGAUGGAGCGAGGAGACAGUGCUUCAAAUCGGUAAUGCCACACUCUUUUCUUGGCGAUUUAGAAUCGAACUCGAUUUGGUAGUGACUGCCGCCGCUGCCUGCCAUUGACAAAACAGGGGAGGUUCAAGUUCUGCCACCACAUUCACAAUUAUAGUGGAAUUUUUUCCCUGUAAAGCCAAGCUCAGUGAUGGCAGUGUCCAAGACAUUGAUAGAGAUACCACCGUGAGGUUCGAUGUCGAAUUUGCAGAUGUUGAUCCCCAGGAAUUGGAGAGCAUGAAGGAGAAGGCCGUGGGCAAUUUGGUGGAGAGAAUUGGGGAGAAUAUUGUUUGGGGUCCAGAACAAGAGGUAUGUCUGCAACGUUUCGAUAACUAUAAUGGUGAAUAUGUGAGAAUUGAAGAUGGAGAAUCCAUGGUUGCUGAAAUUGAUCAGCAAGAAGGGUGGGCAACUAAACAAGUAACAUUUUAUGCAGAGCUAAUUGAUCUACAAACUCAUUCCAGAGUUGGUUAUGUGCAAUCAAAGAGGGCUGCACAGAUGGAAGAUGAUGAGUGGGUUUCACAAAAGAAGAUGUUGGCAUUGUUGACUGAACCGACUGUAGUAGCUGAAGAUACAGGGAUUGAUGCAGAUGGAGAGGAGGGAACCCAUGGUGCUAGGAAGAUUGUUGUUGACUGGAAUGUAGUAGAGUUGAAUGAAAAAACAGAUUUGGUCAUUACACCAAUAUCUGACAUUGAUAUGGCCGAAAUGUUUGGCAUUCAAGUUGAUGACAAAGAUAAGGAGAAGGAUGACAGUUCUUUGCCUGCUGAAGGAACAUAGGCCCUAGAAAUGCAAAUGAGGAUGAAGAACAGCUGAUGAGAGAGGCUGCAGAUGAUGUGGAUGAUGCAGAUGAUAAUGAGUUGGUUUGUUUGUAUGACAAAGAGAACCCAGUUAUUGAGGUGGGAAAGUUGUGGCCAAGCAUGAAGGAGUUUAGGAUGUCUUUCAGGACCUAUGCAGUGAAAAAGAGUUUGAUGCCAAGACUAUGUGGACUGAUUGAAAGAAAUUUUAUGCUCGGUGCAAAGGUUAUGAUGGUGGUGGCAAUCCUUGCAAAUGGUACUUGUCUGCCAGACUACAACCUGAUUGAAGUACAGUAAGGGUAAAUCAAAUACCACACCAGCAUACAUGUAUGACCACUUCACAGAGAGUUUCAAAGAUGACAUCACAGCUUUGGGUUACAGAGAAGAUUACUCCUAUUUUAGCCAAGACUCCAAACACUACUGCAAAGAGGCUUAAAGUUGACUUGGAGAAGCUGUACCCCAUCCAGCUGCAAUAUACCACAGUGUGGAAAGCAAAACAAAGGGCCAUGAAAUCAUUGUAUGGUGACUGGGCAAAUACAUUUAGGAUGUUGUAUAGUUUUAAAGCAGAGGUGGAGAAGAGGUCACCUGGGAGUGUGGUGGAGAUAGAUACAGAGGUAACAGAGGAUGUCAUGGUUUUAUUCAGCAAGUUUUUUAUGUGUUUGAAGCCAUGCAUAGAUGGAUUCAAAGCAGGUUGUCGUCCAUAUUUGAGCAUAGACUCAUCUUUUUUGACUGGAAAGUGGAAUGGUCAGUUGGCUGCAUGCAAUGCUCUAGAUGGACGCAACUGGAUGUUCCCAAUUGCAAUAGGAAUGUUUCAAUCAGAGACAGAGGCAUCAUGGAUAUGGUUCAUGAUGCAACUGAAAAGAUGUAUAGGGCCAGUUUCUCCUUUAGCCAUCCACACAGAUGCAUGUAAAGGGUUCGAAAAUGCAGUAAAAAAUGUUGUCCCCCAUGCUGAGCAGAGGGAGUGCUUUGGACAUAUGUGGAUGAAUCUGAUAAAAAAAUUAGAGGAGAUGAAUUUGGGCGCAUGUGGCCAGCAGCAAGAUCCUACACCAGACAGACACAUUCCUAUCACCUUGGUAAGAUAUUGGCAUCAUGUAGUGAUAAUGAAUUUGCUUCAUGGUUGAACACCCGCCAUUCUCUGUUGUGGUAUAGAUCAGGUUUUAAUACUGCCAUAAAAUGUGAUAAUAUCAAUAACAACUUGGCAGAAAGUUUUAACAACAAAGUGAAGGAUUUGAAAGACUUGCCUGUGCAUGACAUGGUGGACCAAAUAAGGAUCAUGAUCAUGCGUUUGUGGGAGUUGAGAGGAAAAAUUGCUAAUAUUUUGGAAGGGGACAAGCUUCCAGCAGUGGUACAAUAGGUGGUCAACAGGAGUAGAAAUCUUUCACAUCUAUCUGUUGAGAAAUCUUCCUUGUGGGGUGCUGAAGUUAGAGAUACAAAGAGUGGCAAGAGGCAUGUGGUAAAUACUGAGUUGCAUGAGUGUACUUGCCGAGAGUGGCAACACACUGGAAAACCAUGUGAGCAUGCCAUACUUUUUUUGGCAUCUAAACCCAGGUUAAAUAUGCACCCAUAUUUGCAUGAGUAUUAUUCAGUACAAAAAUUCAAAGCUGCAUAUGCAAGUCCAAUUCCUGCACUGACUGACCAAUCUCAGUGGCCUGAGGUGGAAAUAGAAUUUACCUUGUGUCCCCUGUCACUAGAAGAAAGGCUGGGAGGCCUAAACAGAGCAGAUUCAAAGCUUGGUUUGAGAAAGGUGGUUGUAGUAAGAAGGGGAAAAAAGAAAAGAAAAAGAAUGAUAAGCCCAAAAGGGCUCAAAAAGGUAAGAAAAAUAGGUGCAAGUUGUGUGAGGUACUUGGGCACAGAAUUGGUUCAUCCAAGUGCAUCUAUACUCCUCAGAGGACAAAGUAUGUUCAUGUUACUGUUUUUACAAGUUUUUGAUUUUGUUACUUGUUCUAGUAUCUAACCAAGUCAAAUGCUUUAUUUUUUAGGAGGAAGCGUGCAGAAAAAGCCCCACCUCUUGUUGUUGAACAAUGCUGGCCAGUGAAAAAAGCAAGACUCAAUGGCUAUAUAGAAGGAAGAGCACUAAGCAGAUAAUGUUUGGUGACAAAGAUAUGGAGCUAACUGAAACUGUUACUGCUGAACAUGAGCUAAGUGUUUCUGUUUUGGACGAUGUGAUGCAUACUGAAUCUGUUUUGCAGACGCUAGGGCAAUCUGAAACUGUUGCAGAUGAAGCAACGGUUGUGCUGCCAUGCGAAUCUGCUUUGACAACUGUGUUGCCAUGUUUGGAGGUUGUGCUGCCAAGUGUUGAGUUGCAAACUGAAGUAGUUGAACAAUUUGUGCCAUCUACUCAAUCUGCAGAAGUGCAAACUGAAGAAGUGCAAACUGAAGAAGUGGGACAUGGUCAGGUGAAAAAGUUGAGGGGGCCUAGUGGAGUUUGCAAGGGGCCAAAAAGCAAGAGCAUCAACAUCAACAAACUAUGCGCCGUGGAACCAAACGAUGGAAAAAAGCAGAAGAAAUCGAGUGGUAGAAAGAAGCAAAAGAAAUAGAGUCGAAAUCAUUCAAAUUUGAUGUGAAAACUUAAGUUUGUUGUCAUUUGAUGUGAAAACUUAUGUUCUUUCAUGUGAAAACUUAUGUGCUAUGAUGUUGAUUUGACUUGAAAUAAAAUUCAAAUUUGAACCGACAUUCAAAUUUGAACCUAUCUCCAAAUUUUUUUGAGUUCAUUUGUUUGUUCUGUGAUGUUGCAUCGUUUUAUGUACUACUAUGCACUUUGUGAAGUCCAACUCAUAGUCACUGAAAAUGCUGUACAAACAGGCUCCAAAGUAAGGGAAAACGGCCCCAUUUCUAAGCAAGUUUUUUUCGAUCUUCUCAAAAUCACCCAAAAAAGAUUUUCUUAGCUUAUAUUAUACCUAUAUAGGAUCAAUACAAAGUCUCACCUUUUUUGAAUAAGUAUUCAUAUUAUUUAAUUUAUUUUUGAAAAAACACCCUUUAAUACAAAGUCAGCAAUAAAACAAGUUUAAAAAUUUUAAAUGCAAAAAUAACUUCAGAUCCUCCUUAGUCACUCUAAAAUGAAGCUAAGGUGAUGUUUUUUGAUUUUUUUGCAUUUUCAAAACCUCAAACCCUCUUCUCACUCCUUUGAACUCUAUGCAACCUCAGUCGAGAUAGUCCAAUUUGUGAAGGUUUUUUCAUGCAAAGAUCAUUAGAUCAAGUUUAUCAUUUUAUAUCAUAACUAUGUAACAUAAAAAGGCUAUAUGCGCAGGUUUUUCAUUUUUUAGAUUUUUUUGAAUUAGUUAUACACAUUUGAAUGUUCGGUCAAACCUUUCAAAACCCCGUUGACUGCCUCAAAACCCCAUGUAACCCUAGCGCCAAACGUCCACCGUCGAUCUAACCCUAACGCCAAACUGCGGCCGUCGGAUGGGACUUCUAGAAGGAUUCCGCGGGGGCGAUCCAUGGGCUCCAAUCUGAUUGGCCAUUGUUUUUUCUCUCUGACGAACAGAUAACGUUGAGCGGGGGAGCAUCUAAGUGACCGUUGGGCCGAGUGGAUUGGGCCUGGCAAAGCCUGGCGUGCGUGCACACGGCUGUUGAGAGGGGGGAUGGGCUGCAUGCGAGCGGGUCAAUGACAUGUGGGCCAUCCUUGUCCCAUGCAUGCCAUGCAACGUCGCAGCCUAGCUAUUCUUUGCUCGUGAAAGCCUAGCCAUUUGCAUGCGGGCUUGCAUGCACGCAUCGACGCAGAGUACGGCAAGGGUGCAGCGUAUAGGUACGUCGCAUCUAAGCUAUUUUAACAAAUGCAUGUUUGAACGAGAUGGACGCGUCGGUGGUGCAGCUCCUUUUUCAGUGUCACGCGCGGAUGAACGGGCCUGUUUCCCAUGCGGCAUCACCGCCGAUGCAAGUGCCCGUGCCUCUUUGGAUGCUCUGGCCGCCGUUUUUUGAAUUAAUGCCCGCAAUUACUUAUGCCAUGCGAACGGAGAAGAGAAAAAGAUCGAGAAGGGGCACCGUGUACACAUUGACCAUGGUUGCAAUGCGGCUAUAAAAGGGCACCAUUUCCUCAUCCUCUCACACUCAUCUCUCAAGCCUCCUCCCCUUCUUCUUUUCGAGCCAAAUCCACCACUCGAGCCACCAUGCAGUUCAACGGCCCUACCUACCGUCGCCCUUGCACCGUGCCGGAGAGGCAGUACCCAGCCGGAGUCGUCGUGGAGAACAGCCUGAGGGUGUGGGCCAUCUCUAGGUGGAGGGGCCCUAGAGAGUUGGCUCGCUUCUUCCUCCAAGCUGGCUACCGCCACCUCCCUCCGGGCACUCCGCCCAUGUUCCACCUCCACGAGCAGUACGAUGGCAAUGCCGGCCCCGACGGCUUCGUCAUCGGCCUCUAUGUCACCUUCACCAACCCCUACGACGCUCACCACCUCCCCGGGGAGGUGUUCUGGUGUGGAUGCGAGUUUAUCGCGUUCACGACCUACAACAUCUUCACCAACUUCCACCACAUCUUCCCUCACCACAACGGCAUGCACACCCUCCCCUAUCAGAUGCCGGAGGACGACGAGUGAGGGGCCCAAGGAGGAGGGUCCAAGGAGUGGCAAGGAGGAGGGGCCAAGGAGUUGUUCAAGCGGCGAGUCUUCUAUCUAUCUAGUUUGGGGCUCUAGUUUGUGUUUGUGUUGGUUCGGGCGUGUGUGCCCGUGUCUUUUAUAUAUCUAGUUUUAAUUAUUUUACUUUCAUGUUUUAUGAACUAUAUGUAGUGGGGGGAUGCCCCUCUAUAAGUUUUAUCUAUCUAUGCUACUAGGGUACCCGAUGCCCCUCUAUCUAUCUAUAUGUUUUUUCGGUCCUAAAGUUUCUCCAUUGCAUUUUAUUUAUGUGGCCAUGUGUACUAAAAAACAAUUGAUCUGGUAUCUAAAAUGUACGUUACCAAGAAAUUGACAAUAAAGAUUAUAUACUGUACUACAUAAUCAUACAGUUGGUAUACAAUGCAUUUGAAGACAAUGGGCAAGAAAAAUGCUAAUUAUCUGGUGCUGGUGACAUGCGUAAGUGUUGUCUGAUGUUUAAAUCAUGCUUGCUAUGUCAUUUUUUGCUGCCAAACAUGGCAUUAGCGAGAAAGGUCAUUUGGGCACUGAAUGUAUUAAAGUAUACACCAUAUAUAAAAAUGUCUAGCCAAAAGAUUUGGGUGUACAACUGUACACCAAUGACCAAGUAUGGAUCCGCCCCUGGUUGUAAGGGGAUGCCCCUCUAUGUUGUAAGGAGAUGCUACUAGGGGCACACUAGAUGUCUUCUUUUUUUGAGAGAGGCACAACCUUUUUCGGUUGAAACACACGAGUAAAAACUUUGAAAACACCAUAGCACAAGUAAAAAAAUAUAUUAAGAAAUGGUGCUUGGUUGAAAUAAACUAGAACCAAACAAUUGCAACUUUCUUGGUUCACAAAGACUGCUCAAAUAAUUAUCUCAAAUAGCUUAUGCAUAAAAAUAUCUCAAAUAAUUAUUAGAUGAGUUAUCUCAAAAAAGGUGACUGCAGGAAACUUAAAAUUUGUGAAAUGAUCUAAAGCCGAAAAGAUAUAUCGAUGAAUUAUCUCAAAUAGCUUAUGCAUAAAAAUAUCUCAAAUAAUUAUUAGAUGAGUUAUCUCAAAAAAGGUGACUGCAGGAAACUUAAAAUUUGUGAAAUGAUCUAAAGCCGAAAAGAUAUAUCGAUGUCAAUGACCGUGUGCACUUUUUUUGCACUCCUUUUAUCAAUGGGCCUGGAUAUGUUCUAUUCGGCCCUGCCUAACUUCUAUAUGGGCCUGGCCUUUUCGGGCAACUAUGGACGAACCUUUUUUUUCCUUUUCUCCCUCUACCACUGAAACUGAAACUGAUGACGAACUGAAGAACUAAAAAACGGGGCCGAAACAGAGUGGAGAGGACAUGCUGAAUUCGUACAACGCAACACUUUUAUUCAAAUAUACAUAUCAUUAGGAUUACAAAUGAUGCCCAAUCUAUUCACUUACGACUAAUUAUCAUCACAUAAACAAAUGCGAGAGCAAUUACACAAACAUAAAAAAGUCCGGCCAUCAGCCCCAUCAAAUUGCCCUGCUUCUGCAAUUUGAUGAGUUUCUUCAUCUGCUUGUUUAGCUUCUUCAGCUCUGCCGUCACUACUGCAUCCCCCACAGUAGCCCCAAUGGAAUGGGCACAUCCAGGGGCCCCAGAUCCAGAAGCGCCCGAUCCAAACUUGCCCAACUUCUCCACCUCCAGCGGUAAAUCGAGCUCCCCUGAUGCACCCUCCAGUUGAAUCCGCUCUAUGUACUCAUUUAGCCACUCAAAAUGGGUGCAUUGCUUCAAUUUCUGAAAUUGGAAAGAUGAACCCUAAAUCCCAAAUCCGAUGAAAAAUGGGGAAAAAUUGUGAUAUGAAAUUGGGAUACAAAAACCAAAAUUGGCAUAUUGAGAAGUAAAAUCUCACCUUUCCCUGCUCUGGUUUGCUCUCGCAUUUCACGAAUUCCCGCCCAAGGUUGCCAUUCUUGUCGGUCGUUGUGACUAGCCGCUUCAGGGGUGUGAUACGUGGGCCUGCAGGGCACCUUGUCAUGGGCACUGCGCCAUAGCGCGGCCAUGAGCGGCGGGAGGCUGAAGCGGAGCUCGACAUUGCUAGGUCGCGGCCCGGAACGGCGUUGCUGCGCGUCGUCGCCGGAGAAGAAGAACAACAACGGUCGGGGAGGGGGGGUGGGGGCGGGGGCGAGGAUGGGCCACGGCUCGGGCCACGGCUCGGUGUCCUCUUGUACCAAUGCUGACCUGGAUAAGUUAGUGGGUCCCACGCAGUGGGUCCCGCUCACCUGACCAAUGCUGAGUUGGAUAAGUUAGUGGGUCCCGCGCUGUGGGUCCCGCUCACCUGAUUCGAGUUUUAAACAUGUGUCUUUGGAUUAGACAGCAGUGUCGCAUGGGAGCUAUUUUUUCCUAUGCAGAUGUCGCAUGAGAGCUAUUACAACCAACAACGUCGCAUGAGAGACAAUACACACCAACGAUGUCGCAUAGGAGCUAUUCGCCCUUUGGAAACAUUGCUAAGUUUCAUUGUUUGAAACUUAGUACGAGCGACCGAUAAAAUUUAAUUAUUUUGUGUCUACGACCAACAGGAGAAAUUGCUUAAAAUUACAUCUUUGAAACUGGUCAUUUUUUGAUGCAAAAAUGUAAGUUUCAUCAUUGAAACUUAAGGGCAUGUCCAAUGCUGGAUGCUUAUCCAGGCGCUUAUCGUGUGGAAAAAAAAAAUGCCACGAAGUUAGCUCUCGCUUGUCCAACAGCCAAUGCUAACAACGGGCGCUAACCACGGCUGGAGCUAUAGAUUAGAAAGAAAGAUCUGGUUCACUUGUACGUGAAAAAAGGAGCAAGCGCUCGAUGCCUUGCUUUGCAUCGAUGCCAGACUGAGGUGCUGGGAAUCGACAAGAUAACCGCCAAUCUACCAGGAUUAAAUUCCUAGCGCCUUCUUCUAGCGCCUCCCACUGAAAAUGCCCUAAAGGUUUUUGAGGGAUUUUUUUACUGUGUCCUACUUCACGUAUCACGAGGCAAAUCAAGUAGGCGGCAUGGCCUGGCCGGUGAGUGCCAUUGCACUUACUUGCCCCAGCGAUUUUCCGCCUGCAUUGUAGAAUUCUUUCUCCGAGUCCUGUGAAUUAAAGAUGGUGCAGACAAAAGUAUAUCCUAUAUGCGUACAUGUGCAUGAUCAGAACAUGUUUUUACGUGCGUCUACUAUAAAUCAUGACCAUUUUUAACACAAAUCAUGACCAUUCAUGAUUAGUGAAUCAUACUGUCUUAACUUAUGUGAAAUCAUGUGGAGUAAUAUAAUAUAAUAUAAUAGAUAGAUAGAUCCAUGUUGUAUCAUUACACAUUUUGAUUUAUGCAUUUGUUUACAAAAAAAACAGUAAAAUUUCAUGGUGAAAAGUUUGUAUUGUUUCAUACUGAACACCAAUGUUUUCCCGUAAAAGAAAAUAAUGCCUACGCAUAUGCUUUUAUAUUAUUAUUAUUCUUUCAAACUUAUUCAUAUAGUAUUUUUGAUUGUGCAACCAUAAUUUUUAUUAUCUCUCUUGUUCCACUACAUGCUCUUACUCAAUGAUUUUUUUAUAAUGGGUGUUUUUAUUAACUCAAAAUAUAGCAUCAAGCGGAUACAAAACAUAACGAGCCACGUCCGGUCUCUGCAUAACUAAGAUGCACACAGCCAAAAGCAGAAGUCUGACAAAAAUAAGAUAAGAAAAUCAACAUAUCGACAACAGUGAGUCAUAUAGUUCCGACACUAUGCCUCUGUUGAAGGACGGGGUGGAGCGAUCUGGAGAUUAUGCUUCCCUCCAUUUUGAGUAAAUACCUCCCUGGCCACUUGUUCCAACCGCAUAGACGCCGCCACGAAUAAUGGUUGGUACUCUGUUCGGUGUAGCAUACACCAUGUAGGAAGUGAGUGCUCACUCCUAGUUACUAAAUUAUGUACACACUAGUAGAAAAAGGGCCAUUUGUCCCGGUUCGUAAGGCCCAUUUGUCUCAGUUAGGGAACCGGGACUAAAGGGUCGGUACUAAAGCCCUACACCUUUAGUCCCGGUUCUUACACCAACCGAGACAGAUGGGGCUCCACGUGGCCGCUGCGGCUUGCCAUGGCAGGGGGGCCUUUUGUCCCGGUUGGUAGCACCAACCGGGACCAAUAAGCUACCACGCGUCAGCAUUUGAGGGGCUUGGGUUUUUGUUUUUUUCUGAAGGGGGGGAGGGGGGUUGGGGGUUUUGGGGGGUUUUGUAUGGUUAAUUUUGGGGGGUUUCAUAUAUAGUGUUAGGUAGUAAUUAAUUAAUAGAGAGAAGUGUCCUCUCUUAUCUCCGUGCUUGGUCGACGCUACGUACUAUACGUAUAGAGAGGCCCUCGACACGCUUGCCAGUAAGCAAAUGAAGGAAACCAUUAAGUACAGAAGUUCGUCAUGAACAUAUGCAUACAAACAUAAGUGAUAUCGACCUCUCCUUCUCCGAGAGAUAGGUCGAAGAACAAGUUUCCGUAUAUCUAUCCGGCGCUACUAGCUACAUAUAUACAAUAUUAAGAUCUCUUACAAUAUAAUCCCCUAAUUAUAUAUGAACUCAGCUUCCAGAUGGUAUUCUCCGGCUUUAUUGAUGACGUGGUCAAGAAAGAAUCCCUCCAAUUCCUCUUGAAUUGCUUUGAUGCGAUCUUGUGGUAGGAGUUCAUCCUGCAUCUGCCACAUCUAAUUUGAAGAAGGGGGUCAAUCACUAGUGGAAUAACAGCCAUUUGUCUAGGUUCGUAAGGCUCAUUUGUCCCGGUUGGGGAACCGAGACUAAAGGGUCGUUACUAAAGCCCUACACCUUUAGUCCCGGUUGUCGGUGUCAAAACCGGCGGAUCUCGGGUAGUGGGUCCUGAAUUGUGCGUCUAGGCCGGAUGGUAACAGGAGGCAGGGAACACGAUGUUUUACCCAGGUUCGGGCCCUCUUGAUGGAGGUAAAACCCUACGUCCUGCUUGAUUAAUAUUGAUGAUAUGGGUAGUACAAGAGUAGAUCUACCACGAGAUCAAGGAGGCUAAACCCUAGAAGCUAGCCUAUGGCAUGAUUGUUGUGUAUGGAGUUGAUUGCCUACGGACUACAACCCUCCGGUUUAUAUAGACACCGGAUAGGGUUAGGGUUACAUAGAGUCGUUUACAAUGGUAGGAGAUCUUGAAUAUCCGCAUCACCAAUCUUGCCUUCCACGCCAAGGAAAGUCCCAUCCGGACACAGGACGAAGUCUUAAAUCUUGUAUCUUCAUAGUCCAGGAGUCCGGCUGGACGUAUAGUCCGGCUACCCGAACACCCCCUAAUCCAGGACUCCCUCACCGGUUCUUACACCAACUGGGAGAGAUGGGCCUCCACGUGGCCGCUGCGGCGAGCCCAGGUAGGAGGUCCUUUGGUCCCCGUUAGUGACACUAAUACGUCUCCAACGUAUCUAUAAUUUUUGAUUGCUCCAUGCUAUUAUGUUAUCCAUUUUGGAUGUUAAUGGGCUUUAUUUUACACCUUUAUAUCAUUUUUGGGACUAACCUACUAAUCGGAGGCCUAGCCCAAAUUGCUAUUUUUUGCCUAUUUUAGGUUUUUGAAGAAGAGGAAUAUCAAACGGAGUCCAAACGGAAUGAAACCUUCGGGAACGUGAUUUUCUCAACGAACAUGAUCCAGGAGACUUGGAGUGUGCGCCAAGAAAUAAGGGAGGAAGGCACGAGGCAGGGGGGCGCGCCUACCCCCCUUGAGCAUGCCCUCCACCCUCGUGGGCCCUCCACUGCUCCACCGACGUACUUCUUCCUCCUAUAUAUAUCCACGUACCCCCCAAACAACCAGGAGCACCACGAAAACCUAAUUCCACCACCGCAACCUUCUGUACCCGAGAGAUCCCAUCUUGGGGCCUUUUCCGGAGGGGGCAUCGAUCACGGAGGGCCUCUACAUCAACUGCAUGGCCUCUCCGAUGAUGUGUAAGUAGUUUACUUCAGACCUACGGGUCCAUAGUUAUUAGCUAGAUGGCUUCUUCUCUCUCUCUUUGGAUCUUAAUACAAAGUUCUGCUCGAUUUUCUUGGAGAUCUAUUCGAUGUAAUCUUCUUUUGUGGUGUGUUUGUCGAGAUCCGAUGAAUUGUAGGUUUAUGAUCCAGAUUAUCUAUGGACAAUAUUUGAUUCUCCUCUGAAUUCUUUUAUGUAUGAUUCGUUUAUCUUUGCAAGUCUCUUCGAAUUAUCAGUUUGGUUUGGCCUACUAAAUUGAUCUUUCUUGCAAUGGGAGAAGUGCUUAGCUUUGGGUUCAAUCUUGCGGUGUUCGAUCCCAGUGACUGAAAGGGAAGCGAUAUGUAUUGUAUUGUUGCCAUCGAGGAUAAAAAGAUGGGGUUUAUAUCAUAUUGCAUGAGUUUAUCCCUCUACAUCAUGUCAUCUUCCUUAAAGCAUUACUCUGUUCUCUUGAACUUAAUACUCAAGAUGCAUGCUGGAUAGCGGUCGAUGUGUGGAGUAAUAGUAGUAGAUGCAGAAUCGUUUCGGUCUACUUGUCUGGGACCUGAUGCCUAUAUACAUGAGCAUACCUAUAUAUUCUCAUAACUAUGCUCAAUUCUAUCAAUUGCUCGACAGCAAUUCGUUUACCCACCGUAAUACUUAUGCUCUUGAGAGAAGCCACUACUGAAACCUAUGGCCUCGGGGUCUAUCUUCUAUCAUAUUAAUCCUCCAAUACUUAGUUAUUUAUAUUUCUAUCUAUUUUACUUUCCAUCUUUUAUUUCUCUUUAUCAUAAAAAUACCAAAAAUCUUAUCUUAUCAUAUCUAUCAGAUCUCACUGUUGUAAGUGACCGUGAAGGGAUUGACAACCCCUUUAUCGCGUUGGUUGCGAUGUUCUUAUUUGUUUGUGUAGGUUCGUGGGACUUGAGCGUGAUCUCCUACUGGAUUGAUACCUUGGUUCUCAAAAACUAAGGGAAAUACUUACGCUAAUUUACUUCAUCACUCUUUCCUCUUCAAGGGAAAACCAACGCAAUGCUCAAGAGGUAGUGUCGGUGUCAAAACCGGCGGAUCUCGGGUAGUGGGUCCCGAACUGUGCGUCUAGGCCGGAUGGUAACAGGUGGCAGGGAACACGAUGUUUUACCCAGGUUCGGGCCCUCUUCAUGGAGGUAAAACCCUACGUCCUACUUGAUUAAUAUUGAUGAUAUGGGUAGUACAAGGGUAGAUCUACCACAAGAUCAAGGAGGCUAAACCCUAGAAGCUAGCCUAUGGUAUGAUUGUUGUAUAUGGAGUUGAUUGCCUACGGACUACAACCCUCCGGUUUAUAUAGACACCGGAUAGGGUUAGGGUUACAUAGAGUCGGUUACAAUGGUAGGAGAUCUUGAAUAUCCGCAUCGCCAAGCUUGCCUUCCACACCAAGGAAAGUCCCGUCCGGACACGGAACGAAGUCUUCAAUCUUGUAUCUUCAGAGCCCAGGAGUCCGGCUGAAGGUAUAGUCCGGCUAUCCGAACACCCCCUAAUCCAGGACUCCCUCAGUAGCCCCUGAACCAGGCUUCAAUGACGACGAGUCCAGCGCGCAAAUUGUCUUCGGCAUUGCAAGGCGGGUUCCUCCUCCAAGUCCUUCAUAGAAGAUUGUAAGCACCAAGAGUAGUGUCCGGCUCUGCAAAAUAAGCUUCCACAUAUCGCCAUAGAGAGAAUAAUAUUAACACAAAUCAAAUCUGCUGACGUAUUCCGCAGUGCGUCAUCACACUACAGCCAAGUCCUUCACUCGAAUCGUUUUCACUUUUCCACCUCAGCGUGUUUUGCGAGGCGGUUUCCUUGGCACGUCUUGUCAAAGCAGAGAUCGUGUCCCCCUUGUUUACGGGAUUCUCGUUAAUACGGACGUGGGUAACCCAACCGCGCCACUUAUCACGGCGCUUGGGAGGCAAGCGAGUUUUACUAGGCUGGUGGGGACGCAUAGUCGCAUCCGCCCAUAUAAGGGGAUAAGGAUCCACCUUUUUACCUACGCCUUCUUCCUCCUUUGCCUAGCCAUCUUCUGCGCACCCGAGCUCUAGCGCCCCAGCCCGCGCUUCCUACCUCAACCCUCUCCAACAAUGUUCGGAGCGGGAGGCAAGUGGAUGGUCUCCUCCGUCACGGAGGGCCAUGUCAAAAGGUUAAGGAAGGCCGGAUACUUGUCCAAAGACAUCGCGCACCGGCUUCCUGAGGAGGGGCAGCUUCUCCCCACCCCAAGGCCCCAUGAGAGGGUAGUAUUUCUUCCCCACUGCCUCCGCGGACUGGGUUUUCCUCUCCACCCAUUUGUCCGCGGGCUCAUGUUCUACUAUGGCCUAGAUUUCCACGAUCUGGCCCCGUACUUCAUCCUCAAUAUCUCGGCGUUUAUCAUCGUGUGCGAGGCUUUCCUCUGCAUUCGCCCCCAUUUCGGCCUCUGGCUCACGACCUUCAACGUCAAGCCAAAGGUGGUGCGCGGUAACCAGGCGGAGUGCGGAGGUGCCAUGGCGGGCAAAAUUGCCAACGUCCUAUGGCUCGAGGGCUCCUUUGUGGAGACCUUGAAGGGGUGGCAGUCAGGGUGGUUUUACAUCACCGAGCCACGCGAUCCGAAGUGGAUCGCAGCCCCUGAAUUCCGAUCCGGACCCCCUACGCGGCUCAUGUCCUGGAAGGAGACGAGCUUGUCGUGGGGCGACGAAGGAGAGUUGACCAGACUGCAAAAAUGCAUCCAGUCCCUGGUGAACAAGCAGCUCAAGCUUGUCAACGUAAUCUAGGUCAUGCUCGUCCGCCGGAUUCUUCCGUGUCAAGAACGGGACUUCAAUUUGUGGGAGUUCAACCCGGCGCAACACCGAACUCUGAGAAGGCUCUUCAACACGACGUACGAAGAUGUCUGGAGGGGGCUAACCAAAGGCGCCGAGACUCCCACAUCCGCCUCCGAAGACCGCGGAUUCAGCUCGCAGCGUCCUGCUGGCGAGGUAAGAUAUUUCCAUCUUUUACAGGAUGUUAAGCUUUUUCAUAGUUGACUCUAUGCGGGAUCAAAACUCCCUCACCUUUGACAGGAUUGGCGGGAGAAGUCCGGACAGAUUAAAUGCCCGGCUCCCUUGCCCGAAGACCUAGCCCCUGCUCUCCUAGAGAAGCUGCUGGUUUCGGCACCUUAUGUGGUGCCGGAGAAGAGGGCCAAGAAGAAGAAGGCCACGGGGACUCGAAAGAGUUCCUGGCAUAUGGUGGUGUCGGACUCGUCGUCCGACCAGUCCGAGACGCACUCCUCCCGUGAAGACGAGGAGGAAGAGUGUCGGACUCGUCGUCCGACGAGUCCGAGACGCACUCCUCCCGUGAAGAGGAGUGGCCGGACUACGUCCCCGACGCCGACGAGGACGAAGAGGAGUGGCCAGACAGGGCCAAGCAUCCGGCGAGAUCGUAAGUGUUCGGAUACCAGAGUAACUCGUGAUAUUCCUUUUGUUGCACAGCUUUCCCUAAUGUCGGAUAUAAUCAUGCAGUCCGCCCAAGGAUGGGCUCGACGAGUCGUCGAGCGGCUCCCUGGAUUCAUCGGACGUGAAUUCAGUUCCGCCUACUGCUUCCCCCUGUGCUGCAGAUGACGCCGAAGUGGCGUCGCGACAAGCUCCGGGACGAGAGGAGGUGGUCCAGGAGGAGUCGCGAGGUGACCUCCCGGACUCCAGGAGUGAAGGGGACAAGACCCCCCUGGGAUCCAAGUUCGGCUUUAAGCCGGACACUGAGAUGGAAUCAUCAACAGUUCCGGACUGCGGUAGGCGAACUCCUACCAGGAGGAGCAAGCCUACUGAGCCGGCAUCCUCCGUCCAGCCGGAGGCGCCGGACAAUCUGCUGGAGGAGCUUAAGGGCGCCUCCACCGACGAGGAGCACCGUGCCGUCAUGAGUACGGUGAUCCAGAAGGUUCGGUCCGCCAAAAGCGGACUGACUGAAGCUUGUGCUGGCCUUCUAACAGGCUUCGAGGUAAGUAAAAAUAUGUAAAAAUAUUACCGUAUAGACAGUAGCCCCUGAUGCUCUGUUUGGCGUUUGUAAAGAAAAGCCAAAUAGAGGAUCUAUUAAAUAUCGCAGGAGUCUAACUAAAAAGGAGUCAAUAUAUGUAUGCAGGCUUCGCUGCUGGCCACCGCCGCACUGACUGCGGAGGUGGGUGCCCUGAAGGAGGGCCUCCAGCGGACCGAGCAAGAGCUCGGCCUUGCCAAACGGCAGCUCGAGGAAAAAGAAUGUAAGAGAUACCUUACAGAAAAAGUGCCUAUAAAAAGGCUUGAUUGCAAAAAGAGUAGCAGGAUUGUACUGCUUAUUGUAGGGGCCACGACUGAGGUGGCGACCUUUAAGCAGGUGUUGUCUGAGGCCGAAAAGAAAACGGCCGCGGAGCGCACCGAGCGAGACAGACUUGGGGCUCAGGUCAGCGAGGUGCAGCAAGAGCUUCAGGCUCUCAUGAAAAAACAUGAGAGUUUGAAGCUGGAGUCGAAGGCGCAAGCAUCCGAGCUUGCAACGGCCCUAGAGGCUGCCAAGUCUACCAAGGCCGAUGCCCUAAAGACCCUCCAAGAGUUGGAGGAGAUGAGGAAGAUAGCAACGGGUAAGGCAUUCUUUAUGCAAAGCAGAAAUAUAAAAGUGAACUACCUGUUACUUACCCGAAUCCGAAGCUCUCCAGGGGCAUUCGCAGAUCUUCCCUGCAGCGUAUCCGAUGCCGCCGCAUUAUACCAAGCUGAAGAGGGUAGCUCGACGGAGAAGGUGUUCUGGUUUCAGUAUUCUGAGGCCGGACACCCUGUGCCCUUGAGCAACCAGCUGAAACAGCUGGUUGAGCUCCACAAGGCGGCCAAGCAGGCCAUGAAGGGCUUCAUAGUUCGGCUGUGGCCUGGAGAGGCCCUACCUGGGAGCUAUCUCGGGCUGGUGCGGCGGCUGGUGGAGGCCUGUCCGAGGCUUGAGGUCAUCAAGUGCUCCGUCUGCAUCGAUGGUGCCCGUCGGGCCCUUGCCCGUGCAAAGGUGCACUGGGGUAAGCUGGACGGUGAGAAGCUUGUGAAGGACGGGCUGCCGCCGGGGAAGGAGCAUCGCAAGCCCGAGAACUACUACAAGGAUGUUCUUGCAGGUGCCCGCCUUAUGGCGGAUCAAUGUACCAAGGAUGUGAUAUUUGAAUGAACUCGCUCGUGUUUAUCUUGUGCGCUGAAAACUUGUUCAUAUGUGCUAAGCAAUGCUUAUUGAAUUUAAAAUAUUACUUUCUGUGCGGCCAUUUAUCAAAAAUUGAGAGAUGGCCAGUCGUCGGCUUCUGCCCCCGUGCCACUAGUGCUGGGGUGUUCGGGAUAAACCUGAGCGCUCUUUUUCCCAUAGUUGGGUCCUUCGAGGGAGGCGCUCAGCACAACGAACCAGGCAAUCGGACUAUAAUGCUUGAACACUCUCACUUAGCCAUAGAGCUCUAUAAUUUUAAAUUUCGGUGAAGCCCGUAGUUCGGAAGACCGAGUUCGGGGCGCUAUCCACGCCUUGGCCGGACAAAGCCGGCUCCUCGCUCGAAGCGGCAUAAGCCUUUAGGGACUCGAAAAACCUCUCGAACAGCGAUCGGUCUCUCGCCACAUCAUGACAGUCAGUUUUAGCUUUCUCCACUCAGGUGCUUAACCCAGGUGAACCGGGGCACAAUCGCAGUGGUUCUCCUAGUGCUACCUUAGCCGAUAGAGCGGAACGUAAGGCACCAAAACAUAGGAGCCACGCAAACCCAACUAUUGACCCAAAUCAUGAUUCGGAGCCGAUGCAUAUAGUGCUAUAAGUUCGGGGUGCCGCACUUGUGAAAGUGUACGGACUUCUCACACCAUUAUGAGCGGUACUGAAGCCCCUGGCAUGUUUGCCAUACCAUGGUGUACGGGUGCAAUCAUGUCAUUUAAUAAACAUAAAUGUGAAAAGAAGAUAAUGCAAAAAAUAGACUAGAAGCUAAGCAUUGUUUAUAGAGAGGCUAUUUAUCAAAGCCGAACGAUACAAAUAGUGCGGUAAGCAAAAGAUAUUGGACUAUUCAGUAUGUCCUGACCAGGGGCAGGCCGCGGAAUUGUAUUUAAAACAGGUAUACCGCUCGUAACAGAGACCACCUGGGAGUUCCAUAAUGCGUCAUGGCUUGUCUGCCUCCCUGGAUCUUGCAUCGUUUGUGCGGCAGUCGAAUUGCCGAACAGGUCGUCCGAAGUAUGGAGUCCUGAAAGAAGAAAAAAUUAAAAAAAGAAUCCGGCAGCCCCUAGUACGUAUUAAGCCGUAUUUUGGGCGUGUUGUUAUUGUGCCCCUUCCCCUGUGCCCAUGGUAUUUCAAGGGCGUAGUUAUGUACGUGAGGUACUGGUUUCGCUAUGUUGCGAAAGCUGGGGUUGGGGCCGCAUUGCUACGCUUGCUUAGAGUGUGCCAGGCAGUGUCUGGCUUUUUAAUGGCCGGACUGGAGAAUUGCCUGAGAAGGCUACUUUGUACCUCCGCUGCGAGAGCCGCCGUAUGCUCCUCCAUAUGGAGGGAGCGUUCGGUGUUUCCGUUGAACGUAAUUACUCCUUGAGGGCCUGGCAUCUUGAGCUUGAGAUAUGCGUAGUGCAGCACCGUGUUGAUCUUUGCGAAUGCGGUUCGUCCGAGCAGGGCAUGAUAGCCACUGCGAAACGGUACUAUAUCGAAGAUUAACUCUUCGCUUCGGAAAUUGUCCGGGGAUCGGAAGACCACAUCAAGUGUUACUGAGCAUGUACUGUUGGCUUCUACACCUGGUAUAACGCCUUUAAAGGUCGUUCUUGUGGGCUUAAUCCUUGAGGGAUCUAUGCCCAUUUUCUGCACUGUAUCCUGAUAAAGCAGGUUCAGGCUACUGCCGCCGUCCAUGAGGACUCUUGUGAGAUGAAAUCCGUCGAUGAUCGGGUCGAGAACCAAUGCGGCGAAGCCGCCAUGACGGAUGCUAGUGGGAUGGUCCCUUCGAUCGAAAGUGAUCGGGCAGGAGGGCCAUGGGUUGAACUUUGGGGCGACUGGCUCCAUCGCAUAUACGUCCCGUAGCGCAUGCUUCCGCUCCCGCAUGGGAAUGUGGGUUGCGUAUAUCAUGUUCACCGUCCACACUUGUGGGGGAAAGCCCUUCUGUCCAUUGUUGUUCGGCGGCUUGGGCUCCUCGUCGUCGCUGUGCAGCCCCUUGUCUCUGUUUUCGGCCCUUAACUUGCCUGCCUGCUUGAACACCCAACAAUCCCUGUUAGUGUGAUUGGCUAGCCUUUCGGGGGUGCCAUGUAUCUGGCACAAGCGAUCGAGUAUUCGGUCCAAACUGGACGGGCCCUGAGUAUUCUUUUUGAAUGGCAUUUUCCGCUGACCGGAUUUAUAGCCUUUGAAUCCGGCAUUGACUGCCGUGUCUUCAUUGCUGUCGCUGCUAACGCGGCGUUUUUGCUUAUUCCGAUGUGUCCUACCACUUUUGUCCUUGGUAUCCGAAUUACCAGGGUGCUUUGAUAAGUUGUUACUGCGAGCUAGCCAGCUGUCUUCUCCCGCGCAAAAGCGGGUCAUGAGUGUCGUGAGGGCUGCCAUGGAUUUCGGCUUUUCCUGUCCCAGGUGCCAGGCAAGCCACUCGUCGCAGAUGUUGUGCUUCAAGGCUGCCAGGGCCUCUGCGUCCGGACAGUCGACUAUCUGGUUUUUCUUUGUUAGGAACCGUGUCCAAAAUUGUCUGGCCGAUUCCUCUGGCUGCUGAAUUAUGUGGCUUAAGUCGUCGGCAUCCGGUGGUCACACGUAAGUGCCCUGGAAGUUGUCGAGGAAUGCGGCUUCCAGGUCCUCCCAAGAACCGAUUGAGUCUGCUGGCAAGCUGUUAAGCCAAUGCCGGGCCGGUCCUUUAAGUUUGAGCGGGAGGUAUUUGAUGGCGUGUAGAUCAUCGCCGCGUGCCAUGUGGAUGUGAAGGAGACAAUCCUCGAUCCAUACCGCCGGAUCUGUUGUGCCAUCGUAUGAUUCGAUGUUUAUGGGUUUGUAGCCCUCUGGGAUUUUAUGAUCCAUUACUUCAUUCGUGAAGCAUAGCGGGUGUGUGGCGCCUCUGUAUUGGGCUAUAUCACGACGUAGCUCGGAAGAGCUAUGUCUGUUGUGUUCGGCCCGGCCGGAUUUGUUGUAUCCAGAGUGAAGAUCAUUUUCCCGUGCCUUAGUUGAGAGGUGUCGGGGCAUGGCUUGGGUGGAGGGCCGAGACGCCUCUCUGUCGCGGCCGCGAGGUGGCCGGUCUGCCAUGUCAUGCGCUGGUGAUGUAGGUGCUUCCUCCUCUGAUCGGGGUAGCGGCCUAUGCUUCGGGUAACUCUUGGAGGGGCGUUCGAGUUCAUACUCUUCGGCCGCAAGGACUUCAGUCCAUCUGUCAGCUAGCAAAUCUUGGGCAGCUCUAAGUUGUUGCUGCUUUUUCUUGAGGCUGCUUGCCAUGGCUAAAAGCCUGCGUUUAAAAAGCUCUUGUUCGGCGGGGUCUGAUGGUAUGACGAAUUCGUCGUCAUUGAGGCUUGCCUCGUCUUCGGAGGGAGGCGUAUAGUUAUCAUCCUCGACCUUUCCGUCUGCCGCUCUCUCAUCAGGGCUGGCUUCUCCAUCUUCCUGUGCCGAAUCUUGCUGAGGUGGGUGUUCUUCGGCGCUAUCCGGGGUAGUAUUAUCUCUCAUGUCGGAAUCACCGUUUUUGCUUUGGCGGGAUUUAGAGCGGCGCCGCUGGUGCCGGCGCUUUGGCUGUUUCUUGGGGGCGUCAUCCCCCACUGUUCCAUCGCCAUCUCCAUCUUUUGGAGUAUCCACCAUAUAUAUGUCAUAUGAUAAGGUGGCCUUCCAGCGCCCUACAGGUGCUGGUUCCUGUUCGUCUCCUACAUUGUCGUCCAUGCCGUCGAUGUCUUUGGAGCUGAAGUCAACCAUGUAGGUUAGACCGUCGAUAAUGGCUACAAAGUGGGUGGUGGGUGGGCUUUGAAUUUCCUCAUCGUAUGUAUCCCACCCUCGCUGACCGUAGUCCGGCCAGGGCUCUCCUGAUAAAGAGAGAGACUUAAGAGAAUUCAGGAUGUCGCCAAAAGGCGAAUGCUGAAAGAUGUCUGUAGCGGUGAACUCCAUUAUCGGCACCCAAUCGGAUUCGAUUGGCAGGGGCGCGGGGGGUUCGGAGUCCGGGGAGGAGUCCGGAUCCUCGGAGUCACGGGUCGUGCAGAGUGCGGGGCUAGCGUUCGGCUCGAUCGCUUUCGGGAUCGCAGCCCCCGAGGUGACGUCCAACCGCUCAUCCUCGAUUGGCGCAAUAGGUUCCGAGUUAGGGGUCGGAACCGAUGCGUGUGCGGCCUCCAGGACACUGGCCGGGGGCAGAGCUAGAUCAUGCCCCUCGGGAUAGUGCGGCGUGCUUGGCCGUGGCUCGAGCCCGUCGAAGAUCAAGUCUCCGUGGAUGUCAGCCGUGUAGUUUAAGCUUCCAAACCUGACUUGAUGGCCAGGGGCGUAGCUUUCGAUCUGCUACAGGUGGCCGAGCGAAUUGGCUCAUAGAGCGAUGCCGCCGAAGACGAAGAUCUGUCCGGGGAGAAAAGUCUCACCCUGGACCGCAUCGUUGUUGAUGAUCAAAGGAGCCAUCGGGCCUAAAGGCGACGAGACAGAGGAACUCUCAAUGAAAGCACCAAUGUCAGUGUCAAAACCGGUGGAUCUCGAGUAGUGGGUCCCGAACUGUGCGUCUAGGCCGGAUGGUAAUAGGAGGCAGGGAACACGAUGUUUUAUCCAGGUUCGGGCCCUCUUGAUGGAGGUAAAACCCUACGUCCUGCUUGAUUAAUAUUGAUGAUAUGGGUAGUACAAGAGUAGAUCUACCACGAGAUCAAGGAGGCUAAACCCUAGAAGCUAGCCUAUGGUAUGAUUGUUGUAUAUGGAGUUGAUUGCCUACGGACAACAACCCUCCGGUUUAUAUAGACACCGGAUAGGGUUAGGGUUACAUAGAGUCGGUUACAAUGGUAGGAUAUCUUGAAUAUCCACAUCGCCAAGCUUGCCUUCCACGCCAAGGAAAGUCCCGUCCGGACACGGGAUGAAGUCUUCAAUCUUGUAUCUUCAUAGCCCAGGAGUCCGGCUGAAGGUAUAGUCCGGCUACCUGAACACCCCCUAAUCCAGGACUCCCUCAGGUAGCAAGAUGGAUUUCUGGCGCCAUUGCCGGGGAGAUUCGCGCCAAGUCAAGACAUACCAAGUACCCAUCACAAACCCUUAUCCCUCGCAUUACAUUAUUUUCCAUUUGCCUCUUGUUUUCCUCUCCCCCACUUCACCCUUGCCAUUUUAUGCGCCCUCUCUUUUUCCGUUCCCCUCUUUUCCACUUGCUUUGUCGUUAUGGCUAGUCCUUUAUCUACUCCUUUGUCUCCCGAGAAUGAAGUUCUUAAUUUUAAACAAAGGGAGGGAGAAAAUCUAAAAGAUGCUUGGUACAGAAUUUGCAACACACAAAUUAGAUCUACUAGGAAACAAUCUACUUUUGUUCUUCUUCACGAUUUUUAUGUAGGCAUCACACCUUGGAAUAGAUAUAUUCUUGAUGCCAUUACCGGAGGGAAUUUCUUGGGUAGCCAUACUUUUGAUUCUUAUAAUGCUAUGAUAGAUCUGUUUGGCCCACCACCUCUUUUGGUUAAUGGAACUAUUUUAACUUUGGAACAUGUGAUGCAAUGGCUUGAAAUUAGUGAAAAUAAAGUUGCCACCAUAGAGUUAAUUGAAAAUUUGGAUAGAAAGAUCCAUAACCAAAUUACCCAAUACGGAUCUAAGUUAGGAGUUGCUCUUAAAAGUUUUAAAGAAAAGGGACCUAUGGUUAAUGAAAAGAUAGAAAAGGAUUCCACUAGAAUUGAUAAAAUUGAGGAUAUUAUUACCAACCUUGGGUCUUCCUUUUCUUCUAUUAUAAAUACUCCGCCUAAUGCUAAGAUUGCCAAACUAAUGUAUGUUACAAAAAAUAAGGGUGAAACUUCUAAUAAGGAAAAUGCGGAUCUCAAAUCCAUAAGUGUUCACCCCAAUUUUCUCACUAUCCUUAAGGAACCUUUUGCUACAAAUGAUUUUCUUGAUUUCAUACCUAGGAGUUUGAUAAUUAAUAAAAACAAAGAAACUCCUAAAAGUUAUUGGUGUGUUAUUGAAGAAUCACCUUCCAAAGACGGCAAUACCUAGGUCUAUCUUCGCUUUUAUGCCUAGCUAGGGGCGUUAAACGAUAGCGCUUGUUGGGAGGCAACCCAGUUUUACUUUUAUUCCUUGAUGUUUGCUCCUAUUUAGUAAUAAAUAAUUUAUGUAGCCUAUGUUUUGGUUGUGUUUUUUGUGUUUAAUUUGUGUUUGUGCCAUGUAGAACCAUUGGGUAGACUUGGGGAAAGUCUUUUUGAUCUUGCUGUAAAAAACAGAAACGUUAGCGCUCACGAGAAUCGCUGACAUUUUUAUUUGGAAAGUGAUAUUUAGAUAAUUCUUUUUGCGGAUGAUUAAUAGAUAAAUUCCUCACGUCCAGCAAUUUAUUUUAUAAUUUUUGGGGUUACAGAAGUUCGCGUUAGGUACAGAUUACUACAGACUGUUCUGUUUUUGACAGAUUCUGUUUUUCGUGUAUUGUUUGCUUAUUUUGAUGAAUCUAUGGCUAGUCAAAGAGGUUAUAAACCGUAGAGAAGUUGGAAUACAGUAGGUUUAACACCAAUAUAAAUCAAGAUUGAGUUCAUAACAGUACCUUGAAGUGGUGUUUUGUUUUCUUUCGCUAACGGAGCUCACGAGAUUUUCUGUUUGAGUUUUUUGUUGUGAAGUUUUCAAGUUUUGGGUAAAGAUUUGAUGGAUUAUGGAACAAGGAGUGGCAAGAGCCUAAGCUUGGGGAUUCCCAUGGCACACCAAGGUAAAAUUAAAGGACACCAAAAAGCCUAAGCUUGGGGAUGCCCCGAAAGGCAUCCCCUCUUUCGUCUUCGUCUAUUGGUAACUUUACUUGGAGCUAUAUUUUUAUUCACCACAUGAUAUGUGUUUUGCUUGGAGCGUCUUGUAUGAUUUGAUUAUUUGAUUUUUAGUUUACCAAAAUCAUCCUUGCUGUACACACCUUUUGAGAGAGACUCACAUGAUUGGGAAUUUAUGAGAAUACUCUAUGUGCUUCACUUAUAUCUUUUGAGCUAUAUGGUUUUUGUUCUAGUUCUUCGCUUAUAUAUUUUAGAGAAUGGCGGUGGUUUUAUUUUAUAGAAAUAAUUGUUCUCUCAUGCUUCACUUAUAUUAUUUUGAUAGUCCUUUAGAACAACAUGGCAAUAAUAAAACUGUCAUACAAGUGCAUUGAAUACUAUGAGAAGUUUGAUACUUGAUAAUUGUUUUGAGAUAUGGAGAUGGUGAUAUUAGAGUCAUGCUAGUUGUGUAGUUGUGAAUUUGAGAAAUACUUGUGUUGAAGUUUGUGAUUCCCGUAGCAUGCACGUAUGGUGAACCGUUAUGUGACGAAGUCAGAUCAUGAUUUAUUUGUUGAUUGUCUUCCUUAUGAGUGGCGGUCGGGGAUGAGCAAUGGUCUUUUACUACCAAUCUAUCUCCCUAGGAGCAUGGGCAUAAUACUUUGCUUUGAUAACUUAUAGAUUUUUGCAAUAAGUAUGUGAGUUCUUUCUGAGCAAUGUUGAGUCCAUGGAUCAUACGCACUCUCACCCUUCCACCAUUGCUAGCCUCUCUAAUACCGUGCACUUCUCGCCGAUAUCAUACACCCACCAUAUACCAUCCUCAAAACAGCCACCAUACCUACCUAUUAUCACUAGUGCAGAACCGGGCAAUAGCACCGGUUCGUAAGGCCCUUUAGUGCCGGUUUAGGAACCGGCACUAUUAUUUCGGCACUAAACCCCCCCCCCUUUAGUACCGGUUCAGCACGAACCGGUGCUAAAGGGGUACCACGUGGCACGAGCCAGCUCCGGGGGCCGGGAGCCCUUUAGUACCGGUUGGUAAAACCAACCGGUACUAAAUGGUUGUGGGUUUUUGUUUUAUUUUGUAUUUUUCAAUUAAAUUUGUGUUAUCAAUUUAAAUUAGGAUUGUUUUACGUUAUAAUGAGUUGUAGUCGUCAUCAUCAUCAUCAUCAUCGCAUAUUAAUAAAUAAAUAAACUCUAGCUAGCUAAAAAUCAUCGUGGUCGUCUAAUUACCACUAUUUAAUCAUCAUAGUCAUUACCGCUAGCUAUGUAAUCAUCAUCAACGUUGGCUAGCUUAAAGAGGAAACAUUCACUUUGUAACAGAAGCAAAGAGAUAUCAUCAAGUUCAACAUAAUCAUCACCAACAUCGAAGUUCAGGACACGGAUCCAUGAGACGAGUACUAAUUAAGAGCAUGAAGUAGUAGCUACUGAUCCUGCUUCUCCCUCUCAGGUAGAAUAGCACAGAACAUGUAUAGCUCUCCUGAUUCAUCAUACUGAAGCAUGCAGAUGAAUCUGUCUCCUAAUCUUGGGUUGCGCUUCUCCUUACUGCCCCCUAGUACUUCUCUGCGAUCGUUAACAAUUUUGCUCCAAUCUUUCACUAUUAAGCAUUCUUCGCUUUUAGAAAUCCUGAAUGCACUCAUGUGCAAUGUAGGAAAUCUUGGUCGUAAGCUAACCAUUGACAUGCGACCUUUUGUCUCGAUCCACUAAGGCACAACUGUCAUCGGAAGUCCCUGUUGAACAACAUCGUAUAGUAAUUAAUAUACUAAGCAAUGAAAGUUUAGCUUUAAAAAUAAUGUACGCAAAAGAUGCACUAAUUAAGGACAAAUAUUUAAAAUCUUACCAUCUUUUGAUUAUAGAUGUGACCGUAGUUCAAGGCGAUCACCAUUGGUCGCACGUUUUGAGUACUAACAUUUCUAAGUUUAGAAAAAAAAUUGUCUUGACAGUAUUAAGAUCCUCAAGCCAUGAAACACAAUGACUUAUUUCCUCGCAGUUUAGUUGAGCCCCGAGGUAGUAGUAGGUCCUGUCUACCAAGCGCCGGACAUGUUUGCUUGAACCGAAAUAAGCUGACAAUACACAUCAGUUGUCAACUAUUUUUGAAUAAACUGUACGAAAGACAUAAACGUAUAUAUGCAUGCAUGGUUGAGAAAAACUCACCAAAUGGUAGAACUGGAGGCGUUUGCACAUCGACCCAGAUGUCUAUAUUACCUUCAAUAUCAUCUUCCGGACGAAUAUCAAAGGUGAUAACCAUAUCAGGCUCAAAUGCAUAAGCCUUGCAUAGUGCUUGCCAAGUUUUGCAUUCAAAAUGGGUGUAUGUGCCUCCAUUAUAUAAUUUGACGUUGAAAGUAUACCCAUGCUCCGUCUUCAAGUAAACUCUCUUUACCUCCAUAUCAUCUAUAGCACUAAAACCUAUCUUAUAUAAUACAAAAAUUCUUGUAUGGCAGGGGAUGCGCUAGUAGAAUAGUGAAAAUUUAAAAUUAUAAGUUGAAGCAAAUGAAGCAUAAGUUUUGCAUUCAAAUAAUAAUUGACAAAGUGGCUUACUGUAUCAACUUCAAAUGUCUCAUCCAGCUUGAUGUUGAAGCGCCUACCAUCAACAAGGAAAUUUUGGUCGCACAGGCCGCGCUGGUCUUCACAGUGUUCGCACAUAAUAAAAUCUUUUUAGUUGUCAGAUGACAUUUCCUAUGUUCAUAUAGGUGAAACAUUAAACACCUAUAUCUAGCCAAAUAUAUAUUCAUCUAACAUUUGACAUUAAUAUAUCUAACUAUAUAUUCAAUUGACAUUACUAUAUAUUUAACUUUUCUAUCUAAUUCAUCUAACAUUCGACAUUAAUCUAACAUUUAUAUAAACUCAAAAUAUAUAAAAAAUUAAAUAAACAGAAAAACUCAUUAACAAAUAAUAUUUUAAUUAGAUCAUCAAAUCUCAUAUACCUAAAUUUUCUUACUAAAAAUAAACUAGUUAUAUUAAUUAUUCAACUAGUUCUAAUCUNNNNNNNNNNNNNNNNNNNNNNNNNNNNNNNNNNNNNNNNNNNNNNNNNNNNNNNNNNNNNNNNNNNNNNNNNNNNNNNNNNNNNNNNNNNNNNNNNNNNNNNNNNNNNNNNNNNNNNNNNNNNNNNNNNNNNNNNNNNNNNNNNNNNNNNNNNNNNNNNNNNNNNNNNNNNNNNNNNNNNNNNNNNNNNNNNNNNNNNNNNNNNNNNNNNNNNNNNNNNNNNNNNNNNNNNNNNNNNNNNNNNNNNNNNNNNNNNNNNNNNNNNNNNNNNNNNNNNNNNNNNNNNNNNNNNNNNNNNNNNNNNNNNNNNNNNNNNNNNNNNNNNNNNNNNNNNNNNNNNNNNNNNNNNNNNNNNNNNNNNNNNNNNNNNNNNNNNNNNNNNNNNNNNNNNNNNNNNNNNNNNNNNNNNNNNNNNNNNNNNNNNNNNNNNNNNNNNNNNNNNNNNNNNNNNNNNNNNNNNNNNNNNNNNNNNNNNNNNNNNNNNNNNNNNNNNNNNNNNNNNNNNNNNNNNNNNNNNNNNNNNNNNNNNNNNNNNNNNNNNNNNNNNNNNNNNNNNNNNNNNNNNNNNNNNNNNNNNNNNNNNNNNNNNNNNNNNNNNNNNNNNNNNNNNNNNNNNNNNNNNNNNNNNNNNNNNNNNNNNNNNNNNNNNNNNNNNNNNNNNNNNNNNNNNNNNNNNNNNNNNNNNNNNNNNNNNNNNNNNNNNNNNNNNNNNNNNNNNNNNNNNNNNNNNNNNNNNNNNNNNNNNNNNNNNNNNNNNNNNNNNNNNNNNNNNNNNNNNNNNNNNNNNNNNNNNNNNNNNNNNNNNNNNNNNNNNNNNNNNNNNNNNNNNNNNNNNNNNNNNNNNNNNNNNNNNNNNNNNNNNNNNNNNNNNNNNNNNNNNNNNNNNNNNNNNNNNNNNNNNNNNNNNNNNNNNNNNNCGGCGGCGGGGACAGCGACGAUGACGACGGACGACGGUACGGGCGACGGGCGGCGACGACGGGAUCGAGCGGUCCGCGCGGCGGAGGUGGGAGACGAAGUGGGGAGUUGAAACUGAAAUUUUCGUAAGUGCUAUAUAUAUAUAUAUAUAUAUAUAUAUAUAUAUAUAUAUAUAUAUAUAUAUAUGAUUGGCCUUUAGUACCGAAUCGUGGCUCCAACCGGUACUAAAGGCCUAUUUUCGCCAGGCCAAGCGGCGGGAAACGAAGGCUUUUAGUACCGGUUGGAGCCACCAACCGGUACUAAAGGGGGGCCUUUAGUACCGGUUGGAGCCACCAACCGGUACUAAAGGCCUUGCGCUGCCACCCCAAAAUUUAGUCCCACCUCGCCCGGCGAAGGGCAGCCGCACUGGUUUAUAAACCUAGCCGCGGCUACCUCUUCGAACUCCUCUAUAUAGCAGCCUUCUGGGCCUAAUUAAUUAGGGCGCGCUGCCAUGUGAGUCUGCUGGCCCUUCUGGGCCUGCAUUUGCACACCCUAGGUCUGGUAGACCCACAGGGCAGUGCGCCAACAAAUUUUUUAUAUAGUUUUAUCUUUUCUGCAUUACUUAUUUUCUUUUAUUUAUUUUUGAGUAGUUUUUUAUAUAGUUUUUGUUUUCUGCAUUAUUUAUUUUCUUCUAUUUAUUUUUGAGUAAUUUUUUUGUAUAGUUUUUUUAUUUUCUGCAUUACUUAUUUUUGCAUAGUCCGAAACCCUGAUACUCGGAAAGAGUUUGUCCAGUUUGUACACGAAGUGCGUCCAGUUUUUGCCGUGACCCUCUCUACUCUUUCGCGCAUGCUAUGCGGGUGAUACGAUGAUACCAUGCCAAGUUUCAACAUUUUCAGGAUUCAUUUUGUAGUGAUUUUCAAUUUCACGGUCAUUUAGCUCUCUAAACAAUUAGGUAAAUGACUGAAAAACAACAAAUGAUGUCAGAACAUGUUGAAAAUUGAUGACGUCGCUUUAAAUGCUGCAUACUGAACACAAAAGAAGUCCGGAGUACAAAUAAGUUUAAAAAACAUUGAAGUGGCCAUGUAACAGAUGAGUUCUCGUCCGAAACCCUGAUACUCGGAAAGAGUAUGUCCAUUUUGUACACGAAGUGCGUCCAGUUUUUGCCGUGACCCUCUCUACUCUUUCGCGCAUGCUAUGCGGGUGAUAUGAUGAUACCAUGCCAAGUUUCAGCAUUUUCAGGAUUCAUUUUGUAGUGAUUUUCAAUUUCACGGUCAUUUAGCUCUCUAAACAAUUAGGUAAAUGACCGAAAAACAACAAAUGAUGUCAGAAUAGACUGCACUGCACAUAGCUCAGUGUAGACUACACUGCACAUAGCUCAGUGCAAUCUAUGUUAUUCCGCAAGGCUUGAAGCUAAUCAACAUGUAGAUGAGCAUUGCAAUUCUUCGUCAUUGUCUGUGCACUCACGGCUUAUAAACCGCUCAUACUGCCUCUCUCUUGGCGAGGUGGGACUAAAAACAACUUGCCAUAACCUCAUCAAUUUCCUCUUGAAGCUUGUCCUUGCCUUUUUGCUUGUAUUCUUGUGGUGGAAGAUCAUCUUGAGCUUGUGUCCCCUUGAAGGAAGUAGGAUACUUCUCUUGUUGAGGAACAAACUUUGUCUUGGGGUAUUGAUCUUCUUCCCACUCAACUCCAUUGGCAUUGAACUUUCGUUCAAAACCAACACCUUGAUUCUUCCAGUGCCUUCCUUGCUUGCGCACAAUUUCCUCGAAUUGCUUACUCCCGGCAAGGCUUUUGUACAUUCCUUUCUCUAUAAUUCCCUUCAAUAAGCUAUUUUCUUGCUCAAGUGUAACUUGGCUAAGAGAAUCAUUAGUGGAAUCAAGAGAACUACUAGAAGCAACAAUGUUAGAUCUUAUGUCACAAAAAAGAAGUCGUAUCAAACCUUUUAUGUCGGAUCUAGAACAAACCAAUCGGUAUCGCCAUCAUACAGCCCUACCGUGGCUUGUGAUGCAUAUAUAUAUGCAUAUCAAAUGCACGGUUGGGCGUAUGAUGGCGAAUCCGAAUGAUUUGUAUUCAGUCGAUGAACUGGUAGAUGUAUGCAGUCGAUGAACUGGUAGAUGUAUGUAGUCGAUGAACUGAAAGACUUAUGCAGGGAAGGCGAGAGAUGGGCUAUAUAUAGGGUCGUCUGGCUCACAAAGUGAUUGUGGUAGUUUCGAUCCAACGACUCACAUGAGCUAGGAAGAAGCACACCCUUGAUCCAACGACUCGCAAGAGCUAUAAAGAAACACACGAUCCAUGUGAUUCUUCCUGAUUGGUGGGAUGCACAUUAGUAUCGGUUUGUGCCAUGAACUGGUGCUAAAGAUUGGCAAUGAACCGGUACUAAUGGUAGCAGCCCGCCUAGCCGUUGGAAUCGGCACUAAUGGUCACAUUUGUGCCGGCUCAAAUUCAAACCGGCACUAUAAUGUGCUUCACAUUUGACUGUUUUUCUACUAGUCAAUAGAGUUUGCCAAACUUGAGUUUCCCAAGUCACUUACACAAAAAGCUAUGAUUCAUGGUUGUCAAAUCCAUAAUUUACAAACCACAACAACCUUGAGGCAUAACAAGCUUUAAAUGCUGCAUACUGAACACAAAAGAAGUCCAGAGUUUAAAUAAGUUAUUAAAAAUAAAAAAGAGGUGCAAUGCUGGUUAAUUUGCUUCAAGCUAUUCGGAAUAGUGUAGAUUGCACUAAGCCACUGCACAUAGCUCAGUGCAAUCUAUGCUAUUCCGCAAGGCUUGAAGCUAAUCAACAUGUAGGUGAGCAUUGCAACUCUUCGUCAUUGUCUGUGCACUCACGGCUUAUAAACCGCUCAUACUACCUCUCUCUUGGCGAGGUGGGACUAAAAACAUCUUGCCAUAACCUCAUUAGUACUGGUUCAUGGUACGAACCGGCACUAAAUGGUGAUGGUGGGGCCAUAGCCUGACCGCAGGCUGACACAGCCUCUUUAGUACCGGUUCGUGGCAUGAACCGGUACUAAAGGUUCGCCACGAACCGGUACUAUUGAUCGCCGCCACGAACCGGCACUAAUGUACACAUUAGUGCCGGCUCUAAUUCAAACCGGCACUAAUGUGCUUCACAUUUGACCCUUUUUCUACUAGUGUAUGGCAUUUCCAUAGCCAUUCCGAGAUAUAUUGCCAUGCAACUUUCCAUCGUUCCAUUAUUAUGACACACUUCAUCAUUGUCAUAUUUGCUUGCAUGAUCAUGUAGUUGGCAUCGUAUUUGUGCAAAGCCACCAUUCAUAAUUCUUCAUACAUGUCACUCUUGAUUCACUGCAUAUCCCGGUACACCGCCGGAGGCAUUCACAUAGAGUCAUAUUUUGUUCUAAGUAUCGAGUUGUAAUUCUUGAGUUGUAAGUAAAUAAAAGUGUGAUGAUCAUCAUUAUUAGAGAAUUGUCCCAAGUGAGGAAAGGAUGGAGACUAUGAUUCCACAACAAGUCGGCAUGAGACUCCGGACGAAAAUAAAAAAAGAGGGAAAAAAGAGAAAGGCCAUAAAAAAGAAGGCCCAAAAAAUGAGAGAAAAAGAGAGAAGGGGCAAUGUUACUAUCCUUUUUCCACACUUGUGCUUCAAAGUAGCACCAUCAUCUUCAUGAUAGAGAGUCUCCUAUGAUAUCACUUUCAUAUACUAGUGGGAAUUUUUCAUUAUAGAACUUGGCUUGUAUAUUCCAAUGAUGGGCUUCCUCAAAUUGCCCUAGGUCUUCGUGAGCAAGCAAGUUGGAUGCACACCCACUUAGUUUCUUUUGUUGAGCUUUCAUACACUUAUAGCUCUAGUGCAUCCGUUGCAUGGCAAUCCCUACUCAAUCACAUUGAUAUCUAUUAAUGGGCAUCUCCAUAGCCCGUUGAUACGCCUGUUCUGGAGCUCCGCCAGAGGGGGCAUCGAUCACGGAGGGCUUCUACAUCAACAGCAUAGCCUCUCCGAUGAAGUGUGAGUAGUUGACCUCAGACCUACGGGUCCAUAGUUAUUACCUAGAUGGCUUCUUCUCUCUUUUUGGAUCUCAAUACAAUGUUCUCCCCCUCUCUUGUGGAGAACUAUUCGAUGUAAUCUUCUUUUUGCGGUGUGUUUAUUGAGAUCGAUGAAUUGUGGGUUUAUGAUCAAGUCUAUCUAUGAAUAAUAUUUGAAUCUUCUCUGAAUUCUUUUAUGUAUGAUUGUUUAUCUUUGCAAGUCUCCUCGAAUUAUCAGUUUGGUUUGGCCUACUAGAUUGAUCUUUCUUACAAUGGGAGAAGUGCUUAGCUUUGGGUUCAAUCUUGCGGUGUCCUUUCCCAGUGACAGCAGGGGCAGCAAGGCAUGUAUUGUAUUGUUGCUAUCGAGGACAACAAGAUGAGGUUUUCAUCAUAUUGCAUGAGUCUAUCCCUCUACAUCAUGUCAUCUAGCUUAAGGCGUUACUCUGUUUUUAACUUAAUACUCUAGAUGCAUGCUGGAUAGCGGUCGAUGAGUGGAGUAAUAGUAGUAGAUGCAGGCAGGAGUCGGUCUACUUGUCUCGGACGUGAUGCCUAUAUACAUGAUCAUACCUAGAUAUUCUCAUAAAUAUGCUCAAUUAUGUCAAUUGCUCAACAGUAAUUUGUUCACCCACCAUAGAAUUAUUAUGCUCUCGAGAGAAUCUACUAGUGAAACCUAUGGCCCCCGGGUCUAUCUUUAUCAUAUUAAUCUCCUACUACUUAGUUAUUUCCUUUGCUUUUUCCUUUGCCUUUAUUUUACUUUUCAUCUUUAUCACAAAAAUACCAAACAUAUUAUCUUUAUCAUAUCUAUCAGAUCUCACUCUCAUAAGUGGCCGUGUAGGGAUUGACAACCCCUAUUCGCGUUGGUUGCGAGGAUUUAUUUGUUUUGUGCAAGUACGAGGGACUCGCGCGUAGCCUCCUACUGGAUUGAUACCCUUGGUUCUCAAACUGAGGGAAAUACUUACGCUACUUUGCUACAUCAUCCCUUCCUCUUCGGGGAAAACCAACGCAGUGCUCAAGAGGUAGCAAGAAGGAUUUCUGGUGCCAAUGCCGGGGAGGUCUACGCAAAAGUCAACAUACCAAGUACCCGUCACAUACCCUUAUCUCCCGCAUUACAUUAUUUGCCAUUUGCCUCUCGUUUUCACCUCCCCCACUUCACCCUUGCCAUUUUAUUCGCCCUCUCUCUCUCUCUAUCCUCCCUCUCUUUCUCUAUUUGCCUCUUUUUUCCCGCUUGCUUUCUGUUUGCUUGUGUGUUAGUUGCUUGCUUGUCACGAUGGCUCAAGAUAAUACUAAAUUAUGUGACUUCACCAAUACCAACAACAAUCAUUUUAUUAGCACUCCGAUUGCUCCUCUUACCGAUGCUGAAUCUUGUGAAAUUAAUACUGCUUUGCUGAAUCUUGUCAUGAAAGAUCUGUUUUCCGGCCUUCCUAGUGAACAUGCCGGUACCCACCUAAAUAGAUUCAUUGAUUUGUGUGACAUGCAAAAAAAAGAAAGGUGUGGAUAAUGAUAUUGUUAAAUUGAAGCUAUUUCCUUUUUUGCUUAGAGAUCGUGCUAAAGCUUGGUUUUCGUCUUUGCCUAAAAAUAGUAUUGAUUCAUGGAAUAAGUGCAAAGAUGCUAUUAUCUCUAAGUAUUUUCCUCCUACUAAGAUCAUCUCUCUUAGAAACAAUAUUAUGAAUUUUAAGCAACUUGAUCAUGAACAUGUUGCACAAGCUUGGGAGAGAAUGAAACUAAUGGUACGUAAUUGCCCUGCCCAUGAUUUAAAUUUGUGGAUGAUUAUACAAAAAUGUUAUGCCGGAUUGAAUUUUGCUUCUAGAAAUCUUUUAGAUUCGGCCGCGGGAGGCACUUUUAUGGAAAUCACUUUAGAAGAAUCUACUAAACUCCUAGAUAAUAUUAUGGUUAAUUAUGCUCAACGGCAUAGUAAAAUAUCUAAUAAUAAAAAGGUGCAUGCGAUACAAGAAAUUAAUGUUUUGAGUGGAAAGAUGGAUGAACUUCUGAAAUUAUUUGCUAAUAAGAGUGUUUCUUCUGAUCCUAAUGAUAUACCCUUGUCUACUUUGAUUGAGAAUAGUAAUGAAUCUAUGGAUGUGGAUUUUGUUGGUAGGAACAAUUUUGGUAACAACGCGUAUAGAGGAAAUUUCAACCCUAGGCCUUAUCCUAGUAAUCUCUCUAAUAAUUAUGGUAAUUCCUACAACAAUUCUUAUGGAAAUUAUAAUAAGAUGCCCUCUAAUUUUGAAUCUAAUAUUAAAGAAUUUAUUACUUUGCAAAAGAAUUUCAAUACCUUGAUUGAAGAAGAACCGCUAGGAUGCGUGCUAAGAAAGAUGCCUUUAUAAGAGCGUGUUCUUCUAGUUCCUAUGAAAAUAAUGAUGAAGAUCUAAAAGUUAUUGAUGUGUUCCCUAUUAAAUCUUUGUUUUUCAACAUGGAUCUUGAUAAUGAUGGGAUUGAAUAUGAUCCACCUUUACCUAUAAGGCGUUCCAAGAAUUCAGAAUUUGUUGAUCUUGAUGCUAAAAUUGAUAAAGGUGGGAUUGAAGAAAUUAAAACCCUAGAUGUUGCUAAACCCACUAUUAUGGAUUUCAAGGAAUUUAACUAUGAAAAUUGCUCUUUUAUUGAUUGUAUAUCCUUUUUACAAUCCGUGCUAAAUUCUCCUCAUGCUUAUAGUCAAAAUAAAGCGUUUACUAAACAUAUCGUUGAUGCCUUGAUGCAAUCUUAUGAAGAAAAACUUGAAUUGGAAGUUUCUAUCCCUAGAAAGCUUUAUGAUGAGUGGGAACCAACUAUUAAAAUUAAAAUUAAAUAUCAUUAAUGCUAUGCUUUAUGUGAUUUGGGUGCUAGUGUUUCCACGAUUUCAAAGACUUUGUGUGAUUUGUUAGGUUUCCGUGAUUUUGAUGAUUGCUCUUUAAACUUGCGCCUUGUGGAUUCCACUAUUAAGAAACCUAUGGGAAGAAUUAAUGAUGUUCUUAUUGAUGCAAAUAGGAAUUAUGUGCCUGUAGAUUUUAUUGUUCUUGACAUAGAUUGCAAUCUUUCAUGUCCUAUUAUUCUUGGUAGACCUUUCCUUAGAACGAUUGGUGCAAUUAUUGAUAUGAAGGAAGGAAAUAUUAGAUUCCAAUUUCCAUUAAGGAAAGUCAUGGAACACUUUACUAGAAAGUAAAUUAAAUUACCUUAUGAAUCUAUUAUGAUAGCCACUUAUGGAUUGCCUACCAAAGAUGGCAAUACCUAGAUCUAUCCUUGCUUGUUAUGCCUAGCUAGGGGCGUUAAACGAUAGCGCUUGUUGGGAGGCAACGCAAUUUUGUUUUUAUUCCUUGAUUUUUGCUCCUGUUUAGUAAUAAAUAAUUUAUCUAGCCUCUGUUUUGGUUGUGUCCUUUGUGUUUAAUUAGUGUUGGUGCCAAGUAGAACCGUUAGGAAGACUUGGGGAAAGUCUUGUUACACUUGCUGUAAAAAACAGAAACUUCAGCGCUCACGAGAACUACUGCCAUUUUUAUUUGGAAAGUUCUAUUUAGUUAAUUAUUUCUGCAGAUGAUUAAUAGAUAAAUUCCUCACGUCCAGAAAUUUAUUUUAGAAUUUUUGGGGUUCCAGCUCUUGAGCUAGGUACAGAUUACUACAGACUGUUCUGUUUUUGAAAGAUUUUGUUUUUCAUGUGUUGUUUGCUUAUUUUGAUGAACCUAUGGCUAGUAAAAUAGUUGAUAGACCAUAGAUAAGUUGGAAUACAGUAGGUAUAACACCAAUAUAAAUAAAUAAUGAGUUCAUUAUAGUACCUUGAAGUGGUCUUUUAUUUUCUUUCGCUAACGGAGCUCACGAGAUUUUCUACUUUAAGUUUUGUGUUGUGAAGUUUUCGAGUUUUGGGUAAAGAUUUGAUGGUUUAUGGAACAAGGAGUGACAAGAGCCUAAGCUUGGGGAUGCCCAUGGCACCCCCAAGAUAAUCUAAGUACACCUAAAAGCCAAAGCUUGGGGAUGCCCCGGAAGUCAUCCCCUCUUUCGUCUACUUCUAUCGGUAACUUUACUUGGAGCUAUAUUUUUAUUCGCCACAUGAUAUGUGUUUUGCUUGGAGCAUCUUGUAUUAUUUGACUCUUUAUUUGUUAGUUUACCACAAUCAUCCUUCCUGUACACACCUUUUUUAGAAUACUCUAUGUGCUUCGCUUAUAUCUUUUGAGUUAUAUAGUUUUGCUCUAGUACUUCACUUAUAUCUUUUAGAGCACGGUGGUGGAUUUGUUUUAUAAAAACUAUUGAUCUCUCAUGCUUCACUUAGAUUAUUUUGAGAUGCUUAAUAGCAUGGUAAUUUGCUUAAAAUCCUAAUAUGCUAGGUAUUCAAAGUUAGUAUAAUUUUCUUAAGAGUGUUUUGAAUACUAAGAGAAGUUUGAUGCUUGAUGAUUGUUUUGAGAUAUGGAGGUAAUAAUAUCAAAGUCGUGCUAGUUGAGUAGUUGUGAAAUUGAGAAAUACUUGUGUUGAAAUUUGCAUGUCCCGUAGCAUGCACAUAUGGUAAACGUUGUGUAACAAAUUUGAAACAUCAGGUGUUAUUUGAUUGUCUUCCUUAUGAGUGGCGGUCGGGGACGAGCGAUGGUCUUUUCCUACCAAUCUAUCCCCCUAGGAGCAUGCGCGUAGUACCGAGGUUUUUGAUCACUUGUAGAUUUUUGCAAUAAGUAUGUGAGUUCUUUAUGACUAAUGUUGAGUCCAUGAAUUAUACGCACUCUCACCCUUCCAUCCUUGCUAGCCUCUUCGGUACCGUGCAUUGCCCUUUCCCACAUUGAGUGUUGGAGCAAACUUCGCCGGUGCAUCCAAACCCCGUGAUAUGAUACGCUCUUUCACACAUAAACCUCCUUAUAUCUUCCUCAAAACAGCCACCAUACCUACCUAUUAUGGCAUUUCCAUAGCCAUUCCGACAUAUAUUGCCAUGCAACUUUCCACCAUUCCGUUCAUCAUGACACAUUCAUCAUUGUCAUAUUGCUUAGCAUAAUCAUGUUGUUGACAUAGUAUUUGUGGCAAGGCCACUGUUCAUAAUUCUUUCAUACAUGUCACUCUUGGUCCAUUGCAUAUCCCGGUACACCGCUGGAGGCAUUCAUAUAGAGUCAUACUUUGUUCUAGUAUCGAGUAGUAAUUAUUGAGUUGUAAAUAAAUAGAAGUGUGAUGAUCAUCAUUAAUAGAGCAUGGUCCCAAAGAGAGAAAAAAGGAAGGGCCAAAAAAGGCCAAAUAAAAAAUAUAAAAAAGGGGGGCAAUGCUACUAUCCUUUUUUCCACACUUGUGAUUCAAAGUAGCACUGUAAUCUUCAUGAUAGAGAGUAUCUUGAUUUGUCACUUUCAUAUACUAGUGGGAAUUUUUCAUUAUAGAACUUGGCUUGUAUAUUCCAACAAUGGGCCUCCUUAAGUGCCCUAGGUCUUCGUGAGCAAGCAAGUUGGAUGCACACCCACUUAGUUUCUUUUGUUGAGCUUUCAUACAUUUAUAGCUCUAGUGCAUCCGUUGCAUGGCAAUCCCUACUCCUUGCAUUAACAUCAAUCGAUGGGCAUCUCCAUAGCCCAUUGAUUAGCCUCGUUGAUGUGAGACUUUCUCCUUUUUGUCUUCUCCACAUAACUCCACUCAUUAUAUUCUAUUCCACCCAUAGUGUUAUGUCCAUGGCUUGCAAUCAUAUAUUGCGUGGAAGUUUAUAGGUUUGAGAUCACUAAAGUAUGAAACAAUUGCUUAGCUUGUCAUCGGGGUUGUGCAUGAUGAGAGCGUUGUUGUGUGACAAAAAUGAAGCAUGACUAAACUAUAUGAUUUUGUAGGGAUGAACUUUCUUUGGCCAUGUUAUUUUGAGAAGACAUAAUUGCUCAGUUAGUAUGCUUGAAGUAUUAUUAUUUUUAUGUCAAUAUGAACUUUUGUCUUGAAUCUUUCGGAUCUGAAUAUUCAUAUCACAAUUAAGAAGAAUUACAUUAAAAUCAUGCUAAGUAGCACUCUGCAUCAAAAAUUCUGUUUUUAUCAUUUACCUACUCGAGGACGAGCAGGAAUUAAGCUUGGGGAUGCUUGAUACGUCUCCAACGUAUCUAUAAUUUUUGAUUGCUCCAUGCUAUAUUAUCUACUGUUUUGGACAAUAUUGGGCUUUAUUAUCCACUUUUAUAUUAUUUUUGGGACUAACCUAUUAACCGGAGGCCCAGCCCAGGAUUGCUGUUUUUUGCCUAUUUUAGGGUUUCGAAGAAAAGGAAUAUCAAACGGAGUCCAAACGGAAUGAAACCUUCGGGAACGUGAUUUUCUCAACGAACAAGACCCAGGAGACUUGGACCCUCCGUCAAGACACAAAAGAGGAGGCCACGAGGUAGGGGGCGUGCCUACCCCCCGGGCGCGCCCUCCACCCUCGUGGGCCCCCUGUUGCUCCACCGACGUACUCCUUCCUCCUAUAUAUACCUACGUACCCCCAAAUGAUCAUAUACGGAGCCAAAACCCUAAUUACACCGCCGCAACAUUUUGUAUCCACGAGAUCCCAUCUUGGCGCCUGUUCCGGAGCUCCGCCGGAGGGGGCAUCGAUCAUGGAGGGCUUCUACAUCAACACCAUAGCCUCUCCGAUGAAGUGUGAGUAGUUGACCUCAGACCUACGGGUCCAUAGUUAUUACCUAGAUGGCUUCUUCUCUCUUUUUGGAUCUCAAUACAAUGUGCUCCCCCUCUCUUGUGGAGAACUAUUCGAUGUAAUCUUCUUUUUGUGGUGUGUUUGUUGAGACCGAUGAAUUUUGGGUUUAUGAUCAAGUCUAUCUAUGAAUAAUAUUUGAAUCUUCUCUGAAUUCUUUUAUGUAUGAUUGGUUAUCUUUGCAAGUCUCUUCGAAUUACCCGUUUGGUUUGGCCUACUAGAUUGAUCUUUCUUGCAAUGGGAGAAGUGCUUAGCUUUGGGUUCAAUCUUGCGGUGUCCUUUCCCAGUGACAGUAGGGGCAGCAAGGUACGUAUUGUAUUGUUGCCAUCGAGGACAACAAGAUGGGGUUUUCAUCAUAUUUUAUGAGUCUAUCCCUCUACAUCAUGUCAUCUUACUUAAGGCAUUAAUCUGUUUUUAACUUAAUACUCUAGAUGCAUGCUGGAUAGCGGUCGAUGAGUGGAGUAAUAGUAGUAGAUGCAGGCAGGAGUCGGUCUACUUGUCUCGGACGUGAUGCCUAUAUACAUGAUCAUACCUAGAUAAUCUCAUAACUAUGCUCAGUUCUGUCAAUUGCUCAAUAGUAAUUUGUUCACCCACCGUAGAAUACUUAUGCUCUUGAGAGAAGCCACUAGUGAAACCUAUGGCCCCCGGGUCUAUCUUUAUCAUAUUAAUCUCCUACUACUUAGUUAUUUCCUUUGCUUUUUUACUUUGCCUUUAUUUUACUUUGCAUCUUUAUCACAAAAAUAAAAAUAUCUUUAUCAUAUCUAUCAAAUCUCACUCUCGUAAGUGGCCGUGUAGGGAUUGACAACCCCUAUUCACGUUGGUUGCGAGGAUUUAUUUGUUUUGUGCAGGUACGAGGGACUGGCGCAUAGCCUCCUACUGGAUUGAUACCUUGGUUCUCAAAACCUAAGGGAAAUACUUACGCUACAUUGCUGCAUCAUCCCUCACUCUUCGGGGAAAACCAACGCAGUGCGCAAGAGGUAGCAAGGGUUCCUUUUUGUCGACGAUCUGAUGUUUCAACCUUGUUUUCCAGGCGGCCAACGCAUCGCUCAACUUGGUCAUGGCGUGUUUGUUUAUCUUCGUCAUUGCCAGGUCCUUAUCUGGAUCUUUAUUAUCCUUUUCAUUACGGUCCGGGAACAAGAAUAUCUGGUGCAGCUUCUUUAGGAGGGAGGGCCUCUGGUGCAGCUUCUAUAGUUUCCCAUCGUUGAUCAUGGCAGUUGUCCGUACAAUGCAACCUAUUUGAUUGCCGUAGCACGAUUGCGCUUCCUCGGGUGCUAUUGUCUCAAAAAUACCGUCGUCCAUCUCCGUGACCACCAGUCUAGUACUCAUGAGCUGGUUUAGGCGUCGUGGCCUCUUUGCUUUCGGUUCUAGACUAACUCCGCUAGUCUCGGCGCUGGUCUCAGUCUCAUCGCCGGUCUGCAUGUCGGUAUCAGUCCCUGAUGCGACAACACAGUCGCUGCAACAUGGGUAAGGGAGACCACAUCAGUGCUGGGGGGUCCGAAAAUCGGGACACACUUUCGCGCGUCGCGGGCCGCCUCUCAGACAGCUACUGGGGAGGCGGCGGAGUACCUGGGUGCGCCGCGAAUCCCCGGGAACUCGGUGACCAACUUCCUUCCCGUGUGGCGCAUGGAGACGACAGCGACCCCGGCGAAGAGUAGCUUAGCCGCGAGCUGCACAGCCUCGUCCACCUCCUAAGUUGGGACCUCCGCGCAAGCGUUGCGGGGCCGCCGCUCGGGUGGCUUCUGGAAGGCGGUUGUACAUGGGCACAGGGUGAAUCCCGACUAGAGCUGGCCAUUGGCGCGCGCAAGUAGACGACGACGUCCCCGACGAAGAGCUGCCCGGCCAGCUCGCCUCACUCUCCUUUGAUUAGAAAUGAAAGAUUGGGAAGAAGCAGACUUGAGCCUGCAGAGAAAGGAUAAGGUGACGAUGCAGUCUCCACUCGUUCGGGGCGACACGCGUACUGAAUGUAUGAGAAACGUGACGUGGCAGAGACCCCAAGAUACUCCCUCCAUUUAUUUUUAGUCUGCAUAUAAAGUUUGGUCAAAGUCAAGAUUUGUAAAUUUUAACUAACUUUAUAAUAAAAAAAUAUCAAUAUUCACAAUAUGAAAUCAAUAUUACCAGAUGCGUCAUGAAAUGUAUUUCCAUACUAUAAAGUUUUGGUAUUGUAGAGGCACUCUUCCAUAUAAUGAAGUUUAUAAUAUAUGUGCUUAUAUUGUACUACAAUUGUUUGAAUAGCUUAGCAUAUGUUCAGAUGUAUGAUAUCUGUAAUUUAAGCGCUUGAAUUUUACAUAUAAAUAUUUAUUAAUAAAUAUGUACCCCUAUAAUAGCUAGGCCGUGCAGUUGCACGGGUAGAUGACUAGUGAUUACAAUCUUGUUUGUGUGCAAGUCAAGCUUAUCUAGUUUACACGUAACAACUUGUAGAACAUUACAAAAUUUAUGCUUGCUAAUAACUUCUAGAACACUACAACACUUGACAUGUAAAAGGAAUUUGACGAGUCAUGGCCUACUAAAGCAAGUUACAUUACUAGUCUUAUCUAUCUUAACAGACCACACAAGAUUACAAACUAAGUACCGUGACAGCCAUACUUAUCUAGUUUAUGCGUAACAAUUUGCAGAAAAUUAGAAACUUAGUUUCAGAAAAAUACGCAAUCUAGAUUAGUGUUUGAGCUGUAAAGUGAAUAAGAUGAGUCAUGCAUGUUAUCACACCUUUUUGGUGGUGGAAUGAUAGUGCAACAACAAGGAACUUUAAUGACCAGUCCAAGAAUACACUUGUAAGUAGUGCCACCAAACAGAACAUUCCAAAUGAUGAUUUUUAGAAGCAUCCAAGCACUUUCCACACAAACAAAUGCCAAUUGUGAAAGAGAUCAUUCCAUGGCAGCUAUAAAUAGCCCCAUAGCAUGACGAUCAUCCUUCCUCAUCCAUCAUUCUCAUUAGUAGAGCGCAUCAUUUAAGCCAAGCAAGCUGUGGUCAAUACAAAUCCACCAUGAAGACCUUUCUCAUCCUUGCCCUCCUUGCUAUCGUGGCGACCACCGCCACAACUGCAGUUAGAGUUCCAGUGCCACAAUUGCAGCCACAAAAUCCAUCUCAGCAACAGCCACAAGAGCAAGUUCCAUUGGUACAACAACAACAAUUUCUAGGGCAGCAACAACCAUUUCCACCACAACAACCAUAUCCACAGCCGCAACCAUUUCCAUCACAACAACCAUAUCUGCAGCUGCAACCAUUUCCGCAGCCGCAACUACCAUAUUCGCAGCCACAACCAUUUCGACCACAACAACCAUAUCCACAACCGCAACCACAGUAUUCGCAACCACAAGAACCAAUUUCACAGCAGCAGCAACAACAACAACAACAACAACAAAUCCUUCAACAAAUUUUGCAACAACAACUGAUUCCAUGCAUGGAUGUUGUAUUGCAGCAACACAACAUAGCGCAUGGAAGAUCACAAGUUUUGCAACAAAGUACUUACCAGCUAUUGCAAGAAUUGUGUUGUCAGCACCUAUGGCAGAUCCCUGAGCAGUCGCAGUGCCAGGCCAUCCAAAAUGUUGUUCAUGCUAUUAUUCUGCAUCAACAACAAAAACAACAACAACAACCAUCGAGCCAGGUCUCCUUCCAACAGCCUCUGCAACAAUAUCCAUUAGGCCAGGGCUCCUUCCGGCCAUCUCAGCAAAACCCACAGGACCAGGGCUCUGUCCAGCCUCAACAACUGCCCCAGUUCGAGGAAAUAAGGAACCUAGCGCUACAGACGCUACCUGCAAUGUGCAAUGUCUACAUCCCUCCAUAUUGCACCAUCGCGCCAUUUGGCAUCUUCGGUACUAACUGAGAAGAAAAUAACUCUAGUACUAGAUAUAUGAAACACCGUUUUCUCAGUCCAUGGUUUGGUCAUUGUAGCGUUGAAAAAAUAAUGUGACAUGCACUAUCAUGUAAGAAUCCGAACUAUACUAGUUCAAACUUGGGAAUAAAAGACAAACACAGGUCUUGUCUACAUAUUUAUGUUGCAUCUAUUUAUAUAUUAAAAGUAAUAUAAGGUGAACCAGGAGCAAGGUAAAUAUGCUAGAAAAUUGCACGUUAAUUAGAAAUUACUAGCCCUCGAUCUGGUAAAUCUUAACAAAUAGAAUUAUCUUCACCGUUAGAUUUAUGUAACAUAUAUAAUGCUCUGGGCCUCCAACGACUGUACGUGACACAUCUGAAUGAACAUAUGUUAAAGAAAAUAUAUUUGGUAAAUGGUGGGCCUGUUUAAAAAGAGAACUCACGUACAUGCACCAACUAAGAAAAACACAUACAUGUAAACGGGAAAAGGAUGAGAUUUUCUCACGUACGUGCUCCCUGGCUCCACCCCGUUGAAAAAAUAUACAUCUGGAGGCCACUUUGUUUCCUCAUCAAAAAAAACUUACGUUAAAAAGAUUGCAUGCAUCCCAGGGAAAAUAGUCAAGAAGAAGUCGGACUUUUCCUUACAAAAACAAGGAACGUGUUAAGUUGACUUCAAAGAAAAAAGGAACAUGUUAAGUUAAAAAAAACAAGAAACCUGUUAAGUUAGAAAAAAACAGGGAACGUGGUGUCCUAGGAAAGAUAUGUGUCAAAUCUUACAAAAAAAAAGAAUACACACACGUACGUUCAUGCACUUGGAAAAUAGAAGAAAAAAAAGGAAACAUCACGUAUGUAUACACUUCGGAAACUCAUUACAUGACCAUGUCUGAUAUACUCCUCUAAUGCUUAAUAUUAGUGCCUAAUAAUUUAUAUUUGAAAUUUAAUUUACUGAUCAAAUAUCCCCACUGUUUAAAUUUUAAUUUGGCACAUUGUUUGGCUAUAGUAUGAACCUAAAUUUCCUCUUAUUAUUAUAUAUCAUGGUAAUAAUCCAAAGGCGACUAAUCUGCACCGGGGCACCCGCGCAAUCAAUUCGGCUAGACACAGCGCAGCCGUUUGAUUAGAUUGCAUUUAACCGUCAGAUCUGGAAUCGUUUUCUUUCCAAUUAAACAGAUUCAACCAAACAGCAGAGGGGAAAACAAAGCAGCGCCGCCGCCAACACUAGCCAUGGACGACUGAUGUAGCAAAACCUUGAAGAACCGCCGCCGGUCGCCACCCUCGCCGCUGGUCGCAGCCCUCGCCGUCGGUCACCGCCGGUCGCCGCCCUCGCCGCCUGCGUUUCUCAUCGGCUUCAUGCAUGCAACAACAUGCACUCGUGGUUGCAGGCUUGCAUCUCCGGCUCUGGGGGACAUGGCCGCAUCUCCGGUAGCGCCGGCCGCCGGCCGCAGCACCUGUCGUUGUGGUCGCGCUGUACCUCGCCGUGUGCCCUCCCGAGGCUCUUGCUAGUUCCAACAAAAAACGAUACCUGUUGUAGCAAAAAAGUAUCGCUUCCAGCAAAAAAAGCUUACCGCUACAGCCCGCCAUCGUCAUUGUAGCAAAAAUGUUUACCCGAUGUAGCUUCUGUGGUUGCCGAUUGCAGCAAAAAAUGACAUGGUUGUAGCAAAACACAAAAGAAAAACGCCGGCCGGCCGCUGUGUAUGGUGGUAACAAACCCUAUAGCCGGUGGUAGCGAAAAACUUCAUAGUUUGCAGCAAAAAAAAAUGUUGUCACCCGUCGUCGAGGUUGCAUCAUCUUCAAGAAUUAUGUCGCAAAAAAACGUUGUCGCCGGUAGUAGCAAAUGAAGCCGCCGGUAGUAGCAAAACAAGACACUGGUUCCAGCCAAAAAAAAUCAGCGACAGAACCUUUGGUUGGUUCCAACAAAAAAACUUGUUGGUUGUAACAUCCCUCACCGCCGGAUGUAGCAUCUCCCGGGGCUGGUUGCAACACUCCAUAAAAAAAAGUUGUCUAUGAGCGCAUCCAUGGCGACUGUUGCACCGUCAGCAACGAGGGGAAGAGGAGGCAAUGAAAAUCGUUCGAGUCAUAGCUCCACAGGACGCAACUGCAGCAUGGGGAGUCCAAAAAUCUGUCACAAGCAAGAUGCGCCUCGCCAUCCUCCUGCGCAGGAGAGAGAAGAAAAAGGAAUAAGAGGAAGAAGAAAGGAAACGGGAGAAAGAAAAAAGAAACGAUUGAUGGUUGGCUCAGGCAAUUAGUCAAACGAGGGGCACGCGGGGCCGCAGGAUACAGCGCAAUCGAACGAAGCGUGCGCGUCCGGCCGAAGACUCGGCUGGACUGCCGGCUGGAAACGUUUCCCUAAUCCAAAGGCUUUGUCUGAAUGACAAGUCGUCUGGGUUACCGGCUAACUAGAAAAAAGAUAAAUAUGCUAGAGAAUUCCAUAAUAAUUAAAAAUAUCUAGCCUUUAAUUAUGUAAAUCAGAAAAUCACAACCGUUGGAUUUACUUUAAAGGUAAAUUUCUCUAAAUUCCCACCAUUGCCAGUAUGUAGAAACAUGUGCUGCUUCAAUUCUCCCUUAAUCACCAAUCAAUCAACAACACAAAACAUACCUUAGUUAAAAAAAACUGAACAAAAAAAAAGAAAAAAAGAAGAAAGGACAAGAUACACGCAUGUACACGACAGCCUUGGCUUGAAACACAUCAGUAGAUCAAGUGUCCGCCUCCCUUACACAGAAUAAAUUCUAGGGAAGAAAAUAAUAGUGCAACCUAACCUUAUACGUACUAUUCUAUCCUCGAGUCCCAUGUGGUUUACAAGCCUACCGCCGCCGCAUCAUGCCAUCCUCUCCUUUCAGCUCCCAUGCUCUCCAGCACCCUCCUUGCCGCGCCACUACUCGCCUAGGGAUAUUGCUGCUCAGGCCGUGGAGCUUAACCUGCUUCUUCUUCAGCAAAUAUGGAACUGCUUUAGGAUCCUUCUCACAUCAGCACGUAUGGGCCUCAUUAUACUGCAGCUCCUGGACCUCCUACAAUUGGUUGGCUAUGGCCAGUUGAUCGAUGUGCUGAAGUCCAGGUCUGUUUGCUGGCACAUAUGCUUUGGAAAUAGGCCACUAUGUUUGUACUUCAAAAUUGUUUCUGUAUUCUUGAGUGGUACAUCCUUUUAAGCGCCAGUUUUUUAUGUUAAUUCAUGCUGACAACACUUAACCUAGCCUUUUCAUGUUCACGUAAUUGCUCUGCAUGUUCUACAUAGGAAAAUUUGUCAUGUUCUACGAUCGCACCAUCCCACCCUUCUCUCUUGGUAUGGGCGCCAAUUGAGGGAUUGAUAAAACUGAAACGAAGACGUCACAGGGCUGGAAGUACCGCUAGCCUGGUUCGCACUGCAACCUACCCAACGCGAUUGGAGCAGGUGGCUAUGGAGAUUUUACCCAACAUGGGUGGCAGCAUAAUCUCCGGAUCGGUCCACCAACCGUUUCGACAUAGGCAUAUUGUCGGUCUAUAGGACUCUACUGUUGCCGAAUUGUCGGGUUUUUUUCUUAUCAGAUUUUUUAUGUUUGGCUGUGUGCAUCCUAGUUAUGCAGAGGCCGGGUGGUACUCUAAAUGCUUUGUAUCGCUUGAUGCUACAUUUUGAGAUAAUAAAAACGUCCUUUAUCAAAAAAAAAUUGUAAGUACUACCCCUUGCAUGUGCGUACAUACCUUUGUUGCAUUCUCAAACAGAUAGAACAUGUAUGAUCGGUGCAUGGCUAUUUUUCAUCACAUGACAUCCAGAUAACAAGCAUGAAAGGACUACAUUGGAGAUCAAAAAAUAUUGGUUCCUGGCUAGAGUACCACUACCUAUGGACUUGUCUCCAUAGAAUUUGUUCCCAAGAUGUUAUUUUAAUUAACCUCUUUAGAUUUCUUCCAUUGCAAACGGUGAUGUGCAUCAUGGUAUAUACGUGACCAUCUUGCACAUGUAUACACAAGAGGCUCAGACGGAGGUGCUGGAUUCUGGACGAGGGAAUAUGAAGCAGGAGUGAGCGAAGAGUAAAUAAUGGUGGGAGUACCGAUUGGUGUUAUGAAGAAAAAUGCCAUCCAAAGAUUGAUUAGUGUCAUGGAAGAUUAAUUUCUGAAUGUGAAUAUAUAUGUUACAUUGGUUUCCAUCUUUUUGAGAUAAUUGCACCUAAAUUAGGUUCUUUCUUAUUUCAUGUGUAUACCUUAUUUCAGUAAAAGUUCACAACGAACUUAGUAGGACAAAUAUAAUUUUGUUUGUUCUUUCUGUUGUCCGCCACCAAAGCUCAGUUUGAACUCUCUAGAAAUGGACAAUGAUUUAUGCAUUCUAUAUCUUCUUGAUUGAUUAGCCAUGACAAGGAAAUAAAAGGAUUGACUGAUAUAGCAUAACUUUGGAACGAUCUGUUCGUAGAGGUUACUAUAAAUUAGAGUAGUGUCUGUUGGAAUUUUGCUAGUACGCCUUUGGCCCAAAGCCCAACUAAAAUUCUGAAAUUCUCUUGGCUCAUUUAUGCACACAAGUUAGUCCCACCCCGGAAGUUGAGAGAGAGUUGCACCUCUUUAUAAGGUGAGCUCUUCUACCACUUGUAUGAGCAUGAGAAGAGGAGACCUACACGCGCGCUCCUCCUCGCUCGCCCCGCCGCGCCGCGGGUUGCGGGAUUGAGCCGAGCCGAGGACGUUGUCUAUAUUUUUGCUGCUCGGGAAAAAUUAAUGAGUCAUUAAUUAAUAAUUAAUGGACGCGUUAAUUACUGAACCAUUUCCGAUUCUUUUGGAUCGUAACGACUCGGACGUGGGGUUUACUCCCACGACCUACCCGGCCCGCACUAUAUAGUCAGGCAGACGUCUACCCUAGCCGCCGCCGCUUCGUAUGGUUUCUCACCAUCGUUACAGAUCAUUGCGCCACCAAGCAAGUUUUCUCCAUCCCUCCUUUCGGCGUGCACCGGGAGAAGGGACAGCAGGCCUCCGGAACCCCGCCUCUCGUGAUCCUGUACGGGAGAGGGGCGAUCAGGUUUUUGAGGAGCGCACUCGCACGACUGCUGGCAGCGACGACUUCGCGAACGACGACAUCUUCCCCGGCCUCGGCAACCUCAUCCUCGACGACAUGGGCGACAACGUCAACGCCGGCGGUGCUACACCCACUACACCGUAUGUUAUUCUAUCCUUCUUGUUCGAGAUCGUGGUAGAAUUCAUAUUUCUAGUAUAUGUGCUAUAGAUGUGAUCUGUUCAUCUACUAUGCUAGUUCGCAUGAUUAGUUUAAUCUCUGCUAUUGCUGUCAUGAUCUAUUUCCUAUUUAUUCGGAUUAAAUCUCGUAGUAAUUGGCUCAUUUUUCCAACAAUCCAAAAACCUGAUUAUAGGCAAUUUACUCCGAGUGGUUUUACUGCGCAUCUAAAAGCCGCCUGCCUUUAAGGGGGCGUAAUAUAAGAGGUGGCGCACCAGAGCAGUCUACUGGUUUCAGAUCAUGGGCUGCUAUGAUGCCACCAAGGGCAAGCCUGAGGGCGAUCUUAAUCCAGCACAGCUGGAAGCUUUCAAGGAGAUCAAUACCCUCUUUAAAGGCACUCUUCUGAGUGUUCUUGAUGACUCCAUUGUAGAUUCGUAUAUGUCAUUUGACAACGGCAAGAACAUGUGGGCUACGCUCGAGUCCAAGUUUGGUGCCUCAGACGCCGGCAGCAAGUUCUACGUCAUGGAGCAAUUCUAUGACUCCAAGAUGACUGAUGAGCGCCCUAUUGUACAGCAGGCUCAUGAGAUACAUUCGCUCGCAAAAGAACUUGAGUACUUCAAGUGUGUGUUGCCGGACAAAUUUGUUGCCGGAGGCAUCAUUGCCAAGCUUCCACCUUCGUGGAACAAUUUUGCUACUUCCCUGAAACACAAGAGACAGGAGUUUUUCAUUGCGGAUCUCAUUGGUACUCUUGAUGUUGAAGAGAAGGCGAGAGCAAAGGAUACACGUGCUCGAGUUGCUGAGGGAGGUUCUAGUGCCCACAUGGUACAGAAGAAGAACUUCCAGCCCAACAAGUUCAAAAACAACAAGAACAAAACUUAGGGCAAAGGCAAGUUUGAUACAAAGAACAAGCCAUCACAUUCUACCAACUUCAAGAAGAACUCUCAUAAGAAGGGGAAGGGACUUUGCCAUGUCUGCGGUGAUCCUAAUCACUGGGCUCCGAAGUGUGCUAACCGCUUUGAGGAGCGCGAAGAUGAGAAGAGCCGCAAGUCCGCUAAUGUUAUCAUCGGUGAUACUGAUAUGAAGGAAUCAGGGUACGGUAUUUUUCCUACCAUCCUUUCAGUAUUCCAAACCCCUGAUUCGUUAAUUGACACCGGUGCCAAUGUACAUGUUUGUGCUGAUGCCUCCAUGUUUUCUUCUUACCAGGCCACUGGGACUUCUCCCGUGCUAUUGGGGAACGGGUCACAUGCCAUCGUUCGAGGUGUUGAUACGGUCGAUCUGAAGUUUACUUCAGGGAAGACCGUGCGUCUGAAGAACGUUCAUCAUGUGCCGUCCAUCAAUAAAAAUCUCGUUAGCGGUUCCCGUUUAUGUCGAGAUGGUUUUAAGUUGGUUUUCGAAUCCAAUAAAGUUGUAAUUUCUAAGUAUGGACAAUUUGUUGGAAAAGGCUAUGAGAGCGGAGGCUUGUUUCGCCUGUCUUUGUCAGAUAUUUGCACUAAAGUUAUUAAUAAUGCUUGCCACAACAAUGAGUCUGAUAUUUGGCAUUCACGACUUUGUCACAUUAACUUUGGUUGCAUGACGCGGCUAGCCAAUAUGAAUUUAAUUCCGAAAAUCUCUACUAUCAAAGGCUCUAAGUGCCAAGUAUGUGUGCAAGCUAAGCAACCUCGCAAGUCCCAUAAGACUGCAGAGGCAACAGACUUGGCGCCACUAGAGCUUAUACAUUCUGAUAUUUGUGAGAUGAAUGGCGUGUUGACAAAAGGUGGAAAGAGAUACUUCAUGACGUUGAUUGAUGACUCCACUAGAUAUUGUUAUGUGUAUCUUGUGAAAUCAAAAGAUGAGGCUUUGGCUUUCUUCAAAAACUAUAAAGCUGAGGCAGAAAACCAACUUGAUCGAAAAAUUAAACGGCUUAGGUCCGAUCAUGGUGGCGAGUAUUUUUCCAAUGAAUUUGAUCUGUUUUGUGCGGAACAUGGUAUAAUCCAUGAGAGGAUGCCUCCCUACUCACCCCAGUCAAAUGGGGUAGCCGAAAGAAAGAACCGAACUCUAACUGAUAUGGUUAACACCAUGUUAGACACUUCGGGUCUAUCCAAGGAAUGGUGGGGGGAGGCGCUAAUGACUGCGUGUCAUGUCCUAAACCGAGUUCCCACAAAGCAUAAGACCAUGACUCCAUUUGAGGAAUGUGAAAGGAAAAGGUUGAAACUCUCUUACCUAUGUACUUGGGGUUGUUUGGCAAAAGUCAAUAUAUCAAUUCCCAAGAAGCGCAAGCUUGGACCAAAAACCGUGGAUUGUGUUCUUCUUGGCUAUGCUUUUCAUAGCAUCGGCUAUAGAUUUUUGAUAAUAAAAUCUGAGGUAUCCGACAUGCAUGUUGGUACGAUUAUGGAGUCGAAUGAUGCAACUUUCUUUGAGGACAUAUUUCCUAUGAAGGAUAUGUCGAGUUCAUCAAAUCAGGAGACACCUACUCCAUCUAGUGAGGAGUUCACUGCAAUUCCUAAACCCAUCAUUGCGAUGGAAUACGUUGAGAAUCCUGUUGAGGGUGACAAUGGAACUCCUGUGAGGAGUAAGAGACAUAGGGCUACAAAGUCCUUUGGUGAUUAUUUCAUUAUGUACCUCGUGGAUGACACACCCAGGACUAUUUCAGAAGCCUGUGCAUCUCUUGAUGCUGACUACUGGAAGGAAGCUGUACGUAGCGAGAUGGAUUCCAUCUUAGGUAACGGAACCUGGGAGAUCACUGACCGUCCUUAUGGGUGAAAACCUGUAGGAUGUAAGUGGGUGUUCAAGAAGAAGCUUAGACCUGAUGGUAUGAUUGAAAAGUAUAAGGCACGGCUUGUGGCCAAGGGUUAUACCCAGAAAGAAGUUGAAGACUUCUUUGAUAGUUACUCACCCGUGGCUAGACUGUCCACAAUUCGGGUGCUACUAUCACUUGCUGCCUCACAUGGUCUUCUCGUUCAUCAAAUGGACGUUAAGACAACUUUCCUCAAUGGAGAGUUGAAGGAGGAAAUUUACAUGGAUCAGCCAGAUGGUUUUGUAGUACCUGGUUAGGAAGGAAAGGUGUGCAAGUUAUUAAAGUCUUUAUAUGGCCUUAAACAAGCUCCUAAAGAGUGGCAUGAGUAGUUCGAAAGAACAUUAACUACUGCCGGCUUUGUAGUAAACGAUGGUGACAAGUGCGUGUACUAUCGCUAUGGUGGGGGCGAAGGAGUUAUUCUUUGUCUGUAUGUCGAUGACAUAUUGAUCUUUGGAACCAAACUUGAUUUAAUCAAGGAGGUUAAGGAUUUCUUAUCUCGCUAUUUUAAGAUGAAGGAUCUAGGAGUAGCUGAUGUUAUCUUAAACAUCAAGCUGUUGAGAGAUGAGAAUGGUGGGAUCACACUGCUUCAGUCUCACUAUGUGGAAAAGGUCUUGCUUCGUUUUGGGUAUAGCGACUGCACACCUUCUCCAACUCCAUAUGAUGCUAGCGUGUUGCAUCGAAAGAAUCGAUGGAUUGCUAGAGAUCAACUAAGGUAUUCUCAUAUUACUGGCUCGCUUAUGUAUUUGGCGAGUGCCACGAGGCCUAACAUCUCGUUUGCUGUUAGCAAGCUGAGUCGGUUUGUGUCAAAACCGGGAGAUGAUCAUUGGCAUGCGCUUGAGAGAGUUAUGCGCUAUUUGAAAGGCACCGCGAGCUAUGGGAUUCACUACACCGGGUAUCCAAGGGUACUGGAGGGUUAUAGUGACUCAAACUGGAUAUCUGAUGCUAAUGAGAUUAAGGCCACAAGUGGUUAUGUUUUUACACUUGGUGGUGGCGCUGUUUCUUGGAAGUCCUGCAAGCAGACCAUCUUAACGAGGUCAACUAUGGAAGCAGAACUCACAUCAUUAGAAACUGCCACUGUUAUAGAAGAGUGGCUUCGUGAGCUCUUGAUGGACUUACCUAUGGUUGAAAAACCAAUACCCCCUAUCCCGAUGAACUGUGAUAAUCAAACUGUGAUCGUCAAGAUAAACAGUUCUAAGGACAAUAUGAAGUCCUCAAGGCAUGUGAAGAGGAGACUGAAAUCUGUCAGAAAAUUGAGGAACUCCGGAGUUAUUAUGUUGGAUUAUAUCCAAACGUCAAAAAAAUUAGCAGAUCCCUUCACAAAGGGUCUAUCACGUAAUGUGAUAGAUAAUGCAUCGAUGGAGAUGGGUCUGAGACCCACCGCAUGAGUUGUCCAUAGUGGUAACCCACUCUAUGUGAUCGGAGAUCCCGUGAAGUAGAAGUGGGAGACAAGUUGUUGGUCAGCUGGGAGGAGAGUAUCCCUAUAUUACCUAUCCCACUUCAUGAAGAUGCAAUACUCUCCUAAUCUGCAUGGCAGGUUGAUACUUAUCUUAAUGUGUUCCAAGUGGCUUAUUCGGGUAAGCAGAGAUGUUGUCCUGCAGAACAUCUUCUAAGAAACACAUCUAUAUGAAUUUGACUGUUAACAUUGCAGUCUGUGAGAAUUGGGUGUUCUCUAAUAAAUUCAUGAAAAGGCCCUGGAAUAUGACGUAUACACUCCACCCGCGGGGAAGCCUUGCGGCAGCCCAGUAUCGGUCAAGAAUUUAUGUGAAACUAGUCUCGCAGAAAAUUUUUAGUUCAAGGCAUAGUCCACUAUUCAAGUUGUGAUCUAGUGUAGCAUAAAUCUCUAAGUGGAAGUUAAACUUCACAGUCUCCACUAAGCCCUGGUAUAUAAACAAUGUUUUGGAACUAAAUGAUGAGAUGUGCCCAUGAGACUUUGUGGGGGAUUGUUGGAAUUUUGCUAGUAGGCCUUUGGCCCAAAGCCCAACUAAAAUUCUGAAAUUCUCUUGGCCCAGUCAUGCACACAUGUGAGUGGAGUGAGUGAGACUAAAGUUUAGUCCCACCCCGGAAGUUGAGAAAGAGCACAUCUUUAUAAGGUGAGCUCUUCUACCACUUGUAUGAGCAUGAGAAUAGGAGACCUACACACGCGCUCCUCCUCCUCGCUCGCCACACCACGCCUCGUCACGACGCGCCGGCCGUGGGUUCGGGAUUGAGCCGAGCCGAGGACAGAGCUAUGCACAUUGUCUAUUUUUUGCUACCCCGGAAAAAUUAAUGAGUUAUUAAUUAAUAAUUAAUGGACGCAUUAAUUACUGAACCGUUUCCGAUUCUUUUGGAUCGUGAUGACUCGGACGUGGGGUUUACUCCCACGACCUACCUGGCCCGCACUAUAUAGUCGGGCAGACGUCUACCCUAGUUGCCGCCGCUUCGUAUGGUUUCUCACCACUGUUCCAGAUCAUUGCGCCGCCAAGCAAGUCUUCUCCAUCCCUCCUUUCGGCGUGCACCGGGAGAAGGGACAGCAGGCCUCCGGAAUCCCGCCUCUCGUGACCCUGUACGGGAGAGGGGCGAUCAGGUUUUUGGGGAGCGCACUCGCGCGACUGCUGGCAGCGACGACUUCGCGAAUGACGACUUCUUCCCUGACCUCGGCAACCUCAUCCUCGACGACAUGGGCGACAAUGUCUACGCCGGCGGUGCUGCACCCGCUGCACCAUAUGUUAUUCUAUCCUUCUUGUUCGAGAUCGUGGUAGAAUUUAGAUUUCUAGUGUGUGCCCUAGAUGUGAUCUGUUCAUCUACUAUGCUAGUUCGCAUGAUUAGUUUAAUCUCUGUUAUUGCUGUCAUGAUCUAUUUCCUAUUUAUUCGGAUUAAAUCUCAUAGUAAUUUGCUCAUUUUUCCAACAGUGCCAUCUAAUAGAUGAUGUAAAUCUCCUCAAGUUUGACGUUGUUGAGCUAAUUUACAAAAAAAAACUCAUCAUUAUUGGACGUCCUUAACAGCUCAAGAACAAGUUGGGGUCGAACUAAUGGAUUUUAAACUUUUACAUAAAAGGUUUAGCUAAAGCUAGCAGGUUUUUUUAAACCUGAAUUUUUUUCCUCCUGAAUUUCUUUGUAUUUUCUUAUUGACACUAUUUAUACAAUCAUCUGACAAAGAUUAGCUAAAGCUGUUUGUAGAUACGUUGAAACCUGAAAAGCUUCUUUGGUUAUCCUUUUAAUAGUUCUACGUUUAUUUUCUCAUAGGUCUUAAUUCUUAUGUAAUACCAAGAUGCAUUGUGGUAGUGUACAUGUGUUAAAUUCAGGUUGUUAUUCACAAUUUGCGACAAAAUUUAGCUCACGCUACAUUUAAAUAUGUUGAAAUGUGAAAGCUCUUUUUCUUCUCCUUUCUACACCUUGCAUCGGAUUGCAUCCCUUUAGUUAUCCAACAUUUUGUACAACAUGUAGAGAUUAGGAAGUUCAUCAUAGUUUGUCUAUUUCCGUGCAAAUAAAUGUAUGAAAUCUGCAUUUCCAAGCUACUAGGACAAGUAAAAAAUAAUAAUUUUACUAUAGGAUUCAAAAACAGCAGUUCUGAAGUGCACUUUAUUUAUUUGUGAAAGUGAUCACAUUUUGUUUCAUUUUUCUAUAGACAAAUCUACUAAUACAUACUCACGAUAAAACUAUAAAAGUUCUAGUCCGCACAUUGGGCGGGCCACCCGGCUAGUUAGUCUAAAGAUAACAAAAUGAGUCUGGUGUUUGAAUUAAAUUGAAGUAUUUUCUUGGACUUUCAAAUUGAGUAUUAUUAAAGUAGUAAGGACUAUUCACAUCCUUGGCUUGCCCCUGAUCAAUUAUUUCCAGAGAAGCAUUCAAUUCAUCAAUCAAUUACAUUGAUUUUAGUGGCUGGUACUUCUCCUCAACAUCAGUAUAUUCACCGUGGCCACUCCAAAUCGGCAAGAAUGAGGUACCAGUGCUCUGGAGCAGUGCAAGCUAAUUGCUUCUCAUGUGAAGGGGUGCGGGCGCAGGAGAGGUAUUUCUGGUGGGCCAAGGGACUAAGAAGCGACCGUGGCAGCGGUACAGACGCCCGCAAAGCCCCAUAGUUUGUUUUUGGUUUACAGGAAAAAUGCACAUCCAUACCGGCCUGGGGAAUAUAGGACCGUAUUGGAUGGAAAACCAUGUCCGGAUGGUUGCGAGCGGUUUGAGGGUUAGCUUUUGUAACGCCCGGUUAGUUAUGCUAUAGCAAUUCCCUGCUAAUGAUGUCACGUCACCACGAUUACUGUUGUUAACCUCACAAUGAUUCAAUCCCCUUCAAAUUCAAAUUUAAAAUAAAGGCAAACAUAAAAAGUUUUCAAACAUUAAAACUAAAAUCUUUGAGAGGUGACAAAUAAUGCAUAAGUAAUUAUGAUGGAGAAACCACACUUUAAUCAAAUGUUUAAAUACUCUAAAAUGAAAAAAAACAGUGGCUUAAACUAUUAUUUAAAUGCUUUUAAAAUAGUAAAAAUCUUCUAACUAAAUUAUUUGGGUACCAAACUUUUGGUGGCAGUGGUAUAUUUAGUAGAACUAAUUUAGAUGCUAAUUAUAUAAUUUACAAAAUUAGAGUAAAUUGAAAAAUAGGAUAAAACGGAAAAGGAAAGACAAAACAAUAAAAGCAAAAGGGGGCAACCCCUUGCUGGGCCUCGGCCUAGCUGGCCACUAGGCUAGCUAGGCUGGCCCCGCCGCCUCCCUUNNNNNNNNNNNNNNNNNNNNNNNNNNNNNNNNNNNNNNNNNNNNNNNNNNNNNNNNNNNNNNNNNNNNNNNNNNNNNNNNNNNNNNNNNNNNNNNNNNNNNNNNNNNNNNNNNNNNNNNNNNNNNNNNNNNNNNNNNNNNNNNNNNNNNNNNNNNNNNNNNNNNNNNNNNNNNNNNNNNNNNNNNNNNNNNNNNNNNNNNNNNNNNNNNNNNNNNNNNNNNNNNNNNNNNNNNNNNNNNNNNNNNNNNNNNNNNNNNNNNNNNNNNNNNNNNNNNNNNNNNNNNNNNNNNNNNNNNNNNNNNNNNNNNNNNNCAUCUGGAUCGGGGAGGGUAUUGCCCCCAUUGUCCCCGUUGCCGUCGCCGGAUCGCCCGCCGACGUUGCCAGGCCUCCUCCCCGCCGCCCGUCUCCGGCUGACCUCCCCUCUUGCUCCUCUUCCCCGACCCGAUCUGGAUCGUGAACGAGCAAUGAGCUCGAAGCCCCCCUUCACCGGCGCCAUCACCGUGCGCCACCACCACCGCCUGAAGACCUCACCGUCGCCGAACCUUGCGUCGCCUCCUCGUAUCCCUCCCCUACUCGCGUCCUCAAGCCAGGCCGAGCCCCUUCUCGGCAACGCUGUGAGACGCCCCCGUUUCCCUCCUCUUUCCAGCGCGUUCAUCGCGCUGCCUGCCGUGCCCCUCGUCGUGCGCACGCCCACCACCGCACCAGCCCCCGCUCCGCGCACGACCCUACCCGCGCCCGCGCCAUGAUCCCCUUUUCCGCCCUACCUUCCCGCGCUCGCCGCGAUCCUGAUGCUCCCCCGCGCCCUCUUUCGGGGGCGCCGACUGCCCCUGUCCCGGUGCUCGCCGCCGUGCCUCGCCACCGCUCUACUGCUACGUUACUACUGCGCUGCGGCCGCCGCCUCUUCCCGCUGCUCCGCUAGCGCCGAAGCUCCCGGUUGGCUCCACCACUGCUCACGUUAAACCGCCGGCCUAAAUGGCCUAACCCCCGGCUAAUGAACCCCCACUAACCCACUGACACCGGGACCCACAUUCCCUAAUUAACCAUUUAAUAAAUUAAAACUCUUAAAUUAACAUUAGUGUAUGACAUGUGCUUCCCCUGUUAAUUAAUAAUUUUACUGCUAGUUUUAUUAGUUUCUGUUUUUUCUGCAUAUUUCUUUUGUAUUUGAACAGGCUUUAUACAAUAAUAUUUAGCGUAUCAUACACAUACAAAUGUAAUCAUAGCAUAUACAUACAAAUAGUCUCAUCAAAUAAUGUCAUCAUCAUAAUCAUCAUCCAUCACAAAGUGGUCUCUCGUCAUCAUCUCGAAAAUAGCGAUACAAGUCUCGAUUACUUGCAACUACAUCGUCAUCCAUCUAAACAAUGAUAUACGCGAGAAGAGCUAUCACUAUGAGUGAGAGUGGAACUAUGCAGUACAUGAGUUUGUAUCCCUCUCUCACAUUAGCGUGAACCUAAACUAACUACUGGCUAUUGCUCGGAAACCGGAAACCGGUACACCUGGGCCUGACACUCCGGCCACUCAUCGUAUACUCCUGGCGUAGCACUUCUUCGCCAUCUAUGAUCUAUGCACCUGCAUCGUCACAUGAGUCGAUGAUAUGCAACAUAUAUAGUUGAGCAACAGAAAGAGAUAGACUUGGCAAAAAUAGAAGCAACAUAUCAUAAGCAUAAAUAACAAAGUUCAUCAUACGCAAAAUGCCCUAACUAGAGUGAUCUUCGCUAGUCGAGGAGGACGGUUUAAUUACAUCACAAAUAAUGUUUCGUCGUGCAUAACUCAAAGUUCCGUCAUACAGAAAGUAUGAACUAAAUGGACACAUUGUCAUAUUUCGAAAAUCACUCCAACAUGUCGUGCCAUCCAUCCAAGUCAAGGAGAUAGUACCCGAGCUUAGUGAAAGGCUUUAGGUCAAGACGCUGAGCGGCUACGCGUGUUCGGACAUCUUCCCACGACAUUUGUCCUUCAUAGAACAUCCCUGUUUUUUCGACGACCUCCUUCAUCACUGGUAGAAAAAGGGCCUGUUGUCCCGGUUCGUAAGGGCCUGUUGUCCCGGUUCUGGAACCGGGACUAAAGGGUCGGUACUAAUGCCCUGUCCCUUUAGUCCCGGUUCAAUCCAGAACCGGGACAGAUGGGCCUCCACGUGGCCUGUGCGCGGAGCCCAGGCAGGAGACCCUUUGGUCCCGGUUGGUGGCACCAACCGGGACCAAUAGGCAUCCACGCGUCAGCAUUUUUGUGGUUGGGGUUUUUGUUUUUUUGAAAGGGGGGGUGUUGGGGGUCUUGGGGGGUUAAUUUAGGUGUUUCAUAUAUUGUGUUAGCUAGCUAUAAUUAAUAGAGAGAAGUGUCCUCUCUUAUGUCCGUGCUUGGUCGACGCUACGUACUAUACAUACGUAUAGAGAGGACUAGACACGCUAGCUAGCUAGUAAGCAAACGAAGGAAACAGACGAUCGUCAUGAACAUAUAUGCAUACAGAGAGAAGUGAUAUCGAUCACCUCUCCUUCUCCGAGAGAUUGGUCGAACAACAAGUUCUCGUAUAUCUAUCCGACACUACCGGCUACAUAUAUACAAUAAUUAUCACUUACAAAUAUAAUCAUACGGACUCAGGGUCCACAUAGUAUUCUCCGUCUUUAGGGAUCACGUGGUCAAGAAAGAAUGCCGCCAAUUCCUCUUGAAUUGCUCGCAUGCGAGCUGGUGCUAGGAGUUCUUCCCGCUUCCGAAACAUCUAAUUCAAAGAAGGGGGUCAAUACAUAUAUAUAUGAAUGAAUGAAACUCAACACAAAUGAUGGUAAUAAAAUAAAAUUGUGAAUGUUGUUAUUUACGUACUUCAUAUUGUUCGUCAGUGUAGCCCCGCUCACAGGUCAUGUGGCGGAUGGACUCGCAAACGUAGUAUCCACAGAAAUCAUUCCCUUGUUCCUGCCACAACCACUUUACAAGAAAUAGAGGUCAAUCAAACUGAUAAGCAAGAAUGCCAAAUGGUAUUGAUGAAACCAGCGCUUGAAUGACUAGUAGAUGCGCGGAACAUGCUACUAUAGUACUUACUUUCGGGUGUCUAAAUUGCAGCUCCUUCGGCAGUCCCGGAGCUUUUCUGGUGAAUUUUCUCCAAACCCUGCCAGACAAAGAAAACAAUUACUUGAUAUAUCAGGAAAUGAACAAAGUUGCUGAUAUGGUGGAUAAUGAUCGAUUUAACUUACUUCUCGAGUAUUUGAGUCAUGUUUGCAUAGUCCUGGGGAUCUUUUCGUCUUGAGUCUAAGACGGUUACUAGUCCCUGCUCAAGCUUAAUCUCUAGGAGAAUAUAGUAGAAACUGCACACGCAUGCAUAACUCAUCAAUUACAUUACUAUAACCUUGACUAAUAUAUAAGGGAAACCGAACACACACAAGACAGUAACACUCACUUGAAGUUGUAAGGAAAGAGUAUUAUAUCUUUGUUUUCAUUUAUUACCAACGAUCGUAGCAAGUUGGCCUCGGUAGCUAUGGCAUGAAAUUUAACCUGAGUUGCAUCUAUGAGAUAUGUGUUAAUGAACCCAAUAUCACCGACUUAUCUUUUCUUCAAUUCGGCGAUCUUCAAUCUGCAUAAUAUAGUGAGGAUGAUUAUAAAUACAUGCAAUGAAAGAGCUGAGCUAUAUAUAGAGACUUAAUGACAGAAGUAGUACUACUUACAGACAGUAGCAGGCGACCGUUGUUUUAUCGAGGGCCAAUUGAUUGAAAAACUGAUAGAACUCCUCAAAUGGAACAGGCAACAGUUCAAUUCCAACGAGGUCAUGCUCCUUUUUAACUUUCACAUACAAAGUACUCCUCCCCCCAGAGUCUUUGCAGAUUUUCAAGUACAAAUCAUGCACUCUUCGCAUCAUCGUUGAUAGAGAUAUUUCAUCUUUGAAGAGAGGCUUCCCGUACUCGUAUCUUUGUAUCUGCACCUUCAGGGGUUCAUAAUGUACAUCGUCGGGCAGGUAAUCUGCAAGAUUGCUAUAACCGGGCACCAUGCUCGGACCAUUAGCGACAUUGUGGCUAGGCACCUUGAGCGGGGGGGACGAUUGCUUCGCUUGUUCGCCGAGUUGGGCAAUUUGUUUCCCAGCUCGUCGUUCUUUCAGCCUUUGAUCACUGACAGUACUUCCCGACCGCUCCGCUUCGGCAAAUUCCUUUCCAAUAAUGCACUCAUAGUUUCCUUUCGGCGGAGACUUGGGUGGUUUUGUCAUGGCAGCCAGAGUGUGCUUCGCUUUCACCGGAUCUACCUUCUCCUCCGGAAGUGGAUGUCUCUUUGCUUUUAACCCUUGAAACUAGUCAUCCACUUCGGUUCGUGCGAUCUCGGCGUUCUCCUCCGGGGUCCUCUCGUAUGGUAACUUCUCUGGAGUCUUCAGAGAAGGGCCGAAUCUAUAUGUCCUCCCGCCUCUGGCUGUACUGCUAGACGCCGGCCGAGCAGACGGAGCGGUUGUCUUCUUUACUUGCUUACGAGGCGGAGGAGAAGGACUAUGAUGCGCCGGAGAAGCCGGAGCGGCGGCAGGUCUCUUCCGCCCUUGCUGACGAGGCGGAGAAGGAGGAGGCUGGCUGCUCGGGCGCGUCAGCGCAGGCGGAGAAGGAGGCGGAGUGCUGCCACGCGCUGGAGAAGGAGCCGGUCGAGUGCCCUGAUCGUCACUCGCCGGAGGAGGAGGCGGUGGAGGAAGCGGAGUGCCCUGACUUGCCGGAGGAGGAGGCGGAGGCAUCCAGUUCGGAAGGUUGAUGAGCUCCUUCCGCCAUAGGCAUGGAGUCUUUAGAGCAGACCCCAGCCUAGUCUCCCCUUCACUGGUAGGGUGGUCAAGCUGGAGGUCCUCAAAUCCCUCCGUUAUUUCAUCCACCAUCACCCUAGCAUAUCCUUCUGGAAUCGGCCGGCAGUGAAAAGUUGCGUCGGGUUCAGUAGGAUAAACAGAGCCAACAGCCGCCUUGACCUUCAAAUUCAUCCAUUGUGUCAUAGUAAUUUCAAAAAUUUCCUACGCACACGCAAGAUCAUGGUGAUGCAUAGCAACGAGAGGGGAGAGUGUUGUCUACGUACCCUCGUAGACCAAAGCGGAAGCGUUGACGCAACAUAGAGGAAGUAGUCGUACGUCUUCCCGGUCCAACCGAUCCAAGCACCGUUACUCCGGCACCUCCGAGUUCUUGGCACACGUUCAGCUCGAUGACGCUCCCCGGGCUCCGAUCCAGCAAAGCUUCGGGGAGGAGUUCCGUCAGCACGACGGCGUGGUGACGAUCUUGAUGUUCAACCGUCGCAGGGCUUCGCCUAAGCACCGCUACAAUAUGACCGAGGUGUAAUAUCGUGGAGGGGGGCACCGCACACGGCUAAGGAACGAUCACGAAGAUCAACUUGUGUGUCUAGAGGUGCCCCCCUGCCCCCGUAUAUAAAGGAGUGGAGGAGGGGAGGGCCGGCCCUCUCUAUGGCGCGCCCUAGGGAGUCCUACUCCCACCGGGAGUAGGAUUCCCCCGUUCCUAGUCCAACUAGGAUUCCUUCCAUGUAGUAGGAGUAGGAGACAAGCAAGGGGAAAAGAGAAGGGAAGGAAGGAGGGGGCGCAGCCCCUCCCCCUACUCCAAUUCGGACUAGGCCUUGGGGGGGCACGGCCUGCCCUAGGCAGCCCCUCUCUCUUUCCCGUAUGGCCCAAUAAGGCCCAAUACUUUUCCCCCGUAUUCCUGUAACUCCCCGGUACUCCGAAAAAUACCUGAAUCACUCGGAACCUUUCCGAUGUCCGAAUAUAGUCGUCCAAUAUAUCGAUCUUUACGUCUCGACCAUUUCGAGACUCCUCGUCAUGUCCCCGAUCUCAUCCGGGACUCCGAACUCCUUCGGUACAUCAAAACUCAUAAACUCAUAAUAUAACUGUCAUCGAAACCUUAAGCGUGCGGACCCUACGGUUCGAGAACAAUGUAGACAUGACCGAGACACGUCUCCAGUCAAUAACCAAUAGCAGGACCUGGAUGCCCAUAUUGGCUCCUACAUAUUCUACGAAGAUCUUUAUCGGUCAGACCGCAUAACAACAUACGUUGUUCCCUUUGUCAUCGGUAUGUUACUUGCCCGAGAUUCGAUCGUCGGUAUCCAAUACCUAGUUCAAUCUCGUUACUGGCAAGUCUCUUUACUCGUUCCGUAAUACAUCAUCCCACAACUAACUCAUUAGUUGCAAUGCUUGCAAGGCUUAAGUGAUGUUCAUUACCGAGAGGGCCCAGAGAUACCUCUCCGACAUUCGGAGUGACAAAUCCUAAUCUCGAAAUACACCAACCCAACAUGUACCUUUGGAGACACCUGUAGAGCUCCUUUAUAAUCACCCAGUUACGUUGUGACGUUUGGUCGCACACAAAGUGUUCCUCCGGCAAAUGGGAAUUGCAUAAUCUCAUAGUCAUAGGAACAUGUAUAAGUCAUGAAGAAAGCAAUAGCAACAUACUAAACGAUCGGGUGCUAAGCUAAUGGAAUGGGUCAUGUCAAUCAGAUCAUUCAACUAAUGAUGUGAUCCCGUUAAUCAAAUAACAACUCUUUGUCCAUGGUUAGGAAACAUAACCAUCUUUGAUUAACGAGCUAACCAAGUAGAGGCAUACUAGUGACACUCUGUUUGUCUAUGUAUUCACACAUGUAUUAUGUUUCCGAUUAAUACAAUUCUAGCAUGAAUAAUAAACAUUUAUCAUGAUAUAAGGAAAUAAAUGAUAACUUUAUUAUUGCCUCUAGGGCAUAUUUCCUUCAGGAAGCCACGCUGCUUCUCCGCUGAGAUGGCGGGGUAGCUUCGGGGGAAGCUUCGGCAGUACAUUUGCUGCGAUUUGCUUCUCGUUCCUCUAUCGCUUGUACCCUUGCUUGCAUCGCCUGCAUUUGGGUCUGCUGCACUUUUUUCCUCCUCUCAUGGGAUUUGUAACCGCCUGCGUCCGGAAACCCAACCUUCCACGGAAUGGAGCCUGGCGUGCCUCGUGUCCGUCCAGGGUGCUCAGGAUUCCCGAGGGCCAUUGUGAGCUCGUCGUUCUCUCUGUCUGGAAAGAACGUCCCUUGCUGCGCUGCUUCGAUAUAGUGCUGAAGCUUCCUGACUGGUAUGUCCAUUUGAUCGUUCGUCCAAAUGCACUUCCCUGUUACAGGGUCCAAGCUUCCGGCAGCCCCGAAGAACCAAGUCCGGCAACGGUCUGGCCAGUUAAUUGUCUCUGGUUCGAUCCCUUUAUCAACUAGAUCAUUCUCAGUCUUGGCCCACUUAGGCCGGGCUACGAGGUAGCCACCUGACCCCGUGCGAUGGUGAUGCUUCUUCUUCGCAGCAUUUUUCUUGUUUGUCACUGACAUCUUCUUACUCUUUUCCGAUGUCUUGUGGGCCACAAAUGCGGGCCAGUGAUCUCUGAUCUUCUCAUAUCUGCCCUUGAACUCUGGUGCCUCAUUAUUUUCGACAAACUUAUUCAGCUCUUUCUUCCACCUCCUGAAUAGUUCUGCCAUCCUCUUAAGAGCAAAAGACUUGAUUAAUUGAUCUUUAACUGGCUUCUCUGGAUUAUCCUCUGGCGGUAGGGUGAAAUUUGACUUUAGCUCAGUCCAAAGAUCAUUUUUAUGCAUAUCAUUGACAUAAGACACCUCAGGGUCUUCUGUAGCCGGCUUAAACCAUUGCUGGAUGCUGAUCGGGAUCUUGUCCCUAACCAAAACCCCGCACUGAGCAACAAAUGCGCUCUUUGUCCAGAGGGGUUCAAUCAGUUGGCCGUCGGGCGUGAUUGCUAUGAUCUCAAACUUUUCAUCCGAGCUCAACUUUUUCUUCGGGCCUCGUCUCUUUACCGAAGUUGUGCUCGAUCCGGAGGGCUAGAAAAAAGAACAAAGAUUUAAUUAAUAUGUGUACAUACCAAAACAAUGAAUGCAUCAAUUAGCUAGUCAGCAGAAGCUUAACUAAUAUAUAUACCUGGCCGGACUCGGUUCGGUCACCGGAGACGUCAUCACGGUCUCCUUCUUGCACCGGCAUUGGGUCACCGGAGCCGUCCUCACGGUCUCCUUCUUGCACCGGCAUUAGCUCACCGGAGCCAUUAUAAUCAGCUGAUUCCAGACCAUCGGUCUCGUUGAGAAACAACGAGCAGAUGGCAUCACUUCCUCGUGCGAUUAUGUGCCCCAACAACUCUUCUUGUACUUCGUCUCGGGCGGUGUCCAUAGUUUCUACAAAUAUUGACAACAUGGCAAUUAUUAUUCAAACAUGAGAGAUGGAUAUAUUAGUGGCAAAAACGUAGAACUAAUAUUAAUUAGUGGCCUCGACGGUGCUUCUCUAGGGUUUGGGGUGGCCUCGACGCUGCUUCUCUAGGGUUUGGGGUGGCCUCGACAACGCUUCAAGGAUAAAAAAAGAAGAGGAAGAAGAAAAAAAAGAGGAGAAGAAAGAAUAGAGGAGUAAGAACUCCUCUAUUCUUUCUUCUCCUCUUUUUUUCUUCUUAUUCCUAUUUUUUUAUCGGGAACAAGGGUCGUCGAGGGUCACCGAGCGAUAGAGGAAACCCUAAAUAGCAAGUAUCGUGGGUGUGAGAUACAUGUGGCCGUCGGUGUCGGACAUUCAUCCACGUCCCACAAGUGACGUGGGCGUCGAAGCCCGCGCCACUUGUGGGACGUGGAUGUAGUGUCCGACACCGAGGGCCACAUGUAUCUCACACCGACGAUACUUUCUAUUUAGGGUUUCCUCUACCGUUCGGCGACCCUGACCCUCGACGACCCUCGUUCCACAAAGGUCGUCGAAACCAUAGAAAGAAUAGAGGUUGCCUAGUGUCAAAGGAUUCAACAAAACCAUGUCUUCAUCAUUAGGCGAAAGUAACAGGUGCAUGAUGGUACGAAGCUCUCCAAAGUUAUUUUGGAACGGAGUCCCAGAUAAGAUAAUUCUCUUUUUGGUACAAAGUUCAGCAAGAACCUUCCAAAUGUCGUUAUUUGGAAGGCCUUUGCUGAAAUUCAUUCAAAAAGGCAAAUUAUCCUAUCCGAGACACCAUUCCAAAAUAACUUUGGAGGACUUCGUCAUGCCCUGGUUACUUCCGGCUAAUGAUGAAGCCAUGGAUUUCUUCAAUACUUUGACACUAGGAAACCUCUCUCGACCCCUCGGCGAUCCUCGACCCCUCGACGACCCUGGAACCCUCGACCCCUAGAUGACCCUAGAACCCUCGACCCUCGAUCCCUCGACCCUCAAUCCCUCGACCCUAUAGAACCCUCGAAGAAAGGAAUAGCUAGAGGAGAAGAUCGAAGAAAAAAAAGAAGAAAAAAAAGAGGAGAAGAAGAAAGGAAGAGUGGAGAAGAAGAGAAAAUAGAAUAUUCUAUUUUCUCUUCUUCUCCACUAUUCCUUUCUUCUUCUCCUCUUCUUUUCCUUCUUUUUUCUUCUUCUUAUUUAUUUCUCCUCUUCUUUUCCUCUCCUCUUCUUCUUUCUUUCCUCUUCUUAUUUUCUUCUUUCAUAUCCUUCUUUUUCUAAAAUUGUAACUUUUGCAUAUAUAAAACUUUUCUAAAAUUGUAACUUUCUAUAUAUGAACAAAAAACUUUCUAUGAACAAAAAAACAUUUUUAACAUAUAUAUCUAGCAAAUUCUAGCCACAUACAUCACAUACACAUAUACAUUGUAGCCACAUACACAUAUACAUCACAUAUGAACAAAAAAAUANNNNNNNNNNNNNNNNNNNNNNNNNNNNNNNNNNNNNNNNNNNNNNNNNNNNNNNNNNNNNNNNNNNNNNNNNNNNNNNNNNNNNNNNNNNNNNNNNNNNNNNNNNNNNNNNNNNNNNNNNNNNNNNNNNNNNNNNNNNNNNNNNNNNNNNNNNNNNNNNNNNNNNNNNNNNNNNNNNNNNNNNNNNNNNNNNNNNNNNNNNNNNNNNNNNNNNNNNNNNNNNNNNNNNNNNNNNNNNNNNNNNNNNNNNNNNNNNNNNNNNNNNNNNNNNNNNNNNNNNNNNNNNNNNNNNNNNNNNNNNNNNNNNNNNNNNNNNNNNNNNNNNNNNNNNNNNNNNNNNNNNNNNNNNNNNNNNNNNNNNNNNNNNNNNNNNNNNNNNNNNNNNNNNNNNNNNNNNNNNNNNNNNNNNNNNNNNNNNNNNNNNNNNNNNNNNNNNNNNNNNNNNNNNNNNNNNNNNNNNNNNNNNNNNNNNNNNNNNNNNNNNNNNNNNNNNNNNNNNNNNNNNNNNNNNNNNNNNNNNNNNNNNNNNNNNNNNNNNNNNNNNNNNNNNNNNNNNNNNNNNNNNNNNNNNNNNNNNNNNNNNNNNNNNNNNNNNNNNNNNNNNNNNNNNNNNNNNNNNNNNNNNNNNNNNNNNNNNNNNNNNNNNNNNNNNNNNNNNNNNNNNNNNNNNNNNNNNNNNNNNNNNNNNNNNNNNNNNNNNNNNNNNNNNNNNNNNNNNNNNNNNNNNNNNNNNNNNNNNNNNNNNNNNNNNNNNNNNNNNNNNNNNNNNNNNNNNNNNNNNNNNNNNNNNNNNNNNNNNNNNNNNNNNNNNNNNNNNNNNNNNNNNNNNNNNNNNNNNNNNNNNNNNNNNNNNNNNNNNNNNNNNNNNNNNNNNNNNNNNNNNNNNNNNNNNNNNNNNNNNNNNNNNNNNNNNNNNNNNNNNNNNNNNNNNNNNNNNNNNNNNNNNNNNNNNNNNNNNNNNNNNNNNNNNNNNNNNNNNNNNNNNNNNNNNNNNNNNNNNNNNNNNNNNNNNNNNNNNNNNNNNNNNNNNNNNNNNNNNNNNNNNNNNNNNNNNNNNNNNNNNNNNNNNNNNNNNNNNNNNNNNNNNNNNNNNNNNNNNNNNNNNNNNNNNNNNNNNNNNNNNNNNNNNNNNNNNNNNNNNNNNNNNNNNNNNNNNNNNNNNNNNNNNNNNNNNNNNNNNNNNNNNNNNNNNNNNNNNNNNNNNNNNNNNNNNNNNNNNNNNNNNNNNNNNNNNNNNNNNNNNNNNNNNNNNNNNNNNNNNNNNNNNNNNNNNNNNNNNNNNNNNNNNNNNNNNNNNNNNNUUUUGUUUCUACUUACAACAAAAUACUUAUUGUUGCUAUUUUUUCCAGUUUUUUUGUUUUGUUUUCUGCAUUUUUUUUGCUUUAUUUUUUUAUUCUUUUUUCUUUUAGUUUUAGAAAAAUUAUAAACUUUCUGUUAGUGCCUUUAUAAACUUUUUGCUUUUAAUUUGAAUUCUUUGAAAAUUGUUUGAAUCACAAGUUUGUGAUUAACUUACUAAAAAAAUGAGAAUAGAUGCGCUUAUAGAGAAAAUUCAACCUAAAUUCCUAGUAAAUUUCUAUGAAUUUCAGAGAAAUUCACUAUGAAUUUAGGUUAAACUUUUCUCUAUUAGGGCAUCUAUUUUCACUUUGAGAGGAGCUCAACAAGGCAGAGAGGGAAGGGCUUAUAAACUGGUGUGAGCCCCCUUCGGUUGGCGAGGUGGGACUAAACUCUGCCUGCAACGACGACCAACCCUUUAGUCCCGGUUUGUGGCACAAACCGGGACUAAUGGUCAUGGGCCAGGGGUGAGGAGCAAAAUUAUAAACUUUCUGUUAGUGCCAUUAGUUUUAGAAAGUUGAAAGUUGAAAGUUGGCAUGGGCCAGGCACUAAUGGUCAUGGUAUUACGAGGGCCGAACCAUAAGACAUGAAAGCAUUUCAAAUGAACUCUGAAAAAGUUGAAAGUUGGCAUGGUAUCAUAAUUUCACCCACAUAGCAUGUGCAUGUACAAAACAGACAAUGGUAGCAUGUUCGUGUGUUACAAAGUUGGCAUGGUAUCAUCAUAAUAGUUGCGGGAGAAAGUCUUCACUUUUUCUUCGCUUGCGUCAUUUGCUUAUUGCGCUGUAAUCAUGGAUAAUCUUCAUUGUUUAUCAGGAUGCUUGGGUCAGCCUUGACAUUGAAGGGAGGAAUUUCAUGAAACUUUUCAUAAUCUUCAGACAUGUCUAUCUUGCCGUCCACUCCCAGGAUGUCCCUUUUUCCUGAAAGAACUAUGUGGCGCUUUGGCUCAUCGUAUGAUGUAUUCGCUUCCUUAUCUUUUCUUUUUCUCGGUUUGGUAGACAUGUCCUUCACAUAGAUAACCUGUGCUACAUCAUUGGCUAGGACGAACGGUUCGUCAGUGUACCCAAGAUUUUUCAGAUCCACUGUUGUCAUUCCGUACUGUGGGUCUACCUGUACCCCGCCGUCUAACAGAUUGACCCAUUUGCACUUAAACAAAGGGACCUUAAAAUCAGGUCCGUAGUCAAGUUCCCAUAUGUCCAUUAUGUAACCAUAAUAUGUGUCCUUUCCGCUCUCGGUUGCUGCAUCAAAGCAGACACCGCUGUUUUGGUUGGUGCUCUUUUGAUCUUGGGCGAUUGUGUAAAAUGUAUUCCCAUUUAUCUCGUAUCCUUUGUAAGUCAAUACAGUCAAAGAUGGUCCCCUGGACAACAAGUACAACUCAUCACAAACAGUGUUGUCACCUCCGAGACGUGUUUCCAAGCAACUACUGAAAGUCCUGAUGUGUUCACAUGUAAUCUAGUCGUUGCACUGCUCCGGGUGUUUGGAGCGCAGACUGUUCUUGUGUUCAUCGACAUACGGGGUCACCAAGGUAGAGUUUUGUAGAACUGUGUAGUUUGCUUGAGACCAAGAAUAUCCGUCCCUGCAUAUUAUUGAGUCUCUUCCAAGAGUGCCUUUUCCAGUCAGUCUCCCCUCAUACCGCGAUUUAGGGAGACCUAUCUUCUUAAGGCCAGGAAUGAAGUCAACACAAAACCCGAUAACAUCCUCUGUUUGAUGGCCCAUGGAGAUGCUUCCUUCUGACCUAGCGCGGUUACGGACAUAUUUCUUUAGGACUCCCAUGAACCUCUCAAAGGGGAACAUAUUGUGUAGAAAUACGGGCCCCAGGAUGACAAUCUCGUCGACUAGAUGAACUAGGACGUGCACCAUGAUAUUGAAGAAGGAUGGUGGGAACACCAGCUCGAAACUGACAAGACAUUGUGCCACAUCACUCCUUAGCCUUGGUACGAUUUCUGGAUCGAUCACCUUCUGAGAGAUUGCAUUGAGGAAUGCACAUAGCUUCACAAUGGCUAAUCGGACGUUUUCCGGUAGAAGCCCCCUCAAUGCAACCGGAAGCAGUUGCGUCAUAAUCACGUGGCAGUCAUGAGACUUUAGGUUCUGAAACUUUUUCUCUGGCAUAUUUAUUAUUCCCUUUAGAUUCGAUGAGAAGCCAGUCGUGACCUUCAUACUAAGCAGGCAUUCAAAGAAGAUUUCUUUCUCUUCUUUCGUAAGAGCGUAGCUGGCAGGACCUUUAUACUGCUUCGGAGGCAUGCCGUCUUUUUCGUGCAAACGUUGCAGUUCCUCCCGUGCCUCGGGUGUAUCUUUUGUCUUCCCAUACACGCCCAAGAAGCCUAGCAGGUUCACGCAAAGGUUCUUCGUCACGUGCAUCACGUCGAUUGAGGAGCGGACCUCUAGGUCUUUCCAGUAGGGUAGGUCCGAAAAUAUAGAUUUCUUCUUCCACAUGGGUGCGUGUCCCUCAGCGUCAUUCGGAACAGCUAGUCCACUGGGACCCUUUCCAAAGAUUACGUAGUGUAAAUCAUUGACCAUAGCAAGCACGUGAUUACCGGUGCGCAUGGCGGGCUUCUUCCGGUGAUCUGCCUCGCCUUUGAAAUGCUUGCCUUUCUUUUGACAUUGAUGGUUGGUCGGAAGAAAUCGACGAUGGCCCAGGUACACAUUCUUCCUGCAUUUGUCCAGGUAUAUACUCUUAGUGUCAUCUAAACAGUGCGUGCAUGUGUGGUAUCCUUUGUUUGUCUGUCCUGGAAGGCUACUGACAGCGGGCCAAUCGUUGAUGGUCUCAAACAGCAAUGCCUUAAGGUUAAAUUCCUCCUGUUUGUGCUCAUCCCACGUACGUACACCAUUUCCAUUCCACAGCUGUAAAAGUUCUUCAACUAAUGGCCUUAGGUACACAUCAAUUUCGUUGCCGGGUUGCUUAGGGCCUUGGAUGAGAACUGGCAUCAUAAUGAACUUCCGCUUCAUGCACAUCCAAGGAGGAAGGUGAAGGAAAUAUGCCCUAGAGGCAAUAAUAAAGUUAUUAUUUAUUUCCUUAUAUGAUGAUAAAUGUUUAUUAUUCAUGCUAGAAUUUUAUUAACUGGAAACAUAAUACAUGUGUGAAUACAUAGACAAACAGAGUGUCACUAGUAUGCCUCUACUUGACUAGCUCGUUAAUCAAAGAUGGUUAUGUUUCCUAACCAUGGACAAAGAGUUGUUAUUUGAUUAACGGGAUCACAUCAUUAGUUCAAUGAUCUGAUUGACAUGACCCAUUCCAUUAGCUUAGCACCCGAUCGUUUAGUAUGUUGCUAUUGCUUUCUUCAUGACUUAUACAUGUUCCUAUGACUAUGAGAUUAUGCAACUCCCGUUUGCCGGAGGAACACUUUAUGUGCUAUCAAACGUCACAACGUAACUGGGUGAUUAUAAAGGAGCUCUACAUGUGUCUCCAAAGGUACAUGUUGGGUUGGCGUAUUUCGAGAUUAGGAUUUGUCACUCCGAAUGUCGGAGAGCUAUCUCUGGGCCCUAUCGGUAAUGCACAUCACUUAAGCCUUGCAAGCAUUGCAACUAAUGAGUUAGUUGUGGGAUGAUGUAUUACGCAACGAGUAAAAAGACUUGCCGGUAACGAGAUUGAACUAGGUAUUGGAUACCGACGAUCGAAUCUCGGGCAGUAACAUACCGAUGACAAAGGGAACAACGUAUGUUGUUAUGCGGUCUGACCGAUAAAAGAUCUUCGUAGAAUAUGUAGGAACCAAUAUGGGCAUCUAGGUCCCGCUAUUGGUUAUUGACCGGAGACGUGUCUCAGUCAUGUCUACAUUGUUCUCGAACCCAUAGGGUCCGCACGCUUAAGGUUUCGAUGACAGUUAUAUUAUGAGUUUAUACGUUUUGAUGUACCAAAGGUUGUUCGGAGUCCCGGAUGAGAUCAUGGACAUGACGAGGAGUCUCAAAAAGGUUGAGACAUAAAGAUUGAUAUAUUAGAAGCCUAUGUUUGGAUAUCGGAAGUGUUCCGGGUGAAAUCGGGAUUUUACCGGAGUACCGGGAGGUUACCGGAACCCCCCGGGAGCUAUAUGGGCCUUAGUUGGCCUUAGUGGAAGAAGAGGAGAGGCAGCCAGGGCUGGACCGCGCGCCCCUCCCCCUAGUCCGAAUAGGACAAGGAGAGAGGGGGCCGGUGCCCCCCUCCUUCUCUCUCCCUCAUUUCCCACCUCGCGAAUCCUAUUCCAACUAGGAUUGGGGGGAAGUCCUACUCCCGGAGGGAGUAGGACUCCUCCUGGCGCGCCCUAUGAUGACCGGCCGGCCUUCCCCUCUUGAACCUUUAUAUACGGAGGUAGGGGCACCCGUAGAGACACAAGUUGAUCCACGUGAUCAUAUUCUUAACCGUGUGCGGUGCCCCCUGCCACCAUAAUCCUCGAUAAUAUUGUAGCGGUGCUUAGGCGAAGCCCUGCGACAGUAGUACAUCAAGAUCGUCACCACGCUGUCGUGCUGAUGGAACUCUUCCCCGACACUUUGUUGGAUCGGAGUCCGGGGAUCGUCAUCGAGCUGAACGUGUGCUAGAACUCGGAGGUGCCGUAGUUCCGGUGCUUGAUCGGUCGGGCCGUGGAGACGUACGACUACAUCAACCAAACGCUUCCGUUGUCGAUCUACAAGGGUACGUAGAUCACACUCUCCCCUCUCGUUGCUAUGCAUUACAUGAUCUUGCGUGUGCAUAGGAAAUUUUUUGAAAUUACUACGUUCCCCAACAGUAGCAUCCGAGCCUAGGUUUUUAUGGUUUGAUGUUAUAUGCACUAGUAGAACACAAGUGAGUUGUGGGCGAUAUAAGUCAUACUGCUUACCAGCAUGUCAUACUUUGGUUCGGCGGUAUUGUUGGACGAAGCGGCCCGGACCGACAUUACGCGUACGCUUACGCAAGACCGGUUCUCCCGACGUGCUUUGCACAUAGGUGGCUUGCGGGUGACAGUUUCUCCAACUUUAGUUGAACCGAGUGUGGCUACGCCCGGUCCUUGCGAAGGUUAAAACAGCACCAACUUGACAAACUAUCGUUGUGGUUUUGAUGCGUAGGUAAGAUUGGUUCUUGCUUAAGCCCGUAGCAGCCACGUAAAACUUGCAACAACAAAGUAGAGGACGUCUAACUUGUUUUUACAGGGCAUGUUGUGAUGUGAUAUGUUCAAGACAUGAUGCUAAAUUUUAUUGUAUGAGAUGAUCAUGUUUUGUCACCGAGUUAUCGGUAACUGGCAGGAGCCAUAUGGUUGUCGCUUUAUUGUAUGAAAUGCAAUCGCGCUGUAAUGCUUUACUUUAUCACUAAGCGGUAGCGAUUGUCGUGGAAGCAUAAGAUUGGCGAGACGAAAACAAUGCUACGAUGGAGAUCAAGGUGUCGCGCCGGUGACGAUGGUGAUCAUGACGGUGCUUUGGAGAUGGAGAUCACAGGCACAAGAUGAUGAUGGCCAUAUCAUAUCACUUAUAUUGAUUGCAUGUGAUAUUUAUCUUUGAUGCAUCUUAUCUUGAUUUGAUUGACGGUAGCAUUAUAAGAUGAUCUCUCACUAAAUUAUCAAGAUAAAAGUGUUCUCCCUGAGUAUGCACCAUUGCCAAAGUUCGUCGUGCCCAGACACCACGUGAUGAUCGGGUGUGAUAAGCUCUACGUCCAUCUACAACGGGUGCAAGCCAGUUUUGCACACACAGAAUACUCAGGUUAAACUUGACGAGCCUAGCAUAUGCAGAUAUGGCCUCGGAACACUGAGAUCGAAAGAUCGAGCGUGAAUCAUAUAGUAGAUAUGAUCAACAUAGCGAUGUUCACCAUUGAAAACUACUCCAUUUCACGUGAUGAUCGGUUAUGGUUUAGUUGAUUUGGAUCACGUGAUCACUUAGAGGAUUAGAGGGAUGUCUAUCUAAGUGGGAGUUCUUAAGUAAUAUGAUUAAAUUGAACUUAAAUUUAUCAUGAACUUAGUCCUGGUAGUAUUUUGCAAAUCAUGUUGUAGAUCAAUAGCUCGCGUUGUUGAUUCCCUGUGUUUAUUUUGAUAUGCUCCUAGAGAAAAUAGUGUUGAAAAAUGUUAGUAGCAGUGAUGCGGAUUGGAUCCGUGAUCUGAGGUUUAUCCUCAUUGCUGCACAGAAGAAUUAUGUCCUUGAUGCACCGCUAGGUGACAGACCUAUUGCAGGAGCAGAUGCAGACGUUACGAACGUUUGGCUAGCUCAAUAUGAUGACUACUUGAUACUUUAGUGCACCAUGCUUAACGGCUUAGAAUCGGGACUUCAAAGACGUUUUGAACGUCAUGGACCAUAUGAGAUGUUCCAGGAGUUGAAGUUAAUAUUUCAAGCAAAUACCCGAGUUGAGAGAUAUGAAGUCUCCAACAAGUUCUAUAGCUAAAAGAUGGAGGAGAAUCGCUCAAGCAGUGAGCAUGUGCUCAGAUUAUCUGCGUACUACAAUCGCUUGAAUCAAGUGGGAGUUAAUCUUCCAGAUAAAAUAGUGAUUGACAGAAUUCUCUAGUCACCAUCACCAAGUUAGUAGAACUUCGUGAUGAACUAUAAUAUGCAAGGGAUAACGGAAACAAUUCCCAAGCUCUUCGUGAUGCUGAAACCGACGAAGAUAGAAAUCAAGAAAAACAUCAAGUGUUGAUGGUUAACAAGACCACUAGUUUCAAGAAAAGGGCAAAGGGAAGAAGGGGAACUUCAAGAAGAACAGCAAGCAAGUUGCUGCUCAAGUGAAGAAGCCCAAGUCUGGUCCUAAGCCUGAGACUAAGUGCUUCUGCUGCAAAGGGACUGAUCACUGGAAGCAGAACUGCCCCAAGUAUUUGGCGGAUAAGAAGGAUGGCAAAGUGAACAAAAGUAUAUUUGAUAUACAUGUUAUUGAUGUGUACUUUACUAGUGUUUAUAGCAACCCCUCAGUAUUUGAUACUGGAUCAGUUGCUAAGAGUAGUAACUCGAAACAGGAGUUGCAGAAUAAACAGAGACUAGUCAAGGGUGAAGUGACGAUGUGUGUUGGAAGUAGUUCCAAGAUUGAUAUGAUCAUCAUCGUACACUCCCCUAUACUUUCGGGAUUAGUGUUGAACCUAAAUAAGUAUUAUUUGGUGUUUGCGUUGAGCAUGAAUAUGAUUUGAUCAUGUUUAUUGCAAUACGGUUAUUCAUUUAAGUAAGAGAAUAAAUUGUUGUUCUGUUUACAUGAAUAAAACCUUAUAUAGUUACACACCCAAUGAAAAUGGUUCGUUGGAUCUCGAUCAUAGUGAUACACAUAUUCAUAAUAUUGAAACCAAAAGAUGCAAAGUUAAUAAUGAUAGUGCAACUUAUUUGUGGCACUGCCUUUUAGGUCAUAUUGGUCUAAAGCACAUGAAGAAACUCCAUGCUGAUGGGCUUAUGGAAUCACUUGAUUAUGAAUCACUUGAUGCUUGCGAACCAUGCCUCAUGGGCAAGAUGACUAAGACUCCGUUCUCCGGAACAAUGGAGCGAGCAACUGACUUAUUGGAAAUAAUACAUACUGAUGUAUGCGAUCCGAUGAAUAUUAAGGCUUGCAGCAGGUAUCAUUAUUUUCUGACCUUCACAGAUGAUUUGAGCAGAUAUGGGGAUAUCUACUUGAUGAAACAUAAGUCUGAAACAUUUGAAUAGUUCAAAGAAUUUUAGAGUGAAGAGGAAAAUCAUCAUGACAAGAAAAUAAAAGUUUCUACGAUAUGAUCGCAGAGGUAAAAUAUUUGAGUUACGAGUUUGGCCUUCAAACAAUGUGAAAUAGUUUCACUACUCACGCCACCUGGAACACCAUAGUGUAAUGGUGUGUCCGAACGUCAUAACCGUACUUUAUUAGAUAUAGUGCGAUCUAUGAUGUCUCUUACCGAUCUACCACUAUCGUUUUAGGGUUAUGCAUUAGAGACAGCUGCAUUCACGUUAAAUAGGGCACCAUCUAAAUCCGUUGAGACGACACCGUGUGAACUAUGGUUUGGCAAGAAACCUAAGUUGUCGUUUCUUAAAGUUUGGAGUUGCGAUGCUUAUGUGAAAAAGUUUCAUCUCGAUAAGCUCAAACUCAAAUCGGAGAAAUAUGUCUUCAUAGGAUACCCAAAGGAGACAAUUGGGUACACCUUCUAUCACAGAUCCGAAGGCAAGACAUUCGUUGCUAAGAUUGGAUCCUUUCUAGAGAAGGAGUUUCUCUCGAAAGAAGUGAGUGGGGGGAAAGUAGAAAACUUGAUAAGGUAAUUGUACCUUCUCCCUUAUUGGAAAAUAUUUCAUCACAGAAAUCUGUUCCUGUGACUACUACACCAAUUAGUGAGGAAGCUAAUGAUGAUGAUCAUGUAACUUCAGAUCAAGUUACUACCAAAUCUCGUAGGUAAACCAGAGUGAGAUCCACACCAGAGUGGUACGGUAAUCCUAUUCUGGAGGUCAUGUUACUUGACCAUGACGAACCUACGAACAAUGAGGAAGCGAUGAUGAGCCCAGAUUCUGAUAAAUGGCUUGAGGCCAUGAAAUCUGAGAUAGGAUCCAUGUAUCAGAACAAUGUGUGGACUUUGGUGGACUUGCCCGAGGACCGGCAAGCCAUUGAUAAUAAAUGGAUCUUCAAGAGGAAGACGGACACGGAUAGUAGUGUUACUAUCUACAAAGCUAGAAUUGUCGCAAAAGGUUUUCGAUAAGUUCAAGGUGUUGACUACGAUGAGUGUUUCUCACUCGUAUCUAUGCUUAAGUAUGUCCGAAUCAUGUUAGCAAUUACCGCAUUUUAUGAAAUCUGGCAAAUGGAUAAACAAAACUGCAUUCCUUAAUGGAUUUAUUAAAGAAGAGUUGUAUGUGAUGCAACAAGAUAGUUUUGUCAAUCCUAAAGGUGCUAACAAAAAUGCAAGCUCCAGCGAUCCAUUUAUGGACUGGUGCAAGCAUCUCGGAGUUGGAAUAUACACUUUGAUAAGUUGAUCAAAGCAUAUAGUUAUAUACAGACUUGUGGUGAAGCCUGUAUUUACAAGAAAGUGAGUGGGAGCAUGACAACAUUUCUGAUAAGUAUAUGUGAAUGACAUAUUGUUGAUCAGAAAUAAUGUAGAAUUAUUCUGCAAAGCAUAAAGGAGUGUUUGAAAGGAGUUUUUCAAAGAAAGACUUCGGUGAAGCUGCUUACAUAUUGAGUAUCAAGAUCUAUAGAGAUAGAUCAAGACGCUUGAUAAGUUUUUUCAAUGAGUACAUACCUUGACAAGAUUUUGAAGUAGUUCAAAAUGGAACAGUCAAAGAAAAAGUUUCUUGCCUGUGUUACAAGGUGUGAAGUUGAGUAAGACUCAAAGCCCGACCACGGCAGAAGAUAGAAAGAGAAUGAAAGUCAUUCCCUAUGCCUCAGUCAUAGGUUCUAUAAAGUAUUCCAUGCUGUGUACCAGAUCUAUUGUGUACCAUACACUGGGUUAAGAGAGGGAGUACAAUAGUGAUCUAGGAGUAGAUCAAUGGACAGGGGUCAAAAUUAUCCUUACUGGAAUAAGGAUAUGUUUCUCGAUUACGGAGGUGACAAAAGGUUCGUCGUAAAGGGUUACGUCGAUGCAAGUUUUGACACUGAUCCAGAUGACUCUAAGUCUCAAUCUGGAUACAUAUUGAAAGUGGGAGCAAUUAGCUAGAGUAGCUCCAUGCAGAGCAUUGUUGACAUAGAAAUUUGCAAAAUACAUGCGGAUCUGAAUGUGGCAGACCCGUUGACUAAACUUCUCUCACAAGCAAAACAUGAUCACUUUUUGGGUCUUAAUCACAUAGCGAUGUGAACUAGAUUAUUGAAUCUAGUAAACCCUUUGGGUGUUAGUCACAUGGAGAUGUGAACCAAUCACAUAAAGAUGUGAACUAUUGAUGUUAAAUCACAUGGCGAUGUGAUCUAGAUUAUUGACUCUAGUGCAAGUGGGAGACUGAAGGAAAUAUGUCCUAGAGGCAAUAAUAAAGUUAUUAUUUAUUUCCUUAUAUGAUGAUAAAUGUUUAUUAUUCAUGCUAGAAUUUUAUUAACCGGAAACAUAAUACAUGUGUGAAUACAUAGACAAACAAAGUGUCACUAGUAUGCCUCUACUUGACUAGCUCGUUAAUCAAAGAUGGUUAUGUUUCCUAACCAUGGACAAAGAGUUGUUAUUUGAUUAACGGGAUCACAUCAUUAGUUCAAUGAUCUGAUUGACAUGACCCAUUCCAUUAGCUUAGCACCCGAUCGUUUAGUAUGUUGCUAUUGCUUUCUUCAUGACUUAUACAUGUUCCUAUGACUAUGAGAUUAUGCAACUCCCGUUUGCCGGAGGAACACUUUGUGUGCUACCAAACGUCACAACGUAACUGGGUGAUUAUAAAGGAGCUCUACAUGUGUCUCCAAAGGUACAUGUUGGGUUGGCGUAUUUCGAGAUUAGGAUUUGUCACUCCGAAUGUCGGAGAGCUAUCUCUGGGCCCUAUCGGUAAUGCACAUCACUUAAGCCUUGCAAGCAUUGCAACUAAUGAGUUAGUUGUGGGAUGAUGUAUUACGCAACGAGUAAAGAGACUUGCCGGUAACGAGAUUGAACUAGGUAUUGGAUACCGACGAUCGAAUCUCGGGCAAGUAACAUACCGAUGACAAAGGGAACAACGUAUGUUGUUAUGCGGUCUGACCGAUAAAAGAUCUUCGUAGAAUAUGUAGGAACCAAUAUGGGCAUCUAGGUCCCGCUAUUGGUUAUUGACCGGAGACGUGUCUCAGUCAUGUCUACAUUGUUCUCGAACCCGUAGGGUCCGCACGCUUAAGGUUUCGAUGACAGUUAUAUUAUGAGUUUAUACGUUUUGAUGUACCGAAGGUUGUU
rnacentral:lncRNA from 1 species